rnacentral:lncRNA from 1 species
UUUUCAGGAUUUGCCUUUUAUUUCUCCCAUUCUCUCUGAUAUAAAGACAAAACCUAAUACUUGUAGAAAGACACAUGGUUAAAUUUUUGUUGUCAACGCCAACAAAUCCAUGUAAGGUGAUGCUUUUCACUAAGAAGAGACUCUAAGAUUAGAUUCCCAAUGUAUAGAGUGUUUGCGCAGUAAACAAAUCAAUCACUUAUCAUUUAUAUAACAGUAGAAGUGUAUGGAGAGUGGGACUAACCUUGGAAGCAAAGGUCCCCUGAGGCCAGUUGAGCAACCCGGCAACCAUUUGCCCUGUUUGAUUGCAAUCGUCAUCAAUGGCCUAGAAAACCCAUGCCCACAUCAGAAAACAACAAUCCACCAUAAAAAGAGUCUAGGAUUUUCACGGAAUCCGCAAAUUUAUUUUUAAAUCGUUACCAAAAACCCUAAUCUCUGGGCACGAAUUCACAGACCUGUUUGCCCAGAAUAAGGAGGCCAGGCUUCUCCACAUCGACGAGAGCUUUGAGAAGCUUAGCAACUGAAAGUGGGUACAGAGUGGCGGAAGCUUCGACGUGGAUGGCCCUAUCGGCGCCCAUGGCGAGACCCGUUCUGAGCGUGUCGACGCACUGGCUGGGACCCACACUGACAGCGAUAACCUCCGACGCCAGACCCGAUUCCUUGAUCCUCAGAGCCUCUUCCAAACCUAUCUCACAAAAGGGGUUCAUCGACAUCUUGACGUUGCUGGUCUCCACGCCGCUCUGAUCGUGGGUUGGCGAUUGUUAUUGGAUGAUGAUGAAAUUACAGAUACUGAAUAACUUGAGAGUUUGGAUUUGGGUUACCUUGUCGGAUUUGACUCUGAUCUUGACAGCGUAGUCCACAACACGCUUUAUCGCCACCAUUAUCUUCAUCUCGUAUAUGGGUGGUUAUCUUCUCCGGCACAAGGGUAUUGGCAAAUGACUGAUGAUGAAGGACGAGGAUAUUCGCCCGAGCCCUACUGCACGACACCACAUCCGCUUAUAAAAUCUUUUGAUACGGAUAAGUACAAGGGAAGUGGAAAAAAAGGAUUAUUAAGAAAAAUAAAUAUAUUACCAAAAAAAUUAUUUAAAAUUUUGUUCAUGUAGAAAGAACCCGUGAAUCAGAUCGAAAAAAUUAUAUUAAAACUGCUGUAUAGCCGAAAAUUGUGUACAGAAUUUAUUUUAACAUUGUAUUAUUGAAUUUUUUAUUCAAAAAUUGCUUAACGUGAGAUAGAAAUUAAAAAAUCAUUAGUAAUUUUGUCCGAAAGUUGUUAUAUUUCAUGUGUUUUAAAAAUAGAUGUAAUUUAUUCCUAUUUGCAUUUUUAACGUACAUUUAAUUAAAUAACCCAAAAAGUUAUUGAGUUCACAUCAUCUAUGGAGUCUACCUCUCUUUGCUUUUGUUGCUUCCAAAAAUACCAUACUCCCAUAUUUUUUUGGUUCUACUCAUUUUACUUUAUUUUUUUCAUUCCAUUCAUUCCACGUGAAGUCUUCAAUCCUAAUAACAUUUACUAUAUUACAAUUAAGUUUAAUUUUUAAAAAACUUAAUUAGGGUUAAAUUUCCUUUGAGAGAACUUCAUUACAAUUAUUUGAGUUGUACGUUAAGUUUCAUUUAAAAAUAACUUAUUUAAAAAGAUGUUAAGCUUCCCCUAUUUUAUUUAUAAAGUUUAAUAUCUAUUUGAUUUUAUAUUUGAAAUCCAACUAAAACCUAAUAACGAAUUGUUGUAAAAAAACUCCAAUCAAAAUACUAACAAAAAUUAAAACAUAAAACUCUGAUAAAAAAUUGUUAAAAAAUCCAACAAAAAAACAAUCAUAAAAAACCCUAAUCAAAAACAUCAUGGAAGUUUAAAUGAAAUUGCCAAAAAAUAAAAAGUAUAGAAAACCCUAACAAAAAAACAACACCAAAACACCUGACAAAAAACAAUUACAAAUUCUAGCACAAAAACCCCCAAUUAAAAAUAUCUAUAAAGAAAAACCUAAAAAAAACCAAUUAUAAAACCUCCAACAAAAAAUAAAGAGAAAGAUGAAGAAUAUGAAAAAUUUUGAAGAAGAAAGAAACAUGAGAGAACUAUCAUUGAUCUUUAUUUGUUAAUCUUUGUUAUAUGUUUGAACUUCACUAGAAAAUGAGAGAGAGAGCAUAAACCUAAAGAGAGAAAGAGCUGAAAAUGAGAGGAGAAAUGAAUCACAAUGAGGGGAAUGACAAUUUGAGGAAAUAUAGAAGGGUUAAAUCAUUUGAACUAGGUUAACGUUUUUAUUAAAAAAAAAGAGUAAUGAAGGUCCUUGUUCUAAUUUCAAGAGUAUGUCUGUUAAUUACCAAAUGUGGCAACUCUAAAUAAAAUCCUUUGUUAUCAACUAAAACUAAAAGUCCCAUUACAUCAUAUCCAACUUUCAUUUGUUAUCAACAAAGUAAAACUAUAUACAACUAUUAUCACCAUCUCUCCUAUUUUGAUGUUAUUUUCUUAGAUGAAUUUGUAAAUCAAAAUUUACACCACCCAUAAAUUUUUUGAGCUUCCUAUUUAACACAACUUCAAUUUGUUAUACUUUGAACAUCACAAAGAUAAAGUAAUCAACAUUUUGCUUGGACAAGUUUUUCUUCUCUAAAGUUUAGAGUCCUAUUUCACUUCCCGUUUAUGGGUUGUUAGUUCAUCUAAUAUCUCACCAUCAUCCAUUCCAUGUACUGUGUUUCCGAAAUGAGUUGAUUCCACAUCCUAAAUGUCUGUGCAAAUUAAUAAGGAAUGUCGAGUUACCAAUUUUCUUAAAAGCUUAAUCUUGCAAGAUUUGGAUUCAAAAUGCAUAUCAUGCUCUCUUUAACACCCCUCCCCCCUCUCACAUGUAGCCCUAUACCCACACGUAGAGAAAUAGACUUAUAGGAAAAUUGGUAGUUUAAUAUAGUAUCAGCACUUGGUUUGGUGGGAGGUCUCCUGUUUGAGUCACCUCUCCACAAUUUACAUUUCUCCUAUUUGUUUAAUUUACAGUUCUUCCCUUAAUCUGUAAUUCUUUGGAUAUAAAUUUUCCCCCUAAUUUGUAGUUUUGUGGAUAUGAAUCUCUCUUCCAUGUUCAGGUAUGGGGCCACACAUAAGAGAGGGUGUUAAAGAGCAUGAUAUGCAUAUUAAACCCAAAUCCUAUAAGUUAAAACUUUUAGGAAAAUUGGUAGUUUAACGCUUUUAGGAAAAUUGGUAGUUCAACAUGUGUACACCCCAUUUUGGGGACUGCUAUUGCUCCCACUUCUUUUUGUCAAAUGGUGGAGCUUUUUAGGAGCACAUGUUGUAUUUGGAAAGGCUAUUAGAAAAUGGCAACAUGACUGUUAAUGGAAGUAAUGAUUUUCUAAAAAGGCAACCAUGGGAAGACACAUAACAAAGAUGUUUGGGGAGGAGGGAGAGUGUGCAUCAAGACUACUCAUGAGGGGUAAGAAACAAAAAAAAAAAAGUGUCGAAGAUAACUAAAAAAUUGGAGAAACAUAAAGGAAUAAGGAUUUUAGGGCUAUGGAUGGUGAACAAGAGUGAAUUAUGGGUGUCUAGGACAGCUAGGAAUGGUGAGAGGAGUAGGGAGCUGUAGAAGGUGAUGAGCUAGGUAAGAUGUAUUUUCGAGAAAGAAAAGAACCAAAGAAAGAAGGUGGUGAAUUAAGUGAGACACGUCUCAGAGAAGCAGAGAAAGUUGGCUUGAAGCCAAGCAAACUUUUGCUUGAGAUGAGCAUUGCCUAGUAAGAUUGUUUCGAUUCAUCGAUUAUUACUGAUCAUCAUACUUCUCUUGUCUUAUAUUCAUGUGAUUAUUUUACAUUGAUUGUGGGGUUGCUUUGGUUUGGUUAUUAUGGCUUCAUCCUCUAUUUCUUUAGUUUUAUUCAAGGAUAAAUCUAAUUGUGCUUUGAUUAGUUAUUCCAUAUUUGAAAAUCUUUGUGUAUUUUGGGUUUUUUCUCUUUAGAUAUUUUCUAGAUUAAUCCACUGACCUUUAAACCCACAAAUAAAGAAAAAUGAAAUGAGUUUUUUCAUAUUUGUUGGGUGUUUGGCCCUUGUUUAUCUUUUUUUAAAGCUUUAUUCCUUUAUAUUCUCUAUUUCUCCCCAUUUUGUACAUGGGUGUUUCAAUCAGAGUCUCUAUUUUGGCUUCCACAUUUGAGAUUUCUUUUAUGAGCGAAGACCCAAAAAUGGAGACUGGCUUCUUGUAAUUGAUAAAAUAGUUAGUCACCCAUUAGCUUAGAUGAAGCAUAGAUGUUAACCGGAUUGUGAACAUGGAUACUCUAUUUUGGGCCUAUUAGGCCUUCCAAUCCUCUCUUAGUUUCAUUAUUCUUGAGGAUAGUGUUUGGUUGUGUCUGCUACUUAUUCUGUGGCUUCGGUGGUCUGUUUGUUUAUUCUUGGCUAUUAUCAAUGCUAACAAUGGGAAAGAGACUGGUUUUGGUUAUGCUCUUACGGAUUUGAAGGUGAUCAAAGGGUCCAGUGAAGAGAAGAUUAGUAGGUCAUAUUAGGUUAAUUAAUUAAUUAGGACAUGUUUUGAGUUAUAUUAAGUAAUACAAGCUCUUAGUGGGCUUAAGUAACUUAAGCCUAGUGGGGAAUGCCAUAAAUACCCCUUAGGGGUUAGCAUUUCCAUAGGUUUUUCUAGAGAGUCAUCUUUCACCUCCAAAGAAGGAGAGUCAUAGCCUUUACCAUUUUUUCCAUCAUUAUCGAAGUGUGUCAAGAUUAAGGUUUAAGUCAUUGAGCGGAAGACUCCAGGUUUAUGAGACUUCAUACAACUUCGUUUUUCAUUUUCAUCAAAUGGAAUUAAUUUGAAAACAUUUGAAUCUGAAGUAUGGUUUUUGUUAGCAUAUUUCGAAUCCCUUUAAAGUUUAAAAAUGCAAAUUUUCCACUAUGUAUAGGAUUUAAAAUCGCUUAAGAUAGUUAAACAUGUUCCCCACUUGAUCUGAAUUGGGAAACGGAGAAAUCUGAUAUUUUCCCAUCACAAGGUAGGAUAAGAACUUGUGAUUGAUCUUUAUGGAUUGGACUAAUUAAUUAAUUGGAACCUAAUUAGGCUAAUUAAUUAAUUAAGACCUAAGCAAACUAGUUUAAGUUACACAAGCCUAGGAUGGACUUAAGUGACUUAAGCCCAUGGGAAGCUUAUAUAAACUCCUUUAGGGGUUAGGGUUUCAAACUUUUAUCAUCUAGUCUUCAAUUCCUUAAAGAGAAUAGAACUCGAGCCAACAACUCUCCUAAAGGAUUCUAUUGCUCCGUGUCAAGAUUCGAAAAAAAACUAUUUGAUGGAAGGUUGUUAUGUUUAUGAGAUUCGUUAUGUUUUUUUACACCUUUUCACUAAAUGGAAUUGAUAUAGGAAUGUUCAUAUCUCAAGUGCAACACACUUAUUCUCUUUAGAUUUAUAUUGCUUAUGGUUUUUUUUUUUUUUGUCAUGGUUUUCCGUUAAGAUUAGAUUAAGAGAGCCCUAUGUCAUAGAAUGCUUCAAAUGAGCCUCCCCGGGGGUUUGUAUAGAGCCCAUGAAGCUUCUAGAGACUCCUAUACUUAGCCAUUGGUGGGAAGAGUGUGAAAGGUUCUACAGAUGUCUAGAGAUAUUUACACAUCUCUACACUAUGGUGGAAGGCAUGAGAGGAGUCUAAGGCAUUCUAAAGAAUUAUAAAGAUCUCUUAUAUAUUCUUGUACAUAGGCUUGUACAUAGAAUUGUGUAGGAAGUUAUAGAUUAUUCUUGAGCUGUAAGGAACCCUCCAAGGUUCCAGAGAGUUCCAUUGGUGCCUAUAAAUAGGUGAAUGCCUCAUUUGGCCAAGACACUAAGCAAGUGAAUUCCAAAACACUUGUAAAGCUUCCUUUGAAUAAUAAAAGUUUCAAUUCUUCAAGAGUUGCCUAUUAUGCCUUCUAAAACUUCUAAGUCAUGAGCAUCUUAACCUAACAAGUUAAGCAUUGGGAGUAAUGCUAACUUAGCAAGAUCAAGGAUCUUGACUUGUCUAAGUGUUGCACGAUCUUAGGAAAAGAUUAAGUUUGUGACAGUUGGUUUCAAAGUGUGACUACGAAGUGAGCAUAGUAAAGGAAACAUGUCGAGCUUCAACAUGGAGGAAACUAGUGAGCAAACCCGUGGGAAAGAAACCGAGCCUACUGCAUAGGACAGGGACAUGAAGGAUAAAUCUCGUAAUGCCAUAGCCAACGUGGAGGCAAGGCUAGCCAAGGUGGAGCUAGCCAUGGCAGACACCCGGGAAGGGGUGGACUUAAUCGAGCAAGGCAUGGAAAAUGGCUUAGAGGAUCUAAAUGAGCAUAUCCAAGACCUUCAUGAGAGAGUGCUAGGCUUACAAGUUCGGCCGAUGUCAUAUGAGGAGUUCAUGUCCUUCCAAAACGAGGUCAUGAGCAUGUUUGCUAGCAUGGAGUCGAAGGUGGAGGCCUUGGCUGCACGCAUAGAGGCCCAAGACCAAGAGGUUCAACAAGAGCUAGCUAUCUACAAGACUGUCUUAUCAGCACGAGUCAUGGCCACUCAUGAGGCACUAAGGGUGGAAGUGCCCAAACCACACACGUUCAAUGGCAAGAGGGAUGCCAAGGAGUUGGACAAUUUCUUGUGGCACAUGGAGCUCUACUUUGAGGUUAUAACACUAAUAGAUGAAGCCACUAAGGUAUGUACCACAACCCUCUACCUCACCAAUAAAGCUACUCUAUGGUGGCGUCAGAGGUUUGCCAAUAUAGAAAAAGAAAUGUGCACCAUAGACACAUGGGAUGCCUUUAAGCAAAAGAUCAAAAAACAAUUAUACCUUAAUGAUGUGGCUUACCUAGCAAGGAAAAACACAAAAUGUCUUAAGCACACAGACUCGAUCCGUGAGUAUGUCAAAGAAUUCUCUACACUUAUGCUUGAGAUACCCAACAUGUCUGAGGAAAAGCUACUAUUCAACUUCAUGGACAACUUGCAAAGCUGGGCCGAGCAAGAGUUAAGGAGAAGUGGUGUCCAAGACCUAGCCACGGCCAUGGCGGUAGCGAAGUCCUUGGUGGAAUACAAAAAGGGAGACUCUUUUAAGCCCAAGCCACAGUCUAAGGGUAAUCAUGCUAAAGGUGGGGAAACAAGGGAUCAAGGAGGUACACUCCUAAGGAAUGAUCAAGCAAGACCUCUGGUGGCAAGGAUGGUAAGGGUAAGGAUAAACGGAAAUAGUUCACGCCUAAGAUCAAUUGCUUCCUAUGUGAUGGUCCACAUUGGGCGCGAGACUACCUCAAAAGAAAAGCCCUAAAUGCCAUGAUCGAGGAAAAGUAGAAGGAAGACAAUGCUCAUGUGGGAUCAUUACAACUCUUAAAUGAUAUCAAGGCUAAGUCAGUGCUUAAGACACCUCAAAGUAAAAGUCUAAUGUACAUAGAAGCCCUUGUAAAUAGGAAGGCUACCAAGGCUUUGGUGGACACUAGUGUCACUCAUAACUUUGUCUCGAAGGAUAAGACAAAGAACUUAGAGCUCCAAGCAUCUAAGGAAGGAGGUUGGCUCAAGGCAAUUAAUUAAGUUUCCAAGCCAUCACACGAAGUAGCACGCAGGGUGGCAAUGCACAUUGGCUCAUGGGAAGGAAUGGUCGACUUCACAGUGGCACCCAUGGACUACUUCAAGAUGGUACUGGGAAUGAACUUCCUAUAGAAAGACAAGGUCAUGCCACUACACUUCCUACAUUUAAUGGUUAUCCUAGAGGAUGAAAAGUCAUGCAUAGUCCUUACGGUCACCGAAGGUUCACCCAAGACCCCUAUGAUAUCGGUUAUGCAAGUAAAGAAGGGAUCAAAGAGGAAAGAGGUGACCUACCUCACCACUCUUAAGGAGGAAAAUGAUGAUGAGUUGGGGGAGCCCAUGCCUAAGGAAAUCAAGAGAGUCUUUGAUGAGUUCAAGGACGUGAUGUUGCCUAAGUUGCCUAAAAGACUCCUUCCUAGAAGAGAGAAAGAUCAUAAGAUCGAGUUAGAUGCAGGAACUAAGCCCCUUGCUAUGGGGCCAUAUAGGAUGGCACAACCCAAGCUGAAAGAGCUAAGGAAACAACUUAAGGAGUUGUUGGAUGCAGGGUUUAUCCAACCAUCCAAGACUCCCUAUGGCGCACCGAUUUUAUUUCAAAAGAACCAUGAUGGGUCCCUACAGAUGUGCAUCGAUUACCAAGCACUCAAUAAGGUAACAAUAUAGAAUAAGUACCCCAUUCCACUCAUUGUUGAUCUAUUUGAUCAACUUGGUAAAGCAAGGUAUUUCACUAAGUUGGACUUGAGAUCAGGCUACUACCAAGUGAGGAUUGUGGAAGGAGACAAACUGAAGACUACAUGUGUGACCCGAUAUGGCUCAUAUGAGUUCUUAGUGAUGCUCUUCGAUCUCACCAAUGUACCAACAAUGUUUUGGACACUCAUGAAUAAGAUCUUCCAUCCCUAUUUAGACUAGUUUGUGGUGGUAUACUAAGAUGACAUAGUCAUCUACAAUAGCAUCUUAGAGGAGCACGUGGAGCAUUUAAGGAAGGUCUUCAAGAUCUUAAGGUAAAACGAGUUAUAUGUAAAGAAGAAGAAAUGCUCAUUUGUUAAAGAGGAUGUGAGCUUCCUAGGGCAUCGCAUCAAAGAUGGCAAGCUGAUGAUGGAUGACAACAAGAUGAAGGUCAUCUAGGAAUGGGAUCCACCUACUAAGGUACCUCAACUAAAGUCUUUCCUUGGCUUGGCUAACUAUUACCAGUGGUUCAUCAAGGGUUACUCUACAAAGACAGCUUCACUCACUAAUCUUCUUAAGAAGAACAAGGCAUGGGUGUGAGACAAAAGGUGGCAACAAGCCUUUGAAGAUCUAAAAAGUGUUGUGAUUGAGGAGCCAAUGUUGGCAUUACCCAACCACAUGAAGGUUUUUAAGAUACACACAGAUGCCUCAAACUUUGCUAUUAGGGAAGUUCUGAUAAGAUAGACAUCUAAUCGCCUUCAAGAGUUGCAAGCUAAAUGACAUAGAGAGACGCUACAUGGUACAAGAAAAUGAUAUGACUGUCAUUGUCUAUUACUUGCACACCUGAAGACACUAUCUUCUAGGGUCUCACUUCAUAGUGAAAACCGACAAUGUUGUCAUUAGUUACUUCUAAACACAGAAAAGUCCUAAGUAAGCUAGGUGGCAAGACUUUCUGGUUGAGUUUGACGAUGCGCUGGAGUAUAAGACAAAAAGUACUAAUCAUGUGAAUGACGCCCUAAGCCGUAAUGUAGAGCUAGCAUUCAUGACGAGCCAGCCCCAAUGAGACAUAAUAGAUCUUCUAAGAGAGGGGUUGCAACAUGAUCUAGUGGCUAAGAGCCUUAUUACCUUGGCCCAUGAGGGAAAAACUAAGUGUUUUUAGGUAGAGGACGACCUACUCUACACUAAGGGGAGACUACUCUACGUGCUUAAGUGGGGGAACAUAAGGUAGAACUUGAUUAAGGAGUGCCAUGACACCAAGUGGGUUGGGCACCUUGGGCAACGACGCAUAAAGAGCACUACUCGAGUCAGCUUACUACUGAUCUUAGAUACAAGAUGAAGUUGAGGCAUAUGUGAGGACUUGUCUUGUGUGCUAACAAGACAAGGUAAAACAACAACAACCUAGAGGCUUGUUGGAGCCACUACCUAUAGCAGAGCGUCCAUGGGAGAGCAUCACCAUGGACUUCAUCAUCGGGCUACCUAAGUUGGAGGGCUAUGGCUCGAUCAUAGUGGUAGUGGAUAUGUUCUCUAAGUAUGUGACCUUCAUAGUAGCCUCUACUGACUGUACUGCAAAGGAGACAGCAAGGCUAUUCUUGAAACACAUGGUCAAAUACUGGGGGUCGCCUAAUUACAUCAUCAGUGAUCGCGAUUUGCAUUUCACUAGGAAGUUUUGGACAAAGCUCUUUAAGCUUAUGGGUUUGAAGCUUCACUUCUUCACAAGCUUUUCACCCGUAAACAGAUAGGCAGAUUGAGAGGGUGAACGCCUUAUUAGAGUUAUACUUAUCCUUCAUGAGUGUCAACCAAAAGGAAUGGACUAAGUUGCUAGAUGUAAUCCAAUUUUCAUACAACUUGCAAAGAAGUGAGACAACCAACAAGAGCCCGUUCAAGCUAGCCAUAGGGCAGCAACCAUUGACUCCUCACACACUACCAAUAGGCUAUACGAAGAGAAGUUCAGCGGCUUUGAAGUUCACUAAGGGGUGACACGAGCCAACUGACAUAAUAGCUCAUACUUGGAUAGGGCCGCUAGAAAGAUGAAGAAGUGGGCUGACAAAAAGCGACAUCACACUGAGUACAAGGUCGGAGACAUGGUCUUUGUCAAGCUCCUUCCUAAAAAAUUCAAGUCACUAAGGCCGGUACAUAAAGGCCUUAUGAUGAGGUAUAAAGGACAUUUCCCCAUACUUGGAAAGGUCGGCAAGGUGUCCUAUAGAGUUGAGUUACCACCGAGGUUGAAGAUUCAUAUCGUCUUCCACGUAAGUUACAUAAAAUCAUAUCACGAAGACAAGAAUUAUCCAAGCCAAGGGAUGUCCUAGAUGACACCUACAUCGAUUAUGACCUUCUAUGACAAGGAAGUAGAACACAUCAUUGCAGGCUGAGUCAUCAAGAGAUGAGGCGUGCCUCCUGCUACGGAGUACUUGGUGAAAUGGAAGGGACUACCAGAGAACGAGACUAGCUGGGAGCCAAUAGAUGCACUAUGGCAAUUUCAGGAGCACAUUAAGUGGUUCUAGGUGGAAGGUGCGACAAGGACGUUUACGGUUUAGGUAGGGGAGAGUGUCAUAGAAUGCUUCAAAUGAGCCUCCCCAGGGGUUUAUAUAGAGCCUAAGAAGCUUUUGGAGACUCCUACACUUAGUCAUUGGUGGGAAAAUGGUGGAAGGUUCUAAAGAUGUCUAAAGAUAUCCACACAUCUCUACACUAUGGUGGAAGGUAUGAGAGAAGUCCAAGGCUUUCUAGAAAAUUCUAGAGAUCUCUUGUAUAUUCUUGUACAUAGGCUUGUACAUAGAAUUGUGUAGGAAGUUUUAGAUUAUUCUUGAGUUGUAAGGAACCCUCCAAGAUUCCAAAGAGUUUCAUUGGUGCCUAUAAAUAGGUGAAGGCCUCAUUUGGCCAAGGCACCAAGCAAGUGAGUUCCAAAGCACUUGUAAAGCUUCUUUUAAGUAAUAAAAGCUUCCAUCCUUCAAGAUUUAUCUACUACGCCUUAUAAAGCUUUCAAGUUGUGAGCAUCUUAACCUAGCAAGCUGAGCAUUGGGAGCAAAACUGACUUAGCAAGAUCAAGGGUCUUGACUUGUCUAAGUGUCGCACGAGCUUAGGAAAAGACUAAGUUCAUGACACCUAGGACUAGUAGCAUGCACCCUAAGUAAUCCAAGGCUAGAAAUGAAAUGAUACAAGGAUUCCCAACACUUGACUUAAUUCCUUAGAAAUUGAAACUCAAUAAAAAACAUUAGUGUCAUUAACCUCAUUUUUUUUAUUACCAAUACUUAAUUAGGGGAAACCUUGAGCUAACAACCUCCUCAUUUUUUAUGAUGAUAAAACUGUACCAUCUAAAGAAAGCUUUCCUUAAUGUAUGCAUAUUAUAAGCAAUUUAAACAUUCAUCAUAAAAGAUGGAAAACAUAAACUCAAAUGGAGACAUGGAUAUAUAGAUAUAAGAGACAUCAUAAAGGUUGCAACAUGAUCGUAUAUCCGAAAUAGCAUCCAAAAGCAUGUCAUCCAAAAAAAAAUCAACCAUAAUAACCAUGUUCAAAUUGUCCCAAAAAGGAAAAAAAUAUAUAUAUGAAACAAAAAGUAUUAAAUAGUUUACUAAAUGUUAUGCCCUAGAUACCUAAAGAUAUCUCCCCCUUAGGCAACAUCGAAACAAUGAGGGAACUAUAUGGCUCAAGGUUGAGGUGGUGGAAACAAGGAACAUAGGACAGCUAUUGAAGAAGCUAAAAUUCUUCAUAAAUGAUUGAAUUUUAUUUCACCAUGAGAAACAAUACAAAGAGGGAUUUUUUUUUUUUUUUUUUUUUUUUUAUCAAGGGGAAGACCCCUUUCUCUUUACUACUUAUCCCUUUUAAUAAAAAUUCUUCCACAUUUUUCCACUUUAUUUUGCCAACAUUCUUUCAACCCCUUUUGCACAAAAAUGCCAAAGAUAGUAUUAGGAUAACCUUUUACAACCAUUGCUAACUUUUGACACAAGUUGCUAAAAAUUGUUGAAGAUUUGCUUUUAAUGUCAGGUAGGAUAGCAGAUUGGUUCUAAUUGAAGGUCAUUUCUUGUGGAGGACCUUACUUAUAAGUGAGAUGAUUGUUCCUAUCUUCAUGGUUUUAUGUUGUAUAGUUAUAGAGACUUUUUAGAGGCUAUCAGCUUUAGAGCAAAUUUAUGUUGUUUGUUAGGGAUUAAGUAUUUUAUUCAAAUUGGGUGAAUGGUACUACCUCUUUACUUGAGAUGGCUUUGAGAUUGGGUGGUUGAAUAGUAGUACUUUGGAAUGGUCUAGUUUUUGUUCGCUUUAGCUAUCAUUUUCUUAUGCUGUGUCUAUAGACGAGUGGAGACGUCAUUUGGAAAUUGGUCAAAUUGCCCGUGAAAUUGAUCAAAUUGUCAAGUUGUCAUCCUAAAAUUGACUAAACCUAGUUUGUAAAAAUGAGAAACGACCGUCACUAGCGACUAACAUCUUCUCAAGCUAAGUAUUAAUAGAUCCAAUCUGAGCAUAAAGGGCAUCUUAAUGUUGCAGGUUCAAUGCUCAUGAAGCAUAAUAUUUUGGAUACUUGGUGUGAGACACCUCAGCAUAAGUCUAAUCCAUAAGGAUAGUCUCCUCAGGAGGUUGAGAUGUGGGCAAUUGAAUGGUGGCAUCCAUGCCCUUGGUUUGCAUCUCCUGUUGAACAUCCUCACCCCCUAAUCCUUUAUGGUCACCCUCAGUCUCUAUCUAUAGAAUCUCUGCCUCUUACUCAACCCGGUCUUCAUUCAUAGCAGGACCCUUUCUUUUUCUUUCCAAUGAUCCAUUAGGCAAUUUCUCAAACAGCAUUCGGUCUGGAUUUUACGUUAUAGGUAUCAUAGGAUGAGGCCUGAAUGUUUUUUUCUCUUCUUAUGUCCACAUUGAAUGCUUUCAGGAUUUUUGUGAUCAGUCUUCUUCCGUUGGCCACUACUUUAGAAUUGCUUUUACAACAGUUUUUCAUGUGUUGAAAGAUGAUAAGGAAACCUUAGAAUGGAUCGGAGUCAAUAGAAAAUGCUACAUAAUAGGACACCUUGUCUCUAUGUCCACCCUUAGGUAGAAAAAUAUGUUUGAUCAUGUGGUGGUGCACCCUAGAGAUAAUGCUCAAGGCAUGGGCAUGGAGCUUUGAAGUCACUGUGUCGAUGGGUAAGUUACAUAUCCUCUAGAAAGCCCUACCUAGGUUAAAACUAGACACUAUAGGCCAUCCCUUCGUCUCAAAUAAACAAAGUCCCCCACAAAGGAUCUCCAAAAUAUCACAAAGCAUAUCAAUAUUUAGUUUAAUUCAACUCCUCUAACAAAUGUGCUAAUUGGCCUUCAUAUAUUUUAGGUUCAAGUAAAAUACCUGAACAAGGUUGGGGUAUGUAGGCUCUCUUGAUGAGAUGGUAUUGGUGAGUAUUUUUUUUUCUUCAAUACAAAACUAUUACAACACUUGGUUUUUUUUUUUUCUAAAAAAAAAAGAAAAAUAAAAAUAGUUUUAUAUUAUACUUAGUUUCAAGAAAAAUAAUAAUCAAAGCAAAAUGAAAAAAAAAUUCUCAUAUUGGUUUCUCGUGAAAAAUAUAAAAGCAAAUAAAAUACAAUUAAAAUUAAUUAAAAUCUUAUGUAUUUUUAAAUUAUUAAUUUUUAUAUAAAAAAUGAAAAAUAGUAUAAUGAAUUUAGAAGAAUAUAUAAAAAUAAUGUAUUAACUUUAAAUCUUUUUUUCUUUAUAUAUAUAUUUUCCCUUCAAUUUUCUAAUACCAACACAUAAUAAGGUUAAUGUCUUCUAGCCAACCAAUUGUAAGUCAAUUUUCAUAGAGCUUUUUUUUUUUUUUUUUUUUACAUGCCACCAAGUAGUUAUAUAAGCAUUUUUGCAUGUUAUUGUUAUCCAACAUACAAUAACUAUAACAUCCAAUUAUUAUGAACAUGAACAAUAAAAUUAGAUGCAACUAACUAUUUAGUGUAUAACAAGAAGUUGGUGAAGUAAUUCAUCCUAACAUGAUUCAACAAUUUUUGUUUAUUUUUCAAGAUUAAUUAUAACAUACCCAUUCUAUUAAAGUUGUUGAGAUAUUUGAGCAAAACUAAAAAUCAACAUUAAUUCAUUUUAUACCCACAAGAGAAAUAAGAUUUGUUUUUUUGUUUGAUAAUAAAGUAGUUGUAGUUAUUAAUGAUAAUUUUGAUCCUAAUUUAAUAGGUAUCCAAAAAAAAAGGAAAAAUGCAAGUAAACCAAUUCUUAUCUAACACAAUUAUUACCACCUUAAAAUCCUGAGGGGUAGCUCAGUUGAUCAGUUCGAGUCCCUUUAGGACCAUGAAAAGCUUACCCGAUGGUUCACCUUAAGAAAAGCAAAGCAUUUAUAUAAUUCAACUGGUAGUUGAUAAGUCUUAGAAAGGGUUUUGCCAUCAUUGGCUUCUCAGUAAAGGGCAAAUUUGGGUUGUGGCUGACAAUUAUUGAAUUUGUGAAGAAAUAUGUGAAGAAAGGAAACAAAAAGAGUUGAGGACAGAAUUCUUCAAUUAAAAAAUGGUUAGCCCAUGAACCCAUUCUUCAAACAGUAAGCCAAUGAGCCAAUGAGCCAAAAAGAAAGAAGAACAGCUGGUUUCAUCUUUUUAUCUUAAUGACUUUGACAACCCAUCUUUCUUUUAAAUACUUGUGACUUUGGAAUAUAAUUAAAAUGAAACUUUGGAAUGCCCACAUCUGAUUCACGGCCUUUUUACCUGUUUUCUUGUUUAACAUUUUUUUAAAUAUUAUAACAGAUGGAAAAACAUGAUUCUAACAGGCUGGAAAAUAGUGGAAGUUGGAACACCAACCAUAACCAAACUAUACCUUCCAUCUUUCUCCAACACUCGGAAUUAUUGAUACAAGUUGGUGGUUUUAUGAUUGUUUCUAUUGAGGGGACCCCUCUCCAUUUCCAAUUUCAAUGGAAAGGUUCUUCUUUCCCUACUUUUUUUUUUUGUUUUUCAAAUUCUUGUAGUUUUGUCUGUCUCUCUCAACAAAGCAAACUGCAAUCACUAAUUCAAAGAAAAGGAAUCCUAAAUGAAAAGAAAAGAAAGGAAAGGAAUGGUAAUUUAGGCUAUGAUGAUGCUCCUAUAUAAUGGCUGUAAGUCAAUAACAACACACUGGACCCGCCUCCUAUCUCAAAAGAUCACAAACCCAAAUAUCAUAUACUUCCAAAUUUCAAUUUGGUUCCCUGUUUAUAUCACAAUCUGUCCUAUAUCCUCUUAAUACAUCUAAAAUCUCUCUAUAUCAUAAAAAUAAUGAUGGAAAAAAAAAUUAAAAAGAAAGAAGGAAAAAAUGACAAAAAAAAAAAAACCUUGGUGCUGCUAUGGGUCCAUAGGAAUUGGCAGGACUGCACUUCUGGAUCCCCUUCCAUGGCCAAAAGAAAAGAAUGAUCUUCGGAAUCUGCUGCUGCAACCUUCACUAGGGCUGAAGUCACUGACAGGCCUGUUCUGUUGCAAAAUCUCUUGAAUUGCUAAAUACAGCUGCCUGUCGUUGGAUGAGUCCAUUGAAAAAGACCUCCUGAUGGGUUGGAUUGAGAACUGAUCAUCUUUGCCUCUAGUGUCAAUGCACUCAUCACCCAUGCUUGCAACAUGAUGAAACUUCCUUGCCUUUUUAGGCACAAUUCUCUGCUCUAGCUUCCUAGGUGAUGGACUAAUUGAUGGCGCAGAUAACUCUCUGGAAUUCAGUCUUUCUGGUGGCCUAAGCAGUGAUGAAUCAGCAGAACUAUCAUUUCCCAAUUCAAUUACUACAAAAUCUUCAUCCCCUCCUAUGUAAUUAUUGGCGUAGGGGCUUGGAUCUUGGGGGGAAGAGCUAGGAGCAAUGAUUUGGUGAACAGGAAACCGGGGUGUGGUUGAAAUGCUUGUUCUGCAAAGUGGGCAAUUAGCAUUGCUUUGAAGCCACACGUCUAUGCAAUCUAUAUGAAAUAUGUGACUGCAGUUUGGUAUGAUUCUUAGCUUCUCUUCUUCUUGAAACUCAUUCAAGCAAACCGCACACUCGCAAUGGCUUCUUUCUCCAAACUCUCUGCCACCUCCUUUCCUGAACUGGAAUAUUGGGAUUGAUCUGAUGACUGACUCGUCCAGGCCUCGACUCUCGAUUGCUGGGGAGUACACCAUUAAAGGGUCUUCCGGGUGCCGACUCCUUGAGAAAGAAAAUCGUCUCAGCAGAUCAAUCCGGUGCCAAUUGAGGCAGCAUUUGAUUACAAAGAUGUAGUAGCUCACCAGCAAGAAAGCAGUGGCCAGGAUUCCUAUUACGGCAAUGGCUAUAAUGGGGAAACUGGUGUCCGAGGAAUGAGAGGGAGAAGGAAGCACUGAGCUCGCCUGGCUUUUGAUGGGAGAAAAGGCUUGUGAUCCAUGGAUGGAGGAGUCUGUGCUCACAAGAUCCAUGAGAGAGGCUAUGAAAAACAUUUAGAAAUGAGUCUAUUCGGAUCUUCAAUUCACAGAAACAUGCAAAUGCUAGAAUAAAAUCGACAGACACUCAGAUAUAGACCCUACAGUUGUAAUGCAGCAUACCAUAAAUGUGAUUGAGUGAGUGAGGCUGAAACAGCAAAUGGGUCACUUCAAGAUCUCAACAAGACAGAAAACCCAUGUUGAAUUCACCAGGAGAGUAUUGAAAAGGGAAAAAUUAAGGACAUAUAGCUGUAUUGAAAGUUGAAACAAAUGCAGAAACAUAGAGAAGAGAGAGAGAGGGAGAAAACCCAGGAGGGUUGAAUGAGAGCGCUGCUGGGGAAGACAUCAAAACGCUUCAAAUUCAAUGAGAAUCUGUUGGGGACCUCUUUAAGAGGACUGCACAAAGCCUGAGCGUAGGGUACGUGGUUGGUUGGUGAAUUUCUCGGCUUCCAAAAGAGAAAUUUGGUGAGAAAAUUUUCAAGUCUCUUGAUUAUAGUAACGUAGCGUUUAUUUUAAUUUUAUGUAACCGAAACUAAUGGGCUGGUUCAAAAAAAUAAAAAAUAAAAAAAGGAACUUUCUAGGAUAGGCCAGCAGUCCACCGUUGGUCAUGUGGUUUCUUUUGCAUGUCCACAUCUUCCAACUAGUGGAGGUCCCUGUCACAACAGUAAGAAAACACCCAAUUGAAUAAAAGUAUGAACUUUUGGCUCCCAAUAUUACUUAUGCCCUCAUUCAAUACCUCAAAUAAAGCAGAGAUUUUGUGUCCCAACUUUUAUGAUUUCAUUUCAUCUUACUUCAAAUGCUAAUGACAAAAGUCCAAGUAUAUUCUGUAAUCACCCACACCCCAAUAGUUUUGAAUCACACUUGAAAUAGUUCCCAUGCUUUCUUAAUAAUUUAGAUAAUUAUUUACAGAAAAAAAAAUUCAGAACAGGAUGAUAAUCAUUUUGUGAUAGCAUGGAAGAAACUUUACUAGCCACUUUGGCCCCAUGAAGUUGAGUACUUGAUGCCAAUUAAUGGCAGGGUGGAAAAUAGAGAAAAGGGAUCAUAGUCAAAUCUAGAGUACAAGGCAUUGAAUCUUUGUUAAUAAUUAACAAAUGGGUAAAGCAUGGGUCACAGGGUCUACAGUUUGGAUUGCAAAAACCUCAGGCUUCUAUAAAAAGCUCAUCCAUUAUCAAUCAUCAAUCUGAAAGCCAGAAAGUCCAAGGCACAUGCAACCCACGACAGGGGUAAGAUUUCUGCAUCAUGUCCCUGAGUUGCAUUCACAUCAUAUGUUUCCCUCCGGGCCGUUCCAAUUUGAAAUCUCAUGGAAAUCUUCAAGAGCAAGGCUACAGAGUUUAAGAUAAUACUAGGGGUGGGUCCUGAUGGGAAAAGAGGUAGUGUAGGAUAGUCAAUAAAGGGCAUGUGUCUCUGGUGUGAAGUCAAAUCCAGUGUACCAUCCUCAAUGGAAAAUUUAGAAAUAGAACCGACACUCUACAGACUGCCGUGUUGACAGAUUAGAGAAAGACAAACCCACUUACACUUGCCUCAAAACCCAGUCCUGCCAUUUCAAAGGCAAAAAAAAAGGGUUUCUUUUUAUAGUCAAAGGUUGAGGCCUGGCCUGGCCUAGCAAAGAAACUUCACCUACUCUUUUCUUAUUUUUCAAAUUAAGGCCAUUCAACUUUUCCUGUUUGCAGGCUUGCUGCCAUAUCUUACUCCAAAAAAGGUGAAAACCCAAAAGAAAAAGAGUGUUUGCUUCAAUGGAAAACUCAUGUUUAAUAAAUUCACCGCACGAGUUUUGUUCCAGCUUUUCCUAUGAAAGCUGUGAUGCGUUUGGUAUGAAGUUGAUUUUGUUCCUAAAAAUUUUGAUCUUGGCGUGGAAGGCAACUUUUUCCUUUUCCCCCUUUUUCUUUUUGAAAAGUUCGGCAUUAGUUACCAAAUGUCCUUUUACUUGCAUGUAGGACAGCGGAAGCAUUACACAUCGCAGCAAAAUCCCAUUUACCCGAAUUUUCCACUAACUCUUUUUAUUUUUUACCAUCAUUUUUUAAUAGAAGUGAUGCACUCUUCAAAUUACAUGAAGCUUUUAAGAAGGUAAUAACCCGUUUCAAAGCGAACUUAACCUACAGAGUAUGUUUUAAAAAUAUUUAGGUAUUUGAUAAAAUUUAAAAAAUAUUUUUUAAAAUCUUUAAAAUGAUUUGUAAUAUUGAAAAUUUAUUUAUACUUUUUUUAAUAAAAAAACAUUUUAUAGGUAAUUUUUCUAAAAUACUUUUAGAGAAAAUGUCUUCCCUUCACUAUAAAUAUUAUAUACUAUCAAAUACACUUUAAAAAUCUGUUUAACAAUAAUUUUAUAAAGUGUUUUUAAUUUUAAAAAUAUUUUUAAAAACAAAUUAAAUUUUUGAUAAAAUUUAAAAAAUCUUUUUAAAAAUUUUGAAAAAUAUCUCGUAAUAUUAAAAAAUAUAUAUAUUUAUAAUGUUUUUUAUAUAAAUACUCAAAAUUCAUUUAAUAGUGAUUUUAGGAAAUGUUUUUAAUAUUUCUAAUACUUGAAAAUUUUUUAUCAUUUAAGUAUUAAAAAUAUUAAAAACACUUUAUAAAAUCACUUUCAAAUGGACUCUUAAUGAUUUUACUAAAAACACUUUUCAUAGAAAACAUUUAUAAAAAAUAAUUAUGAAAUACACUCUAAAUUAAGUAAAAGUUGUUUUUAACAUUACCACUAUUUAUUAAUAGUGCAUUUGUUUAAAAUAUUUAUAUGAAAAAUUCAUUAGGGUGGGAUAUAAAUAUAGAAGUGUUUUUCUUUAUAUAUUUUUUAUAAUAAAAAAUGAUUUUUGAAAUUAUAAAAUUUGAAUUUAAGAAUCAUUUGAUAAUAAUUUUUGUUAAAGCACCUUUAAUACGUGGUGCUUCUAUUGAUAGCGCUUUCAUUUCUAUGAAUGGCUAUAAAUUAUAUUUGAAUAAAUUUUUUAUAAUGUAUUAUAUAAUAAAAAAAAAGUCAUUUUUAAAAAAAUUAUACAUUAAAUGAUUAUUCAAAUAGUAUUUCCUAAAUUUUAUUAAACAUUUUUUUCAAAAAAAAAAAAAAAGUUUUCAAAUACUAGAAAACGUUUUUAAUCUCUCACACGAUCACAUCCAAACAAGUCCUAAUGCUACUCCUAGAAACACUCCAAAACAAAAGUCUUCCUCUAUUAAUGUUCAUAAAAUCCACAUAUAUUCUUCCAUCGUUUUUUCAAAAUUCAAAAUCAUUUCUAAAACAUCAAAUCAUGUUCUUUGGAUUGGCUGACUUGUUUUUUGAAAAUAGAAGGCUCAUUAUUGACGUCCGUUGACUUCAUAACCCAGUCUUGAUCUCUUGAUGGAGGGCAUAAAUGUAAAUUGGACGAAACCCUAGGGUGCGCUAGAGUGUAGAGGAUGAAAGGUUGGAAAAAGGAUGAGGUGGGGGUGUAAUAAAGAGGAGGGUUGGGAGAAUGGGACAUGUGUAGGUGAAGCAUUAAAUUCAAGACUAUGCUUACCAACAACAUAUAAAUAAAUAAAUAAAUAAAUAUAGGAACAGCACAUGGGGUGAGUAGGAGACAUCAGAAGAUGUGAACAACCCCUUGUCAGUCCAAUUUGCGUCUUUUAUCUACUCUAUUAUCUAUAUCGAUUUUCGUAUUUAUUUAUUUAUUUAUUUAUUUUUACCAUUUGAUUUUGCAUGGAUGUCGAAGGGUUUAUUGGCUGCCACGUGUAGGGUUAUGGUCAAGAUCACGUGGGGUGCCUACAUGGGAGUCACGUGAGUGCAUGAGGCAGGCUUGAAUUGCAGGAGGAGCAGGAGCAGAGCAGUGGCUGUUGUCUUAAGACUUUGCUCUCUUGGUGGAACUGCAGCUUAAGCAGCAUCCACGUGUUGUCACGUGCAAUGCGAGCCAUCCACACCACCAGUUUCUUUUUAGUGAUUUUCUAAAGUCAGUUAAGGUUGCAGUCAAUACCUUCAAAUGUUGACAGAGUUAGGGAUCUUUGUUAAAUGGAUUUUAUUAAGAUAUUAGUAAGUUAAUUAAUUGAGGGUCAACAUAACAGAUGGGUCGGGUUGGGUUGAAUCUGAAUUUAAAACGAUUUAAUUUAUGUUUAAUCAAAUUUAACAUUUAACUCGAAGCACUCAACUUAAGUUUAAUUGAAUCUUAGUUUUCAAAACAUUAUUUAAAUUUGGGUCAUUUGGAUUAAAGUCAAAUGGGUUAGAUUAAUCGGGUUAUAUGGUUCAAAAUCCACUUACCUUAUUUUUUAUACAUUAAUAUUAAAAUUUAAAUAAAAAAUAUUAGAAGAAAUUUCAAACUUGGGAUUAGUUGAUUGUAGCCAUGCAUUUGGAUGUUGGUAUUCUUGUUUCUUGUCUUGUUUCCAAAUACCCUUUCAAAUCGCUUUGUUAUUCAAUAGCAUCCUCCCGAUCAUUUAAAAAUUUAAAGAGCAUUGGUAUGAUGGAGGAAUUCAGAAAUUUUAGUUGAAUAAGUAAAAUUUUUCUCUCAUAAAACCAAAUAGCCUCUAUAGCUCAGUGGUAGAGCGUCAGUCUUGUAAACUGAAGGUCUGUAGUUCGAUCCUGCAUGGAGGCAACUUUUUAUAUUUCAUGAUCCAUUAUGCUCUAGUGAUUUAGUUUUCAUUAUAAUUUUAGAUUAAAAAAUUACAUCAACAUUUGAUAAGUUGGUUAUGACUUUGAUAUAAGGAUGAAACUAUCAAUAAUAUAUAUAAAUAUUUUGACACAAAAUAUCUAAUAUAUUAAAAAAUUAAAAAAAAACUCUAAAAAACAUUAUAAAAUUAUAUAUAUAAUUUAUCAUAUUUAAUAAUAAUAUCUUCUACCCUAAUAAAAAAUAUAAAUUUUAUAAGCAUACAUUUAUUAUUACAUUGUAUUAUAUAUUAUUUUACAAGAAUAUUAUGAUAACAUGUCUAAUUUUAAAAUAUAUUUAAUAUUAAAAUUAUCAUCAAUUUUAAUUUAAAUGUAUUUAAUGAUAUCAAAUAAUAUAUAUAUAUAUAAUUUUUUAAUAUUUAUAUAUUUUUAUAUUUAAUAAAUAUAUAAAUUAUGUAAAAAAAAAAGACCUAUUAAGAAGAUUAUGUUUUUAUAUUUGGAUCAAAAUUAAGUUUUUCCGAUAAAAUAUAUGAAACUAUUGAUAAAUUAUUGAUUGAAACGUGAAAAAAAAAAUUCAAAAAAUAGAUGAGAUAUUAGUAAAAUAUCCGAAAAUAUUGAUUGAUGAAUAUAUCAUUUCAAAUUUUGCAUCAACAUCCACAUAUGUUGGAUAUAUUGGCCAAAUAUAUUUAAACCUUGUUUCCAUGAGAAGUCUUUCCUUCAACAAUUUCAAAAGGUUAAUGAGGUGGUUUCCAAGAGAUGUGUGUAGGGGUCUCCAACGGGCGGGCCGGGCCAGCGGGCUUUUUGAAAUAAGCCAAAAUGGCUUUCAAAAAAGGGAAGGGAGAGGAUUUAAACCCCUUCCUUCAUGCUUAAAUUUCAAGGUUCUAACCAAUUGAACUACAUUCCUUUAAUGUUUAUUAAUUGAGUUAGUUAUAUAUAUAUAUAAAAAUAAAGUAUAUUAUUUUUUAAAGGGGCGGGCCUACGGGCUGGGCCGGGCCGAAAGCGGGCCACGGGCCACGGGCUUUUUGGAGACCCUUGGAUGUGUGCAAUCACAUUUGGUAUUAUAGGUGACAAAGUUUGAUAAAUGAGUAAUUAUUAGGUUAACUUAUAAAAUCCGAAUUUGAUUUAAAUUGAUUCAUUUAAUAAUCCCAUUUAUUUACCCAAUUAAAACUUUAAAUUAUUUAACUUAUAUUUAAUUUAAUUAAAAUUUGUUUUUAAAUAAAUAGAUCAAUUAAAACAUAAACAUAUUUGAUUGAAACAUUAAUAAUAUAGAUUUAAAUAAGACCUAAUUCAACCUAACGAUCAAAUAGAAAUAUCUAAUUAUUAAAUAAAUUAAACAUGUUACUUGCUUAAUAAUUAUGUGACAUUUGAAUUUAUGCUUUUGAUAUAAUUAUUAUUUAUAUCAGGUUUAUAUAAUGAAAUAUCUAGACUUUGACACCAGUCAACAUUGUCCACCAAUACAGAUUGCAACUCUUAUAUGCUACAUCACAUCAUGUUGAAGGAAGAGGAUGACGUUCAUUGGCAGCAGAGCCUCCAAUCAUAAGGAGCUUGAGCAAAUUCAAUCUCAACACUGAAAUUCACUAGAAAAAAAGUUUAUUAUUGAUACUUCAUUUGUGUAAAAGCAUUAUAUUUCUUGCAUCAAUCGUAAAGCAUGACAUUCCAGUAGGUACGGAAGAGAAAAUUUGUUAUGAAUUGAAAAAUCUGUCAAGCUUAAUUUGGAGGGCCCAAAAUUGACACGUUUAAGAGCUCUAUCAUUAGCCCAAUGAUAAGAGUCCAUUUCUUGAGUUUCAAGGAAGGCCCAAGUUUAACUUAGAGGGCCCAAUCUUGGUACCUUCUAAAAGGUGCAAACUUUGGCCCAAUUAUAAAAGCUUAUCCUUGCUUCCUAAGCAUCAAUGAUAUAUUUGAUCGAAGUAUUCACAUAACUAUCACGAAAUGAAAUGAAAUGAAAAUGUAUAAGUAAAUGAUGAUUUUGAGUUAUUUACUGACAAUAAAGAAUUAGGUGGUGUUUGUUUUUUUUUUUUUGGCUUUUUACUAAAAGCAAUUUGUUUUCAGAAUUUAGGUUAUUUAUUUUUCUAUUUUUUCAUGACUUAUUAUAAACUUUUUACUAAAUAAGAAAAUCCAAAAUAUAUAGUUUUUUCUAAAUAGAAAAAAUAACAUAUUGGUUUUCUUUUUUUUUUACUUUUUAAUAUUUAAUAGAAAUAAAAUAUUAUAAAAACAAACAACCUAAUAUUUAACACUAUUAAGUAUUAAGGUUUUAUUUAGAAUUAAGUAAAAAAACAAACACUACCUUAAAAUGAAAAGUAUGUAUAAUGACCUUAUACAAAAAAAGUCUCAUUAUUUUCUUCCAAAGAACUCAUACUUUUGUUUUUCAACUAUUACUUUGUUUUUAUUUUUUAAAUAAUAUUUCAAGUUUUUUUUAAUAAUACCUUUCUCUUUAUUAGAUAAUUUUAAUGACUUUAAAAGUAUUUUAAUAUAUUAAUUUAUUAUAUAAUUUUAAUGAUUUAAAAAUAUUUAAAUGUUGAAAUAUUUAUUUUCAAGUCUAAUUUUAAUUAUUUAUUUUUUGAAGUAUUUAAAUAUAUAAUAAAUGUGGGAUUAUGUAAAUCUAGUUGUAAUUAUUUAUUUCAUUCUAUUCAUGUUUUUAGUUGAAUUUGCUCAAAAUUUACACCUCUUUAUUUAAAGAUCAUGGAUUAGUUAGGUGUCUUGAGAUUUUUUUUCUCUCAAGACACUACUUGUUACACUAGAAAAUAAUUUGUGGCUAUAUUUUUUAGGCAAAAAGAAUUAUAUGUUAAAACUUCCUUUAUUGACUAGUUUAUCAUAGGGUGUAGAGGAAAGUUUGUGAUGUCUUUUUAUGUCAACUUUGGGAGAAAAAUAUCACUUUAGCAUUUUCCUUAGAAAAUUUUCAUACAUAAUUGAUUUUGGAACUAUGGAGGAGCAUAAGUAGGGAUAGAUAAUUCGAUUUUGGAAAAAUUAUAAUAGCUUUUCAACUUGGUGUUAAUGAUAUAUUGUUUAUUUCUUAUUUUUUUUCCAUUUUAAUAUAUAAUUGGGGAUUUUAAACUUGUAGAACAAGGCUUUUUCAAUUGAAUUGACACGUACAUAUGAAAGUUCUCUUUGGUUGCUAAUCACAUUUUUUUUUCUUUUGCUUUUUGUUUUUAUCAUAAUGAAUAUUGAACUCGAAAUUCAGUUUUUAAAAUCUUAUGAUGUUUUAAAGUUUAUAAAUAUUAUUGAUUUUUAUAAAUGAUGUUAUUCAUAUCUUGGUAAAGACAAUAUUUUCAUAUCGGUCAAGAUGAUUAAUAACAUAUAAGUUCAUAAAGAAAAACCUAUUGAUUAAUGGAUAUUUAAUGAUUUUUAUUAGGAAUGUUUUUUAAUUAGUUUCAAUACUCAUCUUUUAGAGCAUACAUAUAGGGUUUUAGAUGCUACAUUGGUUUUCAGCUUGUGAUUUAAAUUAUUGAAGCAAAAAAUGAGGGUUUUGCUUUAUGGAACUAUCUAAAGGGAGGUGAAUUAGGCGGUCUUCCUUUUUAAAAUCCAAAAAUUAGAUUUUUAAUACUUAUAUUAGUUAUACAUGUGUUCAAUAAUUAAAACAAAGAACAAGUCCAUAAUUUACAUGUGAUGUGCAUGGAAAAACACCUACAAAUUCUCUCAAAUACUUUACAAAUGAAAAAAAAAUCAAGGAUCGAUCAAUCACAGAGCAACUUCACUAAAUAUGAAAACAUGACUAUACAAUUUUACUUGGAUGAGGUGCUACCUUCUCUUAAGGGUUUUUACACUAGCCAACAAUUACACUCACCUUCACUCUCACCAUGCACCUCUAUUGUGCUCCAUAGUAAACACUUUAAUGACUGUAGCAAGAUUGCGAUAAAUUACUGCGAUUAAUUUGAGAGUGUUGAUAAUGAACAAAAAAUAAUGAUAAUUAACUAGAGAGCAUAUGAUUUUGUAAAAACACCAAAAAGAGGCAUAGUUAUAAGUGAAAACUUUAAUGGAUUGGAUUGAAUAUAUAAUUGAAGUAUGAAUGAAAAAUUACCAAAACAAUGUUCAAAACCGUGCUAAUCAAAGCACAAUCACUUGAGUACUCUCAUGGGGCACUUGAAUGCUCCUUUUAAUCACCGUAAUGCUGAAAUUAAUAAUUUGUCUCAAAUUGUUUUUCCAAAACAUAAAGCAAAAUAUUAUAAAUUUAUAUAAUCAAACCCAAUUUCAUCUUAAAGCUAGCCUACUUAGUCUUAAUUCAUGUCCAAAAAUACUCAUACUUGUCAAAGAAUGAAUAUGGUAUAAACAAAUUCUUUAUUUUCAAUUAUAUUCAAUUAUUGAAAGAAUAAAUCGGUUUACAUACAUUUUGAACAAAGGUAUAUACACAUAGACUAAAUCAAGGAAAUGAGGAAAUCAAUCACAAUCAAAUCAAAAUCAAAUGAUAGGUUGAUAUCUAGGAGAAGGUUAAGUUAGAACCAACUCAUGUAUUCAAUAUUCCCCCUUAAGAUGGCAUAUGGAGAUCAUGAAUAUCAAACCUAGAAAGUAAGGGAUAUGAAAUAUCUAUACCAAGGGAUUUUAUGAAAUAUCAACCAAUUGUUGUUGUGAUUAAACAAAUUGAAUAAGAAUAAUUUCAUUUCGAAUCUUUUCAUAGAUCAAGUGACAAUCAAUUUCAACGUGUUUAUUCUGUUCAUGGAAAAUUAGAUUAAUAGCAAUGUAUAGAGUUGUAUUAUUGUCACAAUAUAGAUGCAUUGACCAAGGAUGAUGAACUCCAAAAUCUAUAAGUAAAUAUUGCAACCAAUGCAAGUAGUAAUCAUUAAAUAAUAUUUCACUUUUCUUCAUGAGUGUUAUAUCAUUGAUUGCUUUUUAGAUCUUCAAGAGAUUGAUAGGCCACCAAGUAAAAUACAAUACCCUAUAAUUGAACAUCAAGAUUAUGCACAAUAGGCAUGGAGGAAGGCAAAAGAAUUCCUUGACCUAGACGAUUUUUUAAAUAGUAUAACACUCAUGUACUUGUGAGAUAAUUGAGACUACAUUGGCUUGUCAAGAAUUUGAACAUAAUUAGCAAUAUUAAGCCCUAUCAUUAUGAGUCAAAGUAACUUCCCAAUCAAAUGCCUAUAAUAAGAAGCAUCCAACAAAGGUUCUCUAUCUAAUUUACUCAAUUCCAAAUUUUGUUUCCUAGGAGUUUUUAAAGUUACAUGUUCCAAGAAAACCAAAAUCUUUUAGUACUUCUAGAGCAUGUUUUCAAUAACUUAAAUAAAUCUCAUUCUUAAAAUAUGUCAUUUCAAUGAUGAUGAAGUACUUUAAUUUUCCAAUCUCUUAGUUAGUUUGAAAAUGCUAUAUAGGUUUUCCUUGACCACCUUAAUUCCUUUAAGAUCAUUCAUUGUAAUAAUUAUAUCAUAAAUGUAAACAAGAAUGAUUGUGAAAUAGUUAUUUGAGGCUUGAGCAAAUAAGAAGUAAUAUGUACGUCUUGGCUUGCUUGUAAACCAUAAACAUCAAUGUGAUAGAUAAUUUGGCAAACCAUCAACGUGAAGCUUGCUCAAGGCCAUAAAGGGAUUUUUUAACUUUGCAAAUCAUAUUUUUGGUUCUAGAUUUCCUACAAACUUGGUGGAAGCUGCAUGUAUACCUCUUUAUCUAAGUCUUCAUAAAGAAAAACAUCGUUGAUGUCAAGUUGGUGAAGAUGUCAAAUUCUAAUUAUACAAUAAUUAGGGGUGACAAUGUGUCUUAUCGUGUUGAGGUGAGAAAUAGUGAAAAUUUACUUAAUCCGACUAUGACCCGUUUGAUAAUCGUGUCAAAAUAACCUAACAUGAAUACAAUUAGUUUAUUUCAUGUAACAUGACCCUUUUAACAUGUUUAAUAAAUAUAUUAACUUGGAUUAUGUAUUAAUUGACAUGAAUAACUCAUUAACUUGAUUUCAACCCCUUAAACUCAUUAACACAAUUCCAACCCAAUAAACUCGUUAAUAUGAUUUAACUCAUUAAACUUGUUAAUAGGAUUAUAACCUCUUUAACCUAUUUAAAAUUUUAAAUUUAUAAAUAAUAAAAUACUUCUAGAAAGUUUAAUUUUUAAAAUUUGAACUAUAAUACAUGUAUGCACCAAUUUCAUGAAGUCCUGAAAAAUUAGCAAAAUUAUAGAAAAAUAAUAUAAACAAAAAUUUGUAUUAAAAUUAAUAAGUAUGGGCUACAAUAUUAGUCAUAGUACUGCUUAUUUCUGAAUGACUUUAUUAAAAAGCGAAGAAUACAUGUGUAGUUCUUAUGUGAUUUCUUAAACUUGUAAGGCGAUUUUAUAAAGUUUUUUUUUUCUUUGUGAAACCUCUUUUUCUAUGUGAAAUUGUUUUGCCGAUUUGAAAUCUUCAUUAAAGGAAGUUACUAUUAUUUAUAAUUGAAAUUAGAGAAUGAAAUGUGGAAUCCCCAUGAUUUAGUUGCUUAAUUCAAGGAAUUUGAUUAAUUGAUUUUGGUAACUUGUCUCAUAAAAUUUUCUAACAAGAAUAUUUAUUUUUAAUCUCUUUUAUUUCAAUUGGAAUAUUUGUUUCCUUUGUAAAUUUGUCAAUAGAAUAUUUAUUUAUUUAUUUAAUUCUCUUUUGACUACAAUGAGAAGAUUUGAUUUUGUUUGUAAGACUAAAUUUUAUAACCUUUCAAAUUUGGCCAAGUGACACCUUUUGAAUAUAUGUCACAUGUCAAAUGUGUGUGACUCAUUAGUUGUUGAACCUAAAUUUUCUUGAAUUAGAAAGCUAUACUUUUGAAGACUAAUUUAGUGAUAAUUUAAUUCAUUAAAUUUUUUUGGUGUCUACAGUAUAUUUAUAAUAUGAAAAGUAAAUUAAAAUUUUAAUUUUUUUACUUGUUUAUUAUUUUAUUUAUUAUUUAAUGAUAAAUAUUUUUAUUCUUUAUUGAAAUAUAUAAAAUUUUAAUUAAUAUUUUAAUUUUUUUAAUUUCUAUAUAUAAAAUAUAUAGAUUUAUAUGGUCUAAUUGAGUCAUUAAAAUAAAUAGGGUAAAUAACUCACACAUAAGUGAUGGAUCAUUCUAACAUGAUUAAAUUAACAAGUUAGAUGAAUUGAGUAGUCAAAUACAAACAUGAUUUGUUUAUUAAAUAAGUUAUAUGAAUUGAUACGAUUAUGACAUCAACUCAAUUAAACUUAACUCAAAUAAGCUUUGUCUUUUAUUUUAAGUUGUCUAGUUGUUCACACAAAUUUUCUCAAAAUAAAGAAAUUAUAUAUAAAAUUGUAAAUUUGAUUAUUUGAGGGGACCAUUUUCAAUACUCUUUUUUAAGUAAUCUGGUGUUUAAUUUUGAAUCAAAGGGGCUUUCAUUAACAAAUAAUAGACUGUAGUUUUCAUAUAAGAAGAAAUCUCAAGCCUUUUUUUCUUGAAGGAAUCUUUAAAUUUUCUUUGAUACUUUAAAAAAUCAAUCUUCUUUGAUUUUUUAAGAAAUCUUUGAAUUUUCUUAAAGUCUUCAAAAAAAAAAAAAAAAAAAAAACUGAGUUUAAGGAAUUUUUUUAAUAACUCUCCAAAUUUCUUUGAUAUUCCAAAGUGUCCUUUAGAAGGGGACAAAUCCUCUAUUUACAGGAUUGAGAGUUUUAUUUUAAUAUUAUCUCUUAAUUUUUAAGAAAUAACUCUCUUAUUUAUGAUAAUUACUAUUUAUUUUAUUUAUCAUAAUUAGUUGCCUAUGAUAAUUAUCAUAAUUAAUUUUUCUAGAGAUAAAUAAUUAUAUAUAUUUAAUUAAUCAUGAUAACUAUAAUAUUUAUUUAAUUUUUUAUUAAAUUAUUUUACAUAACAUAUCAAUAUAUAUUAUUAGUCAAUUAUUAACACCGAAAAUUAAUGAGUUGGCAUAAAAUUUAUCUCUCUAUAAUAGUAUCAAAGCGAGCCUUAAUAAUAACAUUGCUUAUAGUCAAUUUCACAUGCCAACUUUUUACUGGGCAUUGGCGAUUUCAAUUUUGAUAGUCCGGUUAGAAAAAGUAGGUAAAGAUUAUUUGAUGUGGUAGGUCAUUUCUUUCAUAAAGACGAUGGCGGUGAAUUCAUGAGACAGGUGAUAAAGGAGAGAUUCUUUCUUUUGGCUUUGGAAUUUUAAUGAGGUCCUCGAUCCUCAUCCAAAAUACACCUCUCCAAUUAUAAAAAUCUUAUUAAAAAAAAAAAGAUUUGACAUGUGCCUUUCGAACUGCUGGUUUUCUGUUCCAAAAAUGAGAAUGGUUUCAAGUGGAUGAAGGAAGGUGAAGAACCCUUGGUUUUGUUAAGCGAAAAGCCACAUGAUUAAAUAAACAUAAGGCGGCAAAGGCUGAAAAUUUAAAAUUAUACUAAGGAACCCACCCCACAGGGCGACUACACUUUUGGUGAAGCCACGAGAAUGAAAGAUAUCGAAGGUGACACCAAGACAUUAAGCAGCACCAAGGUUUCGAUAUAUUAUAAGAUGGGAUCUUAUGAAAGACGAUCUCUAAUCUCUCUCCAAUCUCUUCUUUAACCUUUUCUUACUUAAAUCCAUUUCCAUGGUAGGGCACAUGUCCAGCUGACCCUACCCCCUCACCUACCUAUACUGCUAUACCCUUUUGUAUAAUUUGAUAUGGAUUGGAAGCCACCCCAACAUCUUUCUAAUUGCUCGUAAAUGUUGAGGUGCCUUUCCAUUUUGAGGCUGCCCUAAUGUGUGGCUGAAGUACGUAGGAAAAAAAAAUUGUGAUACAUGCACUGACGAAUCAAAUCCCAAUGUCAAAUUAUUAGACUCACCUGGUUCUUAAAUUAUUGUGAAUGCCGCUGGCCAUGGAUAAAUGGAAUUAGUGCGUGGCUUAAUGAAAAUUUAUUUUGAAAGGGAUAUUAAUUUGAGAGAAUUUUGGCUGAUACUUGGAGUUGAACGUAAGCAUAUAUGACCUCAUUUCGGGUGUGAUAUUGUGCUUAUAACGAACCUUUCGUUCUUUCCAAUUCCAGUGGGUAUUAAAUAAUUAAAGAAUUCAUGGUUCGAAGGCGAAAGGUAGAAGACCAAAAAGGGAUUACAAAGCCAUCGGCUUGACCAUCCAGAUGCAAUGGAUACAAACUUUGGACUCUAUCGAAAGUUCUUUGGGCACGUGCCCAAGUGUCCUACCCAUAUGAUAAGUUACACGUGGCUAAUUGCGGACCGGUUGCUCGUGCUAAACAGGGUACUUUUUCUACGCAUAUAAGAUGUUUCACUAGUGGGGCUUCACCAUGCAAACUCAUGGAUGAAGACCCUGAGGCCAAGAUGAAGGAACAGAAAGAAGGCGGAGGAGAGGUUCGGUAUCGAGGCGUUCGGAGGCGGCCAUGGGGGAAGUUUGCUGCGGAGAUACGUGACUCGACUAGGCAUGGAGCGCGCGUCUGGCUCGGGACUUUCAAUUCUGCGGAGGAGGCUGCAAGAGCAUAUGACCGAGCUGCUUAUGCCAUGAGGGGUUCCUUGGCGAUUCUCAACUUCCCUAAUGAGUAUCAUACACCCGGCACGGCUAGCUCUUCAGCUUCAUCCUCAAUGCCCGAAGGUGAUCAGCAGGGAAAACAAGUCAUUGAAUUGGAGUACUUGGAUGAUAAGCUGCUAGAGGAUCUUCUCGACUCUGAAGACAAAAAGAACAAGAAAACCUGAAGUUUCUGCUGCCUCGAAUCCCCUGAAAUCUAGUGCUUCAUCGAAAAAAAAUCCCCUCGCUCCUGAUUAACAACAUUUUUAUUUUAGUCAAUGAAUGUGUUCUCGGAUCAUUAUAAGUAUUUCUGCCGAAGUCCAUUGAUUUUUGGAGACUGAAAAAUGUCAGAAAAAUUGGUGCGAACAGGUUUACUCCUUUCUAAAUUAUGCAAUUGAAGUAUUUGGAUUAGUGCGCAGUGUAAACAUCAAGGAAAGCAUGAUCCACUAUUUUAAGGAGCCUAAGUGCUUUCCCCUUUACUCUUUUAGGAUGUCUUUUCAGUGAAGAAAGUUGGGAGACCACCACUUACCCUUUUGAUUGGUAUAUAACUGCCAACUAAUAACUGGACUAACAUUUGGCCCGUCUGGCCCUACUUCUUUGACUUUGUUGUUAAUUUAUAACUUUAUGUGAAGUGGGGGCUGUUUGGGAAUGUGUGAAGCAAGGAUUUGAGCCGACUUCGCCUAAUCUGAUUCUCCAUAAGUGACUUCAUUUUAUCAUAUUGGUGUUUUUUUUCUUCUUCUUUUUAAAUGGCUGGGGAGGAGGGGAUUUGGGAGGGAUGCAAUGCCAUGGUUGCAUGCUGGAUUAUCCUUCCAAAUGAAACAUCCAUUUGGUUUCUAGUAACUAAUUGCAAACAAUUAAAGAGAAUAAAAUUUUAAGAUGAUUAAACAAUAAGUACCUAUGUCCAUGAAAAGGAGAGAAGUUCACUCAUGGGUGUUCAUGAAAGACAUCACAAAGAACCAUCAAUAUGAGAAGAAUCCUGAUACAAUUAACUUUCAUGCAUAAGAAAAGACGCUCAAAAAAGAAUAAUGCUUACAAGGAAAGAAUCUCACUACGAUCAACUGAAAAAAUAUUCCAAUUUAAUUGGAAAUCCUUACAUGGGAAGAAUAUCAAUAAAAUCAACUAAAAAAAUAUUUUAAUUUUAUAUCAAAAUAUUUGUGAUUUAACCCGUAUCAUUUCAUCAUGACUUCUUAUAAAUUUUGUUCCUUUUUAUCAACACCACCCCUUGAGUUGGAGCAUAAAUAUUUAUUAAGCUAACUUGAACAAGAUCUUGAGAAAUUUUGUCGCAGGAUUUGUUUGCACUUUUUUUUUUCAAAUAAAGUCAUAAUUAACUUUAAUAUGUUUAAUCAUUUCAUGAAAUACUAGAUUUUAAGCAAUGUUGAUAGCAUACUUAUGCCUGAAAGCUUUAUCCCAAAUCACAUGAGUACAUGAAGUGAUUGCAUCAUUAAUGGUAGUAUUAUUACUUUAUAUUCAACUUCUCCACUUGAUAGGAUGCAUGAAAGCAUUGUGCUUUCUUCUGUUUCAAGUAAUAAAGAUUAUCACCAAGAAAGGUGCAAUUAAUACCUAGUAACAGAGUACCUAGUGGUAGCAUGCACCUAUCCACUGAACUUGUACUCGACUCUAUGAGUGUACGUUACAUAGUCCUUUUUUCGAAGUCUAAAUGUCCCUUGAUAAAACCUUCUAAUAUUUGAGGUUUUGGUAACAUUCAUGUAUCAAUGAACAAAUUAAUUUACUAGCUAAACUUUAAAAUUAGGCAAUGUUUUUCAAUGGGUGAUCAAGAUCUUGGAAUUUUCAAUGUUGUUUGAAUAGCUUCCACACACAAGCAUAUUUUCUCCUAUUUAGGAAUAAUCCCUUUUUUGAAGGUGUGAUCUUUAUGCUCAAAAAAUAAAGAUACUCAAAAAUUUAAUAUUGACCUUCUCGUGAAGGAAAAGCUUUAUAACUAAUUUUUUUUGUGCAUUAUAUAUAUCCUCAAUAUAGACUUUAAAAAAAAAAGAAGUAACUCCCUCUACAAAGAGUGAAGAGUCAAUUAAACUUUUUUUUUUUUAAAAAAAAGGAACCAAUUACUCGUAAAAGUAAUGAUUAUUUUUACAUACCAAACUUGAGGAGAUUACUUAAGAUCACAAAAGUUUUUAUUAAAUUGCAAGCUAGAUGCAUUUGAAACGAUCGUUGAUGUCUUAGCAACACCUUAUGUAACUCAUCAAUCUUUAUGUAAAAAUGCAUUUUUAACACCCAUAUAAAAUAAUGAUCAAUCCUAAUUUAAUAGAAACAAAUGGUAAUACAUGAAUAUCAUUCAUAUUAAUGAGAAAAGUAAAUAUUGAUUUAUAAUCAACUUCUUAAGUUUGUGUCAAUGCCUUAAUCAUUAGUUUAACUUUGUCAUUCAAUGAUACCAUCAUUACGACAUUUAAUUAACUUAGAUUUGCGUAAAUCCCUUAAUCACUAGUCUAGCUUUAUGUCAUUCAAUGGUACCAUCAUUAUGGUAUUUAAUUGAUCUUAUACCCCCAAUUUGUAUACCCCAUGUUUUUCUUAAUUUACCAUACAUCACUUAACAAUGUUCCAUGCAUGGAUUUUGUUAAGUGCCUUAAGUUCCUUUUGCAUAGCCUUUCUCCAAAUUGGAUGAGGAUUGGCUUCAUUAAUGUCAUUAGACUCAUGAUAUAUGGAACUCAAACAAUUGUUAAGUGAUUUUGUAUAUAUAUAAAAAAAAAAUUGUAAUUAAUGUGGUAGGCAUAAAAAUCUCACAAAUGAGGAUUGAUUAAUUGUUAUAAUUGAGCAACAUGCUUGAGGCUUAGUCACAAUACUAGAACUUGAAGUCAGACAUUCUCUUCAAAUAAGGACGUAUAUACAUUAUAUUGGAUCUCCAUUAAACAAGUAAAGAACUAUUUAGUAGACAAUGAAACCUCAUUGAUCAAUGGUGGUAGAGAGACACAUGAUGACCAGACUAUUCCCCUGGAAAUGAGAAUAAAAAAUAUCAUUAGCCGCAAAAAUCUCAAAAAAAUUUAGAUAAUGGGAUAUAAAGAGUUUAUGAAUUUUACAAUCAUAACUCUUAUACUGGUUUAAGUGGUAGAGUAAUCAAGAACACAAAACGAGUUUGAUGAGUGGUUGAGAUAUGAACAAAGCAAAGAUUUCCAAAGACACCAAAAUCAGAAAUCUCAAUUUUUGGGCUAAGGAUUUCAAGAAGAAAUUUAAAAUUAACUACAUGACUAGAAAAUUUGUUCAUCAAGGAAAUAGAAGUAACGAUAUCAUAACAUCAUAAUUAAUCAAUAUUUUUAAUAACAUGCAUUUGGAACAUGAUAUACCGGCUUUCUAAUAAUCAAUGAUUUUUGGUUCAACCACACCAUUUUGUUUUGGGAUGCCAAUACAACAAGUUUAACGAANNNNNNNNNNNNNNNNNNNNNNNNNNNNNNNNNNNNNNNNNNNNNNNNNNNNNNNNNNNNNNNNNNNNNNNNNNNNNNNNNNNNNNNNNNNNNNNNNNNNAUGUAAGUGCCAAAUUAGGUAGUGUCGACAAUGAAAUGGAAAUUUUGGAAUAUAGAAACAACCUCAUUUUUAUGUUCUAAUAAGUAAACCUAUGUAGCAUAAGAAUAGUCAUUAAAAAAAAAGGUAACAAAAUGUUGAUUUCCAUCCUAUGGAUCAAUUAGGACACAACCCCAAGGUAAACUAAUUUGAAAGUUGCAACAAAAAUGGAAAGAGAUGAAAAAAUAAUAGAGGAAUUUAAGGUUGUUUCAAAAUUUCAAGACAUGCUAAGAAACACAUGAGAUUAUAGAUGAUUAGGUAACAACCUUGGUUAAGUAUAUUCAACAUAUAUAUCCCACGAGGAUAAAUAUCUUCACUAAACUUUUCCUAUUAUUCAAUCCCCUAAUACCAUACAAGUGAAAAAUUAAUGUCACGGUCAAAAAUUUUAAUAAGCUUCCAAAGAGAUAAUAAUUUUGGGGAAAAAAACAACCUAAGAAACCUAUGAAUUGAGAUAAUUUAGGAAAAAACUAAAUGUUCGUUAGCUCUAGAAGGGAAUUGAAGCUCAUCAUCAAUAAAGAUUGUUGCUAUCUCGAAUAAUAUCAAGUAAACCAUUAAGAUCGCUAUUAAUGGUAUGAUUAGCAGCACCAAUUAUCGACAAAAAAAUUAUUAAAAAUAUAAGAAAUGAGAGCUUUAAGAUUAUCUAAUUGAUUUGUAAACCUAGGUAAGUGAAUCAGUAUUACGUUUUGUUAAGGAAGCUUAGAUCCAAUUGGUAUCAUUCACCAAGUUAUUGGAUUAAAUUACACUAUCAAACUUUGGCUUUAAAUGAGAAUGAAGAAUCUAACCACAAUCCUUAUUGGGAUUAGAUAUGUUAUUGCAAUAAUGUUUACAAUCGGAUGAGUGCUAAUUUCUAUUGAAAUCAUGAAGCAAUCUCUGAUCAUUGGUCUUCUUUGUAGAAACAUGAGCAUUGAAUUUAAAAUUAAUAAUUGUUACUUGGGAUUCAACCUUCAUAAUCAUUGCCUGGGUUUCCUAAUCACUUUCAAGAAUUACUUAUAUAGUGAAGGCACUCGAAACUAAUCAAAUUUGUCCUCUUAUAAAGUUGUCAUAUUCAAGCUUCAGAAUAGCCAAUAAUUGAAAAACUUAUCAUACUCCGCAAUUUGUUGAAGAAUAUUUGGGUCUAUUGAAGGGGACAAUAUAGGGAAUAUUUGUCCCAUAUGCUCAAAAUGUUCAAUUAACAAAGUGUUCUGUAUGUUUAGGGAUUUGUUAGCUUUAAUUACACAAAACAUUAGCAGUUUUAGAGAAAAUUAAUUUUUUUUUGCAAUCUUAGGUUCCAUGAAAUUAAAAAGCCAAUAACAAGUCAAUAUGGCUUGAGACCCAGUCAUCAUAUUCAAAGUCAUCCAACUUAGAAGCAUUCAUUUUGCCACUAACAUGUGCUAAUUUCCAUUUUCUAUCUUUCAAGAGAAAAAGACUGCUCUUAACCAUGGCAAAUAAUUGAACCCAUUAAGAAGAUUGAGGAAAGUAUCAUAUGAGGGUUGUCAUUUUCCUCCAUGACAAAGAAAAAGCAACAGAGAAAAACUCAUAAUAUUAGAAAGAGAAUGAAAGAAAUUGAGUCAUAGAUACACACAGAAGAAUCCAAAAAUAAAGCAAUAAUACAACCACAAAUAUGAGAAGAAGCUCAAUUACAAAGAAAGGAACUCAAUACAAUCAACUAAAAAGCGUUCCGAAGUUCAUACGAAAAUAUUCAUAAUGUGAAGAUCAUUUCAUGAUUCCUACAAUUUCUUCCUUCUACCAGUCCACUCCAUACAAGGUUUGAUCAACAACUUCUUCAUUGAUUUUCUGGUCUCUCUCCGGUGUAUCAUAGAGCAUUUUUGACAUGUUUCUGCAAGAUACACUUGUUAACUUUAAGCGACAUAAGUGCAAAAAAAUAAGAUCAUGUUGUAUUGCCUGUGCUUCCACUCUGCCUUGUUUAGUACUAUUAUGGAGCAGUACUUCCAUAUAGAACCAGUGAUCUCCAGUUCAUUAUGUUGCCUUCUUUAAACUAACUUUAAUUAUCUAUACAUAUAAAACAAAGUGGUCCCAUCAAGGGGCUAAAUCAAGAAUCAAGUGGGGCGAACAGGAAACAGUGGCAUCAAUUUUUAAGUCCAUAAGCUUUAAUAAAAGGAAUAAAACCAAGGAUAUGAAUAUGUUAUUUUUUCAUUUGUUCAUGCACUGGAAGAUCUUUCCUCUUCAAGCAUUGAACCAGCAUCCUUCUGUGCAAGUUGCUGUCGGAACCUUCUAUAAUUGUCAGAAGUCUGUUUCUGAAAUAUACAGAUAAAACUUUUAGCAAGUCUUGACAUUGCUCAUCACUAGGACAUUGUACUAGGAUACCAAUUCAUCUAAUUAGGGUUAAGUUGGCAUCUCGUACACUAUUUUUUAUUUUUCCUUCAUCUUUUGUUCCCAUUUGCAGUGGAAGUGGCACUUAGAAUAUCUGAUCAUGAAGAAUUAGCUUUCGGUGAGAUGAUACUAGGUCAAUUGCCAUUAUCUUUUUGAGUUACUGUGCGAGCAAUCUUGAAAAUAUUUUGGGAUAAAUAGAAUUUGUGCUUAUCAUAAACAUGCUAAACAUCCAAAUCAAGUGCUUUUACUAUUGAUAUCAAAUCAGUAAUUGAUUUUAACCUUUAUGCUUAUCUUUCAGAUUCUCAAUUAUGUAUCUUGAAUAAUGAUAUUAAGCAGAAAUCAUGAAUUGAAUUGCUUUAAUUAACUGUGCCUUAUCAAGCUUGUCAGCAGUGCUAUUGCUACCGCGAAUCAAAUUCGCUGUGCUUCCCGCCUUCUCCAAAUAAGCCACAAGCCCAAUUAUAUCCGCCCUCCUCCCAUCUCCAAGGGAUCAAAAAAUAAAAUGACUUCAAUCAAUUUUCAAGUUUUCCAUCUUGAUCAGUAGACCACCCGGCAUGAAUGUUACCCUCAGUUUAGGAAUAGGAAUUCCUUUUACUAAUCAUUUGGCACUAAAAACUAUGACCCCUAGCAAUUCAUUCCCUCCAUUAGAUAUCUGGGGGCAUCUUGGCUCAGCCAAAAAUGAUAAGUCAUUGCAUUUCACAUUGCAUUCAUUUGUAUUAAUGAGCUAAUUUUUUUUCACAGAAUGUGAUGUGAAUCGAAUUACUUCCAACCAUGUGUCUCUAUAAGGGUUUAACAAAUGUAAUUUGCAUUGUCUGUACACUUUUUUUUCGGUUUCUUUUCUUUUUUAUGCAUGAUUCAUUAGUCCACGGAUCUUCUAUGCAAAGUGUGCAGGCCAAACACCUCCUUCAAUGCAUUAUUCUAGAAGUUAAGACUCAGUUUACUCCUUAAUUGAUCUGUUCCAUUUACUUCAAAUCAUUUGAUUACAUUAAAUGAAUCUUGAAAUUCAAAAAUGCAUCAAAGUUAAAAGACCUUCCAAUGCAUUAAGAAAUCAUCUGAUACAAAUAUAUGUGAACCUGCAACAACAAUAAUGUCAAAAUGGAAAACUUAGGUAGAAAAUAUUAGAACGGAAACUUACGACGAACUCAAUUUUUGGCGCCUUUCUUCUUCUCAUCUUCUGAUCCAAGAAGCUCUUCCAACACCGUGUCAUCCAAACACUCGAACUCAAUGACUUGCUUUUCUUGCCCAGAAGAGGAACCUCCCAUCUCUAAACUCCUACAAGGCCCAGAAGAUGACGAGGAAGACGAUGAGGAUGGUGAUGGUGGGGGGCGAUGGGAGCCCAUGAUUUCAGAAUAGUACUCAUUAGGAAAGUUAAGAAUGGCAAGAUGACCCCUUAAGUUAAAGGCCGCUCGAUCAUAGGCGCGAGCUGCAUCCUCCGCCCUGUCAAAUGUGCCUAGCCAUAGACGAGCACCUUGCCUAGACGGAUCCCUAAUCUCGGCUGCAAACUUCCCCCAUGGCCUCCUCCUCACCCCUCGGUAUCGAACUUCUUCCUUUUCCUUCCCUUCCUGCUCCUGCUUCUCAUUCCCUUUCGAAUGAUCUUCCAUGCUAAACGUGUCGAUUUGCUAGGCGCAAUUUUUUUGGUUUCAAAUGUGCUGGUUUACGAGAGGCAUGGAUGCUUAUGUAUAUAUAUGGUUGCCACAGUCAGGUCUGACGUCACCGCUCAAUGUAUGUUCCACAGCGUGGGUUGACGAGCUUUCUGAGGGGGUUUCCUCGAAUUCAAAGCAAGUAUAAAAAUUCGAUUCUCCGACCUUUCCAAUGAGGAUCGAACAGGCCUUUUAUUAGAACCGUAUGAUAACUCCACACUGUUUUCAAAUAGUCAAUGUGAUCUAGAUUCUUCGUUAAUUUUUUCCACCUGACUGAUUGUUUACAAUUUUAUUUUUCACCGUCCCAAAUUUAAACCAUUUACGCGAUUCCCUGGAUUGCAUUUUUCUUUAAUGUUGACUUUACGAGGCAAUAGGACCCCCCAGCAACCCCACUAGGGCGACUUCAUGGGAACCAGAUUACUUUUGGAUCCAGAUAUGGUCCAGAAGAAAUAAGACAAAUCAAUUAAUGUCCACUAAAGUUUUGAUGGAACCCUUAGUCCGUGUUUCCUGUGGAUGUAUGUAUUGUAUGCACCUCAAUUUUCACCAAUCCCUGCUACGAGUCCCUUUAAUUUUGACGUUAUAAAUGUUUUUCCUGACAUUAGCAGAGUGUUUUUCUGCCGUCUUUGAGGACCUUCCACGGCCCAUAAACUAAUAAGGAUCGUCCAGUGAAUUUAGUCUUCCCCAGUUAAUUAUCCUGCGAGGGAAACUUGGGCAGUAAGUUGCCUACAUGAGUGGCUCCCGCCUACAUGAGUCAAGGGACCAUACGUCAGGACGACAACCAGUGUGGUCACACCAAAGUGGGUUGCCUGGACUCCAGGGUGGUCGCUUCAAAGUUGUCAAAUGAAGGCUAGCUUGGCAAGUUUUGGAAAACAAUUAUUGAAAAACAUUUUUCAUGAAUAACAGUUUCUAUGAACAGAUUUUAAGAAAGUUUAUUUUGUGAUUUUUAGGAAUAUUUUUAAUUUAAAUUUUUAUAUUUUUAAUUUUUUAUUAAUUUAUUGAUUAUUUAAUAUUAGCUUAAUUAAUGGAUUUUUCUUGGUCCCAAAUUAUUAAUUUAUCAAGAUUUAAUCGCAUCCAUAAUUAGUCUAAUUUCUUUUGGAGUGAGUGUGACAAAGUGCAAAUUUCUAGAGUUUUAUUAAUGUUAUUCAAUGUCAUAAUUUAACUAAUUAUAUUAAUUAUUUAUUAAUCAAAAUAAAUCAUUCACUUGAAAUAUGAUAAUUUAAAUUAAAAGUUUCAAUUAUUUAUUAAUUAGCAAAGUAUGAACUUUUCUUCUUGUUUUAUUAUUGUUAUUCCAUGUAUAUAAUUUAAUUAACUGUUUCCAAUAUUAAUCAAUAAAAAUAGAAUAUAAGCAUGAGAAGAAUUAGUAAAAUUCAUUGAUUUGGAAUUAGAUAGCUAGAGGAAGAACUUCAUCAUCUUCCCAUUACUUAAAUUUGUAUAAAUUCUAAAUAUUUAAACCCCCCCCCCCCCCCCCCCCCCCAAAAAAAAAAAAAAUGGUAAAGAAAGACUCCCCAAGCUUUCUUGGUUGGUGUUACCCUAAAAUUUGUACAAUAAGAUGAACCAUUUGGCUUAAAGCUUGGUGCGAAACCCCUUAUCAAUUGAAAAUAUCAAUGAAGUUGUUGAAUGGUUUUAGAGGACUAUUCUUAUGCAGAGUGGCAUAAGAAGCGAGGAGAUGAAGAGCGGAGAGACGUUAACAUCGGAUGCUGCUACGAAGGUGGGAAUACGGUUAAUUAAUUAGAUUUUGUGAUGGCUUUGAGUUUGAAGGAGUUAGUUUAAUGGGUAUUAUUAGUGAACUGAUAAUUGGAUUUGAUGUAAAGAAGGUUGGUCCAUUGGAUUAGCAAUUGGUUUGGCCUUUUGGGGGCCCCAUUUCCAAAUGCAUUGCCUUUUACAAGCAUUCAACAUCGCUGGACGUAACCAGGCUUGGUUCACCUAAAAGUAUCGCAUGGAUUGAAUUGACUAAGUUUUCAUUGUAGACUAGCCUUGAUUUUCCCUUGACCUGCCCACCAAAUCCUGAUGCCCACGCGAGGGAAUACCUCAAUUUUCUAAUAAUUUAUGCAGUUUCUCUUCAAAGCUCGUGUGAUCACUUGGGUCGGUAAAAUAAUGCAUUCCUCUACUUUUUCUCCCUUCCUAGAUGCAUGUUAUACCAUUAAUUCAAAUGUGAACAUGGGCUUGGCUUUGAAACUUGGUUCAAGGCCCAACAUGUUGACCCACAAUUGAGGUGUAAUUGAAUUUGUACACUUUUCGACUUUGAUACCAUUUGUCAUUACCAUUGACAUUGGGUCAUUGUUGAUUUUGAGUCCACAACUUUUAAGGUUGUUAUUACAAUUUUAAAUUGCGCCCACCCAAUUUAUAUGCAUUAUCCCUUAUAAAUACCGAUAACCUCUCUUUCUUCGAUAAUAUAAAAUGUCACAUAUAUUAUAUAUCUCAAUGUUUUCUUUUACUUUUUUUUUUUUUAUCGAUCGACAUUCUCUCUCAGAUGAUAUGAGAUGUCACAUAUAUUAUAUGUUUCAAUGUUUCUUUUACUUUUUCUCUUUUUCCUCAUGAUUGACAUUGUCUUUCUCAAAUGAUAUGAGUUGUCACAUAUAUUUUAUGUCUCAAUGUUUUCUUUAACUUUUUUUCUCUCUUCUUUAAUGAUCGACGUUCCUUUUCUCAGAUGAUAUGAAAUGUCAUAUAUAUUAUAUGGCUUAAUGUUUUCUUUUACUUAUUCUUUCUUUAUUAAUAAUCGACAUUUUAAGCAAUAUGUGAAUAUAAAGCAUUAAAAUUAUCUCCAUCGUUUUUGGAUGUGGUAUAAAUACACAAUUCUUAUUUUUGUUUUAAAUAUUUCUAUUGCUAUCUAUUGAAAUUUUAUGCAUGAAGCUACCAAGUUAAUUAUACAUAUAUCUUAAGAUUUUUUUUUUUUUUUUUUAUAGGAUAUAUUGUCCAUGAAUAUUUUCUGCAAUGGUAUCUUGUUUGAUUACUAUAAGAAAUAAUAUAUAUAUAUAUAUAUAUAUAUAUAUAUAUAUAUAUAUAUAUAUAUAUAUAUAUUAUAUUUCAAUGUUUCAUAUUUGCUUAAAAUAAAAAUUAUAUUUUAUCACAAUAUUUGGUAUUAAAAAAAAUGAAAUCUCUCUCAUUUAUUAUUACAAAAAAAUUAUAAUUUAUAAUUUUCUAAAUAAGUUUUAUUUAUUUGCUAACUAUAUUCAUGAUUAAAAGAUUUAAAAUUUAUAAAUAAAAAAUAUUAUGUCAUGUCAUUAAAUAAAUAAAAAUAUAUGUAUAUAUUAAAAUUAUGUUUUAUUGUAGCUUUUAAUAUUUUUUUUUUUAUUCUUUUCUUUUUUGAACUACAAUUUUAAUUUUUUUUAAUCAAAAUUUUUUAAUUUACAAAACGAGUAACAUAAAACUUGCCUUUGAACUUUAUUGGAAUGUUAUAUACUACCAUUUGGCUUUCAAGACAUUAGAAAAGGCAUAAGUGUCCCUUUUAUUUUUCCGAAAGGCAUAUUAGACUAUAGUAGGAAGUGUUGUAUAGAGGCAACUAAAAGUUGCCUUUAACUUUAUGAAGUCAUAUACUCCUCUUUGGCUUUGAUGACAUCAACUAGCAAAUUGGAUUUUGUUUCCUUUGCAACAUUUUUCCAUCCAUUAGCCAGUUUUUUUAUACUGUUUGGUGCUUGCCAACAUGGCACACACUAUGGUUCUUAAAAAGUAUUUUUUUUUUUAAGAUACUACGAAAUAAAAUACACGAUUGAAAGAUGAGUCACAAUAAUUUUCAAAACUAAAUUUUUUAAUAUUGUUAAGAAAAUUUGACCACCAAAUGAUUGAUUUUAAAUUACAAAUACUUUUGUUAGCUAAGAAAUUUGUUGUUCUAUUUGUUUCCCUAUAAAUAUGACAACAAUCAUAAAUAUUUUCAUUUUAAGAUAAUUUUCAAAUAUCUUCCAUUAAUAAUAUAAUAGAAUUAGGAAUUUUUUUUUUAGUUAUAACAAUCUAUAAUUAUUUAAGAGUCUUCCUCAAUCUCUAGGUUUAAGAACUUAUUGUUCUUAACAACUAACAUGUCAUCUCUUAAAAUAAUACAUUCUGCAAUAAUUAUUGAAAUAUGAUAUAAUAUAUAUAUCUACUUACAACCAUUUUUGUAGUACCAUUAGAAUUUUUAAUUACCCAUUCUAAAGUAUUUUUAUUCUCUAUUCUUAAACCAUCAAAAUUUAAUUUAAAUCUUUCAUUAAUUGGAUAAAUCCAAUGAAUCUAACAAGUUAAAGGAUUAUGAAUCCGACAAAACAGUUGAUAAUAAAUUAAUAAUGCCAUUAAUAUGAUUUUAAUGUGAAACACAAUUAUCACAUUUAAUACAGUUAGUCCUUGUAUGAUUAAUGUUUUGGAAGCUAAAAUCAAUCUUUUGACUAUAAUAAGAGUUUCUACUAUUUCUAUUUUUGGAUGAUUUUAUAUUUUUCUUAUUGUUUUAGUUUAAUACAAAAAAUAAAAAUAAAAUUACAUUAGUAGAAUUUUUUUAACUUACUCAAAAACCUAUUUUAGUUGAAUGAUUUUUUUAAAAAAAAUAUAAAUAUUUUGUUAAAAGGGAUAAAAUAACCUUACCUUGUGAAAAAGACCUCUUCACCCAAGAUUACUUGUUCAUAAUCCUUUUAAGACGAAAAUGCCCCCUUCCUAAAAAAUAUUUCAUCUUAAACUUAUUUUUCUUUUUAUUGCCCUUUGUUCCAUCCUUCCGGCUUGGGAGAGAAAUUCAUUCUUCUUUUGCGAAGAAAAAUUCCUAUUGCGAUUUUUCAUUUCAAGUGGAAAAAAAAAUUCUUAUUUCAUUUUAAAGAAAUUGUACAUUUUCAAUCUUUCUCUUUGUUCCUAGUUGAGGGUUUUUUUUGUAAUUUUAUCUUAACACUACAAAUUUAAAGGUGAGAUUAAAUCUUAAUGGUUAUUAGUUAAAUCACAUAUCUAACUUUGUUUUUGUCAGGACCUAUAAUAUGAUUGGAACCACCAUCCAAACUUCAUUAGGUGGGAUACUCCCCACCCUCCCCCUCCCCCCGCGAAAUCCUUGGAUUUUAGUUUUGACUUGGAUUUCAAUUGCCCGUAUCAAUUUUUCUUUAUUUAUUAAUUUAUUAAUUUUCAACUUUAACAAAAGCCUUGAAUCAUAUUUAAAUUCAAAUAACUUAAUCCUAAUUAAGUUCUUUUUAAAUAAAAAUUAAUCAUUGAAAAGUUCAUGUGACUAUUAUAAUUGAGAAUUUAUCCCAAGUUGGGUUUUUUGCAAAUAAAAUUUUAUUAUAGGACAUCAUGAUGCAACAUAACAUAAGGUUGUUACUUAAGUUUGUUUUGACCUUGUAAUAUGUUAAAAUGAAAAUGAAGCCAUUGUAACAGGAGAGAAUGAUGAAGCUGUGGAGAGAGCUUAACAAAGCUUGGGUUGGAGAGACUUCACAGGAAGAGAGAGAGAGAAAUAAAGGGUAAAAUUAUCAAAAGAGAAAAGAAAAAAAAAAAAAAAAAAGAAGGUUAUGUCUUCAAAUAAUCAAUAAGAGAUGUCAUUUUUCUAAUUUUCAAAGUUCUUUUGGUCCUUCUCUACAAAUAUCCCUAUAAAAAUAUUAUAAUAUCAAGUUAAUUUGUCAAUACCAAAAUUUAUAUUUUAUAUUAGGGCGACUAAAUAACAUAUAGAAAGAAUUUUAAAUGAGUAAAUCAAAUCAAUUUUGAAACCAAAACUUAAUAAUUACCAAACUUGUAAUCUUAGUCAUUAAAAGUGUACGAUGAAAUCUAAAUUAUUAAGCAAUGAAACAAAAAAUUAAGAUUAAAAUACAAAACGUUAAAAUCAAGAUACAAACUAUUAAAAUGUAAGUGGGAUAUGAGAUGAUAUUAUAAAAAAUAGUGUGAUCCAACAAAAAGUCUAGUACAUCAUUAUCUUCACUUCCAACCAUGUUUAAAAGGUCACAAGUUCUAGCGGUUUCCAAGGACAAUGUUAAAAAUAAUAAAAAUAAAUCCAAUUAAAUAUUAAUUAAUUUAUUUGAAUUUGAGUCCGACAAAAUAGUUGGUAAUAAGUUAAUAAUGCCAUUAAUAUGAUUUUAAUGUGAAACACAAUUAUCACAUUUAAUACCCGUUAGUCCUUGUAUGAUUAACUUUUUAGAAAUUAAUAUCAAUCUUUUGAUUAUAAUAAGAGUUUCUACUAUUUAUAUUUUUGGAUGAUUUUAUAUUUUUCUUAUUGUUUUAGUUUAAUACAAAAAAAUAAAAAUAAAAUUACAUUAGUAGAAUUUUUUUUAACUUAUUCAAAAAACCUAUUGUAAGGUGAAUGGUUUUUUUAUUUUUUUUUUAAAUAUAAAUAUUUUCUUAAAAGGGAUAAAAUAACCUUACCUUGUGAAAAAAGGCCUCUUCACCCAAAUUUACUUGUGCAUAAUCCUUUUCAGACGAAAAUGCCCCCUUCCUAAAAAAUAUUUCAUCUUAAACUUAUUUUUCAUUUUUAUAACCCUUUGUUCCAUCCUUAUGAUUUGGGAGAGGAAGUCAUUCUUCUCUUGUGAAGAAAAAAUUCCUACUGCCAUUUUUCAUUUCAAGUGAAGAAAAAUAUUUAUAUUUCAUUUUAAACAAAUUGUACAUUUUCAAUCUCUCUUUGUUCCUAGUUGAGGUUUUUUUUUUUUUUUUUUUUUUUUGUAAUUUUAUCUUAAUUGUACAAAUUCGAAGAUGAGAUUAAAUCUAUAAUGGUUAUUGGUUAAAUCACUUAUCUAACUUUGUUCUUGACAGAUCGUAUAAUAUGAUUGGAACCACCAUCCUAACUUUAUUAGGUGGGAUCCCUUUUUUUUUUUCCCCAAACCCUUGGAUUUUAGUUUUGACUUAUAUUUCAAUUGUCUGUAUCACUUUUUCUUUAUUUAUUAAUUUUCAACAAGUUCUUUAACAAAAGCCUUGAAUCAUAUUUAAAUUCAAAUAACUUAAUCCCCAUUAAGUUCUUUUUAAAUGAAACUUAAUCAUGUGAAAGUUCAUGUGACUAUUAUAAUUGAGAAUUUAUUCUUAGUUGGGUUUUUUGUAAAUAAAAUUUAGUUAUAGGACUGUGAUGAUCCGUUCUCAACCGUAUAAAUAUUGUUCGUUUUGAAUUCAAAAUAACUUUUACGGCUUUAAAACAUGUUUACAAGAUUAAGAGGAGUCCAUAUUUAUAUAGCUUCACGAACUUUCCCCCCUAUUCGAUGUGGGAUGUCACAAGGACAUCAUGAUGCAACGUAUAACAUAAGAUUGUUUCUUAAGUUUGUCUAACCUUGUAAUGUGUUAAAAUGAAGAUGAAGCCAUUAUAACAGAAGAGAAUGAUGAAGUUGUAGAGAGAGCUUAACAAAGCUUGGGUUGGAGAGACUUCAUAGGAAGAGAGAGAGAGAGAGAGAGAGAAAUAAAGGGUAAAAUUAUCAAAAAAGAAAAAAGAAAAAAAAGAGGGUGAUGUCUCCAAAUAAUCAAUAAGAGAUGUCAUUUUUCUAAUUUCAAAGUUCUUCUGGCCCUUCUCUACAAAUAUCCCUAUAAAAACAUUAUAAUAUCAAGUUAAUUUGUUGAUACCAAAAUUUAUAUAUUAUAUUAGGAUGACUAAAUAACAUAUAGAAAGAAUUUUAAAUGAGUAAAUCAAAUCAAUUUUGAAAUCAAAACUUAAUACCUACCAAACUUGUAAUCUUAGUCAUUUAAAGUGUUCCAUGAAAUCUAAAUUAUUAAGCAGUGAAACAAAAAAUAUAAGAUUAAAAUACAAAACGUUGAAAUCAAGAUUCAAACUAUUAAAACGUAAGUGGAGACGUAAGAUGAUGUCAUAAAAAAUAGUGGGAUCCAACAAAAAGUCUAUUAAUCAUUAUCUUCACUUCCAAUCAUGUUUAAAAGGUCACAAGUUCUAGCGGCUUUCAAGGACGAUGUUAAAAAUAAUAAAAAUAAAUCCAAUUAAAUAUUAAUUAAUUUAUUUGAACAAUAGAUAGGACCAAAAUAAUAUUCUAAAAGGAAUCAUAGGGAAGUCCUUGGACAACCUACGACAUUGAACAAAGGUACAGUGAGACAAUGCACUUAGCCCUUCCUUGUCAUUGCGAUGAAUAUAAAAAGACACCCUGAUUGAGGGUGCCCCACUAAGCCAAGAGUGAUUCUUUUGUAUUGUAUAACGUGAAUAUUUUUGAACUUUGAAUGACCCUUCCUAUAGUCAUCAUUGUCAAAACUAGAAAAUCAGAAAGAUGCGAUGUACGAAGGCACCAUUGAAUAAGAGGCUUAAUUCUCUUUGGCAAUUAGGAUAAAGUUUCAAAAUAGAAAAAUUAAACAAAUGUACAGUGUACGGACACUUGGGCAUUGCCUAUUUGUUUUGUUCUUCUAGAGUUGUAUAUGGUAAAGGUCAUAUUGGGUUGGUUCUAUUUGGUUAUUGAAGUCGGCUAGAAUAUUAGAUUUGGUUUCAAUCUAAUCCCAUAUGAUAUUAGAAUACCAGCCCAUACAGAAUUUUUGACCAAAUAUAAUAUUUCUUUUAAAUAUAAAUAUAGUAAUUAAUUUUAGUCUAAGAUUAAUUAUGUAGUUUCCUAAAGAGACCACUUCCUAAACGGUAGCUAUGUGGAAGUUGGGCCAGGUCCUGCCGAGAAGGUUUCCACGAGCUGAGCCCAAAACUGAGUAGCUGUGAUGGGAUCAUUCUAGCAUUCAGCCUGAAACUUGUAACAUAACGGAUCGAGAGGCCUGAACUCCAAGACCAUGGUUCGUCAGCCCAUUAACUUCAACAGCACGCAUUUUAGAGGACUGGGCUUGCAAGGGGUGAGGUUUCCGGGCCGCGACCCCAAAUAUGAACAGCCUCAGAAGUGAUAUUGCUUACUGGCACGUGAAGAGCGCAAGCGUAACUAGAAGAUUUGUAAUGCCGCUUUAAUUGUUUGAUUAUAGAAUCCCACGCAUUACGCAUGGAAAGUGUAAAAGAUAAAAGAUGUAGAAUUUUUUCUUAGAGAAAAGUUCGUUUGGAUAUAGUUAUUGUUUUUUUUUUAAAUAAUAAUUGUUUUUUUUAUAAAUUAUAGAUAAUCUUAGAAAUUUAUCUUUAAAAAAAUAGUUUUUAAAAAUAUUUAAGGAGAAUAAAAGUGAUAAAAAAAAACUUUACAAUUUCAAAUUUUUAAAAAAUGAAAAUUAUUUUUAAGAAUAUAAGUUAAUCUCCUGCAUUUAAAUCUUAGGUGGUUUUUGUUUUUUUUACUUUUCGCUGAAAACAAUUUGUUUUCAAAAUUUAGGUCAUUUGUUUUUUCUAUUUUUUCAUGAUUUAUUAUAAAUUUUUUACUAAAUAAAAAAAAUCAAAAUAUGUAACUUUUUCUAAAUAAAAAAAAUAACGUAUUGAUUUUUCUUUACUUUUUAAUACUUAAUAGAUAUAAAAUACUACAAAAACAAAAAAUCUAAUAUUUAACACUAUUAAGCAUUAAAGUUCUAUUUAGAAUUAAGUAAAAAAACAAACACCACCUUAUAUUUUAUAUAAAAGUUACUUAUAUUUUGGUUUUUGGAAAUAAAAAAUAUAAAGCAUAUCCAAACAUGAGCUUAGCUAUUUUAAAUCAUAUCAAAAUAAUAAUCCCAAUAAGGUAAAUGGACUUUUAUACGGAGAAUAAUCUUUAAGGUUUUCAUUUUUAUUGGAUUUUUUUUUUGUGGUGUUUUUUCAAUCCAUCUUCUCAAUUAAUUCCUUAAAAUUAUUUUACUGUUUUUUUUUUUUUCAGUUUCUAAAUAUUUGAUUUUUCCAAAAUGCUUAAAUGGAAGACACUAAUUUUUCAAGAUAUUUGGUAUUACAAUUUUCCCUGUUCUCCCUAUUAUCUAUCAGAUUCAUGGCCCUUUUGUUUUUUCAUUGGUUUUCAAUUUAAUUUUCCAAAUAUUACAUUGUUGUGUUUUGAAUUUGUGAAACCAAUUUUAUAUAUAUAUAUAGUAUGUAAGUCUACUUUGGGUAACAUGUACAGAGAGGUUUUCAUGUGUUUGAAACCUUUUACCUCAAAAAUUAAUUAUUUUUAAUUUUAUAAUAAAUCUUUUUUUAUUUUUUAUUUUAUUUAGGAAAGCCUAUAUUUAAACUACAUGUUUGCAACGCAACACCAUACAUACUCCUAGUGGAACUUACCUUAGUGCUUGAGGGGGAUGCAGAUCUUCUUCUAAACCUAACUAAUAAGCAUAAAAUUGUUCACUAAUUAGCAUAUCUAGUAAAUCAUACAAAUUGGCAAUAUUUCAUGUUUUUCAUGUUUUGUCAAUAAAAGGCGUCUUGACCAUUUUGUGAGUUUUGUAAUAAAUAAAAAAAAAAAAAAAAAAAGGGCAAAAGGUGACUAAAAUGAGGCACUUUGGAAAGGUUAAUAACCUAAAAGGAAGAUGAAUUAAUACCCCCUUAUUCCUCUUCAAAAACCAUUGAGAAAAUGCAAGAAAUGCUCUUAGUUGUAUGCUAGGCUAACAGCCUAGCAACCAUAAUACCCUUCUUUGCAAUUGUAAGCAUUUUUUUUUUUUUUUUGAAGGCCAAACAACGUUGCAAACUUCCCAAAUCCCUUCUUUAUUUUUUAUUUUUUUAUUUUUGUUUUUAGAAGGAGAAUGAAUUUGAUGACAAACUCCUUGUCAAUCUUAUCCAAACCACGAUCGAACAGAACUCCUUGUCAAUCUUAUCCAAACCGUGUUCCACCUCAAAAACAUGUGUAGGACUUAAGGCAGCAACUGGCAAGCAUGACUGAUAGGGCCAAGUGCCCUUGUCUCUACAAUCCAUUAAGUUAACCAAGGGCAGUGAACCAUCAUUCUUUUCAAAAGCUUCAUUCCGUGUUGAAAAUGUGAGACUGAAGCAUGGUGCCCCCAAAAAUAACGAUCUAUUUACUAGCAGCAUGCCUGGACCCAUUAAAAAUACUCUACUUUAGGAAUAGAAAAAAUUACAUCUUUAUCCAAUAAUUUUAUAACAAUUCAGACGUUUCAGUCUAUAAAUAAUUGUACAUAGUUGCCAACGUUUAGCUAGUUUCAAAUGAAUAGCCUAGGUUCAUGCACCAGUUUGGCUGGUGGAGGAAAGGGAUUCGAGACAUUGAACCCUCUUUUUAGUGUGCCAAAUAUUCCACAAAAAUCACUACCUUCUCUUUGUGUUUGUUCACUUUUAGUUUAUAUUUAAUAAAUCUAUGUUUUCGAGUAGAGGUUGGGUUCAGGUGCGACCCACGUCACCUCUCGGACGGUCUUGAAAAAGGAGACCGGACCACGUAAUUUCAAAUGUAGUGACCAUCUCACUUUUACCUCCAUCCUUGAAGAUGGUUUCCCAAAUCAAUAUUAAUCUUUUGUUUACGACAAUAUCGAUCACUUUAUGUCUAUAUCGUUGUUAAUUUACCUUUUUUUUUUAGCCACAUUAUUUGAAAAUUGAUGCAAACUUUACCAACAUCUUGGUACCAUUUUAAAAUAUUAGAGUUAUUUGAUUAAAAAAAUAAAAUAAUCUCGAUAACUUGUUUAUAAAAUAAAUAUCUUUUAACAUUUAGACUAUUCUCACGCAUGCUUUAAAAUUGUAAAGAUAUUCAUAAAGUGGAACUUUAGACUUAAUCAAUAUCGAUCACUUUAUGUCUCUAUUGUUGUUAUAUUUUUUUUUUACAACAUUAUUUGAAAAUUGAUGCAAACUUUACCAACAUCCUAAUACCAUUUUAAAAUAUUAGAGUUAUUUGAUUAAAAAAAUAAAAUAAUCCCGACAACUUGUUUAUAAAAUAAAUAUCUUUUAAUAUUUAGACUAUUUUCACCAUGCUUUAAAAUCAUAAAGAUAUUUAUAUUCAUAAAGUGGAACUUUAGACUUAAACAUGAUAAUAGUUUUUUUACAAUAUUAUAAUUAUUUUAUCGUUUUAAUUAAGCCCUUUAUCAUACAUAUAAAUGUAAAUUAAUGCUAAAUUUUUAAAGCAACGUAUAACCUUUUACAUCUUUUUUUAAGAUGGUGCGAAAAUCCUAUGAAAAAUAAUAAAAGUCGAUGCAUAAGAAGAUUGUUUUGAUAAUUCAAUAGAAAAAUUCUUUUAAAAUGAUAUUAAAAAAUACCCAUAGAGCCUUUAUUAAAAAAAUCAAUUAUUUUCAUAAUAAAAAUUAUAAUUUUUUAUUAUGUAUUAUUAUUUUUAAGUAUCUUUAUUACAAAUACUUUUUUUGAGUUUAUGAGAGGAAUCAACAGGUUGGUACAAGCUUAGGCGUCCUCGUACAUGUUCCCGCUGUGCAAGGUUUUUGUCUUGUUUCGAGCUAGUCGGAAUUUACGUGUUUGAUAACGUUUUGUCCUAUUUUUGUAACGCUUUAAAGGGCGGCCCACCGUUGGAACAGUUCAAGCCAUCCAAAUCAGCCCGGAGGGUUAUGGCGACGUGGCAUGACGCCUACCACCUUAGUUCACAUGAACCCUAUGAUCGUACUACCCUCACAUGACAUCUGUGAUUCUUCACCUCCAAACCCUCUUUAACUUGGUAAUGUAUUCAAAGCUUCAUCAAAUCAUAGCGAUUAGCGACCCUCUUCCACCCUAAUUUUAUAAUAAAAAAUAAAUCUUAGUGGACAUUAAAGUAGUAUUUUGUGGGGGGAAAGAAAAACUCUAUGGGCGUAUCCACUAAAUACGAGCCAAGUAUAAGAGUUAUCACCAUGGAAUCAAAUUAUGAAGCAUUGACAUUUUAAUUGUAUUCAGAUUUGAGGAGGGCACCGCGGCACCAGCUGGCCCAGUGUAGUCUGCUAGCCUACCCGCCAUAAUGACCAAAUUAAUAAAGUAAAAAGGAUUACAGGGAUAUUCCCAACUUUAUUCUGGGUCUGAGCUGGAACUUGGGAGUUAUCACGAUCAACGGGAAAGAUGGUGGGUAGGGGACGAGGAUUGAGGGCUCCAUAUUCACAUCAGUGAAAAACGAAAUGUAUUGAGACAAGUCUUCUAAGGAUUUUCUAGCGUAUUAUAUGGUUUAAAUGAUUAUAAAUCUGUAGUUACUGGUAAAGAGUAGAGAGUGAAGACGAAAGACGUUGAGUGAAAAGGAAGGAGGAGAGGGGAUGGGGCCAUCUUACCGUGUCGGGGAGGAUCCAUAAAAGGACUACGUUCCCUGAAUCUGUAGGCAUCAUGCCUCGCCUAACGGGUUAGUCAAAAUACAGUGAUGUGUGUGAGUUGGGGGCCUCACUCCUCAUUUCUUUCCUUCUUUUCACCCCCACCCCCACUUUUUUUUUUUUUUUUUCGAAUUUUUCUUUGUCCUUUUCUCUCACUUGCGCACGCGGGAGAAGGACCACAAACUAGACAAUUCCUCUGCUCACGUGACCCCGAGUUUUUAAAUAUUUGCCUAUUUGGAAAAUAGUCAUGAAUCAUGAUCGUUAACAAACAAUCUUCACUUUAUUUAUUUAAGAUCUAUUUUUUGGAGCUCUAGUUUAGUUUAUUAUUAUUAUUAUUAUUAUUAUUAUUAUUAUUAUUAUUAUUUAGUAACUCCUCUUAUAUUAAUGAAAAAGAGAGGAGGAAUCCAAACUUGUUUAUUCUUCCUCUUUUAAGGUGUUUGUUUUUUUUAUUUUAUUUUUAUGCUUCAUAUGUCUUCAAUUUCUUAGCAUUUGUCUUAUAUUUCUUCUUAUCCGAUUCAUUAUUGCAUCCUUGGUCAAUCUUUCACGAGGAGUGCCUACUUUUUUCCUUUUUAUUAUUUAAUUCACUUUAUCUUUAUAUUUUCCUUUUACACUUUAUUUCCAAUUCAAAACGUGUCAAAAAAAAAAAUUGGUAACAAAAAAAAAAAAAAAAAUCAAUUGUAAUGAUUCUUAUAUAAUUUUAUUUAAUUUUUAUUAAACAAUAAAGAAAUUAAAAAUAUAUAAAUUUUUAAAUAAUUAUUAUAGUCUUUCAUUUUUGUGUAUAAUUUCUUUUGCAAGAAAUAGUGUAGGCUUUCCACGGUCUAAAGGAAAUGGAAUAUCAAAUGAGAAGGUAAUAAUAAUAAAGUGAGUUAUAGAUACUAAUCAAACUAAUCCACUAAUGAAUUAUUUAUUUUUAUUUCACAUGGACAAAUCCUAAAAGUUGGAGUUCUAAUUUACUUUUAUGUUAAGCUUUUUUAAGUAAAAAUCUUUUAUUAUUAUAAUUUAUAGACAAAAAGAAACCCAUUAAUGUGAUGGAUAAAAAAUUUCAAUUUAAAAAAAAAAAAAUUAAAGUUGCUAAAUUUUUGUAUUUAUUAUUUCAAACUCAUUUAAAUAAUUUAAAAAUAUGUCUUCAAUUAAUUUUAAUGAAACAAAGCAUGAUUUUUUUUUAAUUUUUUUUUCUUUACCAAAUAAAGCAUUAUUAUAAUACGUUGAUUAAAUUUUCAUCAUGUCUCUCAAGAUUUGGAUUAAAUAUACUUAGUUGUCAUAAAUUUGAAAUUUUAUUUAAUGUAUUUUUUAUUUUAAAUUAAAAAGAUGAAUGCAAAUAAAAAAAAUAUGUAUAUUUUAUAAAAUUUUAAAUUAAACGAAGGAUACGUGUAUUUAACCAAGGUGAAUGAAAUUAAUCCAAAUACUUUUUGGUAACUUGCAAAAUAUCUUGACGAAAUCAUUAUGGCAGGCAUCGUACAAGCUCAACCCUUGUCGCCUUGCUAGAAAUAGAGAAACAAAAAGACCCCCAAAUUGGGUUGCAUCCUAAAUAUGAAGAAGUGGUAACAAAGGAAGAAAAAAUGCUGUGUUAUUGAAUAGUUAAUACAUUGAACAUGAUAUGUUACAUAGAGAGCCAGAUUAAUCCUAGUGGAAUUCCACUGUCACGAUGGUAACCUAGGGUUAUGUUUGGUUAUUGAAAAUACCAAGAAAAGAAAAAAAAAUAUAAAGGAAAAUAAUUUUUUCAUUUUUGAUUGUCUUAUAAAAGAUAUAAAAAAAAAACAAAUAUAAUUAAAACUAAUUAAAAAUUUAGGUAUUUUUAAAUUAUUUAAUUUUUAUAUUAAUGAGCGAAAAUAAAUAAAAUAAGUUUAAAAUAACAAAAAAAAUAAUUUACCGAUUUUUAAUCUAUAUUUUAUUUUACUUUUUCUUUGUAUUUUUUUUUUCUUAUAUUUUCCCUCAAAUUUUCUGAAUCAAACAUAGCAAAAAAGGAGCUACCCCUUUCGAAAGAAACUCCCAAGAAUUUCAAAGAAACCUGCUGAGAUAAUGAAUGAGGGAUCACUGUCGGUAAACAGUAUCCAUUCUUUUGGGAGGACUUUCAAACUGAGAAGUUGUUUUCAUGACUUGGAAACAAAAUUUUGAGCUCUAAGGGGGUCUGUAUUUGGGCCCUAAAAUUCAAUCCAUCAAUCUGAAAAAUGCUUAGGAUAAUGAUUUGAUUUAGCCACAAUCACUAAACAAAUUCCAGAGGAAAAUUUCGCUACUCAUAGGUGGCUGAUUCUCAUAAAAAGACAUCGUGGUAGGGUGUCUCAAGUGCAGGCUCACCAUCAACUUGCUGCCCUUUUUAGAUUAUUGUAAAAUGAUUUCACAUGAAGCCCAAUGCAAAACUUUGAAAGAAAAGGUUGGUGGAGACGUGAAGAAUAUGUAACCCAUAGGCCAUAACUAGUACCGAAGAUUAUUGAACAAACAUUCAAGGUUUUUGUAUAGACGAAACUGAAAAGAAUGUGUACCAGACUCAGGCGUUCAGAUCAGAUGAUGCCGUAAUGUGGAUUGUGGAGGAGCAUUGUGCAGACAGAUAAUGAGAUUCUGAAAGCGAGGCCACUGAUGGGCCCUUGGAAGGGGGGCGUGCCUUCAAAAUUAUAUAUAUAUAUAUAUAUAUGUCAUUGAAAAUUGGAAGCAACUUUUCUUCUUAAGUUAUUUUAAUCGAAGAAGAAACAAAAAGUUAAAAACAUACAUUAUUCUUCCUUCUUACGAGGUUUCCGGGUCUAAAUUACUAUGGUCUCUGCAACUGGCGUCGUUUUCUCUCCCCUCUCUCUAUUUUCCCUUUAUUUUUUCACUUUUAGAAAGAAGCAUCCCAUCAAGAAUCUACUACAACCCUACGCUUCCAUUUUGAUUUAGAAAGUUAAAAAUAAGUUUAAGUUAAAAAAAAAUAUUUUCUUAUAUAAUUAUUUAAACUUAUUUCUUUUCCUUUUUAUAUAAAGAAACAAAUAUUUUGCAAAUAAAUAAAUUUCUAAUUAUUUUCAUUAACAUAAUAAUAAUAUUUUUCAUAUGACUUUAAUCACAAUUUUUUUUACCACUUGUCCAAGGCGGUGAGAGGUGAUAAAAUGUAUUAAAAAAACGAUUAAAUUGCAUUAGGUAUAGAAGUUUUGUGCUUCAAUUAUCACUUAUAAAAAUAAAAUAAAAAUAGUCAAAUUUGAGUGUGCAAGUUGGUAUUCGUAUGUAGAAGGAAUUGGGGGAUUUGGGGGUCCUAACAAAUUUGAUAUGAUUGAUGGAAGGAAAUGAUUAUUAUAGGAUAAAGUCCGAAUGAAACGCUGACGAGGGGGGAAAAACAACAGUGGCAAUGCACUAUCCACAGAUCCAUGAUUGAUUUAUGUUAGCAAUAAUGAAUUAUUUUGACUUUGAUAACCUUGGUUAAGAGAAUUUGGUCUUGUUAUUAUCAUUUUUUCAAAAAAAAAAAGUGUAGGUAACUAGGUAGUUGAUUUAUUAGAAUUUAGAAAUGAGGAUCCCCUCCUCCUGCAAGAGCCGUGACAGACAUGCCUGCUUUCUUGCCAGAUUAUACCAAUGUGCCCAAAUAAUCCCCCAUCUAUCAUCUCUGCACCCUGGAACACGUCACUCCCUCCUUUGAGCAAUAAAAUAUCUCUUUUAUUUUCUUUUGAACCACUCUUCUAUUUCUUUGUACCAGACUGGACCCAUUUAAAUUCUUCGCUACGCUGUUCCCAAGGACUACGAGAAUCAAAAUAGCAAAAUUCUUGAAUCAUUUUAAUGGGUUCAGAAACCACAUGUUUCUCUAGAUCAUAAGAGGAAAAUCUUUUUGGAUGGUGUUUGUGUUGUGUUGUGUUCAAUAUUAAAUACUCAAUUAAAUAAGCUAAAUCAAAUAUCACAUGAAAAAUAAUCAAAUUAAAAAUAGGGAGAAUUAUGUUUUGAGGGUAGAUGGACCCCAAAUUAACAAAAGGUUCAUGUAACUCUUCAAAUUGAGCCCAGACCCAAUGAAAAUAUGGAAAUUGAGUUGAAGUAUAUCAUCAUUCAGUAUUUCCAAAAAUGUCCUUUGUUGAUUUUGAGAAAAAAAUUAAUAUUUUUGAAAAAUAUUUUUAUGUAAUUUAAUAUUUUUUUAAAUACUUUUAUUUAAUUUAAUAUUUUUAAAAAAUAAAUUUAUUUAAUUUAAUAUUUUAAAAAAUAUUUAAUUUAAUAUAUUUUUUAAAUACUUUAAUUUAAUUUAAUAUUUUUGAAAAAAAUUUUAAUUUAAUAUUUUUGAAAAAAAAAUUAUUUAAUUUAAUAUUUUUUAAAACUAUUUUUAUUUAAUUUAGUAUUUUUGAAAAAAAAUUAUUUAACUUAAUUUUAUAAAAUAUUUUAUAUGUGUUCUUAAAGGGUAUAUUUGUCCGUUACUAUUUCAUAUCCUUCAACUCAAUUUAAAGAGUUAUAUGGACCUUUUGUUAAUUUGGGGACCCAUCUACCCUCAAAAGAUAAUUCUCCCUUAAAAAUAUAAAUUUAAAUAUGACAUAAUUAUUAAAUAUGUUAGAUCUUGUAUGAGUUUAUAAGAUUUAUGUUUCAAAAUAACAUGUUUAUAAUUCAUCUAUUGAUUUAUAAUCAAAUUUUAAAUAAAUUAAAGUUAUUCAAGUUAAUAAAUAUGAUUUAUGUUAUAAAGACUAACUAAAAAAUAAUUUAUUAAUUAAACGGAUCCUGGUCAAUAAAAAUUUGAUUUAAAUACGAUCAUACUUAAUCAAAACUUAGGUCAAAUUGUAUUGAUAAAUUACAUCAAAACCUUGUUGUGUUCAAUAUUUUAUAUUAAACUAUUUUUUAAUAAAAUUAUUUUUAUAAAUAUAAUAUUACAUCAUUUGGAGAAACAAAAUAGUAUUAUAUUGAUUUUACAUAUAAAGCAACCAGUUAACCCCUCAUUAUUUUGAUCCAUUUCACAUCCAUAUCAUUCUCAUAAUUUUUUUAUAAUAUAUUAACAUGAUGGACGGUAAUUGAGGGUAGAAAAAAAAGAUGAGAAGAAUAAAAUAAUGUGAAUCCUCUCUAAAUGUUACAUCUUCUGACAAAUGAAGUCUAUAGAAAUGUGUAAAAAAAAAAAAAACACUUAAUUGUGAGGUUCACUUGAUUUAGCAAAAAAUUAAUAUUUUAUUUGUUGUGUGAUUUAAAAAUAAUAUUUUAUUUUUAAAAAUAAAAAAUUAUUUUUAAAGUUUUUUAACACUAUUUUACUAUUGUUCUUUGAAAUAAUUUUUAAAAUUAAAAUGAAAUAACUAAUAAUUUUUAGAUAAUAAAUUAAAGUUGUUUUUAUUAGAUUUUAAAAAUAAAAGAAAAAUAUAAAACCAUUUGAUCAAAUUUUUUUAAACUUAUUUUUAAAAGGUUUUUUUUUUUUUUUUUUUUUUUCUAUCCUAAGUUAAAAGAUAAAAAAUAAUUUUUAAAGAUAGGUUACGAGCAAAUGCCACAAACUUUUUUCUUCUCUUUCCCUUGUUCGGAUAGAAGUGAAAAAUAUCCUCCCAUGGAUCGACAUUACGUGAGCCAUCACCAUUCCCCAACUGCAAUUCAACCGCCAAAGCUGAGGUGUCAUUAUUAGUUUGAACAAAAGUCAGCAUUGUCCACGUGGUGACAAGCGGAACUGACCCAACUUGCAAGGCAAAAAAAUAAAUAAAAUAAAAUGAAAAAAUCAGAUCACCAUUAUGACGUCAGUCCAAUUGCUGACCUGGCCGCCGUCCCCCAUUUGACCCACGUGUUCAUUUAACCCAUUCGCCGUAUGCCGUGGCUCCCCACCCAUAUGGCCAUAUCUGCCAUUUAUUUUAUCCGUUGCCUCCAUUCGGUUUUUGGAUUUUACCCAUUCGCCCUCGUCUAUUCCCAUUUCCGUAUUUGCCCACCAAGGAAAUUCAAUUCCCAUGCUUUUGUUUUACAUUCAAAUCCUCCCCCCUCUAUAUAAAGGAGGGAGUAGGGCUUGAAAGUUUCUCAAGCCAACAUGGACUGUUGAGAGUGAAAGACAGAGGAGCCACAAACAAAUAUCACUCACUCAAACCAAAGCCAAAACCAAUACCGAAUUCAAUUCAAAUGACUUCUUUCUCUCUCAUCAAUUCCCUGAAUUCCGAUUCCGAUUUCAAUUUGUUAUCGGAUUCUUUUUCCUGGGAAAACUCCCUACCUUUCAAUGAAAACGACUCCCAGGAGAUGCUCCUCCUGGGCAUGCUGGCCAGCUCCACUCAGGAAACCUCAGAAACAGUUUCUUUGAAUCGAGUGAAGGAGGAAGAAGUGACUUCCCAGGAAAAUCCCGAGAAGGAGAAGUCAUACAGAGGCGUUAGGAGGCGGCCAUGGGGGAAAUUCGCAGCAGAAAUAAGGGACUCGACCAGGCAUGGCAUAAGGGUGUGGCUGGGAACAUUUGACAGUGCAGAGGCAGCUGCUCUGGCCUAUGAUCAAGCUGCUUUUGCGAUGCGGGGCCCUGCGGCAGUCCUCAAUUUCCCGGUGGAAAGAGUGAAGGAAUCGAUGCAGGAGAUCAAGUGCAUCUUGGAGGAGGGGGGCUCACCAGUGGUGGCCCUCAAGAAGAGGCACUCUAUGCGGAGAAAAAGUCCUUGCAAGAAACAUAAAAGUGAAGAGGUGAGGUUAGAAAAUGUGGUAGUGCUGGAGGAUUUGGGUACUGAAUACUUGGAACAGCUCCUCACUUUCUCUGAGACCUCUAGUCCUUGAUCAUCAUCAUCCAUCACCUGGAUAGCUUCUUCUCUUUGCUCUGUUUCUUACUUUUCUCUCUCUCUCUCUCUCUCUCUCUCUUUUUUUUUUAUGUAAUUUUUCUUAAUGUAUUUUUGGAGAUGGCGGGGGUGUAGUGGUGGCAAUUAUCCAUCUAGAAUUUUUCAAAAGAUAUGUUCUUUUGUUUCUUUGUAUAAAGUUGAAAAGUGGGGAUCAAUUGUGAUGGUGCUCUAUGUUCAUCCACCCAAUUUAUAUAAUCAAGGUGAUUAAUGUUUUUUGAUAUCAACAAUUUGUGAAUGACAUAGAGAGAGAGAGAGAGAGAGACCUUAUUUUCUACACUCAUUACGGUGGUUUCCAUUUGGGGAAGGAAAAGGAAAUGGCUAAGAAUGUUACCAAAAGAAGUGGGGUGGCUUUCAUAUGCGUGGUGGCAUACUUGCAUACAAACUUUUCAAUUGUGUUCUGCAUGCCACUCGGGUCAAUUUCAUUUCUUUUACUCCUAGUAGCCUAAUUGGAUUUCCUUUUUCUCAUGAGACAUCAAAUAAAUUUCAUUUUUUUAUAUUUAAAUAGUUAGGUAAGUUUGAUAGUGAGUUAUAUUUUAUACAUUAAUUCAUCUUUUAGAAUGUUGUCUACAAUAUAAACAGUGUAAUUAAUUUCAUCAUUACAGAACAGUCAUCUUAUAAAAUAACAUAAAAAUUAUUGGAUCACUUGUAUGGCACCACUGAUUUGGACUUGGUAUGGCUCUGUUUGGCUUCAUAGAAAAAAUUUGGACCCAAUUUGAAUGUCUUGCAUAAAAAGAGAUACGUCCCACUUUGAAUGAUAUUGAAGAAAAAAAUUUCUGAUGAAGAAUAUAUUGUUGGCAGGGUCAUGCAGGCCAAUAGGGAAACGAUAAAUUCAGAAGAAUGAGUCCAAACCAGUGGGCUUGAAAAUUAAGAAGAGAAUUGCUGUAUAAAACAAUCAUUUCUUAAUCGAGUUCACUUUCUGAAUAAUCGUCACUUUGAGAAUGCAUACUUAGGAAGAUGAUGAUCCUUAAUGGGAAUAAUCAAAGGCAUCAAAAAAUUGUUCUGGAACAAUUCUUGAUUGUCUCCAGUAAAAUUCAAAGUCAAAAGUCAAAAGUCCAGUCGGUCAACACCAAACCAGGCCAGUCCAAAAGACAUUAAUUUGCAAUCUAGAAUCUAUGAUGAGGUGGCGAAAUCAAACCUUGGCUUUUCACCAGGGAAUGGUACUCUGAAUUUGGUCAGUUCACUGUUUCGAGUGAAUAGGGUGUAGUAAUUAGUAAAUCAUAUUUUAGAUUUGUGUCACAAGUUACAAGGGAUAUGGGCUGACGUUCAAUUUUGGCGACAAUUUGUGGGCCCGUAUAUUUGUUGAGAUGUGGAAAUUGGGUGUGUGCUUUUUUCUGCUACCACAUAAAUAUAUUUCUUUGAAUUGAAGAGUGUUUCAGACCAUUUUUUUUCAAGUCACAAAUGGACAACUGAUUGAGAUUGUAUUGGUGAGAGUAGGAGUUUAUUUUGGGCUGGUUGAGCGAAGUUGAAAGUCGAGUUGGACCUAACCCUUGAAUUCAGCAGACUACAGUCCGAUCCUGUAUUUUGGAUUUAGGGAACCUUCUUUCCCAGAAGCUUCGUCUGGGUUUUAAAGUCUAAAUGUGGCUACUCUUAAACAUUGGAGAAAGGAUGAGCGUUCACAAGCAAAUGGGUAAUUGUGGAUGGUUCAAGGACCUGGCCAGCUGGUCUUCAAGUUUGGAUGCCGGUUUGGGCCUGAGAGAGUCUUUGCAAAGUGACUUCACUUCAGCCUAUGAGAUCAAGAUAUCAUGGUGAUGUCCGAUCACUUAGGUUUCAUUUUCACCUCGGAUUACCGUUACCAUGUUCAUGAAUAAAAAUAAAUAAAUAAAUGAAGCCUUAUAGAGAAAUUAAUGAAGUGAGCUAUACAAGCAACUGGGCCAGGAGCCUACAAGGCAGAAAUUCCCUGCCCUAGACUAGGCCGAAUAAAUUAGAUGAAUGAAUUGGGGAAACCUGGGCCAGCCACACAUCCUCCUGAAGGCUGAUGUCGAACUCGCUUACGAGGAAUGGACAUGGGAGAUUGGGCUGGGACCAAAUAACCAAUUGACAGCCCUAUCCUUGUGGCAAGACGUCAGUAAAAUGGUUCAUUCUGAUUUUACGCUGCCAUUCAAUUUAAUUUUAAUUUUUGUUUAAAGCGAUGUACAAAUUGAAUGGUGUCUAGUCACUUAAAGAGUGGUUCAUAAUACACUUAAUUUAAACAAAAAAGAAAUUAUUAGAUAGGGGAUUCUCCAAUAAAAACCACCCCAUCUUGUCAGCAAGUCCGGAAACUUCCUUCACUUAGGGCGUAUUUGUUUUUUUAACUUUAAUAUUAAAGAAAGUUGGUUAAACCUUAUGACACUUUUAUAUUAUUUUAUGAAUUUUUUUUAAUUUUUAUUUUAAUGGAAUUUUAACUUUAAUACAAGUUGGAGUAAUUCUUAUCUUAAAAACAAAUCAAAAUUACUUUAAUUUUAUAUAGAAAUAAACUUACAGUAAAUUUACCAUGAAAAUUUCUAAGUCAAAUACACCAUAAGUGCUAGUAUUUUAUAAUAUUUAGAAACAUGUUAAAUUAUUAUUAUUAUUUUUUAAAAUUAUUAGUUUUCAUAUUAGUUUUAGGGAAACUUGUGCUUUAGGUCUUUUAUUUGCAAAUAAUAUGGUUUUCAAAUCCUAAGAAUAGAAAAUAUGAGAAUCAACUGUUAAUGUGGAAAAUAAUAUCAAUUUUGUGCAAUCUCUAUUGACUCAUUUUUUUGUGCCUAGAUUGCCUUCACCCACUUCCAUGUCAACAACCACAUUAAUAGAUUGUUUUUUUUUUAUAAAACAAAUAAUUAUUAUGUUUAAAAUUUUGGGGAAACUCUCUAUCUCUCUUACUUCUUCACUACAUCCGAGACCCAUCUUCCUUAAACGUUUGCCUCUCAUUUUGCCCUAACCCCAAAUCUCAUAAAUUUCUCAUUUUCUUGCCUCAUUUGAAAUAUGAAGAUGACCGAUUCUCAAACAUCUCUGUCUCUCUCUUCACGUUUUGACCAGUCUAAUUGGAAACCCAUUUUCCAAAAACCUUCUUUCUUUCAUUUUGCCCUAACCCCACUAUCUCCCUCUUCAAGACCUAAUCACCCAAACUCGAUAUCUAUCUUCCCAAAACCUUCAAGCAAACUGAACUAGACCCAUAUCUUCUUUUUUCAUCAUCAAAGGUGAAAUUUUUUUAAGGCUUUUGGAAACCGAAUUGGAGCUUUCCCUUCUUCUGGGAUUAAUCAUUCGCAAGUGAGUUUUCCAUUUAAGGCUUUGUUUGGCUGUUGAAAUCUUGGGAUCAAAGGUCUUUUAUUUUCAGGUUUCUUGUAUUUUGCUUUAUUUUCUUGUAUAUAACAAUAAUCAUUGUAACAUAUGCUAGUAGUUACCCUUGGUGCAACUUUACAUUUCCAAAUACCCUAAAGUCCAAAGCUUUUAAUUCCCUUUUCAAAGCUUUCAACUUUGAAAGCAGACUAAACCAUAAGAACUAUGAAACUUAUAUCUCUAUCACCACUAAUUAAGCAUGUCUAUGAAUCCUUCCACUUUAAGUCACUUAUUCUCAAACCAAGAAGGGCUCCUCUCAUUCUCACCCCACCUCAUCUAAAUGAGGGAAAUGAUCAAUUGCAGCCAUGCUUUGCACCAAAUUAGAGAAGUGAUCCUCCCAAUCAUCCAUUACCAAAAAUUGAUCAUGCUGAUGAGAUCAUAAGAGUCUAUUCGGAACUCCCAGUUUACUUGCCUCUUAUCUCAGGAUCCUCCAUUACCCCCUGUCUUUCCAACAUCAAAUCAACUUGCAAACAAUUCCUUUGUAGAUAAAAUGUUUUUAAUAUUGCAAAAGGGGACUUAUCAUAAUGGUUGAAUCGAUUUAUUUGAUAUAAUCACUCAAAUUCAAGCUUAAAAUUGAUCAUAAUAAAAUGUUUUUAAUAUUGUUAAAAGGAGAUUAUAAUGGUUUUAUUUGAUAUCAUUACUAAAAUUCAAGCUUUCAAACAUGCUCUACAAAGAAGUUCUAAAAGACUACAAGAAAGAGUUUCCACUAAAGAAAAACAAUGAAACCAUUUCUACUAAAGACAAACAAUGAAACCACAGAUGCUUUGUGAAAUAUGUACCCGCACAAUCCAACAAACUUUAGAAAUUCACAAACACUACCUAGAAUUUUUGCUGACCAGCAAAAAAUUUAUGCAAUUUAAUUCUUAUUGUUAUUAUUAUUUUCAAUGUGAACAAAUAUGAUUGAAUUAUGAAGUAUUUGGCCAGAAGAGGAUCUUGCCUAAUUAUAGUCAUUAAACAACCAUUUAUACCAUAGCCUCUAGACUUUAAAAAGUUUAUAAAACUCAAGGGCUUCCACCCAAUUUCUAGAUAUCUCCAUAACAUUCUUCUGACUAUUAGAAAGCAAUUACCACUUUAAUUUUUCAUUUCAUGAGUGUUCAAUUCAGAAAAAGACCAGGAUCGAACUUGCGAUCAUGCAGUCGAAAAUCCACCUGUGCAUGAAACUAUUGCCUCACGAUUGCAAACUCAAGUUGGAGUCCAGUAACAACUCUAGGUUUGCUGAUGUGCUCCAUUUGAAAUAAAGGAACUAAAGAAUACUUUAUAAAGAUUAAUUACCUUCAUAUUUUAGGUUGGGGUUAAGGCAAAAUGUGAUAGAUUGAGAGGAAGAAAAUAUAUCUUGUUCAGGAAGCCAAUAUUUUGGAGUUCACCUUUCCAUUCGAGUCCACUCUGCUAUAGCAAAAUCAGAGUCACAACUAUGCCUCUUUAAGCUAUCCUUUAAUUGGAUGAAUUGCAGAUUUGGUUGCUGAGAAAGUGGAUAAGAAAGAAAAAUGCAUACUGUAGCUUGAGAUUAAGAGUUUGUUUUCUAAAAUGAGAGAAAGGGAAAGAGAAAAAAUGCAUAUUGUAGCUUGAGAUUAAGGGUUUGUUUUCUAAAAUGAGAGAAAGGGGAAGAGAAAUGUUCGACAACUUUGAGAUGACAAAUUUUUAGAUUUGGAAAAUUUGAGAUGAGUCUCAGGUUUUUUUUUUUUUUUUUUUGUCUUUGUCUUUGUUUUUUUUUUUUUUUUUUGUUUUUUUCCCAAAAACAACCUGUUAAUGUGGUUGUUGACAUAGAAGUGGGUGAGGGCAAAAUGGGCAUAGAAAAAAGAGUCAACACAAAGUGCACAAAACCCAUAUUAUUUUCCACAUUAAUGACUGAUUCUCAUAUUUCUUGUUCUUGGGAUUUGAAAACCAUAUUAUUUGCAAAUGGACCUCCCAAAGCACAGGUUUCCCUUAGUUUUAUGUCUCCAUCUACAUUUUACAUAUAAAUAGAUUAUUUUAUAAAAUUUGUUUUGUAGAUAUAUUAGUUAAUAAUUAUAUAAUUAAUGAUAUAGAAAACAUAUAAAAAUCAUAUUUAAAAAAGAUAAUUACAUAUUCCUCAACAAUCCAUCCCAAGAAUUCGAGGUUGAGUUGAAAACAUGUAGAGUCUUUGAUGUUAUUAUAAUCAUAUCCAACACAUAUGAUUAUUGUUUAUGAGAUAUUAUUAGAAAGUUUGUCUUAAAAUAAUUGAUUUAUUACCCACCUUUAGCAAAUGCCCAUUUUUGCGUCUUUCAAAAUUUUCAUUUUUUUUUUGUUUAAAAGAAGUAUUGUAAAGAAUGAUGAAAUAAGAAAUUUGUUGAGAAAGUGUGAGUAAAUAAUUUUACAUAAAAAGAGAUUUAAUACUUGAUAAAUAAAAUAAUAAAAUCAUGAUUUCUAGUUGUAUAGGGCCGGGUGGAUGGAGUGGCUAAGAUGUAAUUCUUGAAAUAGAGGAGACAACAUCAAUGUAUAAAAGUUUAACAGAGAAGGAAAGUGUGUUUGAAUGACUUUAUUUUCUUCAUUUAAAGUUUUGACGAUGAGUGUUUAUACAAGAUAAAUUUUCAAAUGAUAGGACUCCUAUUUACAUGGAGUUUGUGAUAUACUAUGAUUAUACAAAUUUAAAAUUCAAACAGAUUCAUGAGUUGAUAGGAGUCUGCUCAAUACGCCCCUUCAAAAUGGUGGGAGAUAGCACACCAAUCUUGACUCGAAGGGCCUAAACUCGUGCAGAAGAUGAGGGCUUUGUUAGAGCAUCGACAAGUUGAUCCGUGGUUGACAUAUGGGACACCUUGAGCUCACCUGAUUAAACCUUGUUUCAAACAAAAUGAAAAUCAAUCGCCGAUGUGUUUCAUGGAGAGUGAAACAUGGGAUUUGCACAAAGAUAUGUUGCACCCACGUUAUCACAAGAGAUAGGAGGUGGUGAUAAAUUUGAAACACUAAGUUUUGAGAGAAGAGAAUUAACCCAAAGAACCUUUGAGGCUGUAGAGGCCACGACGUGAUAUUUCGCUUCAGUGGAAGAGCGUGCUAUGAACUUUUGUUUCCUCGAUGACCAAUACACAAGAUUGUGACCAAGAAAAACAAUGGGAGCAUUGGUGGAGGAUCUGACAUAAGGAUUCCUUGCCCAUUCAACAUUCGAAUAUGCAUGUAGAUUGAUGGGCGAUUUCUUAUGCAAGAACAGACCAUGCACCAUUGUGCCGACUAAGUAUCUAAGCAAUCUUUUAACACAAGACCAAUGUGUUGAUGUUGGAUGGUGCAUAAAUUGAGAUAAUUUAUUCAUCAAGAAGGUGAUGUCAGGGCUAGUAAGAGAGAAGUAUUGAAGGCUUCCAACAAUUGACAUAUAUUUAGUGGGACCAGGAAAAGAGGUGUCAUCACACAGAUUUGGAACAUUGUUGAGGAACAUCAAUGAUUGAACUGGUUUGGUAGCCACCAUUUGUGUUUUCUUAAGAAGCUCUCGAAUGUACUUGAGAUAAAAAUAAUCCUUUGGAAGUAUGUAUCAUUUCAACACCAAGAAUAAAAGAUGAAGUCCUGAGAUCCUUAAUGGAGAAUUUGACUGCUAAUUGAGAGAUCACGCGAGCACGAAAAACAUUAUUGUUACUUGUUAAAAUAAGAUCAUCAAUAUAAAUAAGUAGGUAAACAAUGAGACCACUCUUUUUAAAAAUGAAGAGGGAUGUCUCGGUUUAGGAGUUGACGAAGGCUAUUGAGAGGAGAAAUUGGCAAAGUUCAUGAUACCAUGAUCGUGGAGCUUGUUUAAAGCCAUAAAAAGCCUUACAAAGUUGGCAAAUGUGAUGAUGUGUGUAUUCGUGAACCCAGGAGGUUGAAUCAUGUAAACAUCUUCAUGAAGUGUCCUAUGCUAGAAUGCAUUAUUAAUGUCCAAUUCAUGAGUUGAUAGGAGUCUGCUCAAUACAAUGUGGGAGUGUGAUUUCAAAAUUAGGGUAAUUUCGAAAUGGAUUUUGUAUUCACAAGUUGAAUUUCAAAAUUAUUUUGAAAUGGUCUUUUAACUUUAAGCAGUUGUGUUCAAAAGGUCAUAACUUCUUCGUUUCAAUUUUGAUUUACACAUUGUUUAAAACAUUGGACUCUUUACUUCCCGAGCUUCAAAACGAUAUAUAGUAUGCUCAAAAAUGACAUCAGGAUUGGUUCAAAUUUCAUCUUGAUAUUAGAGUACAUGUUGUGAUUAGAUUUUGAGUUCCAAAUUUCCAUGUAAACUUGAUUGCAUUUGCUUCAAACCUCCUUCAUUAUGGUUGCUUGCCCUCUAUCUCACUUUGCAACAUUUGUUACUAGUAUUUUAUGUCCAUGACUUACUCAUUUCAACCUUUCUUGGAUUCUUCAUGGUUCACAAAUUAUGGAUUCUUCAUGGUUCACAAAUUGAGUCUUUCAAUUAUGCAUGUUUAACUCCUAUUUCCUUGGUUGAUAAUGACUUUUACACUUAUCAUUUUCUUUUAUUCUUUAAACCUGAAUUUAGACUUACAAAAAAAAGUUAGAUCCAUAACUAGGGUCUUAGCAUCAAUUUGAGUUAAGUUGGAUGAUUUGAAAAUUUUAUAUUACAUAAAUCAUAUCAUACAUGUGCCAUUGGAGUGCACAUUUUGGCUCUAAUCAUGUUCCAACCCAUUGUUUUACUCUUGCAUGAAGUAUGUGGCCAUUGAUUUUAAUUUUAUUUGCGAUUAGGUUCAAAAUGGUGCUUUUGUGUUGCUCAUGUGUCAUCAGAAGAUCAACUAAUGGAUUCUCUAACAAAACUACUACAUCAUAGUCAUUUUUUUUUUUCUUAAGACCAAGAUUGAGAUCUCCAAUCGGAGCCAACUCCAUCUUGGGGGCAUGUUAGUGAAAGAUAAAAUUUAUCUUUAAUUUAAAUAUUAAUAUUUAUCAGUUAUUAGUUUUAAUUAGAGUAAAAGAUAGAGUUUAAAUUGGAGUAGGAGAUAAACUUGUGUUUGAACUAGAAUAGAAGAUAAAGUAUAAAGAUUUAUGUUUGAAUUAGAAUAAAAUAUAAAGUUUGAAUUAGAGUAGAAGAUAAACUUGUUCUUUAUUUGUAUAUAAAUAUUCAUCAAUUCUUGAGAAGAAGAUUAUUUCAUAGUUUUUCUAUCUUCUUUUUUCUUCAUACAUAUCUGCAAGAAAUUGAAGAUUUCAAGUAAAAUAUUUUCUGUUUUAAAUAGUGAAAAAAGCUAGAAAUUCACUUUGUUAUCUCUUGGGGUAAAUUGACAAGGUUUAACGUUAAGAAGGUGAAUUAUUUUUUCAGAAAAACUGAAGUAGCUAGGAUAUCUGGCCAGUUGUGAUCGAUAAAAAAGUUGUAAAAUCUCUCAUAUACUAAACAGGUUUUGGAUGUUGGUAUGGUAAAUCCAUCUGCAGUCAUUCGUCAUCUCAUCUAGUGAGAUGUUUGGGAGGUGGUGACCGCCGGAUUGGGUUUCAUUUGGUUAAAUCUGUCAGUGGGUUGGCUACUACCCGAGCCUCUUGCUUUGGGGGAGGUGGGUUCUAGAUAUAAUGUUCAAACCAUUUUAGUUAUCAUAUGCAUGACAUGUAAGCAUAAUCUCUUUAUCACUUCUUCAAUGGGAGUUCAUGGUUAGGAAUUGACUUCUUUUCUUCUGGGAUGCUUGGCAUGUAAUGGACAAAGUUACUUUUAUAUCGAUCGAAUUUCUAGUAUUAUAGUGAAGACUUACCCUUUUGACAUUUUAUAUCGAAUUAUAGAAGAUGAAAGGGACAUACAUGCAAUCGACUGACGCUUUAGUGAAUAUGCUGAAAAUAUGCUGAUGCUGUGGAGAUCGUAUGAGGACAGAGGAAAAAGAUAGAAAUGGAUAUAUAAUUAGACCUAGGUUUUUAUUAAAUGAGAUGGGGAACAUAGAGUGAGGGAAAAUCAAAAUUUUUGGCUGCAGUUCACAUUGGUGAUAUUUUGGAUUGACAAAGACUAACGACUUUUCUAUUUUUCUUUUCGGCCUGACUGGAUAGUUGGACAUGGACAAUACAGAAUCCACAGAAGGAUUGUUGGGACCGCUGAAAAUUAGCUAGAAGAAGCUGAGGAAGUAGUCUACGUAGUCAAAUACCAAACACAAAGAAAGAAAGAAAUGGAUAUCAUGGAUGCCUAGAGUUAUACUCCUAAUACCGUCACAGGUAUUUUUCUUUCCUCCUUUUUUUUUCUACGAUAAUUAGAGCAUUUCUCCUCCUCCUCCUCCUCCUCCCCCCACCCCACCACCAAAAAAUAAAAAAAUAAAUUAUUGCAAGUAACACUUCAAAUAUUAAUUUAUACAUUCUAAAGUAUAUAUUCAUGAAAUAACUUGAGUAUCAUACAUUAGUUCUCAAAAAAAAAAAAAAAAAAAAAAAAAAAUUACUGGAAGAGAAAAGUUUAAGAAAACAUAAAAAUAUUCAACUACUAUUUUAAAGAGAAAAUUUAAUUUUUACACUAUAAAUUUGAAGAGAACUUUUACAUGCAUCUUAUAUAAACUACCAUUUUUUGCUAAAAGGCUUAAAUUUGUCAAAAAUACCCCUUAGGUGCUUAACGUUCUGGUCAUAAUAUAAUUGGCAUCUUUUCUCAAACAUAAGGCCUGUGUGUGGGAACAAGAUUUAAUGUUAAUGAGCUUCGCCACCGACAUUUAGUUCCAGAAAUCAUUAUUUUAAUAGAGUGGGCUCAAUUUACAACUUUAAUUAAACUCUAACCAACUGCAUUGUGAAAUGAAUAUGUUUCUUUCGUGGUGAAUCCAAUGAGUUGGGAGUCAAACUUUGCUUCAUUGUGUAUAGAUGAAAUGUUAAGACUCCAUGUAACCUCAAACAUUUCCGCAAUNNNNNNNNNNNNNNNNNNNNNNNNNNNNNNNNNNNNNNNNNNNNNNNNNNNNNNNNNNNNNNNNNNNNNNNNNNNNNNNNNNNNNNNNNNNNNNNNNNNNUUCUUUCGUGGUGAAUCCAAUGAGUUGGAGUCAAACUUGCUUCAUUGUGUAUAGAUGAAAUGUUAAGACUCCAUGUAACUCAAACAUUUCCGCAAUGAGCGGGAGUUCUAAAUUUAAUAAUUGAAAUUGUCAGUGGAACCAGUGGACAAGAGUUGGUUUGUGGUUGACAAACUUAUCCGUUUGAUCUUUACUUGAACAGUUCCAGUGUGUGGAUGGGUACUGAUGAAGUGUGCGCAUUUAUUUUGAGAAGCCUGCUUGUUCGCAUAGAUUUUAACGACAUGAACAUUGUGGUAAGGUUAGAGAGUAAUGCGAAUGUAGGAGCUUAUAUUAGAAAUGACACAAACACGUAAAUAGAAGUAAUCUAUAUAUGAUAUUACUCAUGGACUACAAGCAAAGAAGUACAAUACAUGGAGUAAGUGAUGAAAUGAGCAUUCCUCACUACUACUGCUUGACUGAUGGAACAUGAUGCACGAGAUAGCAUAAGUAGUAGUAGGAAGCAGCUCUUAUUUGUGGCGUCGGUAUACAUCAUACUAGGUAGAUGGUUCAAUUGGCAUGGAUGGGUGGUGGAGCCUUGAAGUGCUUGUGAUGGGGAGCCCACGGCUUCUUCUCAGGAGUUGGUGGCUUCUUGUAUGGAGUUGAUGGAGGUGUUUCUACUGGAGGGUGGCCAGGGUAGUGACCCUGGGGUGGUGAAGGUUCUUUUGUCGGUGGUGGCCUCACUAUUAUUGGCGGUAGAGUUGGUGGCUUGGGCGUUGGCGGUGGUCUCACUACUCUUGGGGGUAGAGUUGGUGUCUUGUGUUUUGGUGGUGGAGGUGGCUUAACAGGAGUUGGUGGCUUGUAUUCUGGGGGUGGUUUCUCCACCGGAGGUGGCUUAUAAACUGGAGUUGGUGGCUUGUAUUCUGGGGGUGGCUUCUCCACUGGUGGUGGCCUGUAAACAGGGGUUGGUGGCUUAUAUUCUGGGGGAGGCUUCUCCACUGGAGGCGACUUAUAAACAGGGGUUGGUGGCUUGUAUUCCGGGGGUGGCUUCUCUACGGGAGGUGGCCUGUAAACAGGGGUUGGUGGCUUCUCCACCGGAGGUGGCUUAUAAACGGGGGUUGGUGGCUUGUAUUCUGGGGGUGGUUUCCCCAGUGGUGGAGACUUGUAAACAGGAAGAGGUGGUUUGUGCUCAUAUGGGGGUGGCUUGUGGUCAUUAGCAAGUGAGGGAGUGGUGAGGACCACCAAUCCAAGGAACAACACGAGUGAGCAAGCAGAAGACAUGUUUGGGCUCUGGUGAUGCACAAGUAGAAGAAAUGGGAACCAUUUAUAAUGCUUCGAGACCUUGGUUAGCACCAAAAUAUGUCAAAAUCUUGAUUACUUCAUUUCAUACAUAGAUUUAAAAUUAUUUCAAUCAACCAUGAUCCUUAAUUUUCUGGGUGGUCCAUAAAUGUAAUGGGGUCAAUUUGGGACCUAACAAGCUGAGAAGUUUGACAAUGCUGCAAGGCUUCAUCCGAAAGUCCGGGGAAGAAUAUUAGGAGUUACACUCCGUUUCCUUUUUUGGGUGCAUUUUUCUCCUUUAACAUUCUAUUCCCUUUUACAUUAGCAUUUGAUCUUAGCUCAUUUCAAGUACAAGUUUCUUGAACCCUAUACCAUUGUCAAAGUUGAGUAACCAUCUCUACUUUGCUCAAGAAACAUAAAAGACAAUGACAAUAAAGAAAAAGGAGAGAGACCAUACGUGACUUGGUUUAUAGGUGGCUUUGUGUUGACAUUUGAGUAUGGAAGCCGACAUGCAUCUUAGCUUCGAUUUUAAUUAAAUUUGUACAUUAGUGUCUGUGUCAUUCAUUUUGGUAUAAAAGGUCUCUUGAUUUCGUAAGUUUGGUAAGAACCGUUGAAAAUAGCAGUAGCAGCACAUGGUCCACUUUCUUUCACAAAAUAAUUUUAAAAGUUUAGAAGCAUAGGAGGUAACAUUAGUGGCCUUGUGGCUCAGCCACGAGUACUAUGUGGUGCUCGAGAAAUUGAGUUUAAUUUCCUUCCGAUAGUUCAUGAUAAGGUCCGUCACUGUCCUGAGACAGAUUGCGUUUUUUCUUUUUUCCUUUUUUAGUGUUUUAUUGACUAGCUAGGUGUGACUUUUCCUACUUUAAGGCACGAGGCAGAAAAGAAACUGGGAUUUAGUGCUUAAGAAGGCAAAUUUAAUUCGAUUUGGAUCUAAAAUUUGCCAGCAACAUGAGAUUUUCCAGCCUAUCGUUGCUCCACAUAUAGACAAGGCACUUGUAGAAGUGGCUUGUUUGUAGCCAUUCCCGAUAUUUGGACUCACUUGAUUCACCGGACACUUUGAUAAAAUUUAAUAUUUAUUAUUUAAUAAUUUAAAUUGAUUUAAAAUUAAAUUAUACCGAAGUUGUGAUUUAAAAAUUAUUAUUUAAUUCUUACUUUUAAAUAUGAAGAUUAUUUGAUAAAAAUAAUUUAAAAUUUAUUAUAAAUUAUCAAAUUAACAUAUUUAUCCUUAUAAAUUAUAAUUAAAACAGAAAAGGUCAAAUGAUUUGAGUAUCCAUAGAUGUGGUAAAAUAAUAAAAAAGAUUAUAAAAACAAUUAUGAUAAAUAAAGAUAAAAAGUAAAAUGAAUAUGUGAAUUUAAAGAAUAAAUUAAUUAUUUUUAUUUAUUACUUAAAAUUAUUUUUGACUUUAAAUUAUAUUAUUAAAUUAUUUUACCAAACAUACUUAAUUUAGUUAAUAAUUUAAAUUUAAUUUAAGUUAUUAAAUUGAUUCACCAAAUACCCACUUAAUCAAAGACUGAAGUAUACAUUAUUUGGCCAAAUGCAGCUAUUGAAAUUUAACUUUUUCCAAACUUAUUCAUUUUGUGGAAAUAUUUUUAGAAAUGAUUUUAAAAAUGCACUAUUCUGUGUGUUGAUUUUAUAUUUUGGCAUUAAUCCAACAUAGAAAACGGUUCUUAUUUUCGCUGUUAAAUAGGUACCAGAUCCUUAAUUAGUGCCGUGAAUCCGGCAGCUUCCAAUGAGUAAUUUGGACUUGGGUAUUGACAAUGUGUGGCCAUGCUUCUACUAUUUUAUUAUUCUUGAAACAUAUAUGAUAUAUUGGACUUUAUACAGGGAAAAAAAAAAAAAAAAGUCUUCACCAAAAAUGAUUCCUCCUAAAAAAUAGACUCCACAAACUAGGUUUAACAGGAAAAUGAUUCUAAUCUAGUAGUUUCCAGCCACAUGAGCAUUUACGUAACAAUAGUAUAGUUGAUAACGACUUUUAUUUUAUUUAUUUUUAAAUAGUUAAAGGGAUAAUUUUUGAGCUUAAAUUUUAUUUUUUUAUUUAGAAACAUUUUACUUUAUUUUUUAAUCAUAAUUCUAUUAUAUUAAUGUUUUAUUUUCUAUUUUUUAAUAUAUAAGGAGAUACUAAAUUUAUGUGAUUAUUUUUUAAAAAUUUAGUAUAUGAAAUUAAAUAAUUGGAUAUAUAUACAUAUAUCAUAUAAUGUUUUUUAAGUGUGAUUUUUGAACUUUUUAGUCAUUUUAUAAGUUUAAGCUUUUGAUUUUUUUUUUUAAACUUUGGUAUUUUUUAUUUUAUAUAAAACUAUUUUGAUUUAAUUUUAUUAAAAAAUAUUGGUAUUAUAAAUUAUUGUAUUAAUUAUUUUUUUAUAUUAUAAUGUAACUGGUAUAUACUAAAAAAUGUAUGCAAGUUCAAUUUAAGUUUCAAAUUAAAAAAUUUCAUUUAAAUAUUUAAUAACUUGUUCAUAAUAAAAAAUUAAACAACAUAAUACAAAUGAAAAGAAACAUAAAAGAAAAAGGAAAAAAUGGUCCUCUCUGUGUGUCACAUUACUAGGUCAUCCUCUUUUUCUAUGACCCUUACAAUAGAAUGGCAUAUUUGUCAAAUCUACUUAUGAAAGUUGGAAUGUUUCUACAUGUGUAGGGUCCAUUGGAACUAAUGGAGGAAAGGCUUAACGUCUAUGUAAAUCACAACGUUGCCUAGGUGGGCAUAGAUCUAGUUGUGUAACAUGAGAUGGUGUGAGAGUACAAUAUAUGCAUUGUAGUCUCUAUGGGAAGAGAGAUAGGUAAUGGUAGGGUGGUAGACGGUAGGGUGAUCUCUAAUAUAAUGACAUUUGAUGUGGUGGCUUCUAAGAGAGGAGAUAUAAGAGAUGGUAGAAUGACAUUUGGUGUAAUGGUCUCUAGUGCAAUGACAUGUGAUAUGGUGACCUAUAAAGAAGAGAUAUAGGUGAUGGUGAAGUGGUAUGUGGUGUAGUGACCUUUGAGAUAGAAAAUAGAGGUAAUGGUAGGUUGGCAGGUGGAGUGGUCUUUGGUGUAGUGACAUCAAUUAUAAAUGUCUCCAAGGGAGGAAAUAAAGGUGAUGGUAGGUAGUAAAUGUUGAGGUGGUCUUUGAUAUGUUAUGCUCUAAGAGAGAAGGUAUAGGUAAUGAUAAUAGGGAAUUUGACAUAGUGGUGUUGGAAAUAAAAAGUGAAAGUGACCGUAGAGGUGAAAGGGCAAGUGUAAAAGCCUCAAGUACGAAUGGAGUAAUUAAUGUGGAUGGUGCUAACAUAGUCUUAGGUGGAUACACAAAUAGUCAUAGUCAUCAACUAGCUUGCCCACCAUCUGUCUUUCUGCUAGUGAUAGGUUACAUCUUAAUAGUAAUGGCCAACAUAAGUGGUGUGGAUCCGAUUUUUUUACGUGUGUCCCCACUCAAUCGACAAGACUUAUUUUUUAUUAGUGAAAAAUUAAUUUUGGAAAAGUUGGAGUCACCACUUAUUUUAUUUUAUUUUAAAAAGGAAAGUAAAACAAGAAAGAGAACUCUAAAGAAGUGACUUCAUAGUUUUGGAAAAGUUAGUCUUAAAAAAUCCAAGUCUUGGUCCGGAGAUCAGGUUACUUAUUGGGAAGAUACCUCUAAGAGGUAAUACCCCUCUAAACCCUAAAGAAGUCUCUAAUGACUAAGUUGAGGAGAAUGUGGUAAUUAAUUAAUUGAUUGAGGGUACCUAGGUAGACUAAGGUGAUUUCAGAAUUAACAUACCAAGCUAGAAAGUCCAAUCAUGAUCAUAAAAGAGAGUCAAAGUAUGUACCUGAACUGCUUCUCAAACGCUAUCAUAAAACAUCAAAGUUAGUAUAGAAAUAUAACACAUAAUAUUUGUUUUAUCCAAGCAAAUAAAGCAUACAUCUAAGCACCCAAGAAUCACAUCAAGUAUGGAUAUAGUCAUCAAUAGCAUACGUGUCCAUAGAACUAUCGAAAGUAAAUGUGGAGGAGCGUAUCUGGACAACAUAGAUAACUUAUAAUGUGCUUCCACAAGACAUGGGGGUUAGAUAAAAGUUAUAAUAAUAAUUAGUAAAUGAAAGAAUUCUAGCAUGUUUGGUAUCUAAAUAACAUAGCAAAAAUGAACAAGAGUACACGAAAACAUCAAUUAUCACACGAGUCAUAUUGGCUAGUAUUUAAUCAAUAAACCAACAAUAAAUGACUAUAAACAUAUAAAAUGACAUAUUCAAAGAGACCCAAACAUAAAGAGCCUAGAACACAAGCUUACACUAAAUUUAGAAAACUAAAACAUGGAAUUUUAAAAGCAUAAAUUAGCAAACAAAUUGAUGGAAACUAAAUUUAGAUAACUUAAGAAUAUUUUUCUUAUCCUUCAAUUUAAAUCAGUAAGCCAACAAUAAAAAAUUAUAGAAACAUGGAAUAUCAAGAUCAAUGGGAUACCUAAACUAUAAUUUUUAAAAGAAAAUAAACUAAGCAUAAUAUCUACAAAGCAACUAAACUAACAUUUUUUUAAAAAUAAAUUAAACAUGACAUUAAUGGAGUAACCAAACUAAAUUAAAGUAAACUAAAAACAUUUAUGAAUUUUCAAACAUGGAAUCAGCUUUCUUAGUAAAUUAAAAUUAUUAAAAUAAAAUCUAAGCUUAAAAAUGAAUUAAAUACUAACUAAAGCAAAUCUAAAACCAAAUAUUUAACACAUAGGAUCAAUUAUAUUAACAAACUAAAAUUUUAUAAGAACACUUAAACCUAAAGUUGAAUUAAAAACUAACCAAUUUUUAAAACUAGAUCUUUAACCCAUAGGAUCAAUUAUAUUAACAAAUAAAUAAUAAAUAAUAAAUAAAUAAAACUCAAACCUAAAGAUGAACUAGAAAUGUACCAAAGUAAAUUCAAAACAAGAUCUUUAACACAUUAGAUCAAUUAUAUUGACUAACUAAAAAAAAAAAAAAAAAACACUCAAACCUGAAACGAUGUAUUAGAAACUAACCAAAGCAAAUUUAAAAUAGAGUCUUUAACACAUAGGAUCAAUUAUAAUCACUAACUUAAAUUACAAUUUUUGAAACAUGAACUAAUUAGUGUUGGAUUAAUUAAACUAAUUAACUAAAAAAAACUAUAAACUAGAAUACGGUGAAUCAAGAAUUCAAAUCAACAAACAUAAAAUAUGGGUACAAUGAAAUGAAAAUCUAUUAAACUAAUAAGACGGAAAUAUGACAAACUCAUGAACCCACAUUUUGAUCAACUAGGAAAUAGAAAUUAAUAGACCUGUAGCAUGGAUACAAUGAAAUGAGAUCAGUUAAAUUUAUUUGCCGAAAUUCUAAAAAACACAUACACUCAAAUAAGAUCUAAAUCUAAGACCAAGCAAAACUCAAACUUUCUCAAUCUAAUGCAAUGAAUCAAAACUAAAAUUAAAUAGAAAUCAAACCAUUUUUUUUUUAUCUAAUAUAAUAAAUCAAAGCUAAAACUAAACAAAAUCGAAUUUUCUUAAUUUAAUAUGAUGAGUCAAAGCUAAAAUUGAACAAAGUUCAAACCUUUAUAUAAUGGAUCAAAGUUAAAUCUAAAUGAAAUCCAUACUUCCACAAUUUGAUAUAACAAAUCAAAAAUAAAACUAGAUAAAAAAAAAGUCAAAGCCUUUCAACUUGACAUAGUGAAUCCAAACUGAAACGAAACAAAAUUUUAACUUUUCCAAUGAAACCCAAUAUAGAAAAAAUUAGCUUACCUUCUUUAGAAUAUAUGUAUGGGCCAUAAAGAAGUCACCUUGGUGCAUGUGUUCCUCACUUUGACGCCAAUGGACGACUUUCUAUGGUAGCAAAUGGAGAUCCUUUUUGGUGGUAACUUGCGUGUGGAAACCUAUGGUACAACCAAUGUCAUCUUUUAUUGUGCGUGUGGACCAAUUUCUUCUCGAGAACUCAUGUGUGUUGUGCUCAAAAUAUGUUGCCUGUGAGAAUCUAUUGGUAUACCCCACAUAUGGUUUCCUUGAGAGAAUCUGUGGUUGUGUGUGGGCGUUUUCUUCAUGACAGCAUGUGGAUGUUCCCAUCUAUGGUAGAUUGGUUGUGAUGCUUUAGUGCAUGGUCUCCAUAGGAAUAGUGUGUUAUGGAAAUUUGGUUUUUUUAUUGGUGCAUGUUGUCUAGACUUUCCCAUAUGCGUGGACUGUGUGUUCAUGCUUUUCUUUUCGGAUGGUCGCCUGUGUUAAUGUGUGGCGGUGUCUACAAUGAAAGAUACAACCCUUUCUCUCCUUCUGCGUGAUAGAAAAGUCAAUCCCCCAUGGUGCGACUAUGUUCCCUCGUCCUUUUUGAAAAAUUUUGGUGUUUUCCCCCCAAAAAAUCCCCUCCAAAAAUCUAAUUAUAAAUGUCUGCUUUGGCCUAAUGUGUGUGCUACUUUUUUUUUCCUUCUUUUUAUGGUUGUGCGUGCUUUUCUUGAUACGUGGCUUAUUUCUUAAGGAUAUGAUUCGCUCCCAAUUGGUGUCUCAGCUGAUUCAUGUCCUUUCAAUGGUCCCUGACAGUGGUGCCAUUUGAUUCGUGUCCAGCUGGUGUCCCUUGAUUGUGGUCCUCAGAAGGGAGUAAUCAAUAAAAUUUAUAACCUAUUACACCAUGUAUUAGGAUAGCCUUAGCUAGCAUAGCAUAGUGGCUCUAGGGUCGUUUAUUGGGAUGAGUUUUCACUUCACAAUUGAUAUUAAUUCAAGAGCUGAAUUGGUGCCUUUUCAUUUCAAGGUUAGCUUUAAAAGAAAACAUAAUCUUUGGUGGAAAAAGGUUUGGUUUUAAACUAACCAAAAAUAGUAACUGAUUUUACUUACAAAGAAAAGUGUUCUUUGGAGUUUAGAUCACUAGGCUCAGGUUCCUCAUACAAAAAGGAGAGUUCCGAUCAUUUGUUUCUUUUCCUCGCAUUAGAGAAUUAACAUAUAGUUAAUUCUCUAACCGGUGCGGUACAUAUGCUUCCCAUUAAUGGGUUCAAACACUAAAUACCUCUCACUGAUGCACCUUGCAAUGGCUCGUGCCUCUCACCUAGCAUUUAUCAUUCAAGGUGAUCUUUAACCUUGGAUUACCCAUCAAAAGCUCGCAAGAGAUAACUAAAGGAUGUCUCCUUAGAGUCCAAAAGCUUACCAAGUGUUGGUUAUUCUAGAAAAUCCUACCUUCAAACCACCUCCCAAAGGCUCGCAAGAGAUAAACAAGUGCAUCUCAAUGGAUGAAGAUCACUUGCCUUACCAAGUUUUGGCCCAGAUGAUUUAAUGACAUUUUAAGUUAACUAAAAAGAUAAAAACCAUUAACGGGUCACACUUUCUCUUCAUUAAAAACUAAAACAACAAAACUUCCAAUUUAUGCAUGAGGAAACUUACCUGGCUUUCUUCACUUCAAGAGAUGAAGAGCCUAGCCACUCAUCAUUUGAGGAAAAAUCCUCAGAGUUUGAUUUGCUAGAAAUAAAAAUAAUGAGAAAACAAAAAUAUAUAUAUGAAAAACAGAGCAAGUUCUCUGUAAUAUAUUUUUCUUCCUUAUACAAAAGGUUGUCUCUAAGAACAAGUUCCCGAGAUCUAUCUGAUUGUAAAUAAAAUUACAACUAUAUAUAAGAGGUUAUUCACCCCUUUGUUCUUUCUUAAAGACUAAGGAAUCCUAUGAUAGGUGGGUUACAAGGAGAGUUUGGGGAUUUAGACAUCAAAUAUCUAAAGCAAAAUAUCUCAAGAUGUUAGUCGGAAAUAUCAGGAAGCUUCAGGAGAACACCGCGACACUGUAUACUGAGAGAAAAACUCUCCGGGUAAGCUCUAUCAAAGGAUCCAGACAUGUCUGACUGGGAAAGUUGAAACGUCCUUCUCUCCCAUCCGGAUGUGAGAUAUCCGGAGAAAGUGAAAUGUCGGUCGGACAGAAUUCUUUCCCCGGGUGGAAUGAGUUGUGUUGCGCGUCGCAAGGGGGACCGUCUGCGUGUACAAGUUGUAGGGACCCCUCUCCCGGAUGACACCGAGCGCGUAAGGCUAUCCGGAUCAACUCCAUUCGGAUUCCCCAAGAGGACAUGUGGCGUGCUCCCCUAUCAGGACUCCCUUAGGGAGAAGCACACGACACUCGUGAACAUCAUACCCGGACGAUAGCAUGUCCUAUCCGGAUGUGUUGUCCGGAUCAUUGACUAAAGUGAGCAAGCCUUGCUACGUCAUUCGGACAGCUUGCCACAUACCAUGUUCCGUCGCCAUCUGAUGGUGUGUCCGAACGCCUUGUCCGGACAUCUUUUGCUCCUUGCAUUCCGGAUUUGCUUAUGACAAAGGACUUCAAAGCUUCGGUUCUUCAUGUUUCUGAGCUUUCCAUUGCUUUGCCAUGGAUUCCAAAGAACUCUCCUUAAUCACGGAUUGCUUUGGUGAUCAAAAAGUUAUCAAAACACAAAAACUUAACAUAGUUUGAUUAGAAUUGAUUGCAAGGGUUCUUAAUAUGUUAAUUGGGUUAAAAGGUGAUAACUACUACUCAAAAGUGUUUAUAAGAAUUAAUUACAAGCUAUGAAAUAACACUUUUUGAGUAGUAAUCAGGAUACAUCCUAGUUUUUCAUGGAAUUGAUAGUGGGUUGUUGUGCAUGAAUGCCACCAUUUCAACUAUGCUGUUGUUAUUUUUAAAAAAAAUAUGGAUUAUGCGCGAGUGGCAAUUCUCCACUAUGGAAAGUGGAUUGCUCCUUCAACCCAUGCAUGGCUACGUAUUCCUAUGUCUUUCUACUUGUGUUUGAUCCUCCAAAAAAAAUUUCGGUUUAGUGCUAGUAGAUUUUAAGUGGUGGAUCCCCAUUUUUUGAAAAUGAAGUGGCAGCCUCCCAUUUCAAGACAAAAUGGUAGCCUGCCUUUAAUCUUUGGAGAAAAAUCUGUGCAUGACCUUUUUUUUUCCCAAAAAAUCCGUGCAUGGUGUCCUUUAAUAUUUGGAGAAAAAUCUAUGUUGGAUCUUUUCUUUUCUAGAAACAUUUGUGUGGUCUUUUUUGUUAGCCCAAGGGUUCUUCUAAUCAAGUUUUGAUGAUAACAAACCAUGGUUAAGUGACUAAUUGGUUUAAUGAUUAAGAAUCUCAAACAUAAAAUCGAAAAUUCAUCAAAGGACCAAAUGGAUACAAGAUCGAGACGCUUGGAAGACUUGUAAUCAUAGGAAACUAAUGUAAGAUGAAUGCAUGAGUGCACUUAGGAUUUUCACACGUUUCAUGCAACUUAGAAAACCCAGUUUAUUCUUUAAAACUUCAUCCCAGUUUAUUCUUUUUAUGGUUGUGUGUGCUUUCCUUGAUACGUGGCUUAUUUAUUAAGGAUACAUCCCAGUUUUUCAUGGAAUUGACAGUGGGUUGUUGUGUGUGAAUGCCACCAUUUCAACUGUGCUGUUGUUAUUUAAAAAAAAAAAAAAUGGAUUGUGCGCGAGUGGCAAUUCUCCACUAUGGAAAGUGGAUUGCUCCUUCAACCCAUGCAUGGCUACGUAUUCCUAUGUCUUUCUGCUUGUGUGUGAUCCUCCAAAAAAAAUUUUGGUUUAGUGCUAGUAGAUUUUAAGUGGUGGAUCCCCUUUUUUUGAAAACUAAGUGGCAGCCUCCCAUUUCAAAACGAAGUGGUAGCCUGCCUUUAGUCUUUGGAGAAAAAUCUGUGCAUGACUUUUUUUUUCCCAAAAAAUCCAUGCAUGGUGUCCUUUAAUAUUUGGAGAAAAAUCUAUGUGGGAUCUUUUAUUUUCUAGAAAAAUUUGUGUGGUCUUUUUUGUUAGCCCAAGGGUUCUCCUAAUCAGGUUUUGAUGAUAACAAAUCAUGGUUAAGUGACUAAUUGGUUUAAUGAUUAAGAAUCUCAAACAUAAACUCGAAAAUUCAUCAAAUGACCAAAUGGAUACAAGAUCGAGACGCUUGGAAGACUUGUGAUCAUAGGAAACUAAUGUAAGAUGAAUGCAUGAGUGCACUUAGGAUUUUCACACGUUUCAUGCAAUUUAGAAAACCCAGUUUAUUCUUUAAAACUUCAAUUUCAUUAAAACCCGAGUUUUUAACUAAUGUACCUUAGGCAAAAUGUUUUAUAAUUGGCUUAAUAAUUCACCUAAAUACAUUUUCUAAGUGUUAGAAAAGAAAGGAAUUAAAAAAAGGUUUUCGGGGCAAAAAAGGCUCAACCGGUCGAGGCUAUGGUCAACCGGCUCAACCGGUUGAGGAACCAAUCGAUCGGUUGUGCUUGUCCGAUCGAAGACCAAUCGAGGGAUGCCAAAAAAUUUCUCUCUCUCCUAGUGGCCUUCUCUUCCCGGUCGAGGUUCGGUCUAGGCAACGGUAACAUGUCAAGCAUUAAAUGCUCCGACGACUAGUGAAUCGGUCGACCCCUAGCCCGAUCGGACGAGGUUGCCUUUUGCUGUUUUUGACUCCCGAGCUUAGAAACCUAUAAAUUGAGAGCUCCACUUCAUUUAUUGAUAAAAGAGAACACUUGCAUUCAAUAGUCUACCUACCUUUUCUUGAUCAAAAAGCUCUCAUUUCCUUCAUAGUGCAUUAAAUCAUCACUUGCAUAUCCUUUAGUGCACUAUUGUGUGUCAUCCUAGCUUUGUUUUGUAUUUGAGCUAUCCUUAAGCUAGGUUGAGGGAUUAUUUCUUAUAAAAAUCUGAGUGUUAAAGCCUUCAAGAGAUUUGAAUCUUGAAGAGAUUGUGUAAGAGCCCAUUGGAGCCGGAGUCCAAGUGUAAGAAGAUUGGAAGCUUGGUUGAAGCUUCAAGUUAGUGGAACCCUCACUCGGUUAGGAGGUUGAGGAGAGUGGACGUAGGUAAGGAAGUGUCGAACCAUUAUAAACCCGAGUUUGAAUUCUCUAACUCUAUCUCUUUAUUUUGCUUAUAUUGUGUUUGAAUUUGUUGUGAUUGAAAAGAUUUUAAAAACCUAAUUCACCCUCCCCCCUUUUGGGUUUUUUUUUCUUAAUUAAGCAUAACCUUUGUUUUCUAAUUUUCUUUUUAGGAAAAUCCAUGCGUGGUAUGUCCAAACUCUCCAAGUGGCAGUCUGCCUUCUUCUAAAAAAUUUGUUUCUAUUUCUUUAUUCGACUACCUUCCAUGUCUUCCUAAUGAGUGCUUGUGCUCAAUGGUCAAUCCCUGGUGGUUGCCUCCUUUUCCCAUAUAUACGUGUUGCAAAAUCAACAUCCCACUAUAUGUGGGUUGCCUCUAUGGCAAGUUCACAUUUCCCACAUGAAACCUAUGAGUUUCCACCAAAAAUUGCCAUGAAAAAGUCUUUAUAUGCAUCUCAUGCAAUAAAAAGUCAAGCCAAUACUCAUCUUAUCUCGAAAAAUAAGUAACCAAAAUCAAGAUCAUGCCUAAGUGAACUAUGCCAAAAGAAGUGUCCAAGUGACCUAUUAUGAAAAAAGUGCCUAAGUGACCUAAGGUGAAUGUGUGUAAGCUGGAAGGUGUCUAGGAUGUUUAGGACAAUGCCUAAGCCUAAAAUAGGGUUGCCAAGGGUCACAAUGGGGUUAGAUAAAUCUCUCAAUCAGAGUCUCCAAGGUGGCUCAUAAAAGAUAAGCUACACGAGUAAUGAUGGGCCACCAGGGAAUUAUUGUAAAGCACCAAACGAACACAUAAUAGGACAUGUGUUAGAAUGAAAAAAUGGAGGGUUUACAAGUGGUCUCAUGGAUGAGCUUGAUAAUUUAAAUGACUCACAUAAUGAACGUAUGUGAUGUUUCUCUCCAAUAACAAGCAAAACAUCACUAGCAAUAUGAUGAAUGUCUCCUAAAUCACUUGAAGUAGUCCUAGCAAAUCAAUUAGAAAAAUCACACAUAUUGCUCUAAUGUAAUAUUAUAUACAUCUGUCAAUGAAUGGGAGAACUAAUGACACAACCAUCAUGUUGAUAUCUCGAACCCUCUAAUCUCAUAUGUAGGUGGGAUCACACUUAGAAACUCAUAACACAGUAAUGACCAAUCUAAGUCAAAAUGUGUUGGUGAUCGGAGGCCCAUGAAUAUGAAGUUCUAGGAUGAUAAUGACAUCUUAUAAAGUAAUGAUCAUCUCCUUAAUAGAUAGGUGAAAUGUGUGUGUCUUAGGACACCAUCUCUCAACAAGACUUGUGAUCAAUCCCCAGUCUAGUGUAACAUGCCUAUUAUGACAUCCAUCGUAAAAUCUAGACUAGAUAAUAUAAGGACAAAUGUGAGGGUUCAUCUCCCUUUCCCACAUAAAUUUAAAAAAUUAUUAUUGACAAGUUAAGACCAAACUAAGUUGCAAAAUAUAAAUAAGUCCAUUAGAUAACAAAUUUAUGUUUUCUCAUUUUCUCAUUUUUAAAGAGAUAUUAUGUGCUUCCAUGUACAUACAUGCUAAAGUCAAUUAUACGAGACUUAUAUCCAUCUUGUAGAACCAAAUCGAACCUAUCUAAUAGAUCCAGAUUAGAAGUAUGUCCUCUAUACUCCAUAUUUAUAACACAUUUAUAAAGAUAAAUGCUAAAAAAAUGUUAAAGAUAUAAAUUUAAUGAACCAUACUUUAUGAUUUUAAUUCUCAAUUAUUGUUCAUAUUUAUAAGAGAAAAGUUAAAAAAAUUGAUAGAGUUUUCCCUCUAUCAUGGACAUUAUCCCAAAUAAAAAUAAAUUGAUUAUGCAAAUUACAUUAAUAUUUGUAACCAAAUGAUCAAUAACUAUCUUGUAUCAAUUUAGUAAAUAAAUUUAAGUAUAUCUUUUCAUUUAUGACUAACAAAUAACUCAUACUUGUCCAAUAAAAGCCACACCUAAUUUCUAAAAUUUUGUCUUCACCUCAAGUGAGUGUUACAUUGAGAAAGAAAAAAUAUGAAAGAAAAAAUGAACACCUUUUUCUUUUAAUAAAAAAAGGCCAUAACGAAACAUUAAAUCUCACUGUUACACCUAUCUUCAAUGGAAACAUGAGGAUGUGAAUGGUGGCGGUGAUAUUCUUUGCUUGAAGCUCAUAAACAAAUAUUCCUUACUAAGCCUAUGCCAUUUAGUAUUUCAAUAGUGGACCCCCCCCCCCCCCCCCCCCCCCUCCUUGCAUUUCAGAUUUAGCAAACUUAGAACCAAAUAACAAAGUGCAUUUGAACCCAUAAAGAAGUAAUGAGACUCUCCUAUAUUGGCAAUAGAAGAAAUUUUUGGAGGUAUAGGAGAUUCACGGAUGAAGAAGUUGGGCCCCAAUUGAGAUAAGACCCAAGAAAAGAUGGGGUAGAGAGGGAUGGUUGGAAAUUGUAAAGUAAGAUUUUCAAAAUGUAGUUGAUGACUAAGAUUUUGACAAUUUAAAAAAGGUUUAAAAAUGUAGUUAGCAAUCGGGGUUUUGUAACAUUUAAAAAAUAAAAUAAAAUCUCAGGCCACAUGGUAGCCCAUGUGAUUCAGAAGCUUGAGAAUUAUUUUAUAAGAAGACUUAAUUUGUGAUUUUUUUAUAACUAUAUUAUUUUUUUUCUUAACACACGAAAAAAAUUAUGAAAUAAGACAAUUUUCCUAAGAAAGCAUGUAAGUGACUCUUGGUUAUUUUAUUUAACUUCUUCUAGUUUGGAGAGGAUUAAUACCUUUGCUUUUACUCACUUGCUUGGAUAUGUACACGUUGUUCAUGUCACUUUUCAUUUAAUUUUCUGAUUAAGGGAAUUGGAACCGUACGUAACUGUCUUUAUUCCCUCUGAAACUUGGACUUGGAGUUGGACUUUCAAUCUCAUCAGUCGUGUUUCCAUAAAAAAGAAGAUGGAUUAACCAAUUUUCCUAUGCCUACUAAUCAUACACAAAACUCCACUUCCAAAUAAAAAGGAAUGGGAUAUCACUUGUUAAUAGUGGCUAAAGACUAUUAAUAACCAUGCAAAGAAAUGUCACAUUUUUUGUUCUACGCAAAUUUUAUUCAUCAACUACUAGAACCAUUUCAUACAAUAGUAGCUUUUCGAUCCUUUGAUAAAUGGACACUUGAUGUGAUAACACCAACUACACCUAUAUAUUCAAGCAAUCAUGCGUAUAUAAUAGUGGAUAUGGAUUACUUCUCUAAAUGGGCAAAAGUUUUGUCAUUCAAGGAAAGUGAACGAGGAAACACAAGUUUACUUUCAUCGGAACUAAUAUUAUAUAUUGAUAUGACUUCCCAUUAUUACUUACGAUGGAAUAUGCUUCCAUAAAAUGGCCUAGAUGAACAAACUAUCCAAGAAGUUUGGGAUCAAAUAAUAUAUAUAUAGUUCAUGUGUGAUUCUUUGGUUGACAACCUUGUUAAGGGGUGAGUGAAGCACUUUGGGCAUACCACAUACUACAUGCUAGACUUCCACCCAAGCUACCCUAUAUUCCUUAUGAACAAAGUAGAAGUUGUCAUCUCUCUUGAAUACCAAAUCCUUUCACCUAAUAAUGCUAUCUAAAAAGGUCUUAAAAAGGAUAAAAAUGCGCAUAUUUGAAUUUUUGAAUUAGGAGUGCUACUUAAAAAGAAGCUAGAUAUACAAUAAUAGAAUGUUAUCAAGCAUAUCUCUUCAAAGUUUUUGACCAAAAAAUAUAUGAUUUCUCAUUUUAGGUAGGAGACUUAGUACUCACUAUUCAAAAACCAAUUAUCAUUACUCAUAAAAACUAAUAGAAAGUUUGGGCCAAAGUAGGAUGGACCUUAUAUUAUGCAACAAUUAUGCCUAUAAAAUUGUUGCAAAAGAGGUUUUAGAAUCAAAUCAAUGAAUGAAAAAUUAUUAAAGCAUUACUAUGCUUGAAGGCUAGUCAUUUUCCCUUAAAGUGCAAUAUUAAGUUGCAUAGUACUAUGUGGAUCCGCAUUUUUCACAUGCGUUCCCACUCAUUGUCGAGACUCACUUUUUAGAAGUGAAAAAUUAGUUUUAUUAAAGUCGAAGUUGCCACUGGGGAUUUGAACCCUAACAAAAGGUUCAAUUUAAGGAUAAAAAUAUCGAUAAUCACAUAUAUAUAUAUUGGUACUUUGAUUUUAUGAAUAUAUUGAAGAAAUAUGGACAAAUAUUUUGACACAAAAUAUGUACAAAAUAAAAAUUAUAUAAAAAGUAAAAAUAAAUAUUUUAAAAUUAUUUUUUUAAAUAUAUAUAUAUAUAAUUUGACAUAUUUGAUAAUAAUAUAUAAGGGUCUCCAAAAAGCCCGUGGCCCGCUUUAGGCCCGGUCCGACCCGACAGGCUAAAGCCCGGCCCAAGCCCGCCGGGCCCAAGCUCGGCCCGAGCCCGUUUAUGGGUGGGCCGGGCCGCGAGCCCGUAGGCCUGCUCCUUUAAAAAAAAACUACAAAAAUAAAAAGUAUUAAAAAAAAUAUUCAUUUCAAAAUUUUAUUCAUUGAAUGUAUAAUUACAUUUGAAAAUGUGGGAAAAGUUUACAUCACUACAAAAUAAAUACAUCCCAACUAGGUUGGCACCUAUUUAUUUGUCAAUCAUCUGUAUUUUUCAACCACAAAAAAUAAAAAUAAAAAUAUAAUAUACAUUUAGUCAUUAUUUUCUGGCGGUGAUGGCGAACUAUCAUGCAUCCAUGAAGAUCUUGAUAAUUUUAAAGAUUCCAUAUCGGUAAGCAUCUUUGUUUCUCGAAUGGAAUCAUACAUCCUUUUAUCUGCUAUUUCCCAAUCUUUCACACAUAUCCCUGCUUUAAUAACAUCUGACGCUAAGUUGCAUCGUUUUUUACUAACUACUCUUCCACCUGCACUAAAAGCAGCUUCUGAUGCAACUGUACUCACAGGAACUGUUAGUACAUCACGAGCAAUUAUAGAAAGCACAGGAUAUUUGUGUUGAUGUGAUUUCCACCAUAUUAAAAUAUUAAAAUCUUCUUGAUCUUCAAAUGAAAUUAUAUCAGUAUUAAGAUAUUUAUCUAAAUCAGAUGUAUUAUUUGGAGAAUUAUUUGUUGUCUUUUUUCGACUUUUCAACAUUUCUAGAGCUCCUUUAUAAAAAGAUGAGGAGUUUGUAGAUGUAGGUGGUAAUUUAAUAGUAUUAAUAUCAUUACCAUAUUUUUCUUUAUAAUAGUUAUAUAAAUUAUAUAAUAAUGAAUUUAUUUCAUUUUUAAUUUCUUCAAUUUUUAUUUGGUCAUUAAAAUAAAUAAUUGUUAACCAUUCAUCCAAAGCUUCAAAUUUCAAUCUAGGGUCCACAAUUAAAGCAAUAUAAAAAAUUAAAGGUAUUUCUCCCCAAUAUUUUCUAAAUUUUUAUAUCAUUACAAAUAUUGUAUCAUUAAAUAUUUCAAAACUUAAAUAUUUUUGAAGUACAAUAAAAAUAUUAGUUAUUUGCGUAAUAACUCGAUUUGAAGUUGGAUAAUAUACACCACAAAAAAUGUUUGUUGAAGUAUCAAAAAUUUCAAAAAGAUCUCUUAAAACAUCCGCAAUAUGCCAAUCAUAAUCAUUUAAUGCAUAAAUAUCUGCUUCAUAAUCAUUGUUAAUUAAUUGUAUUUCAUAUAAUUCGACUACUUUUCUAUAUUUUGUAAUAUUUUCUAAAAGUUUAUAUGUGGAAUUCCAUCUAAUAGCCAUAUCCAAAUUUAUAUUUUUUCUUUUCAUAUUUAACAUUUUGCAACAAUCAAAAAAUAAUUCAUGUUUUGCUUGAAAACUAUUAAUACUAUAUGCAAUGCCUCUAAUUUUUUUCCAAUGUACUAUCAACAUUUUUUAAUCCAUCCUUUACAAUUAAAUUUAAAAUAUGUGCACAACAACGCACAUGAAAUAUUUUAGCAUGAUCUUCUUUUACUUGCCAAUAUCGUUUUAGUCUAUGUAUUGCUGCAUCAUUAUUAGCAGCAUUAUCUAAUGUUAUUGUCAAUAUUUUAUCACGAAUGCCUAAAUCUAUAAUUUCAUCAUUUAUUAAAGAUGCUAUAUUUUUACCACUAUGUGGAGUAUUUAUUAAUUUAAAUAAAAUUAUUCUUUUAUUUAAUUUCCAUUCAUUAUCAAUGUAGUGAACAAUUAUAUAUAAAAAACCAGUAUGAGUUAAAGAUGUCCAAAUGUCAGAUGUUAAACGAAUAUUUCCUUCAAAAUUUGCAAAAUUUUUUUUUAAAAUUUCUUUUUGUGUAUAAAUUUUUUUCAUAAUAUCUCUUUUAACUGUAUUUCCAGAUCAACCUUUAAAUUGAGGAUUAAUACCUCGUUGAAUUGUUCUUGCAAAAUCAUGAGUUUCCAUCAUGUUGAAAGGUUGUUCUGCUCUUAUUAUAUAAUCAAUCAUUUCUUCACAACAGUUAGAUUCAUCAUAAGAAAAUGUUUUUAAAUUUCCACUUUCAUUUUUACUUAAUUGCAUAUAAUUUCUAAUAUCUACAUUAUUUUUAGUUUUACAAUUUUCAUGAUGUCUUUUUAAAUGACUUGUAUCUGCAUUUGAGCCACCAGUAAGAAAUUUAUUACAAAUUUUACAUUUUGCUUUUAUUUUUUUUUUAUUAUUUUCUAAAAUUAUUUCUAUUCUAUCAAAAAAAUUCCAUAUAUUUAAAGUAAAUUUUUUGUUUGAUGAUAUUUCAUCACAUGGACUAGACGAAGAAGCACUUGUCAUAUUAUAAUUAUUGAUAAAAUAUUAUGCCAAAAAUAAUAAAGUAAUAAAUAUAAAAAAAAAUGUAACAAAAAAAAUAAAGUAGUAGGGGUGAAGUAUGUUACUCAAUUAGAGAACCUAUGCAGAAAUUCCUAGCAAAUUUGAACUCUUGGAGCCACCAAUGCUUGUUUUGCACCAUCAACAAUAUUGUAUAAUUUGAGGGAAAAAUAAAAGAAUUUAAAAUAUUGUAGAAUGUGAGAGAAAUAGAGAGAAUUUGAUGAAAAAAUGAAAAGGAAGAAAAUGUAUUUAUAGGAAGGUUAAAAAUAAUAAUAAUAAUAAUAAUAAUAAUAAUAAUAAUAAUAAUAAUAAUAAUAAUAAUAAUAAUUGGCCAUGUGACCGUUGGAGGCUUAGCUCCAACGGUCACAUGGGCUGGAGCUAGGCUCCAACAGUCACAUGACCGUUGGAGCCUUUAAUUUUUUUUUUUAAAAUAAUAUACUUUAUUUUUAUAUAUAUAUAACUAACUCAAUUAAUAAACAUAAAAAGAAUAUAGUUCAGUUGGUUAGAACCUUGAAGUUUAAACAUGAGGGGAGGGGUUUGAAUCCCUCCCUCUCCCUUAGGGGCUUUUUUAAAAGCCAUUUUGGCUUAUUUCAAAAAGCCUGUCGGCCCGACCCGCCCUGCAGCCCGCGGGCCUAGCAUUUUAGCAUGGCCUGGUCUGUUGACUAGUCAAAUGGCUCAUAGGCUCGGCCCGAACUGGGCCGCGGGCCUCUUAUUUACGGACCGGCCCGACCCGGCCCGCCCGUUGGAGACCCUUGAUAAUAUCUUCUAUAUUAAGUUACAUUAUAGUUUAUUUUACAAUAUUAUUAUGAUAAUAUGUCUAAUUUUAAAAUAUAUUUAAUAUUAAAAUUAUGAUCUAUUUUAAUUUAAAUGUAUUCAAUGAUAUCAAAUAAAUAAUAAUAUAUGUAUAAUUCUUUUAUUAUUUAUAUUUAUUAUUUUUAAUAAAUAUAUAGAUUAUAUAAAAAAGACCGGAUAUAUCUUUUCAAAUUUUGUAUCGCUCUCCAAGGAUAUUAGAUGUAUGGGAAUUUGUAUUGCUAUCUACGGAUACGUUGAUAUAUGGGUGAUUUAUCAGGAUAAUUAGAAAUUCUAAUUAUGUAAGCAGGUACGGAGUUCUGUGUCGGUGCGAUCUUGUCGACAACAGCUCCAAAUUGUGCAUCUUGCUCAUAGAGAGUAGCGGAAUGCACCAAUCGUAGGCUCAGAGUACCACUGAGUCGUCUGGCAGAGACCCAACUGAAGGUGCCUGUGUUGUUCCUGAUCUGAUCAGGCUUCAAACUACAAGGUGGAAUACUGGUUCCCCUAUAUCAGAAGCUGGAGAUACCCACCCCAUAUGCUCGUCUGGAUGUGCUCCUACCCUUUGAAGCCUUCUUCCGAGUCAAGUCCGAAUUGAUAAGGCUAGUGAGUUCCCAACCAACUGUACUCAGCAUGCUGCCAGGUGGAGACCCUCCAUAUUUGAUGGCUUCCUAAUAUUAAAAUGCUGACCACUGGUCUUCAUGUUCCACAGGCUUAAUUGUGUCCUUUGCUGAAAGAAUGGAUAGUGAUCCAUUUUAACACAUGAUUCACGCCGUCUUUGCCAUUCUUCAUGGUCUAGCCCUUUUAUAUAUAUGCUUCCUGAACUGUUGCUAUUAAUAAAAUGUGGUAUCUAUCCCGUACACCUUCCUGAUGGCCAGCGAAUGCAGAAGCUACAGAAACGGUUCCAUCUUUUGCUUCCGCCACUUUGGCAUCCUCCAUGAUGAGAUCGAAGGUGAAUAAUCAUAUUCUGGGGAUUUAUGUCCUGGAUAUUCUCAGUAAUGCCCAAUUUCCUGGUGCCGGCCUCAUUUCCAUGGGAACUGAUGGAUAACUUAAGGCUUCUACCAUCUGCGUGGUUCGCUUCUAACACAGGAAACUUCACGGCUAAAAGCAAGAUACCAAGAACAUCAAGGCUGUGACAAAAAUUAGUAUUUUUAACUUGUAGGAAUUUGAAAGGCAACCAACCAUCUAGCUCUGUUCUUAAAGCUCCCAUAGGAGGAUCAGAGGCUGGAUUGCUCAAGAUGAACUCAUCCAUUGUUGCACUUAAAAAGAAUUGGCAUGAAUUGUGGCCGCUCUAAUAGGUUCCCUAAACCAUCAUCCAAGUGGGCUUGCGGAAGGUAGCGAGUUUAAAACACCUAGGGCGAUGAACAGUGGACUGUGAUGCUCACAAAAGAGAAAAGGAAGAAUUCAAUAAUUCCUAAGAAUCCAUUUGCCUGUCAUCCAAAUUUUUAUAUUCUCUUCAGUCUGACGCGUUAUGCCAUAUAUUAAAAAUAGCGGCUUCUUCCAAGCCGAGACAGACUGUGCAAAGUUCGCAAGGCCAAUCAUCACCAUAAUCUGAAGUUGGCCUCCUCAAUCGCAGCUUGUAUCCGAAUGCUCACUUCACGGGAUGGAUUGUAAUGAAAACUAAUCUCAGUCCCAGCUAUGGCAGCAUCCUCACUUGACAGCAUUUUCUGCAUAUUCUAGAACAAAGCAAUAAACCCUCAAAGGCUCCUUCGGAUCAGAGUUAGAAGACUGUCCCUCAGGAACGUGAACACUAUGGUGGUUCUGAUAAGCAGUGAUAUUGCAUUAGAGCCUUUUGGAACAAGAGGAUCUUUUCAGGUGGAAACUGUAAACUGCUUCAUGUUGGGCUGCAACCUUUUCUUCAAGCAAUACUUUCUUUCUGUAUCACGACUUAUGUUGCUUCCGGAGCCAUCCCGUGUGGACUGCCCUUCAGUGAAAGAAUAUGUGUGUUGACAUGUUGGAUUGUAAUCUUUGUUCCACUCUAAUGGCUUUUGGUCCUCCUCUUUCUCUUUAUGACAGAGAACCAUUUAGUGAUCCAUCUCUAUAUUGUAGCAUUGCUGGUGCUUUGCAAUACUACACUCUCACCAAGCAUAACAUCUAUUUUUCCGUGACCAAAGUAUGUCGGUUUAUGCAUGCGCAAACUCUUAUUCAUUGGCAAGUUGUCAAGCGUAUCUCAUGAUUUCCCAAAGCCACAAGUUCUUAUGGUCUUUCUGUUCAAGCUUACAAUGAUCUAUCUUUUCUUGGUUAUACUGAUGUCGAUUGGGCUAGUUGCCCUGAUAACAAGCACAAUACUAGUGGGUACAACACUUUUCCUGGUCCUAAUCUCAUUUCAUGGGCAUUUUCAAAGCAGAAGGUUGUGUCUCACUCCAAUAACGAAUCUGAAUAUAGGGGACUCACUAAUUAAUGUUGUUGCCAAGGUCACUUGGAUUGAAUCUGUCUUACGUGAGUUGCGUGUUUCUCUACCCCAACCACCAAUUUUGUUGUGUGACAACAUUAGUGCUACACACUUGGACAAACCAUGUUGAAAUACACUAUCAUUUUAUCCAUGAAAGGCUUAUGCAUCACACACUCAAAAUUCAAUACACCUCUUCUAUAGACCAACUAGUCAAUGCUAUGACCAAAGCUCUUCCUUCAUCUCACUUGUACAAUCUUCAGUGCAAGCUGAUUGUUCUUCCCAAACCACUCAACUUGAGGGGAGAUGUUAAGCCAAUUUAAUAAAUUGAUUUCUUUUGGUUAAUUUGUUAGAAUCAUUUUUAUUAGAGGUUUGUUUGUACAAUUACAUCCAUUUAUCAGGAGAGUACACGUGUACAACUCCUCUUUUAAUCUCACCAUUGUAUAUAUAUGAUACACGACCUUACUCAGAAUUGCAUAACAUUUCCUCUGCUCAUUCCUUUUCUUCUUUGAAUUUUCCCUUACCUCACUGAUUUUGAUUUAUACCUGGUGUUUUCACCUUUGGUCUCUACCUUUCUAGCCAGUUUUCUAAUUAAUCCGUAUAUGGUAUACCUGUCAACUAAUGAGGAGAAAGAGAAAAGGGGAUUGCUGUUCCACCAGCUACAUAUAAUAAUUAAUUACAAUCAUGGUAAUGGAUCCUGAAAUCCAUCCUUUGUGGAUUUUGUACGGAAUAUUGUUGUUAUGUAUGUGGGCUCACUUAGAUGUAUAUUGCUAGCCUGUCUGGGAAAUGUGAUUGCAGGUCCAGAUUAUGAUGUUGAUAUUAGUGGGAUAAGCAAGAGAUGCAGUUAACACGUAUGUGAUGGACUUGAGUAACUUUUCCAUUUCAGUCCAUUUUUUAAGAUUAUGCUUAGUCUUAUUACAAGGAAAGACCAUAAGAAUCAUGAGUCAUUGGCAAGGUAAUAUCAUUCCCUCUUUACAGGCUUCUUCACCUUUUGGUUUUUUUAAUAUCCAUCAAGAUCUUUUAAUUGGAGGACAAUUACAAGUAUAUAUAUAUGUAUUAAAAGGGGAAAAUAUUAAAACAGGAAAUUUUAGGGAAAAUAUAAUAAUUAUUUCUUCCUUCUUUCCCAUAUAGAACUACACAAAAUAAAACUUUAAUAAUUUUUUCUUAUCUUUUUUAUUAUUAUUUUUUCUUAGAAACAUCCGUGGUCUCACAAGCUUGUAAUCCUAGAUUGUUAGGCUCCUUUAACAGUGCCCCAACAUCGUGGUCCAAUGACAAGCUUCCACGCCUUAAAAUCAGAAAAUGCCAUUAAACUUUAUCAGACAUUACAGUUCAAGACAAAGCUUUCAUUUGCUUAAUGUGAUAAUGAAAUUGUUAAUUUCAUUUCGUGGGCAUCUAAAUUUGGACGAGCAAGACCUCUGAAUUCCCUGUUUUUAUCACCAGCAGAGGAGAUAAAAUCUUAAUGGUGAGAAUCUCCACGUGAAAUUUAUGUGUACUGUCAACAUAUUUUUGUUUAUAUAGUCCAGUAGCUGCAGGAAGUCUAGAUUAUAUAGGUAGCAGUAGCACUAUUUAUAGCACUCGAUAUUCGCUGUAUGAAUACAUUAAACCUUGUUUUCAAUACGCAUCACAAGCAAGUACUAGAUACUACAAGGAGUGACAGUCGCAUCAACAUUUCUUGAUAAUAGCAGUGACUGAUUUAUACACAGAACAGUACUGUACACGUACCAGUCACCAGAGAUAGGAUCUUAUUCCUACAUACGACUCUUAUUGAUCGAAGUCACUCAGUUGGGGUAGCCUGGAGUUGGAGGUUUGUGUGGUGGCUUCUUCUUUGGAGGAGGCUUUAUCUUUGGAGGCAUCAUCUUUGGAGGCAUCUUGUGUGAGUCUUCUUCAGCAUUCUCUACAGGAGGAUGGCCAGGCUUAUGACCCUUAGGUGGUUUGCCAACUGGGAUUGGUGGCUUGUGUCCUGAGAGUGGCUCCUCUUCUUCGGGAGGUUUGCCAACUGACGUUGGUGGCCCGUGUCCUGGGGGUGGCUUGUGUUUUGGGGGUGGUUUCACUCCACCGGGAGGUUUACCAAUUGGUGUUGGUGGUUUGUGCUCAAUCGGUGGCCUCUCAACUGGGGGGCGCUUGGGGUAAUCAGCGAGUGAAGAAGUGGUGAGAACCACCACUCCAAGCAACAACACUAGCAAGUAUGUGGAAGACAUCUUUGAGUUUGGCUCAGAUGGUGUAGAACUAGAAUCCUGGGUGGCCUUUUAUAUUAGUUGGGCCCUAUGCCCGAACGACAAGUGUCAUGGUGACACAUAAAGUGAUGGGGUCGAUUUGGGCCUACCGGAUUUGAAAACUUGGACAAUUCGAGAAGCGUCUCCUGACUCCGGGUUGUAAAGUGAAAGAUUAGGUAUCGACCAUUGAAGUAUGAUCACAACUUUUGGCCUUUGGCUCUCUCUACUGCCGUAUAGCUUUUUUCCUUUGGAUAUUUUUCUUAGCUAGACACAAUUAUUGAGCAGUCUAAUCUCGAAAUGGGAUUAGUAUAGCUUUAAGCAAAUUUAUUAUAGUUAGUGGAGGACUUUUAAGAGUGCAGACGACAUUUAACACAUGCAUGCAGUAGUAUAGGGGACAUAACACUAUUCUUUUUCCAAAGAUUCACAUGAUUUUUAUAUUAUAGUAUUGGCACAUUGUAUGUAGCUGGUUUUGUGGUUAAAAUUCCAUAUGUAGACACUGGCGUUUCUCCAUUUCUCACAAUUGAUGUUUACCUCCACGAUUACUAGAUUAGAUAUACCAAACAAUAACACAUUGUAUAAUCUAUCCGCCCUUCAAAAUCUACUGUAUGAUGAAAUGUUUCAUGUGUGUGUGAAGUGUUAGAAAUGCACUAUAGGCAACAUCAUCUUCUUUUGUCUAGGCUUGGGCCUCAAAUUAUACUCCCAUGCCAUGAUAAAUUUUCAUGUGCAUUCUCUAAAGAAGAGUGUCUUGAAUGUGCCAAAUCAUUUUGAUUGAUUUUAUGAUGUUAAUUGCUCCGCAUAUGGAUGGGUAUGUGCUUUAUUUGCUUAUUCAAUCCACAAUUACCUUGAACUGAAGUCCUAUUGGAGCUCUAUUAUUUUAGCAACGUCCUGUCAAAUAGGCUGCUAACUUGGGGUGGUAUGGACCCAAUGAUCCAUCUUAAUCUUGGGUUGAUUUUGUCUGACUCUAUCUAUCUCAGAGAGAACCAGGAUCACCAGUGCUGGUCUGCUUAAAGAAGACUCAGUACUGGAUUAAUAUUGGUUUGGGUCAAUAGCUUAUAAUGCAUUGAAUGCAGAAUAAACAAGAUCAAUGAAACCCAAAACACACUGCCCACACAACUUCACUCUGGUGUCUGUUAUUCAUCAAUUCUAUUCCCACAUGAACUGGUUCAAGUUUAAGAAAAUGACAACGGAUCCACUGUAUUAACUUGGUUUUGCUUGGUUUUGAGCUAGUUGCCAAACCAGCCAUGAGUUUUACCUCUAAUGUCAAUGAACAAACCCCAAAUGAACAACUGCAACAGCUUAAAGAGAAGGAAUGGAGAUGAAAAUCCCUGUUUCUUCUCAUUCUGGGGACAAAUUAGAACAUAACUACAAAGGUUCUAUUAAUUGACUUACUCUACCAUGAAUUAUGGUUCUUUGGUUUUCCAAAUUUAAAUUGUACAUGAGAUUAUUUUUUUCCUUUAUAUAUAAACAUAUUAAGGUUUUCUUAUUUCGUGGGCAAAUGCGCUAAGGAUGAAAGUCAUUUCAUUUGGCUGCAACAGCAUCUUAUAAUCAACAUGCAUAAGCAGCAGUUUUAAUUGAUCGAUUGAACACCGACUCACAAGAAUAGAUAGAAUGGUACAAGACAGCUCUUAUUAAUUUAUACUCGUUACUCAUUUUAUGUAGCCCCAUUAAGAUGGCUGGCUGGACCACCGAGGUCUGGGGGUGGUGUUGCUUGUGUGAUGCAGCGGGCCGGGCAGACACUUCUCUAGUUGCUUCUAUUUGGAGUUAGAGGAUCAGUCUCUGCCAACCUUGAGGACUCUCUACCUCAGAGGGUCCAGGUGGUGGACUCUGGUGUCGGUAGCUUUGAACUCUCAGUAGACUAGUGUGUCUUAAUCAGUCACUGCCAGAGGCUGGCGUAGGCAGUGACGAUAAGGUGAGACAAAUUACCGAAUAGUCAAUAUCGACUGCACUUGACCAUUAUAGAUUUGUUCUGACAAAAGUGAGAAAAGGGAGAAAAUCGGAUGUUGACCUUUAUAGAAAAAGAUAAGAUUUACUGCAACACAGAGCACUGAUUUGUUACUUGGAAACCAAGUUAUGCUAUUAGCUAGCCUCCAUUAGCAGCAGGGUACCUUGCUGCCUGAUCCUAAUCUGAGUUCCCAAGGUUUCAAUCUUCGUUUGUUAACGCUUCAGGAUUUGGAUAUUUCAGCUUCGUUUCUCCAUUUAGCCAACGCUGCCUGGUUUGGAUUUCAAUCCUCAUCUGGAACAUUCUUUUUUCGGUCUGAUUCAGGAAGUGUUUGGUGAUAGUUGAUUAAAAUUAAACAGUACUAUCAUACAAAUAAAGCUGAUCUAAUUUUGGUGGGCAAUAUACCAACUCAUUUAUUCUUGAAAACACCAUGGGGAAUUGGAGGUCCAUCCGAAGUACUAUUUGAUGGGACUCACAAAAAGAACAGGUGCACAUUUAUGAGAUCCGUGGAAGAGAUAACUAUGACAGCUAUGCAUGUACAACAGAUUUAUGUCGAGUUCACCUCGUAGAUAUUUUGUUUUCAGUGUCGGUGGACCCCAAAAUGGAAAUCGGAAAUUAAGGUUAUAUUUAUUUUUUUAUUUAAUUUUAAAUAGAAUUUUAAUUUUUAAUAAUAUUAAGUAUUAAAUUAUUUUUUUAAGGGUAUUUUAUUUUUAUUAAGUAUUAAAAAGUAAAAAAAAUUAAUAUGUUGCUUUUUUAUUUUAAAAAAAUUAUAUAUUUUAAUUUUUUCUAUUUACUAAAAAGUUUAUAAUAAAUUAUAAAAAAAUAAAAAAAUAAAAAACUUAAAUUCUGAAAAUAAAUUAUUUUUAAUAAAAAAAUCCAAAAAAGCAAACACCACCUAAAUUUGAGAUGACUCAAAAUUUUAUAUUUUUUUUCACCUAAAUUAUAUUCAUAAAUUUAAAAUUAAAAAAUUAGGAAGUUGAAUUUUAUUUUGGAUAAUUGGAAACUACAAGAAAUCAAUAAAAAUAUUUGGAAAAAAAAGAAAAAGAAAAACUAUCUAUAUAUUCACCCCCUUCUAAGAAACAUAACUUUAGUUUUUAACUAUUUUUUAAAAUAAUUUUUGAAAAAUGUUAUAUAAUAUUUUAUAAAACAAAAAAUCUGUUUGACAAUUUGAUAUGUCUUUAACUUAUUUUUAAUAUUUAUAUAUAUAUAUUUUAAAAAUAAUUUUAUAUUUAGAACUUUAUCUUUAAUUAUUAUAUAUAUUUAUAUAAUUAUUUUUUUUAAAACAACUCUUAAAAAAUAAGUGAAAGUAAUUGAAAACAACUCAAAGAUAUUUGAUGAAAACACUCUAAUUUGUAUUUUUGAGAAUAAAAAAAUAAAUAAAUAAAUUUCUAGUUAUCAAAUGUAUUUUUUAAUUCUUUUAUUCUAAAAAAUAGAAAAUCGUUUUUGAAAAUAAUUAUUAAACAACAUUCUUAAAAAUUCACUCGUUACAAUCUAGAUUUAAUGCAAGAAUGAUUGAAGGAGUCCUCCAAUAGAACCCAAAGUUAUAAACAUGAACAAGAAGCCCUAGAAACACCAAAGAUCUCAUAUGGUAUAUAUAUGAGCUUGAUUGAGAACUGUUUUAAAUUCAGUUUUUUUUUUUUUUUUUUUUUUUUGUUUUCAAAGUCAAAACAAGUUUACUUUUAAUUUUUACUUCUUUUUUUUAAUUUUAUAAAUAACAGUUUUUUAAUAAUUUAUUUUGAAAACAUGAUUAUUUUUAAAACUUAUAAUGAAAAUAGGAAUUUUUUUUUUAAUAUCAUGGUUAUUUUCCCUUCUUUUAAGGAGGGCUAUUUUAAAAAUAAAUUUACAAAUAUGAAAAAUGAUUCAAACUAAAGCAGUACAAAUAAAAAACAUUUUUAAGAAAUAUUUAAAAAUAGAGAAAAUUAUUUGAGAACAUUUGAAGUCCUUAAAUAGACUUUUGUUUUAGAAAAGGCAAGAUAAUUAUUUUUGAAAAUUGUUUUCAUAAUGAUAUGCAAAAACCUACGUAAAAACCAUAAUUAUAAUCGGCCACAUAUCAAAUCUACUAAAUAUGAAAAGUAAGUACAUAAUUAUAUUUGACUUAGAUGCAAGGAGGAAAAUGUCGCGAUAUUAUCGCCGAAAUAUCGUGUGUCGAAGGGUAUCGACACGAUUUUUCUUGCAGAAAUAUCGGCCAGUCGAUUUUUCGGGAUAAAUCUCGAGAAAUCGGCAAUUUAUCGCGAUAUAUCGGCGAUUUUUCCUCGAUAUAUCUUCUGGUCAACGCGGGUCAACGGAGUCAACACGCUACAGUGAAAGUCAAAUGUGCUACAAUGUCCCCGCUACAAUCACCUCCCCAAACAAAUUGCCAAAUUGCUUCCGAGGGGAUUUGAACCAGCCUUCUUGCCAUUUGGGCUAACUCGCCCUUAUGAUAUAUAUUGCAUUAAACAUAUAUAUACUUAAAGUCCUUAUAUAAAGAAAAUGUUAAAAAAAUAUUUUAAAGAGCAAAUUAAUUAUAAUUAUUUUAUAAUUAAAAGCAAAAUUUUCUUUUAAUUAAUUACCAAAAAUAUAAAAAUUAUAUAAUUUUCUUCAUAAUGUUUUUAAUAUCAUUAAUAAUUAAUUAAAUAUUAAAAAAUUAUAUAUAUAUAUAUAUAUAUAUAUAUAUAUAUUAUAAUUUAUUUUAUAUUGUUUAAUACAAUUGAAUUAAAUGGAUCAUAUUUUAAUAUUAAUAUAUAUUUUAAAAUUAGACAUAUUGUAAUCAAAUAUCAUAAUAUUAUAUGUAAUUUAAUAAUAAAUGUACACUUAUAAAAUUCAUAUUUUUAUCGAUGCAUACAAUAUUAUUAUCAAAUAUGAUAAAUCAUGUUAUACAUAUAUCAAAAUUUUCAAUAAAAUAACUUUAAAAUGUCUAUUAUACUUCUAAUUAUAUUAUUAUGAGGUUUUCUUUACAUUUUCAUGAGUUUUAAACAAUUUUAAGCACCAAUAUUUUUUUCCAAAAUAUCCACCGAUAUAUCUCCGAUAUAUCCAAUAUAUCUCCGAUAUCUCCGAUAUAUCCGUAAAAUCGAAGUACCGAUAUAUCCGUGAUUACCGAUAUUUUCAUCAUUGCUUAGAUGCAACCUUCUUCCAAAUGACAUACUUUAGUCAAUACUUAUAUUUUUUCGUUUCACUUCUUUGAUACAACACCUCAUGGAUUUAUUGUUUAAUUUAUUUGUAAUUAUAAAACUAUUUUUCAUUUUUAAUAAGACUUGAAUUAAUUUAAUAAAUAUUAUAUAAUUUGAAUUUAUAAUUCUUUUUAUAAAAUCAAAGUAUAUUAAAAAAAAAACAAUUUAUCCGAAGAAAGUUUUUUAUUUUUUAUUUUUUAAAACCGAUUUUAAAAAUAACUAGCUAGACACCCUUAUUUUGAUAAAAUACGAAAUAAAAGUGUAAAAACAACAUGGCCAAAUAGGGGCUUAAAUUUUAUUUUUAAAACAUUUUUUUACACUAAAGUGCAUUUUAAAAACACCAUCAAAACCAACUACAAGUUAUGCUUCUUCCCGUAAUAGAAAUAUUUUAGGCCAAAAUAGAACCUCCCCAAAUAAAGACCCUAUACUAAACUCCUUUUCAUUUUAUUAAUACAAAAGUGGGGAAAAAAGGUCUAUGCUCACCUAAAAAACAUGAAUAUUGUGAAUUCACCAUUUCUAUAAGGAAGUUGAAAACUUCAAAAUUUUAUCAACAAAUUCUCUAAAAUCCUCAAAAUAUAUAGGGCCUGUUUCACAAAGUUUUUUAAAAUUUGUUUUUAUAAAUUGCUUUUAAAAUAUAGAAUAAAUAACAGUUUUUUAGAUUUUUUGAAAAAUAAGAGUGUUUGGUAAGAUGUUUUUUUUUUUUUUUUUUUUUUUAAGAAUUAAAUAAAAAAUAAAAAAAUUGUUUAGAUAAAAGAAUUUGUAUUGUUUUUAAAAACAAUGUCUUACUUUUAUGUUAUAAAAAUUUUAUUAAUUUAAUUUAUAAUAAUAUGAAAUGAAAUUCAAGUUAAGUCUUAUUAAAAAAUACAAAUUAAAUCUAUAAUUAUGCAUGAGUUAAAGAUAAAUAUAUAUUUUUUAAAACUAUAAAAUAAAUUUUCUAUUAUAGUGAAACAAAAAUUACUAUAAAAUAAAAAUAAUUUUAAUAUUCAUUUUUAAUACAAGUCAAAUAAGUACUUUAAUUAAUUUUUUUUAUCAUGAUUUCUUAUGUUUUUUUUUUUUUCUAGAAAUUAUUUUAAGUAAUAUAACUAAUUUUUUUUUUAAUGUUUUAUAAAAAUAAGGAUAUUUGGCAAGUUGUUUUUAUAAAAGGAUUUUAAAAAUAAAUGGAUUUUUUUUUUUUUUAAAAAAAGAACAAAAUGAUUUGUUUGAAUAAAUUGUUUUGAUUUUGUAAAAACAUUUUAAAUUCAAUUUAUAUAAUAUUAAUUAAUUAAAUUAAAUUGAAGUUUUAUUGAAAAUAAAAAUAAUUUUGUAAUUAAAAUUAGAUUAAAAAAUAUAUAGGUUUUAAUAAAUCGUAAAUAGUAAUAUUAUAAUAAAAUUAUAAAUUAUAUUUUUAACAUAAAAUAUACUAUUUAUUACAUAUUAAAAAAAAUAUUUUAUUAUAUUAAUAAUUUUAUGGUAUUAAUGAGUUUAUUAUUUAAGUUUUAAAUUAUUUUUAAAAAUUAAUAAAUUUGUUAACAAAUGCAAUGUACUAAAUGUGGUUUAAUUUGGAGUUAAUUUGUUUAGGGAAAAAAAUAAAAAAUAAAAAUCUUAUGUAAAAGAGAAAUAAUAGAGUGUGUGUGUUUUUUUUUAUUAUUUUUAAAAAUCAGUAAAAAGAACUUUUACUUAUUGCCUAAAAAUUAUUCUCUAUUUUAUUUUAUUUUUUAAAUCUAGAAAUAGAUAACAAUAAUAAAAAAAAUUAAAAAAGAAAAAUGUUUUUUAAAACUCAGACUUAUAAUUGCUUUUGUUUCUCAUUCGCACCCCUGGAUUCCUGGAUUCUAAACACAAAAUUAAGUUGAAUCGUCCAUCUAUCUUGUAAGCCAAGAAUUCACAUAGAAGAAAUAAUCGGAAUUUGAUUUGAUAUCAGAUUUAGAGUGGCUCACUACUCAUGCAUUGUCCCACAAUAGUAAUGCUUUGGGCCGAGAUAAACCCAUUUGUGGGCCCAAAUAAAACCCCUGGUUUGAAAACAUCGAUUUUACAGUGGCCCAAAAGAUUAUCUAUGAGGGGAAGAUAACUUGGAAGUCAAGCAAACACAUUUAUCGCUAACUUUUCUCUAAUUAUAAAAUUAUAACUUGGUCUUCUACACGUCUCACUUAAGAGGCGGAGCCACUUGGCACUACCUUUCCAUAUUGUAAAAGGAGAAGAAGCAGAAGGAGAAGAUUCUUAUGCCAUUCCACACACCAUGGCUAGUACUGCUAUGCUGCUUGGCCCGCCGGCUCUCCGCCAUCCUAAUUCUCCCGCCGGCACUGUCUUUGAAGAUGGGGUCAUUCUAACGGAUUCCCUGAUCGUCCGCACCAGUAAUCUGGAGCUUUCUGAAAAACCGCCACUGGAAUCCCUGGCGUAGUGCUCUGUCAGUGGGGAUAUUGCUAUGGAUUGUUUGGAUUCCCAAGCCCACAAUCUUCAUCUUCCCGGGAAACCGCCGAUGGGCUUAACGGAAAACAAGUCUCCGACCUUUUUGUCUUCCGGGAACCCGUGCUUGGACUUCUUCUUCCAUGUGGUUCCCGAUACGUCGUCUGAUGAUCUGAUCCGACGGUUUGAGUUGGCUUGGGAAUUCAAUCCGCUGACGACGUUAAAACUGAUAUGCAACUUGAGAGAGGUGAGAGGCACCGGAAAAUCUGACAAAGAGGGUUUCUACACGGCGGUUCUCUGGCUCCACGACCACCAUCCCAAAACCCUAGCCUGCAAUGCUAGGGUGUUGGCCAGCUUCGGUUAUUUCAAGGAUUUUCUCGAGAUUCUCUACCGGCUUCUGGAGGGCCCUAAAAUUCGAAGAAUCGAAAAGAAAGACUGGCUGGAUCGAAAAGGAAGGAAGAAAAAUUCCCGGAAAAGGAACUCAAUAUUCAAGCGAGAAAAUAGGCCUGGAGUUGAAUUUCCUGUAGAAGAGAAGGAUGUGGAGUAUAUGGUGGAAGAAUUUGUGGAUAAAGAAAAGGCUAGGGUACUGAGAAAGGAGAGAGAACUUGCUCUUGCCAAAAGAGCCCUGCACAAGUAUUCUACUGAUUCUAAUUAUCAGUUCUUACAUGAUCAGAUUUCAGAUUUAUUUGCUGAACUUCUGAAAUCUGAUAUUCAGUAUUUAAACUCCGGUGAGCUUUACAAGAUUAGUCUCGCAUCCAAAUGGUGUCCCACAAUUGAUUCUUCUUAUGAUAAAUCCACCUUGAUAUGUGAAAAUAUUGCUCGAAAGGUUUAUUCUCGCGAGGAAUAUAUAUCCAGAAUACCAAGGAAUUGAGGAGGCUCACUAUGUUAAUAGAGUCAGGGAUAGGUUGAGAAAACAAGUACUUGUUCCAUUACGUAAGGCCCUGGAGUUGCCAGAGGUUUUCAUGUGUUCGAACCAGUGGGGAUCACUUCCCUACAACCGUGUGGCUUCAGUGGCCAUGAAAUCAUACAAGAGCCUCUUCUCAAAACAUGAUACAGAGCGGUUUGGUGUGUAUCUUGAGAAAGUGCAAACUGGGAAGGCUAAGAUUGCAGCUGGUGCAUUACUUCCCCAUGAGAUUAUAGCUUCAUUGAAUGAGGAGGAUGGCGAGAAAGUUGCAGAGCUUCAGUGGGCGAGAAUGGUGGAAGAUUUAUCAAAGAAUGGGAGGCUCACAAAUUGCAGUGCGGUAUGUGACGUAUCAGGAAGUAUGAGUGGAACUCCAAUGAAGGUGUGUGUGGCUCUGGGGCUGUUAGUUUCAGAGCUCAGUGAAGAUCCAUGGAAAGGUAAUGUAAUUACUUUCAGUGCAAGUCCUGAGCUUCACAAGAUCCAAGGAGACAGCCUUGUAUCCAAGACUGAAUUUGUGAGGAUGAUGGAAUGGGGUGCGAACACUGAUUUUCAGAAAGUUUUUGACAGAAUCUUACAAGUAGCAGUGGAGGGAAAUCUGAGUGAAGAUCAAAUGAUAAAGAGGGUUUUCGUUUUCACUGAUAUGGAGUUUGAUGAAGCUUGUGGGAGGUAUAACUAUUGUGAAUAUGACUAUGAUAUGGAGGAAAUUGAUGAGAGUCAGAAGGCAUCUCAGAAGUGGGAGACAGAUUAUGAAGUGAUACAGCGGAAAUUCCAGGACAAAGGAUAUGGAAAAGUUCCGGAGAUAGUGUUUUGGAACCUUAGAAACUCAUCAGAGACUCCAGUGAUGGCCACAGAGAACGGGGUGGCCUUAGUAAGCGGGUUUUCGAAGAAUCUGUUAGACCUUGUUUUUGGAAGGAGGUGGAAUUCUGACCCCUCAGGAUGUGAUGGAAUUAGCCAUCUCUGGUGAAGAUUACAAGAAACUUGUUCUAUUUGAUUAAGAUAUCAAGAGAUUUAUCAAUAAUAAUAUGUUUUUUUUUUUCUAUGUGAAAUACAUGUAAUAUUAACUAUGGAGUUAUCAAAGUUCUGGAAAUUUAAUUAUUUCUUCUUUUCAAGUUUUGUUUGUCUUUGUUAGGAAUUCCCCUUGGGCGGACCCAGCUGGGGACUUGGAUUGAGGAAGUAAGGAGGCGAAAUUGUGUUCUUCUAUGGACAGAGAAAAAAGAUAAAAAUAAAAAAUAAAAAAGGAGGUUAUUUGCAUUUGGAUGUCAUGUGGUUUCAGGGUACAACUACAAGUUCGAAAUUGUACAUAAUGUGAAAAUUCCUGUGUGGAGAACAGCAUAAAUAUGUAUCUCAGUGUGUUUUGUUUGAGCUAAUUGGCAAAUUCGCUUUAAACAUGGUCACAUGGAUGCAUAUUUAUUUGUGAAAUGAUAGUAGUCGAUUACUUGGUCAGUAAGGUUUGUAUCUCUAACUCCAACAUCUUAUUGUAGUCUUUUAAAAUGUCAAAAGUUUAAUGCUAGCUUGAGAAAUUUUGGAAUGGAGACAUUCUAAACAAAGUUAAUAAUCCAUGAGACUUGGUAAAACCGAUCAGAUGAUGCUUACGUACAUGAAUGCCUUCUUUAAGCCGUAUCCUAUUUUCAUUGAAUGAGACGUGCCAUCUAGUUUUGUUCUUGUCUUGAUUGGAUCAUGAUCCCGGGAAUUGAUUACUGUUCUGAAUUUGCGAAUGUUCAAGGUAUUAGAGAAAGUUAAUAUUAUCGUUAAUUUACAUAUUAGUAUUUAUCUAGUUAUUAUAUAUUAGUUUGAAUUAUAAUAUAAUAUAGAAUUUGAAUCAAGUUUACUAUUAGUUUGAAUUACAAUAGGAAAUAAAGUUUGAAUUAUAGUAUAACUCAAAUAUAUUUGUAUAUAAAUAUCCAUCUUUAUCAAUGAGAAUAGUAAACCAUAUUUUUCUCUAUCUUCUUCUUUCUCUAUAUAUAUGGUAUCAAAGCCUCCAAAUCCUAAACCUAGUCUCAACUUAGAGCAAAUUUAGGGUGCAGGGUUUAGGCCCCGCCUCCCCCAACCCUUACCACAAAUGGUAGUGACCUUGUUAUGCCUAUGUAUUGUCAAUGCCUCAUUUUCUAUGGUCUUCAAUACAAUAUCUAGUUUCAAUGUCUCUUUCCUUACUAUCUCCAAUGCAAUAUAUUGAUUUCAAUAUCUCUUUACAACCAAGAGCUCCAAAUUUUCCUGGUUCAAAUCUACCAUAAUUUUUAUUCUCCUUUGCUUUUUACCAAUAUUAGUUCCCCUAAUUUAAUAUAUAUCUCUUUAUUACCUUCAACUCUACCUCUCUCUUUCUUUAAAAGCUUCCUCAAAGAUUUGAUUGCUUUCUUGCAUGUUUUGGGAAAACAAACAUGCUCAUAUUCUAUUACCUCUACUUGAGAUCUGCCUUAUACUCUACCUUCUUCUUUACCUCCUAUAUCAUCUACUACAUUAGCUUCAAAAACAUUAUUUAGUUUGAUGCUAAAUAAGGCUCCUAAUCCUACCCUUCCUUCAACUAACUUUCUUUUACAAGUCCCUCAAAGUUUUUUUUUUUUUUUUUUUGGAAAUUUGGCUUAGAAAGAUUUCAUUACUCUUACCUAAUCUUUCAACCAUCAAGUCGAAUCCACUUAUCUCUUGAAUCCAAGGAGACUACCCUCCACAAAAACAAGGAGAUUGACCCCCACAAUAACAAAGAGAUUGUCCUCCAUAGAAACAAAGAGAGCUUCCUUCAUGGAAGCCGAAUACAUCGCAAUCUAUUUUCUUUCUCUCAAGAUCAAAUCUCCAAUCGGAGCUCCAUCUUGUGGGGAUAUAUUAGAAAAAGUUAAUAUUAUCCUUAAUUUACAUAUUAGUAUUUAUCUAUAUUAUAUAUUGAAUUAGAAUAGAAUAUAGAAUUUGAAUUAAGUUUACUAUUAGUUUAAAUUACAAUAGGAAAUAGAGUUUGAAUUAUAGUAGAACUCAAAUAUAUUUAUAUAUAAAUAUCCAUCAUUAUCAAUGAGAAUAGUAUUCCAUAUUUUUCUCUUUCCCUGAGGCUUCAGAAUGUGAUCUUGAACAUUUGAUCUUUUGGAUUCUUCUUGUUUCGGUGGUUUAAUAUAAUGGAAUGUUUAAUUAUAGCCUACUUUAUCACCAUGGAUGUGCUCCUGCAGAUUUCUUGAGGGUGAUGGUUAUUUUGUCAUGUUUCUUGAAUGGUUUGCAUCAGCUGCCUGAGCUGUUGUUGCUGGUCACUUUUGCAACCAGGGAAAGAAUCAUGGCUUUGGAGAAGCCAGCUUCUGUUUUUGUUGCCCAGCUGUUAGUUCACUAAGAUUGGGGGUCCUAACAUGUAUGUAUAAUCAUAAGCAAGGAAAUUUUAUGUCUUACGCUAGAUAGGUACCAUGAUAUGAUGUUUGAUUGAUUUAUUAACUCUACCUGUUUCAAAAGGCAUCAACAUUAAUUUUACCCUUUUAACACAUUGGAUUGUUUGACCUUACGAGAUUUUCUAUUUCUGUACUAUUUGAACUGCAAUCGUUAUGGUCCUUAGGUCUCUAAACCUUCGUUUAAAAUAAAAGUAAGGAGCACACAUAGUAAAAGUUAAUUUUGGGUAACUUUUAAAACAAAGAGAAAAGUAAAAGUUGUUUUUGAGAAAAACAUAUAGAAAUUGAAAGAUUUUUUAUUUUGAGAAAAAAAAGUCAUAGAAAAGAAAUAAUAUCCCCAUAUAAGUAGAUAUGAUCUAUCCGAAGUGUAGCUACUCUCCUGGAUUUAUUCUAACAUUUUAAAAUUUUUCUCAAUGGGCAAAGGAAUAUCAAAUCAAGCUUGAGUAGGAUUAAUUUCUUAAUUUUUAAAAUAACUUAUAAUUAAAAUUUUUUGGUGUUUUCUUUUUUGGACAAUUUUUUAUGAAGACUCUGAAUCAUGCAAGAGAUAUGGUUAUUUUAAAAAAAAAAAUAAUUUAAAACUCAAAUACAUAAUCAAUGUCACAAAUUUAUAAACAAAAGGUUUUUAAAAAAUACUAUUAUUUCCCCUCUACACAUAAUUUUACUUUUCCGAUUUAUUUAUUUUUGUUGGAAAACAGUCUUCAAAUCAAGUAAAAUUAAUAUGUUAAAUUUGUUAAACAAAUAAAUUUUAAAAUACAAUUUGGAACUCAAAAAUCAAUUCAAGUAAUGCUAAAAUUCAAAAAAUCAAAUUUGGAAUAAAAUGACUUUGUAAAUUUUUUUACUAAACAAAUGAAUUUUAAAUCAAGUGAGAUUUAAUACAUUGGAUUUUUAUGAGAAUAGUAAUUUUAAAAAUUAAUUUGGAACUCAAAAAUAGACACAAUAAAUACCAAAAAUCAAUGAACCAAAAUUGGUUUGGAAUAACUCCAUAAUUUUUUAUUUAUUUAUAUAUUUAUUUUUUUGUGCACACGAAUUUCUUACUAAGCAUAUUGCUUCCAAAUUGAGAAAAAUUUACUAUUUAGAUUUUUUUAAUGAGUUUAAUGGUAUUUAAAAAUAAUUCAAAAAUUCGAAAAUUGACUAAUUUAAUAUUAUAAAUUCAUAAACCAAGACUAAUUCAAAAUGCAUUGGGGGCUAAGGGGGUUGAAAUUAAUGCUCCAUUUGGUUGUGGCCACCAAUUGGCAAUGGCCACCAAUCAACCAAUCAAGGUGGCUAAGGGGGUUGAAAAUAGGGACAAUGGGGUGGGUUUGGGACAGGACACUCAUAUCCCAUUCCCAUCCCAAUUACACAGUUAUUUCCCAUCCUUAUUCCAAACUUGUGUUGGGGCAAGUUGAUUUGUUCCCAUCUUUGUUAACGAAAUGACUAAUAACCUCAUCCUCUCCUUGUCUUAGAUGUACAUUUUCUCAAAUUUGGUCAGGUAUGAUUGAUUCAAGCCCUAACCUUAAUUGGUAAUGAGUGGAUACCACACCUAAUUGCAUUCUUCUUUCGUUGCAAAAUAAUGAGAUUAUAAUAAUCUAGCAAAUAAGAAAAAAUAGUAUGGAAGUUCAAAUUAACACCAUAACUAUCAAUAAUUUUAAGCUUAUAGAUGACUUAAAUGAUUGAAAACUAAUGCAAAAUACUAAAAAAAAAAAAAAUCAUCUAAAGAAUUCACAAGAGAAUAGAACGAACAAAACCAAAUAGGAACAUGGGUCAACAUUAGUUACAGAUUUUGAUCCCUUUCAAGGCCAAUCUUUGAACCAAGACUUCAUCAAAUCUACUACUUCAAAGGCUUUUGUGUUCUUCUUGAGUUGUACUCUGGAACAAAGACUUCGAGGUGAUGCUUUAGAUGAUUGCAUUACACAUAUUUAGGGUAGGGAGAUUGGAGAAGCUUGAAGAUGCCAACGAUGGGUACAAUUGAGUGGUCAAUAAGAACAAUGUGGCCUAUGACUAGUUUGAUGUCAUGGUAUAGGAGUUUUGGGCAUUGAGGUGAAAGCAAGAGCAACAUGGAAUUGAUUUCAAAGUCUUUCAAUUAGUGUAAAGGAGGAAGAAGAAGUGGUAUUGAUCCUAGAAAUAGUGUUUUAGGUGUUGCAUUAGAGGAAAAGAAAAAGAAAAAGAAGGAACCAUUGGAAUUAGUACGAGUGUGAAGAGAGAAGUGUAUACAUAAGGGGAAGUAAAAGCAAAGUUCUAAAAAUUUAUUUUUUUAUUGGUGGUGUAUGGUUGCAUGAUUAUCCCUAUAAAUAAUAGGAGUUUUUUGGUGUUCUACUAGUAGUUGAAGGAUAAUUUCAUAAGAUAAUAUUUAGAGCGGGGUGGGGUGAGUUGUGACAAAAUCCAUACCCGUCCCAAACAUUGGUUCAGGUUUUUAAAAUAUUUUCAAACUUAUCAUAUACCCAAUUUUAUAUUUCAUACUUGUCCUAAUAGAGACAGGUUAGUCAGGGUUACUUGAGUAGCCUACAAAACUAUCAUCCCUAGUUGAAAUGCUCUUUUUGGCAGUGGCAGCUAGAAGCUCGAUCGAUUGACCUACAAGACUAGUUGUCAUCAUUUUAAAAAGAGUUUUGGCUUUGGUUGUGAGUGCAAUUGAAUCUAAACUAACAUUUCCUUAAUGCAUCUACUUCAAUCCUAAACUUCUUACUUAAGCCUCAAUUGUUGUUAAGAUUUUGGAAAACCCAUUUCCUUAAAUUGUAAAUUUAAGAAAAAAAAAAUUAAAAGUGAGACAUUUCUUGAUUGAAUGUUGUUAAAGGUCCCUUGGAAUUAAGACUUGGUUGAAGCCUUGGAAGAUUAGCAGAACUCUCAACUUAUGUUUGAACCUUGAGGAGAGUGGACGUAGGCCAAAAUUUUGUCAAACCAUUAUACAAAUUGAGUUUGAAUUCUCAUUUCUUGAUUUCUUAUUUAUUUGCUUUUUCUUAUUAUUACUUGAAUUGUCAUUUGCAUUCAUUAAUGUUAAAAUUGGUUAUAAUUAGCCAACACUAAUUCUCUUUCCCCUUCCCUUAAUUUCUUGGGUGUAAACCUAGGUUGGAUUAACUAGAUUUUAUCAAAUCUAUUAAGAUGGUAAAAGAAUAAUUAUUCUUAACAUACAUAAGAUCAUCUUCAAUCAAAUGACUCAUUGGCUGAUAUGUUGAAUUUGCUUAUUACUUGCAACUCAAAAUUGUGUUCUAGUUGAUAUGUCAAGUCCUGAGUGUAUGGACAUUAAAUUUGUAGUACGUGAUGAGUAUUUAGAUGGUCCAAUUCCAAGAAAGUGAUUGAAAACUAGUUCAAGAAAGGUGCAAAAGGGAAUUGUUUUGGUAUUUUCGUUUUUAUUCUUGAAGGUGGCAGAGCUAAAAUUUGAGAAAUCAAGCAAAACAUACUGAAAUUACAUUGAAAGAAAGAAAAUGGGAGUUAAUGUCUUGCAGUACAUGAUAAGGACUUCAUGCAUGUAGUGUGACCCAUGUCUUGGACUGAUGCCACACUCACGGUUACACUUAUACCCUUAGUUCUCUCUUUACUACCUUAGCUAACCUAGAUCAGGUUAUGAGAUAGGCACCUCACCACACCAUUACUUGCCCAUUAAUUAGUGACAUUUUCAAGCAAUGAGGUAACAUGGUGACACCAAGAGGGUAUAUUCCUCACCCCCAACAAGCCUAGACCUGGUCUAAAAAAAAUGGAGAAAAAUGACGUGUUGUUAUGCAGAAAUAUAGCAACCAUGCCUUCCUCAUUACUUAGAUUCAGAAUGUGAAGGUGAAAUUGAGAAACAGAAACUCUUGAAACCAAAAUGAAAAUUGAUACUUUUACGAAGAAUUACAACAACAUUAGAGGAAGACUACAUUCUUCCUCUUUAUUCCUACAUUUCUACACUACUUCUACUCCACUCCAUAUUUCUACAUACAUCUUUAAUCAGUCUUCCCUCCUUUAUAUAGAGCCAUCUUCACACAAAUUCCGCAAGGUAGAAAAGAGGAAUGAAACUUGGAGCAAGGUUCGACUACUGGCUGUAGCUUGUCAAGGCUGAAAGUGAACUUUUUUUCUUGGCUUUUCUGGGCAUAGGUAGUAACUUGUAGGUUCCUUUUUGGAAUGAAAAUGGUACGGCUAGAACAUGUGGCACUCUCUUGUUGGAUGAUGUGUCAAGCAUGUGGCAGCCAUCUAGUGGAGAUUAUGUCAAUUUUGGGAUGGAGAGUUGGCAUCCAAUUGCAAAGAAAUAUGACAUCUACCAACAUGCAAUGUCAACCUAUGUAGAUCAUAUGAAGAUAGAGAGGAAAAAUAUAGAAAUGGAUAUAUAACUAGAACUAGCUUUUUAUUAAAUGAGACGGAGAGCCAACAAUGAAGGAAAAUCAAAAUUUUUGGCUCAUAUCAAAGAAUUCACAUUGUGUUACCCUAGGUUUUCUUAAAACUUACUUUUAUGAUAAUAAAAAAUCAUUAUUGUUUAAUCCUUUGUUUUAAACGCAUGUUUAGCAGGUUGUAAAAUGUAAAUAUCUUUCGAAAUUCAAAUAUGAAGAUAUGACAUCAUUUCAAGCAAUAUAGUCUCUAGGAAUUAAUGUAAAGCUAAAUUAAGGUGCAAUUAAGUUAGUUCAAUGCAUUAUUUUAAGAAACUUGACCUAUCAAAACCUUGUCUUACUUCAAAGCCUCUUUUUCUUUUCUUCCAACUAACAUUUUAAUAAGUGAUCGCAAAAGUACAAAAUUAGAUGAAAUCCAUUUCAAUGGUUAAAAUGAUCAAAUUCAAACUUUUUCUAAGUAUCUUUUAAAAGCAUCAAUAUUGAAAGACAAUUUUAUAUUUAGUCAAAGCUUGGACAGAGCCAAAAAGCACACAAAAAUUUAUAUUUUCUAGCUCUCUACCUUGGAUGGUCUCUUGAUCCUACUUGGAGAUGUGCAUAAAUAAAAGGAUUUGAAAAUGACAAUUGACUAAGUAUGUAGUCAAUCAAUUACUCAUUGAUUGACUAGUUGAUCAAUUAACUUUGCAACAUCAUAUGCAAUCCUAAUAGCUAGUCAUCUAAUCAACUAGGUAGUAAAUCAAUAGGCCAAAAAUAUGUUUAUAAUGACUAUUUUGUACAAAAACCACUUAUAUAGUUAAAUAUAAUGCAUUUCAUUUAUAAAUCUUCUAAUUCUUGAAUAACAAUCCUAUCAUCCUUUGAAAGUUUUUAUUACACCUUUUCUACAUUUGUUCUAAAACUUAUACAUCACCCUUAAUUGUACCAUGAGAACCUAGCAUUUUUUUUUUUUUUUUUGUAUUUCAUCAAAGUUAGCUCUUGUACUCAUUGUUGUAUUAUUUUUAUUGUAACUUAGAGAGCGAGUGUUUUCAAGUGAGUGAAAUUGACUUGUAAAUAUUGUAAAGAUUCAUUGAUAUGUAUCUCAAACUAGGUGUACAAGUUGAAACAUUUGCUAGUAGAUUUUCUCAAGAUUUAGAAUGAGCUUAAGGCUAUCGAAUUAGGUGGGGUUGCGCCAAACCAUAUCACAUCGUUGUUUGCACCUUUUUUUUCACUCUCUUUUACUUAGUUGCUCUAUAUAUAUUGUCUAGCAAUAUCCUAAAGGCUUGAUGGGCUAGGGAGCAUCCCUCUGAAUGAAAAAUUUUCAUUCAAUUCUUAGUUGUAUUACGCAUAUAUAAAAUGCCUCAUUGUUUUAAUGGUAUUCAGUCGUGGCACCACAGAUAUGGACAUCUAAAUUUUAAAAGUUUGAAACUUUUAGCUAAAGAAAAUAUGGUGCUUUGCCUUUUUGGAAAGCAUGUUGAUGAAAUCCAUGAGAAUUGUAUACUUGGAGAGCAACAUCGAGAUAACUUUUUUUUUUUCUUUUUUUAUAAUGCAUUGUUUGUCCAAAUUCCGUACAAAUUAGGCCACCACAUGUUCAUAAUUCUCCCUUCUUGAAUUUGAAAACUCGGACAAUUUGACAAUGCGACACCUAAGUCCGGUUUUUAAAUGCUAAAGUGAAAGGGCAGGUAUGGACCAUUGAAAUGUGAUAACAACUUUUGGCCUUUUCCUUUUCUCUGUAGCCAUGUUGUCUCUUUUUAAUUUCUUUUGCAUGAUUUUCUUACCUAAACAGAAUCAUAGACUUGUUUAAUCUCUAAGUGGGAUUUCAUCCACCUUAAGCUACUGUAUUAUAUCUCGGUGGAGGACAACCGACAUAGAGCACAUGCAAGUGGGUAUAUGGGACAUGAAAUAUCUUCUUAUAAAGCUUGUUUUGCAGUUAAAUUAAUUGGAUAAGUAGACACUGGCGUUUCUAAAUUUCCCACCUAAGAUAAUGACCUUAUCCUUGACUGCUAGAUACACAAACAAUUAUACCUUCAAAAUCUACUGUGAAGUGCUUCAUGUAUGUGUGAAGUAUUAGAAAUUUCUUUCUUGGCAACUUGUUUUUUUCUUUGCGGUCUACUGAUAGGUUUGACUAAAAUUAUAUUCCCUGUCCUGCUAAUUAAUUUUCACGUGCAUGCUCAAAAGAAGAGUAUGACCUUAGUGCACCAAAAUCACUUUCAAUAAUUUGUGAUAAGUUUUUUUGCAUGACAUUAACCUUAUUCAUUUAGAUAAUGUUUAGUUCUCAUAAAUAUUAAGAAAAUGAAAAUAAAUAUUAAGAAAAAUAUUCUUAUAUUUGAUUGUAUUAUGAAAAAUAUCAUAAAAAAUCAAAUAUAAUUAAAAUUAAUUAAUAAUUUAUAUAUUUUAAAAUUAUUUAAUUUUUAUAUUAAAGAUAUAAUAUAAAUGAAAUGAGUUUUAAGUAUUAUAUAAAAAUGAUUUAUUUAUUUAUUUAUAUAUAUAUAUAUAUAUAUAUUUAGUUUUUCUCUUUAUUUUAUUUUCCUUAUGUUUUCCUCACAUUUUCCGGAAUCAAAGAUAGGGAAAUCCACAAUUACCUUCAACUGAGUAGAUUCUAUUGUUUUAGCAAUGUUAGGCUGCUAACUUGUGGUGGUACGAACCAAAUGAUCCAUGUUAAUCUUGGCUUGAUUUAAUUUGGCUCUAUCUCAGAGAACUCAAGGAUCACGUCAACUCUGGUUUCUACUAUUCAGGUCCAUUCCCAGAUGAACUGGUUCAAAUUUGAGAAAAUGGUAACAGACCUUUAGUGAUAUUGGUUUGGAGCCAGUUGCCAAACCUGCCCUGAGCUUUACCACUAAUGUCAAGGGACAAAGCCAUUUGAACAAAAACAAUAGCUUCAAGAGACUGAAUCGUGGAUGAAAUCUGAUCCACAUUUCUUCUCAUUUUGGGAAAAAAUGAGGACUUAACCACAAAGAUUCUACUGCCUCAUAGUGCUUUUCCUGAUCUAAGGUUGGCUCGUUUCCCAAAUUGUGAGGUGCACGUGCCACUCUCACGCUCAGGAGUGUAUCCACGUGGUGGACAUAAGAUGGUGGCUUAAUAUCUGGUGUCGGUGGCUUUACUUUACUAGGAGAGUAGUGUGUCUUCAUCUCAUUCACUGCCAGAGGGUGGCGUAAGCAGUGACGCUAAGGUGGGGCACAGUCAAUAUCAUUUGCAUUUGACCAUUAUAAUUUUCUCCCGGCUUUAAAGUAACCUUAUCGUGAUAAUGGAUUACUAGCACUAGUUCAGAUGACAGUCAUGUUAAAUUCGGACCAUGUUUGUGUCACAUUAUCAGCAACCAUGUGCUUGUGGUUCAUGCUAUCUGCAACUAAACUUGAUAUAUAACCAGGUGAACUUCAAUCUAAAUUCUGGAAGUACUCAUGUGAUAGAUGGUGCCUGUCUGCAGUGAGUGUAUCUAUAAGAGGGAAGGCUUGGCAAAUGUUCAGUUUUCUGGGAAUUCAACAGGGAUCUAAAAUAGAUUGUUUUCUUUGCUGAUUUCAAUGGUUGAAAUUUGAGAAGAUUGUGUCCACAUAACACAACUAUUACUGGUCCUUCUGUUGCAAUUUAUCCUCUAAGGCUCUAACAUGUCUUCCAAUUCCCACUUCCCACUUCCCUGUUACUCCAGGAAAGCUGUUUCUGUCAUUGUGAAGAAGAAAAGAGACUGUACAUAUCGAUGCUUUUAAGUGGACUGGAGAAUUCAUAUCAGGUGGUCUGCAGCCAUACAUGCCACUUUGUGAAGGUUGGAACAGUCAAUCACUAGGCUAUAUUAGUGGGGCCCAGCCACUUCAAUCAAGGACAAGUCUUCAUACUUAAAGUCAAAUUCUGCCUUUAGUCUCAUUAUAAAUUGCUGUUUAAAUAUCAAGCAAACAUUUGUUUAAUGCGAUUAAGACAGCACUAACUCAAUACUUGUUCUAUUUUUGGAUGCAAAUGCUUGAUAGUUUCAUCAUUGGAGGGGAUAAAGGUGCAUUCAUGAUUAUGAAUACUUGUAGUUAUAUUUUCAUUCUCUUUUUUCUCAAUGGGACUUGUUGGCACAAUUUUGCUGUUCAGAAACCUACCUCUCCAUGGAAAAUCAGUUGUGAUUGAUAUUACUGGAUAUAUUCAAGAAAGCUAAAUGUAGAUAGCACAAAAUAUUAUCGACAUAAAUAGCAUUAACAGCGUACGUAUGUCUCAAUGCUCAUCAGCUAUAAGCAAGGGGCAAACACUUACUAUGAGCAACUUACGUCAAAAUUCCGGAAUAGGACAUAGAAGUGACAGGUCAGUAAAUAUAGAACACUGCAUAUGAGUCACAAGAAAGGAAAUUACGGGUACAUAGCAGCUCUUAUUUUACAUCCUACUCAUACUGAUCAAAGUCACUCAGUUGGGAUGGGUGGGAGUGGGAGGUUUGUGGGGUGGCUUGUGCGGAGGAGUUGGCAGCUUCUUUCCAGGACCUGGUUGCUUCUCUGCUGGAGUUGAAGGAGGCUUAAUCUUCCGAGGUGGCUUGUAUGAGUCUUCAGCAUUCUCAGCAGGAGGGUGACCAGGGUUGUGACCACAAUGUGGUGGCUUCUCUCCCUUAGGUGGUUUGCCAACUGGGGUUGGUGGCUUGUGUUCCGGAAGUGGCUUCUCUUUGUGUUCAGGAGGUGGCUUCUCCACUGGAGGCUUGUGUUCAGGAGGUGGCUUCUCCACCGGAGGCUUGUGUUCAGGAGGUGGCUUCUCCACCGGAGGCUUGUGUUCAGGAGGUGGCUUCUCCACCGGAGGCUUAUGCUCUGGUGGUGGCUUCUCCACCGGAGGCUUAUGCUCUGGUGGUGGCUUCUCCACCGGAGGCUUAUGCAAUGGUGGUGGCUUCUCCACCGGAGGCUUGUGUUCAGGAGGUGGCUUCUCUACCGGAGGCUUAUGCUCUGGUGGUGGCUUCUCCACCGGAGGCUUAUGCUCUGGUGGUGGCUUCUCCACCGGAGGCUUGUGUUCAGGAGGUGGCUUCUCCACCGGAGGCUUGUGUUCAGGAGGUGGCUUCUCCACCGGAGGCUUGUGCUCUGGUGGUGGCUUCUCCACCGGAGGCUUAUGCUCUGGUGGUGGCUUCUCCACCGGAGGCUUGUGUUCAGGAGGUGGCUUCUCCACCGGAGGCUUAUGCUCUGGUGGUGGCUUCUCCACCGGAGGCUUGUGUUCAGGAGGUGGCUUCUCCACCGGAGGCUUAUGCUCUGGUGGUGGCUUCUCCACAGGAGGCUUGUGUUCAGGAGGUGGCUUCUCCACCGGAGGCUUAUGCUCUGGUGGUGGCUUCUCGAAUGGGGGAUGCGUAGGGUAAUCAGCUAGUGAGGGGGCGGUGAGAACCACCAGGCCAAGCAACACUACUAGCAAGUAUGUAGGAGACAUCUUUGGGUUUGGGCUCAGAUGGUGCAAAACUAGGAGAAUUGGCUAGCCUUUUAUAGCGGAUCGUACCCAAUAAUGAAAUGACACGUGUCAUUAUGACCCAUGUGUCAUGUGGUCGAUUUGGGUCCUACAGUGUUGAAAACUUCGACAUCCACUUUUUUGGCCUUUUGCUUUCUCUACAGUCGCCUUGCUUUUUCCCUCUUUUCUUUUGUUUUCCUCCUGCCCCAUUCUAUCAACUAAUCACAAUUAUGUAGUUGUUUAAUUCUUAAAUGAGAUAUUAUCCGUCAAUCAUAUUAUCUUUUAUCAAGAGAGAACGGAGUGAAAAGUGGCAAUCCAAAGAAAGAAGAUCCAUAAUGCAGCUGUAAUUUUAUCGUUUACUUUUAUCUCUAGGACCACUGCAUUUUUGUUGAGAGGUGCAAUAAUACACGUCUUUAUCUGCCAUUCAAUGUUUACAGUAAAGAGAGGGCACAAAACUCUUCACUGCUCUGCAUGUGCCCCAAAAAUGCAAUUGGACAAAUUAUGAUUUGCAUGCUAAAAAGAGGCAAAUGAGGUUAAUUAGCACCAAAAUUAUUUUGUUUUCUGGACACCCCGGGGCCCUUUGGUUGGUUUGGGGGUCAGAAAAUGAACAUCAUAGGGGGUUUUUCCCUAAUGUGCAUUUGCAUUUGUAUCUGAUGGCUUUAACUCGCCUUGUUACUACAAAGAAAUUGUCACAGAUAGGAACUUAUUCCAGGCUGAGUAUCUCCGCAUGGACCCUAUAAAAGAAGACAAGUCAUAAUGAACAUCUAACCUUUGUUCAAUUUGAUUCAAUGCCCCUAUUGUGUCCAUCUCACAAAUCUGAAUUAUUAUAUCCAUUGAAUACAUAAAUUAAUGAAGAAAAUAUGAAACCCAAGAUACAUCUCUGCACAACCUCAACCCUGGUUGCUAUGUUUCACUUCUAUUCACAUGAGGAUAUUGAUUACGGAAUAAGGAAACCUAGCAAGGGUUUACUCGGCUCUGGUUUGAUGCUAAUUGCCAAACUUGCAACAAGCCCUGAGUUUGACACCUAAUCGAUGGGCGAAUUAAAAGUCUCCUCCAAACAUAUAUUCCACAGCUUGAAGCUCACAGAAGAUGCUAUACAGGCAGGGAAAAACCUUCAGAGUUAGCUACCAAAGAUAAUUAUCAAGGAGAUAUCACCAAGAGAAUUCCAUGGAGUCUGAAUCAAAGACAAAUUGCUCGCUCGUGGGGGUUCUUACUUAAUUUCUUUUGGGUAUAACUCACUGAGGGCACUGGCUUUGUUAUUUGCAUUUCGCAUUUAGAGUUCUGUUCUGGAAGGUUUGUUCUGGAAACAUAUAAAAGGAGCAUCAUUUUGUUCUAGGGUAACCCAUAGUUGUGAGUGGGUCCAUUUGCAUGCUACUUAGUUGAAAAGUUGGACAAUUUGCUCCGACGCCUACCUCCUGGAUUCCAUGCUCGGAUAAAGCAAGAAUAAUAAAAUAUUUAUAAUUUACAAAUGGGGGAAAGAAAAAAAUGUCAACAACAAACUAGGAAAAAAGAGUAGUAAAAUUUAUGCCACAUGCUAUUGAUAGAAGGGGCAUGUAUUAGAUCCAUCACCAUUUGGUAAGAUUUUAGUAUUAUAUUUUUCAAGGUUCAUUAUUUGAGGGUGUGUUCUUCAUCUCUGUUGCAUUGCUUCUUACUAGGCCCACUGAGGUGGGUUCUUCACCUUUUGUAUAUUCUCUGCACUAGAUCAAUGAGAAAGGGGGAAUUUUGGUGAAUUUGCAGCCGUUGGAUGAUUGAUUCUAGGCUCAGUCCACCAAUGAUGCUCUCUUCACUCUUUCUCAUCUAGUGUCAUUCACAACUAUGUUUUGAUUCAUAUUUGUACUAUCAAAGAUAUCUCAUUAUUCUAGCUCAUUAGGUAGAGUUCCUAAUCUUCCUCCUUUUUGGUCUAUGGACAGUAUUGGCUUCAUAUUAAGAUCAUGUUUCAAUAAUUGCACAUUAAUGAAUGGAUCAUGACCCACAUAAACAGAGUCAGGGUUGAGUCAGUGAACCCUAAAAUUUCACAAUUCUAAAUUUGGGUUCUUUAACAAUGCAGGGUCAAGGACGCGUGGUGAUGAAGGAAAGCUGGUAAGCUCAGUGUUACUUCAAUUCCUGCCAUGUAGGAUGGUGAGGAGAUAUUCACUAUGCAAUUAAUAAUAGACAAUAUUCACUAUGCAAUAAUAAAGCAUAAAUUAAGUUGAAUGAAAAGCAUUUUCUUUGCAAGGAGUUGAUUUUGGUUUCAUAGUUUGUUCAACUGCUAUUUUGGAUAGGAAAGUGUGAGGAGAAGAAAAUAAAAAAUAAAAAUAAAACAAAAAAUAAAAAAUAGAUUUUAUAAAUUCAUUUAAUUUAUUUUUUUUUUAUAAAAAUUAACUAAUUUAAAAUAUAUGUAAAUUUCUAAUUAAUUUAAUUACAUUUUUUUUUUCAGUUUUUCAUAAUAAACCAAAUAUUAGAAAAUUAUUUUUAUUAAGACACCCAAGAUGAGGUAAUAUGCAAUGAAAACAUGAAUUAUAUUAAAAUUCAAAACAAAUUAAGAGAAAUCGGAAAAUAUACAUAGAUAUCUAAACAAAGAAAUUUAAAGAGAAGGAACCACAAACUUUAUUUACAUAAUUUGAAAAUAAAAAACAUAAAACAUACUUAUAGUAAGGAGAAAUUGAAUAUCUUACAAUGGAAGAAGGGAGAAAAGCUUUGAAGAAAGCUUUUGCUUGGAAGCUUACAUGGUGAGAGGUAGAGAAAGGAGAGAGAGAGAAGAAAAUGAAAAAUGAGAAGUGGAGAAAAUUGGAAGUUUUGUGUGCUUACAACUGAGGAUAGAGCCUCCUUAAAUAGCAAAAAAUGGAAUAUUAAAUAGUACCAAUCAGGAGACAAAAUAUUGUUUGCUUUUGAAACCCGUGCAUGAAUAGUAAUCCCGUGAGUGAAUAGUGAAUAAUAAAAGUGAAUAGUAAAAGUCACUUUCUACUAUAGCACUUUAGACUUUUUCAUCGAGAAUCUUACUUUCGGCUGAGUGAUGAUAGCUGAUAGGUUGCUUUGGAUUGUGGAGUCAUAUGUUUGAUGUUUUCGGUGCUGAAACCGCUUAGUUGGAGAAUAAUCUCGUCAGUAGAGCAUCAUGAGAAGCUUGAAUGGAGAGAGCUUAAUGAUGCCAUAUGAUUGGAAGGAAUCCUAUUUUAAUUUCCUUAUUGGAGGGAGAAUACCCUCACAAUCAUCUUCAUUAUCUUGAAGGUAGUUUGAUAUAGAGUCAUCUGACUCAGCAUAAGAGUCCUCUUGGGAGAAGCUUGAACUGCUUUUGUCAAGGAUUUUCUGAAAUUCUUGAGGGGUUUUUGCUAUUGCUAACAUGGUUUGGAGUUGCUGUUUCUUAAGAAGAAACUGUGCAAUAUCAUAAGAUGAUGAAGCUUGUGUAGGAUGCUUUAGGAAAUAUUGCUUUAUUGCUUGUAGUGAGGUAUCAUUUUUCAAGGCAUCCCACCACUUAGACUUGAAAGUCCUUCCAAGGGUUGGAAAGGCUGCUGAUUCAUCUGCUAUAAUGAUAUAAUCCCACUGGACUAUCCAGGCAAGGCCAAAUUCACUAAAAAAGAAUAAUAAUUGGGGAAAACUGAAAGUUCUCUAGGGAUAACAAAAGAACUUUGGAAUAGCUCAAAGCCAUCCAAAAUGGGUUUUGGGAGAAUUUUAAUAGUUGGACCAAAAUAUGUCCACCAAUUGUGGAACCAAAAUGGAAAAGAGGGGAGUUGAUGCUUAGAUGGGAAAUAGAACAUCCCUGAAUGAUGGAAGUCCUUGUUCUGGAUCAGAAAAGCAUUGAACCAUACUCUUUGGUAGUCUCAAUAAUUGAAAAUUUUAGGUUUUGAAGGCUUAGAAAAUUCUCUUGAAAAAUUAGGAUUCCCACCCCACUGCUUAACUGUAAGGAUUUUAUAAAUAUGGUAAGUGGAGAAUGCCAAAUCCAAAUUGCUGAAUUUAUCAGCAUUGUGCUUGAUUUUAACAGAGCCGGUUUCCAUAAGGAUUGCUUCAUAAAAUUCUCUUGUUUUUAAAAGAUCACCAAAGGGAUAAUGAAAAUUUUCAUGAAAAGCUUUUGCUGCAAUAUCUCUAGGGUUUUUAGAGAAAAACUCUUUUUCAAUAACCAAAAGAGGUUGAUUUAAAUCUUUUUGCCAAUAUCUUGCUUUUGCUGAAAGAGGUGUGGGGUUGGCUACCACCACAAUUUGCUUAUUUGAAAAAGAAGAGCUUGAUGCUAAUUCAUUUUGAGAGGGAUUAGCUUUAGUAACCUGCUUAAAGGUCUGAGACACAGUAAUAGUUGGAUACUGAGUAGCCUUGACUGGUUUAGAAGGAUUCGAAGGAUCAUAGUACAAGGACAAAAUCUUAUUAGGCAUAUGGUCAGAAGAAUGAAGCCUUGCUUCUUCUUCUAGCUCAACUUGUUGGCUCCAAAGUAUUUUAUGGGGAGAAGGUUCUUUGCUGGUUUUAGAAGACUAGGAUUCUGGAAGUUUAGGAGCUUGGGUAUUCUUUUUAGGGGCCAUGGUUUCGUGAAUCCUGUAAAAUUCACAAGUUAAGAAAUCAGGGCUCGAAGAAUGUUCUCCUUUAAUAUACUCAAUUUGUAAAUUAAAAUUGCUUAAAAUAGCUUGAUAUAUAGCAAAAAUAUGCUUAGAAGUUAUAUUCUUAACAUCCUUUUGUAAAACUAAUUUUGCAAAUUUACAAUCAACUCUUAAUAAAAACUUUUGAUUCAAAAGAUCAUCUUGAAAUUUUGAAAUGCAUAAAACAACGCUUAAAGUCUCUUUUUUAAUGAUGUUAUGAAUGAGUUGGGUAGUAUUCCAGGUUCUUGAAGUAUACCUAACUAACAUCUCAAGGUUACCAACACUUUGCUUAAGAAUCCCACCAUAACCUAUGUCUGAGGUAUCGAUCCCAACAAACUCAAAGGUUUCUGGAUUGAUAGAGCCUAAACAUGGUAGGGUCUUGACUUUGGACUUAACAUCAAUAAUGAAAACAAUGGUGAAAACAGAAAACUGGUUAAAGUUUUCAUCCAUUAUAUUCUGGAAUUCUGAGGUGCAUUCUUAAGAUCAAAGGGCAUUAUGAACCAUUCAUAAUGUCCAAGAGAUACCACAAAGGUGGUCUUAUUUGGAAUAGGACACCUAAUCCAACUUAAUGUAUCAUUAAGAGGCAUGUAGUUGACGACUAGUCUAGGUGUUCCUUUUUCUGAUUCAACUUGUUCCUGAACAUAGAAGGUUGAACAACUCCAAAGGGACUUAGACUUCCUUAUCAACUUUUUAUCAAGAAGAUCCCAAAUCUCCUUAUCACAAUAGCUUAACAAACCCUUGUUCAUCUGGAUAGGUCUUGAUUUAGUGGGAAUAUUCUUGUCACUAAAGUCUAGUUCAUAAGGUAAUUCUACCUCAUGUUGUUUCCUAUGCCAAAAUGCAUUAGGAAUGUUAGAGCAAACUUCUUCAACAAUCAGAUUAAUUUCUUGCUCAUGACUUUCCUUAGCUUGAAUCACCUGAUCCCUUAAGGUGUUUAUAUUUUUCUUAUUAGGUGGUUGGCAAAUUCAAAAAUAAUUUCCUUAUCUAAGAGCUUUGUUCUUAUACUUUGGUCAUCUACCCACAUGGGAUAGAUGGAGCUUAAAAAGGGGAUUCCAAGGAGAGCUUUCUCCUUAAGAUCCUUAACUAGAAUGAAGGUUUGCUUGAUGCAAAUGCCUUGGUUAUUUAUGUGAGCAUCUGACAGCUUAUACUCAAUGUCAAGCCUUUUACCAUUAGCUCCAAAGAGAGAUUCUUUGGUUUUCUUACAAAACUUAAUAGGACCUAGACCUUCUUGUAGGCAAUUCAAAGCUGUUCCUGAAUCAAUCAAAGCAACAAUAUCAAUGACAAAUUUACUCUUAAUUACUAUAGUAAGGGAGACUUUCCACCUCUGGAAAAUAACCCUACUAACAGUAUUUAAGUAUCCAUCCGUCUUUUCAUCAUUAGCAUGUGAAGAUUCUAGAACCUCUUCAAGGUUUUCCUAGUUAUCAACAAGAUUUUCUAUAACAAUCCUAUUUAUUUGUUCUUGGAGAUCUGAAAAACCUAAGCUUGUGUAUUGUCUUAAAUCUUUAAUUUCCUUCUUAUACUGUCUUACUUCUUCUUGAAGAUCCUUAAUGGUUACGUCUUUGGUAGACUACUGGUUAAAUCUUCCUAAGAUUUCAUUUAAGUUAUAAGAAUUUACUGUCUUCUUAAUCUCUUGCUUAUCGACAAAUUUCUUAAAAACUUCAUAAAGAUCUUGUUUAGUUUUUUCAUCUUCAACUUUCCUUAAAACAUCUAGGACAAGUUCUUGAUCUUGGCUUAUGACAUUUAUAGUCUUAGGUUGGCAAUCACAAUUAUCCUUAAUGUAUUCUUCUUGGUCACUAGAAGUUUGGCUUGAGAUUUCCUCACCACUACUAUCUAGUUGGUUAAUACCAUUUUCAUUAUCUGAAUCAAUCCUUGAUUCAGACUCUGUGGAAUUUAACAUUACUUUACAAAGCAUAUCUUUUAAGUCUUCUGUGACAUUUAAGUUAUUAAUUUUCUGCUUAACCCUACAAUCUUUCUUAUAGUGGCCUAUCUUACCACACUUAAAACAAACUGGCUUAGAUUGUGAAGGAGCUUCUAGCUUUUUAUGGGCUUCUUUGUUCAUCAUUCUUUGGAUGUGCCUUUGUUUCUUAGUUUCAUUCAUCCUAUAGUUGCCAUGAGUUCCUCUCUUGUUGUGAUAGGACUUUUCCUUACUAGGCUUUGUACUUACUUGUUUCUUACGUUGCUUAGAGGGGGGCUUAGUUUCUUUUUGGUUGAAUCCAAACUAGCUACAAAAUGAACCAAACUCAUUCUUGUAGAUCCUUUGUUCAUUUUUCAUCUGUUGCUUAAGCUUAAAGUCAUUGCACAGUUUAAUUGCUUCUGAUGUGACAAUGCUUAUAAUUUCUCCAUAAGAAAGCUUAUCAUAAGGGAUUUGUCCAUUAAACUGUUCCCUUAUCUUAAUCCUAAUCCUCUCAGAGAAAAGUCUAGGUAGUCCUAAGAUGAAUUUUUCUUUCCAAAAAGACUGGUUAUAGUUUGAUCUUAGUAUGACUUUGGUUAGGAAAACUUCUCUAUACCAUCUAAAGUCAUGAAGCUUGGGACACUUAAGGUUGGUUAAGAGAUCUACAAUCUUAUCCUUAAUCUUUGCAGGAUCUCCAAUGAAGUGCUUUGAAAUUGAAUAGAUUAGAGUAGCCACUACAUCCUCUAUAUCUUGUCCAUCUUCAUCCUUAACCACUUCAUUUUCCUCAUUAAUCCUAUAGGCUUUUAGGAUACCAUUUCUAUCCUCAAAGGUGAGAUAAUUAUCCCACCAACCCUAAAGUUGACCUGUAAACCCAACAACAAUUGUUUGAGCUACAGCAUGGCCUGACAAUCUAUUGUUUAACUUAUAGGUUGUACUAACCAUGGUCAUUUCUUGAAGCUUAGUGAGUAUGUUGUACUCAAUCAUACCAUCUAUGUUCCAUUCAUAGAUAGUGUCACUAGUGUAGGAAGCUUGAGUAUGCUGGUUUCUUUCCUCAUACUACAUAUCAGGAAAAGUUGGUCUAGGGUAGUAAUUCCUAGUUCUUGGUUGUUGAUAAUCCUCAUAACUGUUUGGUUAGGAGGUUCCUUAAAAAUCUUAAUUAGUUCAUCAGCCUCUGCUUCAGAACUAAUUUCUCCUUUAACCAUAUUGAUUCUCUUGUGAGAUGGUUGAGGUGUCUCAGAGACAACAAGGCUAUCCUUAACCUUUUGGCUUAUCCUAUCAAUGAGGGCUUGAUCAAUAUGGAGAUUCUCUAGGAAUUUCUUAGAGAAUUCAAAAGGCUUAAAUAAAGACUUAUUAUCUUUCUUAACAAACGUAGUCUUAAUGUAGUCUUGUGUUUCAAUGAUAUCCUCAAACUUGUUGAGUUGAUCGCCUGUAGUCUUAAGAAACAUGUUAGUGUAGUUGUUUUGUUCCAUGAUUCUUCUAACGUCAACAACACUAUCAAUUCCUUUAUUCUUUGGCCUAGUCUUAAAAGGUGAAGCUUUGACUAUGGUUCAAUUAAUGUUCUUUUAUAUCUUAGCUUCUAGAGGGUGGAUGGAUUCUAUGAUAGUAUCGUCACUAGUUUUCCAUAUCUUAGUUUUUUUGGAUGUGUCAUUGACACGCUUACUAGGGUAAUCUAGAUAUUCCUCUUGUUUGAAGAGUUCAAACCAGAUCCAAUACUUAAUGUUCUUCUUUUCUUGUCUUAAGUAUGUGUAGAAUUCUUCUUGGUAGAGGGUUCUAAUGUCUUUAAGGACCUUGCUAAAGAACCAAACUCUCCUUUUCUUAUUGACUUCAGAAUAGAAGUCUUUCCUUAAGAGGUCCUUGUUGAUUCAAAGUCUUCGUUAAUUAGGCUUACAGUGUUAAUCAACUGAGAAUAAGUAGGAGACAUAUCAGGAGAUUCGUCCUGAUGUGAUUCUUGAGUAAACUCAUUUUCCUCCAUGUAAAAGGGUUUGGCCACGUUGGUGUGACUUCUAACACCUGUUAGCUUAAUAUUCUUAGGAUUUGCUGAACUAGAUCCUUCCUCUAUCCUAGUGGUUCUUAUUGGGAUAGAUGAACUUGAAGCUCUAGAGGGCUCAUAAUAUGAAAUUCUAAGGCUGCUAGAAUGAUGAAAAGAGUUGGAGAAAAUUAGAUCUCGUUCUCCAUCAGGAUAUUGAACAAUCUGUUCAAUUCUUUCAGAUCUUUGCUCUAUGGCUGGGACAACAUUAGCAAAAUGCCAAUUUUCUGGAAACUCAACCUCAUUCCACUUGAUUUUCAUGGGGACUAUGAAAUUAGACUUGUUUAUCAUAUCUAAGUGGAAGAUAGUGGUUUCACCCUUGGGACUGGUGCACAAUGCUCCAAAUCCAACGCUUAUGGUCAUGCUCUUAUAGGCAAAUCUGGUGAUGAUGGAAACAUGAUUGUUUCCUUGCUUGAACUUAAAGUCAUGGGUCUUAACAUGAAGGACAACUGAAUCUAAGAUGUUGACAUCUCUUAGUCUAACUGUGAAGUUAGGGAAACACUGGAAAUAAACAGGACCAUCAUUUAAUCCUGCUUGGGUAGCUCCAAUAAUAGAAUCUCGGUAAUCAAGAUGUCUAUUAUCUCUUAAACACAUGACAAUAAAGGUGUUUAGACCUAGUCUUGUCAAGGGCUUAGCUGCAACUUGAAUCAUGCCAAAGUGUAUGAAGUUGUAGUCUCGCUUAUGCUUAUCAAUGGACUUACUAUCCAAGAGUCUUAUGACUUGAUCGUCGUGUUCUAAACUUACUGACAUUUCAGGGGUUUUAAUGGUGUAAUCUGUAAAGAACUUAAAGGUUCCUUUCUUAUAAAUUUCUUGAUUAGGUACCUUGGGUAACUUCCAAUCAUCUAAAUCAUCUUGGAUCUUAGGAUAAUUGAUCUCUUCAUUGUUUACUCUUGAGAAUUUGUGGAUUUCCUAGACAUGGUUCUGAAAAUCAAACUCAUUUUAAGGUUUUAAUCUAGAGCCUAAUAGCAGAUUAACAGACCUAGUGAGUAAUCACCCCAACCCUUUUCCAACCUUAACAAACGCCUAUCUCCAGCUAACAAUGGGCUCAACUCGGCAAGGAUCGCACUCAGGCACACUACUAUCUUUCCUAGGAUAGAUCAAAACACCCAAAACAAACCCGACUUCCUUUUCCUAGGAUAUAUAUAGUAUUUUGGGUUUGAGUAGGAGUUCAUGUUUUGUAUGUAAUUGUAGUCUACGUUGGACUAGGUUGUUUGCUCCUAAUUGAAAUAGGAAUGGUUGGUGUCACAUCUCAUUCAUUUUCUCAUCUAUUUCCAUGUUUAGAUAACUCAAGUAAUCAUAGGAAUGAAAUUAAGAAUGAUUUGAGGGAAAUGAAAUCUCACUUGUAAGUGGGAUCUCAAUUCAUCAUUAAUAGAAGGUAUUUUGAUUACAUAGUGCAAGUUAUUUUUAAAAACACUUUUCAAAAAUUGAAAAACCAAAAACUCUCUUGGAUAAGUUGUUUUUAAAAAGAAUUUUUGUAUUUUUAUUUUGUAAAAAAAAAAAAUAGUAAUUCAAUUUAUAUAAUAUAAAUAGACUUUAAUUUUAUUAAAAAUAAAAAUAAUUUUUUAAUUACAAAUAAAUUAAAAAAUAAAUAUUUGUAAUAAAAUAUGAAUAGUAAUAUUAUAAUAAAAUCAUAAAUAAAUUAAAAAUAUUUUUAAAAACAAAUAAGUUUAAUUUUUUUGAGGUACAAAUGAGCCAAAUUUUUCAUUAGGUACACAACCAACAAUUUUUAUUGGAAACAUUCCUCAAAAAAGAAUUCGUUUCCCAUAUAGCAAAGAUAUUUAUUAUUUAGUAUCUAACCAUCCGUAGUAAUCAUAUCAAUUCUACUAAGUUAUUUAAUAAUUCAUUUAUAUAUAGUACUCAAUUAUGAAUUUUUUUAUUUGAUGUAUAAUUAAUUAAUCAAUGUUUUGAAUUUUGAAUUAUUCUUAAAAUUUAAAACAUUAAUUAUGUCUAUUACUUUUUAUAGUCAUUAUAUAUAUAUAUAUAUAUAUAUAUAGAGAGAGAGAGAGAGAGAGAGAGAGAGAGCUUAAAUUUAUCUUUAAAAAUUAUUAAAUUUAUUAAUAAAUUCAAUACAAAGACUCAUUUGAUUUGAAAUUCAUUUCUUUAGUGAAAAUUUUGAAACUAAAUAGUACUUUGUUUUACUUUGUUUUUAAAUCAUACUCACAAAUAAGUUUUUAUCAUUUAGCCAAAAAAUCUCAAAGAUGUUUCUAAUUUUAUUUAUUUAUUUAUUUGUAAAUGAAAAUAAAAAAUUAGUUUAAACUAAAUAUGCGGAUAUUAUUGUUAAUUUAUUUCAUUUUUUAUUUCCAUUGUUAUUUAACAUUGAAACGGAAACAAAUAAUCAUUCCAAUCUUACAUUCUUAUAUGCAUCUAAACACAAGAAUUGAAAUCACCAAAUUCAUAUUCAAGGCAAAAUAGAAAUGGAAAAAAAAUAUUCAUUUUCAUUCCUCAUUCUCAUGUGCUAAACAUGACAUUAGUUCUACUACCUAUUUCACCAUUCUUCUUGAUAAAUUUGGUAUAUGCAAUAUUGAUCUAAGUGUGAGGUGAAUAAGAAUGAUGAUGGGAUGGGCUUGGAAAUAAGGGCAAAGUUUCUAGGUGCUAUCUAGAGGGGCAACGCGACUUUUUCAAAUUUCGAAUAUUUGUUCUCAACAUAAAGCAAAACUUUACUCACACAAUAGAUAAGACUCUGUUUGUUUUCUUCAUCCACGACUAUAUAAUGUAUAGCUCUUACUCAAGGGAUGAGCUACUUACUAUUAAGGAUUGGGUAAGAUAUUGCCUAAUGGCCAAGAAGGCAUGUCAAAAAAUAAAUCUAAUCACCAUAAAAAAUAAUAGGGGAAAAUUAAUAUAUUAUGAAUGAUGACUUUACUAUUUCUCUAUAUACAUAAUUAUAUAUUUUGAAUUUUCUCACUAGGUAAUGAGAUUCUAAAUCAACUGAAACAUAAUUAAUAAUUUAUAUUUUUAAUGAAUCUUUUAAUUUUUAAAAAUAAUUUAAAAUUUUAAAAAACAAUUCAAUUAAUUACAUAUUAAAUCAAAACAUUUCAAAAUAUUGUGUUUGUAGAUGAGUACUAAAUGCUUGCAUAUAAUAAUAAUAAUAAAAAAAUUGACUCAUUUAGAUGUUAAAAAAGUUAAAUGUUUUUCAUUAUUCAUUUUAAGUAAAAUAUUAUUGACAUUAUUAUUAUAAAAUUAUUAUUAUUCAUUUUUAACAAAAAACAAAAUAAGUUAUUCUUUUACCAAGAUGUCAAUAUCUAUAUUUUUCUAACAUAUAUUAAAAUAGUAUACUUUUCUUUUAUUAAAAAUAAUAAUUAUUAUUAUAUUAUUAUUCAAGUUUUAUUAAAAAAAUUUAUCUUUUAAUUCAUUUGUAAUUACAAAAUAAUUUUAUUUUAUUAAGAAUUUAAUUUAAUUACGCUUUUUUUUUUUAUAAAAAAAACAGUUAUGCUUUUACCAAGAUGUUAAUAUUCAUAUUUUUCUAGCUAACAUAAAUAGAAUAGUACACUUUUUCAUAUAAAAAAAUAAUUUAUGAUUUUAUUAUAAUGUUACUAUUCACAUUUUACUAAAAAUAUUUAUUUAUUUUAUUUAUUUUUAAUUAUAAAAUAAUUUUAUUUUCAAGAAUUUAAUUUUAAAAAAAUAGAAAUCAUUUAUUCUUUUACCAAGAUGUUAAUAAACAUAUUUUUCUAACAUAUACUAAAAUAAAAAAGUUUACUUGUUCAUUAAAAAAUAUAAUUUAUGUUUUUAUUAUAAUACUACUAUCUAUGUUCUACUAAAAAUAUUUAUUUAUAAUUAAAAAAUAAUUUCAUUUUUAAUAAGACUUGAACUAAAUUAAAUUUAUAAUUUUUUUUUAAAAUAAAAUAGAAAAUUAUUUUUUAAAAACAACUUAUUGAAAGAAAUUUUUUAUUCUUUACUUUUAAGAACUGUUUUUAAAAGCAACCUAUAAACCCCUUUGGGUCUGUUUGGCUAUGUUUCAUGCAACUUGUUUUUAAAAAUUGUUUUUUAUUCUUUAAUUUAAUUUUUUUUAAGUUAAAGAAUAAAAAACAACUUUCUAGUGUUUUAUAAAAAUGAGAGCUUUUGACAAGUUGUUUUUAAAAACCAUUUUUAAAAAUAAAAAAUAAAAAACUUAUUUAGAUAAAUUGUUAUAUAUAUAUAUAUAUAUAUAUUUGUAAAAACAUUUUAAAUUCAAUUUAUAUAAUAUAAAUUUAAUUUAAUUUAAGUCUUAUUAAAAAAAAAUUGUUUGGAUAAGUUUUUUUUUUUAAAUAGUUUAUUAUUUUUGUUUUGUAAAAACAUUGCAAAUUCAAUUUAUAUAAUAUAAAUUAAUUUAAUUCAAGUCUUAUUAAAACCAAAAUAAUUUUAUAAUUACAAAUAAAUUUAAAAAUAAUUUUUUUAGUAAAACAUGAAUAAUAAAAUUAUAAAUUAUAUUAUUGUGGACCCUGCAUUUAUGCUCAUGCGCUUCCACUUGUUGGCGAACUCAUUUUUUAUUUGAAAAUGAUUUAUUUUUUUAGAAAAUGACUUAGAGUCGCCACUUAUUUUUGUUUUAUUUUUAAAGGGCAAGCAAAAUAAGAAAGAAAACCCUAAGUGUGACUCCUUAUUCGAAAAAGGUAGUCUGUGUAAAACCGGAUCAGGGUUCAGGGAUCAGGUUACUUAUUGGGAAGGUAUGACAAUGACCGUAGCACUCCUCUAAGUCCUUAAAAACGGGCCUCUACUAAAAAAAAUAAAGUAAUCAUGGCAAUCAGUAAGGAAAUCACUGGAUACCCAGAACAAUUAUGCACAUGUGAGAAUUAAAACAUGCAUAAGAAUGGACAAAGUGAGAGUGGGUGCGUACCUUGACAACGAACCACAAUGCGUUAUCAAGAAAUGGGGUUAGUGCACGAUCAAUGAACAUAAAACACGUCACACAUGUCACUAAGCAGAGUGAGAAAUCAUCAGAUAUUACAAUUCAAUCAAAUUUAUUUUUAGAAGAAACAUCUGUUGAUGUAGAGCCCCUACCAAAGCCUAAUUUAUUUUUGCAUGAAUCAAUUUCAUAAAUUCAAUCGCUUGGAAUUACAGAAUUAAAUUCAUGCUUAUUUUAAAACAUCUUUUUAAAAUCAUGGAAGAUGUGAAAAUGGUUUUCCAAAGAGAAAAUGACAACUGAUUUUAUUGAAAAUGGGAUUUUGGGGACCUAAACGUUAAAGAGGGAUUAGGAAUUGAAAAUUAAAUCAUUUGAAAAUUGAAUUUUUCAAAAAUCAGUUUUGAAAGCAUGCAUGCAAGUAUGGACUGUGAAAGUGGGCCUAGGGAGGGUGGCCAUGCAAAAUGAGGUCAUACACGUGGGCCUUGGGUACAAUUGGGACUACUUUGCUGGUGCCAGUGGUGCUUGCAGCUGUCAUCCAUGAUUUCUUCAUUGGGAUCAAUUUCCAUUCUUACUGCCAAACAUUCCAUAACAAUUGACCAAACUAGUAACCCUGACCUUGCAUGAAAAUGAACGUUACCUAGAAACUCACUGCCAGUGAGAUUCAUUGCUCUUUCAAAAGGUCUCAUUUUCUUUCUCAUCCAAUUGCUUUAAGGAGCAUUCUAGCGUCACGAUUGGUGACUGCGCAUCAUCUAGAGCCUUCUUUCUUCUCAGAAUCAGGUUUGCGUGCAGAGGCCUGUGCUUGUUCAAGGUUGACCUAAAUUCAUCUAGGUUUAGAACCGACCAGUUGAGCUUGGGGAGCAACGACAAGAAUAUCAGUCACUUGCGAAGAGAAAACUCGAGAUCUUUCAAGUAAUGCCUGACAUAGAUUCCUCCAACCUGUGGCCAAUAUCUCAUUCCUUGUUGGCCAGACGCCUAUUAGGGCGUAUCUCAAUCAAUAAUAUGAUUUUUCGUUUGUUCACAAUAAAGACCGGAAGCCAUGGUUGUGAUUUAUGCAGUACAGAAGAAGUUGCCAUGGCUGGUAUCCUUACAAAUUCUGGUGUUUCUGCUAUCUGUUCAAGUGCAAAACACAACAGCUUUAUCAAGUUUGUCCCUAACAACUGAUAUUGAGCCCUCUGGAGGAAACCUUGAUAAAUUCAUAAUCACUUUUGACUCAUGCAUGGGCUGCCCAUCAAAUUUUCCUAGCAACGAGACGACUGCUGUCAUCUACUGCAAAGAGAAUUUCUUCUCGCAAAGACAAGAGGAGUUUAAGAAUACACACUAUUCUGCCAUUUCAUUUCCUCUUUCUCCACAACCAACAUAAACCAUAGUGUCUACAUUAGAGUACUUAGAAAGAGCUUAACUGAUGACCGUUUUUCCACAACCAAAUGCCCCAGGUAUGGCACAAAUUUCACCGAAAACAGAAGGGAAAAGGGCAUCAAGAACACGCUGUCCUGUAAGUAGUGGGGUAUCAGGACUACUCUAGGGAAGUUAUUUCUGUCAUUUUGAAAAAGAAAAAUUAAAGAAUGUACACAUGCUUUCAAGUGGACUGGAGCAUUCUACAUAUCAGGUGGUCUGUAGCCACAUGUGCCACUUUGUGGAAGUUGGAACAGUCGAUCACUAGGCUAUUUAGUGUGGCCAAGCCACGUUAAUCAAGGACAAGUCUUCAUACUUAAAAGUCAAAUGGUGCCUUUAGUCUCAUUACACAUGGCUAUUUAAAGAUGAACUAAUCUUUAGUGUAAUGUGAUUAAGACAGUACUAACUGAUCAAUAUUUUUUCUAAUUUUGGAUGCAAAUGCUUGCUGGCUUCAUCAUUGGAUGGGAUAAAGGUGCAUUCAUGACUCUGAAUACUUGCAGUAAUACUUGCAGUAAUACUUCAUUCUCUUUUUUCUCGAUGAGACUUCUUGGCACAAUUUUGCUUCUCAGCAACCUACCUCUCCAUGGAAAAUGAGUUGCGAUUGAUGGUACUGGAUAUUUUCUAGGAAGCUAAAUAUAGAUAUAUAGCACUCAAUGUCAACGAUAUAUAUAGCAUUAACAGUAUAUGUCUCAAUGCUCAUCAGCUACAAGCAAGGGACAAACACUUACAAUGAAUAACUCACGUCAACAUUCCUAAACAGGACAUAGAAGUGACAGAUCUAUAUAUAGAACACUGCAUAUGAGUCACAAGAAAAGAUAAUACGGGUGCAUAGCAGCUCUUAUAUUACAUAUUACUCAUACCGUUCAAAUUCACUCAGUUGGGAUGGGUGGGAGAAGGAGGCCUCUGGGGUGGCUUGUGCGUGUGAGAAGUGGAAGAAAGUUGAAUGGAAUGAAACUGAAAAACAGGGUAGAAUAGAGGUUUCUUGAAUCUUCUGAAAUCUUUAUUUUUCUGAGAUUUAUUCUCUGUUUUUGUGAGUCGUGACUCUACAUAUAUACAUGUAUUUAAAGUUAGUUAUGCCUUAUAACUAAUUAUCUAACAGUACCAAAACUAAUCAUCUAGUUGCAUGUUUCUAAUUAAUGCUAUUUAGUUACAACUAUAUAUGGCUUAACAUCCUCUCUCAAACUCAAAAGUCUAGCUAGAACAGUGAGUUUGCUUCAUAGAUUGAGAAAUUGUUGAAUAGGUAAGGCUUUGGUAAGAGCAUUAGCAAUCUGGUCAUAAGAAGGAAUGUGUUGAACCACCAAAGUCUUAUUGAGCACCUUUUCCUGAACAAAAUGGCAAUCUAGUUCCACAUGCUUAACUCGAGAAUGAAAAUAGGAUUGGCAGCAAGAAAGGUGGCUGAAAGAUUGUCAUAGAACAAAACAAAAUAGGAGAAUAAGAAGAUGAGAUAGAAAACUCCUGAAGAAGAUGUUGAAUCCAUUGAAGUUCAAAAGCAACAUUUGCUAAGGCCCUAUACUCAGCUUCAUUGCUGGAACGAGACACAACUUUCUGCUUACUGGAGUUCCAGGAGACUAGAUUAGAGCUAAAAAAGAUGCAAUGACCACUUGUACUUCGACGAUCAUCAGGGCAACCAACCCAAUCAACAUCAGCAUAAGCAGUAAGUUGAAAAUCAGGAGAAGAAUAAAAGGAAAGACCAAAGGAAGUAGUGCCCUUAAGAUAAUGCAACAAUCGUUUAACAACUUGCCAAUGAAGAUCAGUUGGUUAUUGCAUGAAUUGGCAAAGUUUAUUGAUAGAGAAAGAGAUGUCAGGCCUUGUAAUGGUACAAUAUUGCAGGGCUUCAACAAUGUUGCGAUAUUGAGAAGGGUCAGCCAAGAGGGAACCUUUAGAGGCAGAUAAAGUGUGAGAGGUAGUCAUUGGUGUAUCAAUAGGUUUAAAAUAUGGAAGACCAGCACGAGUUAACAAGUCCUGAAUAUAUUUGGUUUGGGAAAGAUGAAGAGAAGAUCCUUGCCAACAUACUUCUACACCCAAGAAGUAAUUCAGAAUACCAAGGUCCUUGAGAGCAAACUGAAAGUGUAAAGACGAAACCAUUUGGUGGACUAGCACGGUAUUAAGACCACUAACAAUAAUGUCAUCAACAUAGAUGAGAAUAAUGAUCAUGUCAGUCCCUUUCCGAAGAGGAGCUUGCUUCAGACCCUACAAGGCUUUGCGAAGUUUACAGAAAAAACCGGGUUUAGAAUGAUCAACAAAGCCUGGAGGUUGAACCAUGUAAACCUCUUCUUCUAACUCACCAUUGAGAAAGGCAUUAUUAACAUCUAAUUGUUCCACUAACCAACCAUGAGAAAUAGCAAGAGAAAGAACAAUUCAUAUAGUAGUUGGUUUAACAACAAGGCAAAAGGUUUCAAAAUAAUCAAUACCAUAUGUUUGAUUAAAACCCUUUGCAACUAAGUAGGCUUUAAAACGAUCAAUUGAGCCAUUAGCUUUGAGUUUCAGCUUGUAUAUCCAUUUACAACUAAUAAUGCGUGUAUUAACAGGUUUAGGAACCAAUGUCCAUGUGGAAUUGGUGAGAAGAGCAUCAUACUCAGUCUUCAUAGCAGCUUGCCAAUUAGGAUGCAAUAUUGCUUCUUUGAAAGAGGAGGGUUCGACAACAGUAGUUUGGAUAGCAAGGCUAAAUAUUUUUUUGGGUUUAAAAAUACCAUUUUGGCUACGAGUAACAAUAGUUCGGUUUGGAAGUGAAAGAGGAUCAGUGGAGGAGGCUGGAACAAGGGAUUGUGGUAAAGUAGGAAAGGAAGGUGGAUGAGAUGGAACAAAAUCAGUAGGGACAAUAAUGGGAGAAGAAAAAUUAGGUGGAGAAUGAUGAGGAUUCCUUGAAGAUGGUGUAGGAAUAGAGAGAAUACCAGAAUCAAGAAGUGUUAAAGAAGAGUUGGAUGAUGAUACUGGUUGACAGGAUAAAGACUUUGUUAAAAAUGGAAAUCGAGUUUCAUCAAAUACAACAUGACGAGAAGCAUAUAUCCGAGAGGAAGCCAUAUCCAAACAGAGGAAUCCCUUGUGUUUAGCACUAUAACCCAAAAAACAGCAAACAACAAAUAUAUUUGCUAGCUUGUGAGAAGCAUAAGGGCGAAGAUAAGGAAAACACAAGCAUCCAAAACUUCAAAGAGAUGUAUAAUAAGGUAAACGAUUAUAAAGAACUCCAUAAGGAGAAUUUUGUGAAAGAACAGCAGAGGGAAGGCAAUUUAUGAGAAAAAUGGCAGUUUGAAAUGCAAAUGACCAAUAUUUGAGAGGGUAUACCAGCUUGUAUUAACAAAGAAAGACCAACUUCCACAACAUGACGAUUCUUUCUUUCAACUCUUCAAUUUUGCUAAGGAGUAUAAUGACAAGAGACUUGAUGAAGAAGACCAUUUGUAGCCAAAUAAUUCUGAAAAGCUGAAACUGAAACUCAUCAAAUUGAUUUUUAGUAUCAAAUUUUCUUCAGACUGAACACAUUGAUUUUUAGUAUCAAAUUUUCUUUCAACCAUGGCUUGAAAAUGUUGGAACAUAAGUAAAGCUUCAUCUUUAGUUUCCAAAAGGUACAACCAUGAGAAUAUGCUAAAAUCAUCAAUUAGCAAGAGGAAAUAUUGAGCAUUACCAUUGACAGAAACUAUAGGAGUUGCACCCCAAAGAUCAACAUGGAUGAGACCGAAUGGUUUUAUUGCUCUAGAAGUGGAUAUUUCAAAUGGAAAACGAUGGCUUUUAGCCAACUGACAAGACUCACAUACAGAGUUAUUAUUGUCAUGUUUCAAAGGUAUUUUAUAAAGAGAUAAGAUUUUGGAAACUACAUUAAUAGAGGGAUGACCAAGUCUAUUAUGCCAAAGCCUCAAAGAACCAACGGCUAAAGUACUACUAGUAGAGUAAAAUACUAGUGGAUGACCAACAACUCUUGGUGUAGCAAGAAGUUUAUAGAGACCCUUCUCAAUUUUUCCUUGAAGAAGAGCAAGUCUCGUUUCCUGAUCCUUUACCACAAAAUGAGAAGAACGAAAUUCAAUAAAGGUGCCAUUGUUUGAGUAAAAUCGUUGCACGCUAACUAAGUUGGUGGUAAUAGAAGGAACAUGUAAGACAUCAUUGAAAAACAAAGAACCACUUGAAGAGGCAAGAGAAAAUUUACCAAUAUUUGCAAUGGAUAAACCCUUACCAUCUCCAACAAUUACUUUGUCACCACUGGUAAAUGGAUUAUGGAUUGUUAAAUUGUUAAGAUCAGAUGUGAGAUGAUGGGUAGCCUUUGUAUCAAGAAACCAAUAAGUGUCUCCCAUUGUUGCAGAAGUUGUAGUCAUAGCCUCAGGAUUGUUAGAGGUGGAAUGUUUAGAAUCUUUUGGCUGAUAAUCAGAGUUAAACCGAUACCAGCAUUGUAAAGCGGUGUGUCCGAACUUACAACCGAGAGAAAUAAUCUUUACUUAUUCUCUAAAAACUGUUCUUUAUUCCACACAUUAUUUCUAAAAACUGUUUCUAGAUAACAAUGACAAAAUAGUAUUAGGAAUUUUUAAAAAUAAAAAUUGUUUUUAAAUUACAUGAUCUAUAUCAUUCACAUUUGACCAUUAUAGCUUUGUUCAGGAAAACACUUGAAAGUAACCUUAUCGUGAUAAGAGAUAUAAGUUGGCUGUAGUUUCAAACUGAAAACAGAGGAUGGCAAUAGAAAGCAAAGCAUUAGUUAUCUGCAAUCAGUGGUGAUCAUGCCCCAUGUCAAUUUCGGACCCAUAUCUUAAAACCGUAUAAUUUGCAUUUCAACAUUUCUGAUUUCUCAGAUGUUUCAUACUCCACAGAAGAACAUUGUUUGUGAAAGCAUGCAUUUAUGCUGGAUUUUGGAUGAUGUGGGAACUGGGGCAAGGAUCAUAUGGAAGAGUGGUCGAUUUUUUCUGUACUUUAACAUUUGAAAUAGGAGCAGCACGGGCAUUUGUGGGGCUUAAUUGAUUUUGAAGCCUGAAAUUGCGUUUCUGUCAUUUUGUAAAAAAUAUGGCAGAUUCCAUGCUCUCAUAUGUUUGGUCUGUGGCCAUGUAUAGAUGCCACUUAGUGACCAGUUUGUAACUGUCAAUCAUAGUGUUUUGACUCUGGCUCAACAACAUCAGCCAUUGACGGAUUUUCAUACAUGCAAAUCAAAUAGUCUUCUUCCUCCCUUAGGAAUUUCGGUUUAAAUGUUAUUAAGCAUACAUUUGGCUGACAAUUAUUAACCACUUCAUGAUAUGGUUUCUUACCCUUAAUCAAUGGUUUCUAAGUGAAUAUAUGCAGAAGGAAAUCUGAACUGUAGACAGCAGUAUUGAUAAUUAUCAAUAUUCUUUAUAUAAGAGAAUAAACAACGUCAUAGUGAUCGUCGCCUACAAGAAAGGUACAUUUCCCAACAAGAUGUAGUUGUGACUGGUACAUGGACGUAAUUAACUCGUAGAAAAGGAUAAGACCAGUGCACGGCAGCUCUUAUUUUACAUGCUAAUUAUGCUAACCAAAGUCACUCAGUUGGGAUGGGAGGGAGAUGGAGGUUUGUGCGGUGGCUUGUGGGGCGGAGUUGGUGGCUUCUUUUCAGGAGCUUGUGGCUUUUUCGGAGCUGAAGGAGGCUCAAUCUUAUGAGGCGGCUUGUACGAGUCUUCUUUACUCUCGACAGGAGGGUGGCCAGGGUUGUGACCAUAAUGUGGUGGCUUCUCUCCCUUAGGUGGCUUGCCAACUGGGGUUGGUGGCUUGUGUUCAGGAAGUGGUUUCUCUCCCUUGGGAGGUUUACCAAUUGGGGUUGGUGGCUUGUGUUCUGGGAGUGGUUUCUCUCCCUUGGGAGGUUUAGUGGGUGACUUGUGUUCUGGAGGUGGCUUCUCCACCGGAGGCUUGUGCUCCGGUGGUGGCUUCUUGGUUGGAGGGGGCUUGGGGUAAUCAGCAAGAGAUGGGGGGGUGAGAACCACCACUCCAAGGAACAACACUAGCAAGUAUGUGGGAGACAUUUCUGAGUUUGAGCUGAUCAGAUGAUGCAAAACUAGAAGAAUUACGUGACCUUUUAUAGCAAGUAGCUCCCAAUACCCACAUGACACGUGUUACUGUGACCAUAAAUAUUAUAGGGUCCAUUUGUGCCCUACCGGGUUGAAAACUUGGACGCUUGGCCGAGGACACACCGAACUAUGGAGGACUAUUGACGUGUGAUCACAGCUUUUGGAUUUUUCUUCCUGUGCAGCUGUCUAGCGGUUGGCAUUAUUUUUUUAAUCUUAAAUAAAGGCAUAGUUAUAGAGUACAUUUAUAUAUCUUCAGAUAGCCAUUAAUAUAUUUGAUGAAGAAAGACAAGUGCAUACAACAUGUAUACGGCUUGCUUCAAUCGAGUACAUUUAUGAUCAGUUUUCCAGUGCAAGUAAACCAGUUUUUUGUUCCACAACUAUUUUGGAAUCUUGUUUAUCAGUUUCUAUCAUUAUAAUGUCACAUAGGCUGCAAACUUGGGCACCCAAAGAUCUAGUUGGGCAAAUUUGUUUCAGAAUUUCAAUGGUGGAUUCAGUAAUUGUUAAAAGGUGUUUCUUCAUUAAGGAAAGAGUCCUGUAAAAAUAUUGUUAAAAGGUGUCAUAGAAACUAUAAUAAUUAAAUAACUUCUUUUCCCCGUGGGUGGUGUUUCUUCUGGGGAUACCCAAAAUGAGUUCAGAUUAAAAUUGGUUCGAGUCAAAGCUGUCUCUUUUGUCCAGAAAUCAACUAUUUUGCGCAUUGCAUGAAUCGAUAAAGAAAAAAUGAAAGCCAAAUCACACCUCCCCUGCAAAACCUAAACCCCGGUUGCUAACUUUCUAUGUUUCAGUCCUAUUCAUACAGGAAUAUUGGUUCAAGUUUGAGAAAAAUGGCAACUUACCUAGGGAUUACUUGGUUGUGGUUUGCGACGACUAUUUACGCAACCAACCAUGAGUUUGACUUUAACGUCAUGGGUUGAAGCCUCCUACAAUCGUGUAUGAUAGUUCAAAGCUCGUAGUAGAAAUUAUACAGGAAGGAAGAAACCUCCAAAGCUAGCUCCAAAAGAGAAUUAUCACAUCGAUAGCUCCAGAGAUUCCCAAGGGGACUGAAUCAAAGACAAGUUCCUCACUUUUUCUUCUUUUGAGGCCAAAUAUGAACCAAGGAUCACACGACCUCAUUCAACUUCAUAAGUUUGAUUUCAUGCAGUUGAACACUGGGUGAAGGCCAUGACAAGAAUUGAUUAAAAAAUUCUACCACUGUUUUAAGUAAUGGAAGAUUAUUAUCUCUGAUUGGCACCACAACAGCACAUGCUGCUAGAUCUUUCUAGACACUCCAUGCAAUGAAAGUACAAUGGAUCUUGUAACGAUAGAAACUAAGCCAUGCUACAGUACUAGAUGACGAGGUAAAACUAUUAGACAUGGGUGGCAGCCUAUAUGGGAGGGACACAAGUCUAAUUGAUUUGCAUUUCAGCGUUCUAGAUGGGUAUGUUUUGGAAGAUUUGUUCUGGAAAUACCGCACCAAGUAGGAUUCUUUUUUCUCUUGAGUGGGUCCACUUGCAUGCCAAUUAUCGAGUUGAAAAGUAGAGCACCUACCUCGUGCUCGUGGAACCGAAGGUCAGUGAAGUGGGGCUCCUUUUGGCCUCUUGUGUUUCUGUUCCAACCAAGGCGGCGGAGGGAAAAACAGCAAUAUGUCUCCGCUAAAUAUCAACGCAUGAUAGCGAAUGAGGGAGAAAAAAAGUAAUUGGCAUCUCAAUCUCACAAACUUGGUACAGUAGUGACAUUAAUAGUCUUCCACAUGGUUUUUAUUUUAUUUUAUUUUAUAUUUUAUAUUUUCCAUUUUUUUAUUUUUUUGUAUGUCAAGGCUAAUGAAUAAAAUGCGUUAGCUUGUUUUGUGAUUGGAACUGCAAAUGUCCAAAUUGGAGUUUCUCCAUUUCUCAGUUCGGAUGGUUAACUUUAUAAACAAGAUAUAGGAAACAUGUGAACGUCUUGAGGAACAAUUCGAAUUAUUGAUUAGAACUCCUAGGUUGAGUUCCAAGAUUUAAAUCAGACCCCUCUAGCAGCUUCAGGGGUACCUAGCAAUUAGAACAUAUUAAUGAAGAUUUAGGAUUUAGACUCCGGAAUACAAAUUAAUAUGUAUCUUAUGCUCUGACUAGCUUCCCUGCAUAUGCACAAAAUGGAGAUGACCCAAAAAAUAGCAGAAUCGCCUUAGUUUAUGUGGUUAAGGUGAUUCUCCGGUUAAUAUCCACAUUGGCUCAUUAUGCAAAUCAACUGAGCUAUUUUUUUUUUAAUGUCAAAUAGGAACUCCUAAUUAACCUAACCAUUGGCCUGUGUAAAUUGAUUUCACAUGCACAAUGUUGUAGUAGAAGUCCACAUUUUGAAUUUUAUUUUUGGAAAGGUAAGGAAAAUGAAGCAUUGUGUAAUUAUAAAAAUAACUUCAUUGGAAUUCACAAGGUUCACCCAAAAUGGAGCUACAUCCGUAUUCUAUCUUACAGUAGACUAUAUAGAUUGUACAAUAGUAAAUUGCAAAUACAAUUAAUAAGUCUUGUGUUUCCUUACUAAUAAUCCUUUGACAUAAACAUUGCAGCACUAAGGUCCUCUUGGGCAGACACCUUGCACCCAUGAGAGCACUAAGAGGAAGCAAGGCGGAGUCAUGGGUGCAAUGUCAUGACUUGUUGCACUAAGAGAGGCUUGGUGAUGGCAUAGUGCUGCAGUAGCAAGAAUGUUGCCUUGGCAGGGACACGAUCUAGGGACAGAUGCCAAGAAAGGCUUAGCACUCACAUGAGUUGCACAAAGAUGAAUGAAAUAGAACAUCAAAGAGACAUCUUGGCAAGCUCAAGAAAGACAUGUGGGUUGGUAAAUGAAUGGAUGCAAGAGGCAACAACAUGAGGAGUUUCAAAUGGAUAGGGAAUGAGUCAAAGACAUUUGAAAGCUACAAGUUGGAUUCUAAUUACGAUUGCAAUUUGAGUUUGAGUAGGAGUUUAUAUUAUGAUUGUAAUUGUAGUAUGAGUUGGACUAGGAUUGCUUAUCCCUAGUCAAAAUAGGAGUUGUUCAUGCCACACCCUAUGAAAAGAGUUUGAGUAGGGACUAGGAUUGCUUGCUCCUAGUCAAAUAUGGAGUAGGUGGUGCCACACCUAUAAAAAAAAAAGGGACAACAUGAGAGAGAGAGAGAAUGAAUUCACCAAAGAUAUUGUGGGAGUUUUGCUUUGUUACAUCUUGUAUUAUUAUUUAGAAUAGUAAUAAAAUACAAGUUGGGGCUAGAGCCCCAUAAUCUCGUGUGCCUUUGUGGGUUAUUCUUUAUUUGCCAUCUCGUGUGGAUUGGAUUAGAUUGAUGAGGCGAAAUAUUAUGUGGGAAAUUUAUGUUGGGACACUUACCAUAACCAGGUAAAAUCUACCAAGUCUUUUGUAAUAUCUUCUACAAAUAUUUUAGACCAGUUCUUCACAAAACAUCAUAAUAUGUUUUGUGUUUCUCUUGGAUUUUGAGUUGAAUUGUCUUAGAUCAAUUGAAUGCAUCUCAAUAUUAUUAUCUUGUUUGAAGGCUUGAUGAUUUUCCAUUUAACUUUACUUUCUUUAGGUUAUGCUUGAUUCCUUAAAAGUACUAAGGAAAACAAAAAAUAAAAAAAAAUAAAAAAUGCAGAGGGUUAGGACAUGUGUUAUCUAAUUGUCCUAUCCAAAGAUAUUAAGAAAGUCAUGUAGGAAAGUAAUUGAAAACUAGGUCAAGAAAGGAGCAAAAGGGAAUUGUUUUGGUAUUUUCUUUUUUAUUCUUGAAGGUGGCAGAGCUAAAAUUUGAGAAAUCAAGCAAAACAUACUGAAAUUACAUUGAAAGAAAGAAAAUGGUAGUUAAUGUCUUGCAGUACAUGAUAAGGACUUCAUGCAUGUAGUGUGACGACCCAUGUCUUGGACUGAUGCCACACUCACGGUUACACUUAUACCCUUGGUUCUCUCUUUACUACCUUGGCUAACCUAGAUCAGGCUAUGAGAUAGGCUCCUCACCACACCAUCACUUGCCCAGUAAUUAGUGACAUUUUCAAGCAAUGAGGUAACAUGGUGACACCAAGAGGGUUUAUCCCUCGCCCCAACAAGUCUAGACUCGGUCUCAAAAAAAUGGAGAAAAAUGAGGUGUCGUUAUGCAGAAAUACAACAACCAUGCCUUCCUUAUUACUUAGAUUCAGAAUGUGAAGGUGAAAUUGAGAAACAGAAACUCUUGAAACCAGAAUGAAAAUUGAUACUUUUACGAAGAAUUACAACAUUAGAGGAAGACUACAUUCUUCCUCUAUAUUCCUACGUUUCUACACUACUUCUACUCCACUCCAUAUUUCUACAUACAUCUUUAAUCAGUUUUCCCUCCUUUAUAUAGAGCCAUCUUCACACAAAUUCCGCAAGGUAGAAAAGAGGAAUGAAACUUGGAGCAAGGUUCGACUACUGGUUGUCGCUUGUCAAGGCUGGAAUUGAACUUUUUUUCUUGGCUUUUCUGGGCAUAGGUAGUAACUUGUGGUUCCUUUUUGGAAUGAAAAUGGUACAGCUAGAACAUGUGGCACUCUCUUGUUGGAUUAUGUGUCAAACAUGUGGCAGCCAUCUAGUGGAGAUUAUUUCAAUUUUGGGAUGGAGAGUUGGCAUCCAAUUGCAAAGAAAUAUGACAUCUACCAACAUGCAAUGUAAACCUAUAUAGAUCAUAUGGAGAUAGAGAGGAAACAUAUAGAAAUGGAUAUAUACCUAGAACUAGCUUUUUAUUAAAUGAGACGGAGAGCCAACAAUGAAGGAAAAUCAAAAUUUUUGGCUCAUAUCAAAGAAUUCACAUUGUGUUACCCUAGGUUUUCUUAAAGCUUGCACAAAGCCAAAAAGCACACAAAAAAUUAUAUUUUCUAGCUCUCUACCUUGGAUGGUCUCUUGAUCCUACUUGGAGAUGUGCAUAAAUAAAAGGAUUUGAAAAUGACAAUUGACUAAGUAUGUAGUCAAUCAAUUACUCAUUAAUUGACUAGUUGAUCAAUUAACUUUGCAACAUCAUAUGCAAUCCUAAUAGCUAGUCAUCUAAUCAACUAGGUAGUAAAUCAAUAGGCCAAAAAUAUGUUUAUAAUGACUAUUUUGUACAAAAACCACCUAUAUGGUUAAAUAUAAUGCAUUUCAUUUAUAAAUCUUCUAAUUCUUGAAUAACGAUCCUAUCAUCCUUUGAAAGUUUUUAUUACACCUUUUAUACUUUUGUUCUAAAACUUACACAUGUACAUCACCCUUAAUUGUACCAUGAGAACCUAGCUUUUUUUUUUUUUUUUUUUGUAAUUCAUCAAAGUUAGCUUUUGUAUUCAUUACUGUACUAUUUUUAUUGUAACUUAGAAAGCGAGUGUUUUCAAGUGAGUGAAAUUGACUUAUAAAUAUUGUAAAGAUUCAUUGAUGUGUAUCUUAAACUAAGUGUACAAGUUGAAACAUUUGCUAGUAGAUUUUCUCAAGAUUUAGAAUAGAGCUUGAGGCUAUUGAAAUAGGUGGGGUUGCACCAAACCACAUCACAUUGUUGUUUGCACCUUUUUUUCACUCUCUUUUACUUAGUUGCUCUAUAUUUGUUGUCUAGUAAUAUCCUAUAGGCUUGAUGGGUUAGGGAGCAUCCCUUUGUGAAAAAUUUUCAUUCAAUCCUUAGUUGUAUCACGCAUAUAUAAAAUGCCUCAUUGUUUUAAUGGUAUUCAGUCGUGGCAUCACAGAUAUGGGCAUCUAAAUUUUAAAAGUUUGAAACUUUUAUCUAAAGAAAAUAUGGUGCUUUGCCUUUUUGUAAAGCAUGUUGAUGAAAUCCAUGAGAAUUGUGUACUUGGGAAGCAACAUCGAGAUGACUUUUUUUUUUUUCAUUUUUUAUAAUGCGACACCUAAGUCCGGUUUCUAAAUGCUGAAGUGAAAGGGUAGGUAUGGACCAUUGAAAUCUGAUCACAACUUUUGGCCUUUUCCUUUCUCUGCAGCCAUGUUGUCUCUUUUUUCUUUUGCAUGAUUUUCUUACCUAAACAGAAUCAUAGACUUGUUUAAUCUCUAAAUGGUAUUUCAUCCAGCUUUAAGCUACUGUAUUAUAUCUUGGUGGAGGACUUUUAAGAGUGAAACCGACAUAGAGCACAUGCAAGUGGGUAUAUGGGACAUGAAAUUUCUUCUUAUAAAGACUGCAUGGUUUUUAUAUUAGAGUUGUUGAGGCGCAAUGUAUUUAGCUUGUUUUGCAGUUAAAUUAAUUGGAUAAGUAGACAUUGUCGUUUCUAAAUUUCCCACCUAAGAUAGUGACCUUAUCCUUGACUGCUUGAUGAGAUACACAAACAAUUAUACCUUCAAAAUCUACUGUGAAGUGCUUCAUGUAUGUGUGAAGUAUUAGAAAUUUCUUUCUUGGCAACUUGUUUUUUCUUUGCCCUCUACUGAUAGGUUUGACUCAAAUUAAAUUCCCUGUCAUGCUAAUUAAUUUUCACGUGCAUGCUCAAAAGGAUCACGUCAACUCUGGUUUCUACUAUUCAGGUCCAUUCCCAGAUAAACUGGUUCAAAUUUGAGAAAAUGGCAACAGCCCUUUAGUGAUGUUGGUUUGGAGCCAGUAGCCAAACCCGCCCUGAGCUUUACCACUAAUGUCAAGGGACAAAGCCAUUUGAACAAAAACAAUAGCUUCAAGAGACUGAAUCGUGGAUGAAAUCUGAUCCACAUUUCUUCUCAUUUUGGGAACAAAUGAGAACUUAACUACAAAGAUUCUACUGCCUCAUAGUGCUUUUCCUGAUCUAAGGUUGGUUCGUUUCCCAAAUUGUGAGGUACGUGCCAUUCUCACGCUCAGGAGUGUAUCCACGUGGUGGACAUAAGAUGGUGGCUUAAUAUCUGGUGUCGGUGGCUUUACUUUACUAGGAGAGUAGUGUGUCUUCAUCUCAUUCACUGCCGGAGGGUGGCGUAAGCAGUGACGCUAAGGUGGGGCACAGUCAAUAUCAUUUGCAUUUGACCAUUAUAGUUUUCUCCCGGCUUGAAAGUAACCUUAUCGUGAUAAAGGAUUACUAGCACUAGUUCAGAUGACAGUCAUGUUAAAUUCGGACCAUGUUUGUGUCACAUUAUCAGCAACCAUGUGUUUAUGGUUCAUGCUAUCUGCAACUAAACUUGAUAUAUAACCACGUGAACUUCAAUCUAAAUUCUGGAAGUACUCUUGUGAUAGAUGGUGCCUGUCUGCAGAGUCCAUCAAUUGAAAAAUGGAGUGAGUGUAUCUAUAAGAGGGAAGGCUUGGCAAAUGUUCAGUUUUCUGGGAACUCAACAAGGAUCUAAAAUAGAUUGUUUUCUUUGCUGAUUUCAAUGGUUGAAAUUUGAGAAGAUUGUGUCCACAUAACACAACUAUUACUGGUCCUUCUGUUGCAAUUUAUCCUCUAAGGCUCUAACAUGUCUUCCAAUUCCCACUUCCCUGUUACUCCAGGAAAGCUAUUUCUGUCAUUGUGAAGAAGAAAAGAGAAUGUACAUAUCGAUGGUUUUAAGUGACUGGGGCAUUCAUAUCAGGUGGUCUGCAGCCAUAUAUGCCACUUUGUGAAGGUUGGAACAGUCAAUCACCAGGCUAUAUUAGUGUGGCCCAGCCACUUCAAUCAAGGACAAGUCUUCAUACUUAAAGUCAAAUUCUGCCUUUAGUCUCAUUAUAAAUUGCUGUUUAAAUAUUAAGCAAACAUUUGUUUAAUGCGAUUAAGACAGUACUAACUCAAUACUUGUUCUAUUUUUGGAUGCAAAUGCUUGAUGGUUUCAUCAUUGGAUGGGAUAAAGGUGCAUUCAUGAUUAUGAAUACUUGUAGUUAUAUUUUCAUUCUCUUUUUUCUCAAUGAGACUUGUUGGCACAAUUUUGCUGUUCAGAAACCUACCUCUCCAUCGAAAAUCAGUUGUGAUUGAUAGUACUGGAUAUAUUCAAGAAAGCUAAAUAUAGAUAGCACCAAAUAUUAUCGAUAUAAAUAGCAUUAACAGCGUACGUAUGUCUCAAUGCUCAUCAGCUAUAAGCAACGGGCAAACACUUACUAUGAGCAACUUGCGUCAAAAUUCCAGAAUAGGACAUAGAAGUGACAGAUCUAUAUAUAUAUAGAACACUGCAUAUGAGUCACAAGAAAGGAAAUUACGGGUGCAUAGCAGCUCUUAUUUUACAUCCUACUCAUACUGAUCAAAGUCACUCAGUUGGGAUGGGUGGGAGUAGGAGGUUUGUGGGGUGGCUUGUGCGGAGGAGUUGGCAGCUUCUUUCCAGGACCUGGUUGCUUCUCUGCUGGAGUUGAAGGAGGCUUAAUCUUCCGAGGUGGCUUGUAUGAGUCUUCAGCAUUCUCAGCAGGAGGGUGACCAGGGUUGUGACCAUAAUGUGGUGGCUUCUCUCCCUUAGGUGGUUUGCCAACUGGGGUUGGUGGCUUGUAUGAGUCUUCAGCAUUCUCAGCAGGAGGGUGACCAGGGUUGCGACCAUAAUGUGGUGGCUUCUCUCCCUUAGGUGGUUUGCCAACUGGGGUUGGUGGCUUGUGUUCUGGGAGUGGCUUCUCCCCCUUGGGAGGUUUUUCCAAUGGGGUUGGUUUGUGUUCAGGAGGUGGCUUCUCCACUGGAGGCUUGUGUUCAGGAGGUGGCUUCUCCACCGGAGGCUUGUGUUCAGGAGGUGGCUUCUCCACCGGAGGCUUGUGUUCAGGAGGUGGCUUCUCGAAUGGGGGAUGCUCAGGGUAAUCAGCAAGUGAGGGGUUGGUGAGAACCACCAUGCCAAGCAACAGGACUAGCAAGUAUGUAGGAGACAUCUUUGGGUUUGGACUUAAGACAGUGGAAAACUGCGAGAAUUCUCUAGCCUUUUAUAGCGGGUCGACCCAGUACUCACAUGACACGUGUCAUUAUGACACAUGUGCCAUGGGGUCGAUUUGGGUCCUACAGUGUUGAAAAGUUGGGCAUUUGAGGUGUGAGCACAACUUUUGGCCUUUGCUUUCUCUACAGCCGCCAUGCUUUUCCCUUUUUUCCUUUUCCUUUUGUUUUCCUCCUGCCUCGUGUUCUCAACUAAACACAAUUAGGUUGUUUAAUUGUUAAAUGAGAUUUUUGUCUGUCAAUCAUAUUAUAUCCUAUCAAGAGAGAACAGAGUGUAAUGUAGUACACAUAACACGAGGCAGUAGUAAUUUUAUCAUUUAUUUUUAUAGCUUGGACCACCGCAUUUUUUCUUCUAAAAUAUUCUGUCUUGUUAAGAGACGCAAUAAUACACAAUUUUAUCUGCCAUUCAACAUUUACUGUAAAGUUCUUUUAUCUCUUUGUAGUUCUAGAAAAGUACAAAAUGGAACAUCAUGUAUAUGGUGCCUUCUGUCCUAAAAAAGAAACUGGACAAAUUAUGAACUGCAUGCUAAAAAGAGGCAAAGGAGCUUAAUUCGCAGCAUAAUUAUUUUGGUUUCUAGAGAGCCCGGGGCCUUUUGGUUGGUUUGGGGUCAGAAAAUGAACAUCAUAGGGAUUGUGCCCUUAACUGGCCUUGUUACUACAAAGAAAUUGCCAUAGAAAUUUAUUCCAGGCUGAGUAUCUCCGGAUAGACCCCAGAAAAGAAGAGUCAUAAUGAGAAUCAACCUUUGUUGAGUUUGAUUCCAUGCCUCCAUUGUGUUCAUUUCAUGAAUCUGAUUUGCAUUUAACAUUACAGUUUUGUUCUGGAAACAAUCAAAGGAGCAUCGUUUGCUUCUUGGGUGACCCAUAGUGGUGGGUGGGUCGAUUUGCUUAGUUGAAAAUUGGACAAUUGGCUCCAUCGCCUACCUCUUGGAUUCCAUGCUCGGAUAAAACGACAACAAAUAAAUAUUUAUAACUUACAACUGGGGAAAGGAAAAAAUAGUACUAAAUUCAUGGUACAUGAUAGUGAGAGAAGGGGGUGUUACACUCAGCUAAAGUUCUUUUCUAAAUAUUGCAUGGUGUUUAAUUUUAUGUGUCGGCGCGCGUGUGAAUGGAACCUGCAAAAGUCCAAAUUGGCGUUUCUCCAUUUUCCACAUAGGAUGGUGACGUUAAUAGACAAAGAUACAAUAUCUGUAGACAUUGCUUAAAAAUCGAUGUGAAGUAUUAGAAAUUACAGGCCACUGUACUGGGGGAGCGGCUGCCCCGCCAAAGGAAGAAUGUAGCAAUUUCUUCUGUUAGCCAGGCCUUAGGAUUUAUGCAUGGGAUGCCUAAUAACAAACAGAGAAAAUAUGCUUUUGGGGAAGGUAUCCAACAACAGACACCAUCAUUCAGAUGGUGGGAAGGUAUCCAACAGAUGCCAUCAUUCAGAUGGUAACAUAUAUAUACAUUUAUUAGUGAGUUUUUUUAAUACCUAUAAAAAAAAUAUACACUUUGAUAUUGUGGCUGAAUCCAUUACAUACUCAACUAACCUUGCUCAUUAGGGAUUUGACGUAACAAGGGCAACGUUGCAGUAAAAGCUCGAAACUUUAUGCAGGUGACAUUACAUUUGGUAAAGAAGAGGAAAAUAAGGAAAGCCAUCCAUAAAAGCAAAAUUCCUCAUGGGAUGAAAUUCACAAACUUCAUUUACGUUAGAGUCGCAUCCAGGCAAUUAAUUCCACAUUAGACCGCCUUUUGACAUGUGUACGGAUCUUUUUUCAAAAAUUAUUUAUAAAUAAUUGAUACUUACAAAAAUAAUUUAAGAUUUAUAAAGGAUAAAAAAAUAUUUUCAAAUCUAUGACAAUUUAUAAAAUAUUAAUAAAAAAUUAUCUCUUAAACUUAGUAUAGUUUUAUCGUAUUAAACUUUUAUUUUGAACAAAUAAUUUUAAUCUAAGUUUUAAAUUCUAAAAUUAUUUCCUUAAAAUAAAAUUUUAAAAUUCAACACUUCAAUUGAAAUUGUCUUUUAAAAAAAAUAUCUUCUUAUUUUAAUCCUUAUAAACUAUAGUUGAUUGAAAAUACUAUUGAAGUUCUCUCUUCAAAAAAAGUCUUAUUUUAAUCUUCAUAAAUUGCCCUUGAUUUGAAAAUAAACUUUGGGUUAUCAUAUUUUAAAUAAUAUAUAUAUAUAUAUAUAUAUAUAUAUAUAUAUAUAACAAAUACUCUAUUUUUUUUUUAAAUGAACUAAUUUUAAUUAUAUUUUAUUUUAUUUUUUUAUAUAUUUUUAAUGAUAAACCAAACAUAGAAAAUCAUUUUUCUAAAUAUUUUAAAAUUUCUAAGCAACCAAACAUAAUCUUCAAAAUAAAAGGAGAAUAAGGAGGGACAAGUGAGAAAUGGCGAUUAAAAAAAAGUGUACAAAAGCUCAAUUAAUUUUCUUCUAGUCUUUUAUAUAAAAAAGUAUUGGUAUGUAAAUUAAUAUUUGGAUUUUAAUAGUAUUUUAUUUGUCUUUCUCUAUCUCAUGUAAAAGAGAAUUUAAGAUAUUUCCUAAAGCAAAGCAUUAGUUAUCUGCAAUCAGUGGUGAUCAUGGUCCAUGUCAAUUUCGGACCCAUAUCUUAAAACCGUAUAAUUUGCGUUUCAACAUUACUGAUUUCUCAGAUGUUUCAUACUCCACAGAAGAGUAUUGUUAGUGAAAGCAUUUUGUAACUGUUACUCAUAGUGUUUUGACUCUGGCUCAACAACAUCAGCCAUUGACGGAUUUUCAUACAUGCAAAUCAAAUAGUCUUCUUCCUCCCUUAGGAAUUUCGGUUUAAAUGUUAUUAAGCAUACAUUUGGCUGACAAUUAUUAACCACUUCAUGAUAUGGUUUCUUACCCUUAAUCAAUGGUUUCUAAGUGAAUAUAUGCAGAAGGAAAUCUGAACUGUAGACAGCAGUAUUGAUAACUCUCAAUAUUCUUUAUAUAAGAGAAUAAACAACGUCAUAGUGAUCGUCGCCUACAAGAAAGGUACAUUUCCCAACAAGAUGUAGUGGUGACUGCUACAUGGACGCAAUUAACUCGUAGAAAAGGAUAAGACCAGUGCACGGCAGCUCUUAUUUUACAUGCUAAUUAUGCUAACCAAAGUCACUCAGUUGGGAUGGGAGGGAGAUGGAGGUUUGUGCGGUGGCUUGUGGGGCGGAGUUGGUGGCUUCUUUUCAGGAGCUUGUGGCUUUUUCGGAGCUGAAGGAGGCUCAAUCUUAUGAGGCGGCUUGUACGAGUCUUCUUUACUCUCGACAGGAGGGUGACCAGGGUUGUGACCAUAAUGUGGUGGCUUCUCUCCCUUAGGUGGCUUGCCAACUGGGGUUGGUGGCUUGUGUUCAGGAAGUUGUUUCUCUCCCUUGGGAGGUUUACCAAUUGGGGUUGGUGGCUUGUGUUCUAGGAGUGGUUUCUCUCCCUUGGGAGGUUUAGUGGGUGACUUGUGUUCUGGAGGUGGCUUCUCCACCGGAGACUUGUGUUCUGGAAUUGAUUAAAAAAAUUCUACCACUCUUUUAAGUAAUGGAAGAUUAUUAUCUCUGAUUGGCACCACAACAGCACAUGCUGCUAGAUCUUUCUAGACACUCCAUGCAAUGAAAGCACAAUGGAUCUUGUAACGAUAGAAACUAAGCCAUGCUACAGUACUAGAUGACGAGGUAAAACUAGUAGACAUGGGUGGUAGUUGAUUACUACUCAAAAAGUACUCUUUUAUAGUUUGAAACUAACUGUUUUAAACACUUUUGAGUAGUAGUUAAUAAAUUUUAACUCAAUUGGCACAUUAAGGAACCUAGCAAGGGUUACUAAUAAACUUUUGGCAAGUUUUGGUGUUUUUGGUAGUUAUUCGAUCAUUGAAACAAGCCAAGAAUGAGGGAGAAUUUUGUGAAGUCCAUGGCAAUGCAAGUUAAAGCUCAAAUACACGAAGAAUCCAAGCUUUGGAGCACUACAUAGCCCUUUGCCAAGCCAAUUAGAGAUGCAAGGAACAAAACCAAAGGAAGAAAUCCAACAACCAACAUUUUCGCAUGGUUGUGUGAAAUUUCGCACACCAUGCGAAACCACAAGAGGUAGCCAAAGAAUUUCACAUGGUAUGCGAAAUCUUCUCAUGCACCGACUCCGUUAGAUUUUUAUCUUCAGAUAUUUUGUGUAAUUUCCUAGUUUCUCCUUGUAACCAACCUAGAUAUUUUCUUUUAUAUCUUUUUUUAUAUUUUUUAGGUAACAUCAUAUAUAAGGGGAGAGACAUAAGGAGGAUAUGGAUGUUUUUCAUAGAACACUUGUAAAUUUUCAGUAGUAAGAAAUAUACAAAGCUUUUUGCUAUGCCUUACCUUCUCAUUUUGUUUUCACCUGUCUUUCUAGCCAAACAACCUCUAAGGAUGAUUUCUCAGGGGAUGAGUGGCUAGGUUUUACGUUUCUUGGAGUGAGGGAAGCUAGGUGAAGGACCUGAAUGCAAAGAUGAGAGUUUUCCUUGCUUUAAAUGAAAGUAGUUGUUAAACAUUAAUGGUUUUUAUUUUAAGGUUUAGCUUUAAAUCCCUUAAAAACACCUUGAAUGACCAAUACUUGGUAAGCUUUUCGGAUUCUAUGGAUGCUUAUUGCUAGAUCCAUGGAUGUCUAUUAGUUAUCAUUUACGAGCCUUUGGAAGGUGAUUCAAGGUGAGGGUCUUUAGUGUUUGAAGCCAUUAAUGGGAAGCAAUUACCAUUUUUUCAUGAAUCCUUUGGAUCAAAUCUUAAUUGCUAAAUAUAAAACCGAUUUGGGAAAUAACCAUCCUUUAUGUUAUUAUCCCCAACGCAAGGAGAAGAUCCGGAAUCUUCCCUUUUGUCUAAGGAACCCGAUCCUAGUGACCUAAAGCUCCAAGAGACCUUUUCUUUGUAGUUAACUUCAUUUAUUGUUUUUGCUUAACUUAAAAUCAAUCUUUGCAACCACAAUUCCAUUUUCUUUAAAAGCUAAUUUUUAUAAGGAAAAACACCAUUUUAUUUCCUUCACUAAGUCAACUGUACGAUGAAAACCCAUCCCUGUGGACGAUCCUAGAGCCAUUAUACUAUGUUAGCUAUGCUACCCUAGUGUGAGGUGAUUUAGGUUUUAUAAAUUUUGUUGAUAACACCCAUCUGAGCCAGAAUCAAAUGGCACAACUGAACCAGGGACGAAUCAAAUGGCGCCGCUAUCGAGGAUGGUGCCAAAGUACAUUGACAUGACUUUUGGUGAACACUUGUGAUCUUCAUCACAAGUUUGGUGAUUUUUCUAUUACUAAUUUUUUUCUUUGUUUUUAUUUUAGCUUAUCUUUUAUUUAGUUUUUAGCUAACCUUAACUUUUUCUUAGAAUUGUAUUUCUUCUAUUUUCUUUGUUUUUGUUUCAGUGAUCUUUAGUUGUGCAUGCCCUAUUGGAUAAGAAAUAUUGAGGGAAUACUUGUGAAGAUUGAAAAUCCUCGAGAAACUGAGUUGGAAGUGUGAUUGAACAUCAUGGAUGUUCCACCUGAAGACCAGAAUAGCCAACAUGGUUAAGAGGAUAAUUUCAAAGCAUACCGAUCCAUGAGGGACUGCAUGCAUCCACCUCGUAUGAGUGCACCGUCAUGCAUAGUGCCUCCCACUGAGCAACUAGUAAUCUGACCUCACAUUGUGCCACUCCUACCUACUUUCCAUGGGAUGGAGAGUGAGAAUCUCUACUCGCAUAUUAAGAAAUUCGAGGAGGUUUGUAAUACAUUCCAAGAAGGAGGAGCUUCAAUUGACUUGAUGAGGCUCAAGCUAUUUCCUUUCACUUUGAAGGAUAAGGCUAAGAUUUGGCUUAAUUCUUUAAGGCCAAGGAGUAUCCGAACUUGGACUAAUUUGCAAGCCGAUUUUCUUAAGAAGUUCUUCCUUACCCAUAGGACCAAUGGUUUGAAAAGGCAAAUUUCGAACUUCUCAGCUAAAGAGAAUGAGAAAUUCUAUGAGUGAUGGGAGAGGUACAUGGAAGCUAUUAAUGCUUGUCCUCACCAUGGCUUUGACACAUGGCUCUUAGUGAGUUAUUUUUACGAUGGUAUGUCUUCUUCAAUGAAGCAACUCCUAGAAACUAUGUGUGGAGGAUACUUCAUGAGUAAGAAUCCGAAGGAAGCCAUGGACUUUUUGAGUUAUGUGGCUGAAGUUUUAAGAGGAUGGGAUGAACCAAAUGCUAGAGAGGUGGAAAGAAUGAAGUCUCAACCUAAUGCUAAGGGUGGGAUGUAUGUUUUGAAUGAAGACAUUGACAUGAAAGCAAAGGUUGUAGCUAUGGCAAGGAGAUUGGAAGAGCUAGAAAUGAAGAAGGCACAAAAAGUGGAAGCCAUUUCUGAGACAUCAGUGCAAGCUAUGCCUUGUUCCAUUUGUCAACCUAAUGCUAAGGGUGGGAUGUAUGUUUUGAAUGAAGACAUUGACAUGAAAGCAAAGGUUGUAGCUAUGGCAAGGAGAUUGGAAGAGCUAGAAAUGAAGAAGGCACAAAAAGUGGAAGCCAUUUCUGAGACAUCAGUGCAAGCUAUGCCUUGUUCCAUUUGUCAAUCUUAUGAGUACCUAGUGGAGGAGUGUCCUACAAUUCCAGUAGUGAGAGAGAUGUCUGGUGAUCAAGCAAAUGUUAUUGAUCAAUUCAAGCCUAAUAAAAAUGCUUCAUAUGGCAACACCUACAAUUCAAAUUGGAUGAACCAUCCAAAUUUCUCUUGGAAACCAAAGCUACCUCAAUACACACAACCUGCUCAAGCACCUUAGCAAUCCUCGAAUCUUGAACAAGCUAUUGUGAACCUUAGUAAGGUUGUGGGAGAUUAAAAGUCCAUCAAUGCUCAACUGAAUCAGAGAAUUGACAGUGUAGAGAGUACAUUGAACAAAAGGAUGGAUGAGAUGCAAAAUGAUCUGUCUCAAAAGAUAGACAAUGUCCAAUAUGCAAUCUCAAGGCUUACCAACCUCAACACAGUGCAAGAGAAAGGAAAGUUUAUUUCUCAACCUCAUCAAAAUCCCAAGGGUAUCCAUGAAGUGGAGGCUCAAGAGAGAGAAUCUUCAAAGGUGAGGGAAGUCAAAGCAGUUAUCACCUUGAGGAGUGGUAAAGAGGUUGAUCAACCCACAUCCAAGCCAAAGCAUAAUGAAGAGAGUUUUGUAGAAAAAGAAAAGAGAGGAAAAUAAAGGAAAGAGAAUAGAGAAAAGUACAAAGAAAGAUGACCAUGAGUCUAGUGUGGAUGAAGAGCCCAAGAGGAUAGUGAUCAAGGAAAAUAUGAUGAAGAAACACAUGCCUCCACCUUUCCCCUAAGCUUUGCAUGACAAAAAAGGAACCAAUAAUACAUCGGAAAUUUUUGAAGUAUUGAGGCAAGUGAAGGUCAAUAUCCCUUUGCUAGAGAUGAUCAAACAAGUGCCGACAUAUGCAAAAUUCUUGAAGGACUUGUGCACUGUAAAGAGAGGGUUGAAUGUGAACAAGAAAGCUUUCUUGACCGAGCAAGUGAGUUCCAUCAUACAGUGCAAGUCUCCAGUGAAGUACAAAUAUCCGGGCUACCCUACCAUCUCAGUGAGUAUUGGAGGUACUUGUGUGGAAAAAGCUUUGUUGGACUUGGGAGCAAGUGUGAAUUUGCUACCCUACUCUGUCUAUAAGUAGUUGGGACUUGGAGAGUUGAAGUCAACAUCCAUCACCCUAUCUCUGGCAGAUAGAUCAGUGAAGAUUCCAAGAGAGAUGAUAGAAGAUGUCUUGGUUCAAGUUGACAAAUUCUACUAUCCAGUGGAUUUUGUUGUUCUUGAUACGGAUCCGAUUGUCAAAGGAACUAAUUAUGUUCCUAUCAUACGAAGACCCUUCCUAGCUACAUCAAAUGCAAUCAUCAAUUGUAGGAAUGGAGUCAUGAAACUCACGUUUGUCAACAUGACAUUAGAGCUCAACAUCUUCCAUUUGUACAAGAAGCAUAUCCAUUCAGAAGAAAAAGAAGGUCUAGAGGAAGUGUGCAUGAUUGACACUUUAGUGGAGGAGCAUUGUGAUCGACAAUGCAAGAAGAUUUAGUUGAGAGUUUUGGGGAUCUUGAUGAAGGGUUACUUGAACCCUCAGAUUUGCUUGCUACCCUACUCCAUUGGAGGAAGAGAGAAGAAAUUCUACCCUUAUUCAAUGAGGAGGAGACACAAAGAGCUGCUAAAGAUAAGCCCCCAAAGCUUAUUCUUAAGCCACUACCCACAGAGUUGAAGUAUGCAUACUUGGAAGAAGACAAGAAGUGCACUGUUGUUAUAUCUUUAGCUCUUACCAUUCAUCAGGAGGAUUGUCUACUUGAAGUCCUUAGAAGAAGUAAGAAGGUAAUAGGGUGGCAAAUUUCUGAUUUGAAAGGGAUCAGCCCUUUUGUCUGCACCCAUCAUAUUUACAUGGAGGAUGAAGCUAAGCCAAUUCAUCAACCUCAGAGAAGGUUGAACCCUCACAUGCAAGAAGUGGUGAGAGUUGAAGUUCUUAAGCUACUUUAGGCUGGUAUUAUUUACCCCAUAUCAGAUAGCCCAUGGGUGAGUCCUACUCAAGUUGUGCCAAAGAAGUCGGGGAUCACGGUGGUGCAAAAUGAUAAGGGAAAAGAUGUCUCUACAUGUCUCACUAUAGGUUGGAGGGUGCGUAUCAAUUACAGGAGGUUGAAUGUAGUGACAAGGAAUGACCAUUUCUCGUUGCCCUUUAUUGAUCAAGUGCUUGAGAGGGUCUCUGGGCAUCCUUUUUAUUGUUUCUUGGAUGGCUACUCGAGGUAAUUUAAGAUAGAAAUUGAUGUUGAAGACCAGGAGAAGACCAUUUUCACAUGCCCAUUUAGAACCUAUGCAUAUAGGAGAAUGUCUUUCGGCUUAUGCAAUGCACCCACAACUUUCCAAAGAUGCAUGUUAAGCAUUUUCAAUGAUAUGGUGGAGCAUAUUAUGGAAGUCUUUAUGGAUGAUAUCACCAUAUAUGGAAGUGCAUUUGAUGAAUGCUUGGUCAACUUAGAAGUUGUUCUGAACCGAUGCAUUGAGAAAGACUUAGUGCUUAAUUGGGAGAAGUGCCAUUUCAUGGUACACCAAGGGAUUGUCCUUGGGCACAUCAUCUCCAAGCAAAGCAUUGAAGUUGACAAAGCAAAGGUUGAACUCAUUGUUAAGUUGCCAUUCCCAACAAAUGUCAAAGGAGUAAGGCAAUUCCUUGGCCAUGCCGGGUUCUAUAGGAGGUUUAUCAAGGAUUUCUCUAAGCUUGCAAGGCCUCUUUGUGAAAUAUUGGUGAAGGAUGUUAAAUUCAUAUGGGAUGAUAGAUGCCAAAGGAGUUUUGAAGAAUUGAAGCUAUUUUUGACAACCUCACCAAUAGUGAGGGCUCCCAACUAGCAACUGCCCUUUGAGGUAAAGUGUGAUGUCAAUGACUUUGCUAUAGGAGCUGUUCUUGGGCAAAGAGAAGAUGGAAAACCUUAUGUGAUCUACUAUGCGAGCAAGACAUUGAAUGAGGUGCAAAGAAACUACAUAACCACCGAGAAAGAAUUGUUAGCUGUAGUUUUUGCCUUGGAUAAGUUUCGUGCUUACUUGGUGGGAUCCUUCAUCGUGGUUUUUAUUGAUCACUUUGCUUUGAAGUAUCUAUUGACUAAGCAAGAUGCUAAAGCAAAACUGAUUAGAUGGAUUUUCUUGCUUCAAGAGUUCAAUCUCCAGAUCAAAGACAAGAAAAAAAUGGAGAAUGUGGUAGUAGACCACAUUUCAAGGCUAGCUAUCGCACAUAAUUCCCAUGCUUUGCCCAUUAAUGACGAUUUUCUAGAGGGGUCUCUCAUGUUGGUGGAAGUUGUCCCUUGGUACGCUCACAUUGCUAACUACCUGGUCACAAGAGAAGUUCCAAGUGAGUGGAAAGCACAAGAUAAGAAGCACUUCUUUGCAAAAAUUCAUGCCUACUAUUGGGAAAAGCCAUUUCUAUUCAAGUAUUGUGCGGAUCAGAUAAUAAGGAAGUGAGUUCCUGAAGAAGAGCAACAGGGGAUCCUCAGUCAUUGCCAUAAAAAUGCAUGUGGAUGCCACUUUGCUUAUCAGAAGACAACCAUGAGGGUGCUGCAAUCGGGUUUCUGUUGGCCAUCACUUUUCAAAGAUGCCCACACCAUGUGCAAGAGUUGUGAUCGAUGCCAGAGGCUUGGGAAGUUAUCAUGUAGGAACAUGAUGCCUUUGAACCCCAUUUUAAUAGUUGAUCUUUUUUAUGUUUGGGGCAUUGACUUCAUGGGACUUUUCCCUAUAUCUUUUGGCUACUCUUACAUCUUGGUGGGAAUAGAUUAUGUUUCUAAGUGGGUUGAGGCAGUCCCAUGCAAACACAAUGACCAUAGAGUGGUUCUCAAGUUUCUUAAGGAGAACAUCUUCUCAAGAUUUGGGGUGCCCAAAGCCAUAAUUAGUGAUGGGGGUACUCAUUUUUGCAACAAGCCUUUUGAAACUCUCCUAGCCAAGUAUGGGGUGAAGCAUAAGGUAGCUACACCUUACCACCCUCAAACUAAUGGGCAAGUUGAGUUAGCAAACAAGGAGAUUAAAAACAUAUUGAUGAAGGUGGUGAACACAAACAGAAAAGAUUGGUCAGUCAAGCUCUUCGAUUCACUAUGGUCAUGUAGAACAGCUUACAAGACCAUUAUCGGGAUGUCUCUUUAUCACCUAGUCUAUGGAAAAAAUGCCAUCUCCUUGUGAAAUUGGAAUACAAAGCUUGGUGGUCAAUCAAGAAGCUCAACAUGGAUUUGAGCAGAGCUGGGUUGAAGAGGUUCUUAGACCACAAUGAGAUGGAGGAAUUGAGAAAUGAUGCCUACAUCAAUUCAAAAAUUGUAAAAGAAAAAUUGAAGAGGUGGCAUGAUCAGUUGAUUUCCCGCAAGAAUUUUCAAAAUGGAUAAAGAGUCUUGCUCUAUGACUCUAAACUCCACAUCUUUCCGAGCAAGCUGAAAUCAAGGUGGAUAGGUCCUUUUACCAUUCACCAAGUGCAUUCAAAUAGAGUAGUGGAACUACUCAACUCCAACAACAUCGGGAGCUUCAAAGUGAAUGACCAUUGUCUCAAGCCCUUUGUAGAGUCUUUUUUCUCGCGACAAGGAGGAAUUCAUCCUCCUUGAUCCACAUCAAGCUUGACAAGACCAGUUUUUUUUUAUGGACUUAGUCUUUCUAAAGACUAUCGAGUCCAUAACUUUUUAUUUUAUUUUUUAUUUGAGAGUUUUUCGGUAUUAUUACUUGUUUUGUUUUUUAUUUUUCGUUUUACUUUUAUUUGGUUUGAUUUAACUUAGAUUUUUUAUGAUCAAUUGCAGGGGGGAUUUCAAAUAGAGGAAAAACCAAGAUAAUUCGCACACCCUGCGAAAAUUUCGCAAGGCAUGCGAAAUUUAUGGCUCAUUUCGCAUGGGAUGCGAAAUUUCGCACACCCUACGAACCAAUUUCGCACACUUUGUGAAAAUAAACCAACCCUACGAAAUCAUUUCAAAUACUCUACGAAAUUUUCGCAGAGCAUGUAAAAAAUUUCGCAGACCAAACACCAUUUCGCAUACUAUGCGAAAAUGUAAGGGGUCUACAAAACCAUUUCGCACCUCCAAAGCCAUUUCGCACAUUGUGCAAAAAUGAAAAGUCGCCCUAUCAUCCAUUUUUAAACCCCUUGAGCCCUGAAAUCCCCAUUUCGCAAGCACCCCUGUCCUUGCGAAUCCCUCAUUUUCCUCUGCCACCUUGCGACCUUGUCCCUCUCCAUUUGAUAUCGUGCCCUGCGCACAUCUCAUUUCAAAGACUCGCACUCUGCGCCCUCUCAAAGCACGAACCCAAGGCUCACAUUCCAUUUCCGACAUGGCACAGACCCGAGGAGCCCUUCCCGCCCCUUCAUCGAGACGCACACCAAGGUAGAGAGCCUCUUUUGCUCAGAUGCCAAGUGAUUCUCCAUUUCAGGCCACGGAGGCCCUGCGGAUUCCACAUUCCAAGGGUAGAACAGCCACUGGUCCUUCCUCUUCUAUUCCUCAGCGUAGAUAUGAGACGAGGAGACCACCUACUACACAAAGGGCGACUACUUCGCGCCAUGAGAAUUCGGUACGACACCCUCCUGCCAAGAGGGCCAGGACUUCAGGCCCAGGCGAGUCAUCCAAAGCUUCACAGCCUGAGCCUCCUGCAGAUUCCGAGGUUCCUACUGACAUAUCAUCGGAGUCUAUUAUCAAACGCCCGAUGCUCACAGCACCGCCCAUUGAGGGCAACUCUGAUUGUAGAGCGAGACCUUUCCACUUGGAGCUAUAUUUUAAUUAAGAGGCCAUGCCACAGCAGCCUGAGCUCCAAGACUCUUAUGGCUUACUACAGAGGUACCAUCUUGAGGACCUUAUGACUCCUCGUGAGUUCUUUUAUCCCAGAGUAGCACUAGACUUUUACCAGUCCAUGACUACUCGUGGCGUCCCGAGUCCUACCGCGAUGCACUUCACCAUUAAUGGACGUCAUGGUAUCCUCGAGGCCAGACAUAUUGGAGAGGCUCUACAGAUUCCUUUCGAGCUAGAGGACCCAUCUGUUUUCUGCCAAUGGUCCCCAAUAUCUCAGAGGGACAUGGUCCAUAUUUUAUCCAGGGGGACAUCUACAUAUUCGAUCCUUCUACGGAAGGAGCUUCGACCUGGGAUACUCCUCGUAGAUGUGGUGCUACUUUCCAACCUCUUUCCCUUUUAGCAUUCGAUACAUAGGCGAGGAGCUAUUUUGGACGCUUUAUUCUGUAUAUCAGAGGGCUUCUACUUUGGCCCGCACCACUUGAUCAUGGUUUCCCUCAUCCAUUUUGAGGAGAAGGUCCAUAGAAAGAAGCUUCAGAGGGCGAACACCAUUCCAUUACUAUUCCCGAGGUUGCUCUACUAGAUCUUGGAGUACAUGGGCUUUCCUACUGAGCCUCGGCUUGUGUGCCGCCGCCUUUGUCAAGAGCGAUCCACUCUCGACAAAUGGAAUCAGUUGGCGGGCUAUUCUACACCUCCAGGAGCCCCUCCCAUGGUAGCACCUCUAGUGUCCCCACAGGCAGAGUAGGGCAAGCUCCCGGUAGAGACUGCACCCCUAGUGCCCACACCUGAGGCUACUUCUGCUGUUCCGCCUACGACUCCUACUGUUCCACCAGUUGGUCCUUUUACAUCUGAGUCUUCCAUCAACAUCUCGACUUCGGAGUUUCGCGCCCUUGUGCAUACCUUUCAGACACUCACCACCACACAUACUGCUCUCUUCUAGAAAAUGGCUGAGAUGCGUGCCCAUCAGGACCAGCAGACUACUAUACUCCGCCAAAUUCAACAGCACCUGGGACUUCUGCCUCUGCCUCAGCUUGACCUUCCCACAUCAUCAGAGCCUCUAGCUCCAGUUGAGGAUACUAUUCCACCUGAGGACACUACCACAGUAGAGGUUCAGAUUCCACCACCUCAGGAGGCCACCACAGCUACAUUAGAGGAUGCAUCAUCUCCACCUGAGGCUCCCACUACUUGAUCAUAGGACAUCUCUUUAUCUUAUUGUAUUUACAUAUUAUAUUACUGGAGAUUUGUCUUUGUUUUGAUACUUUAUAUUCUGGCAUUGAAUGUAUUGCCUAAUGAUAUCUCAAUUGUACUUUCUCAUAUUAAUAUAUAGACAUCAAUUUUUUUUAGUAUACUUAGGAUUUUUCUAUUUACUCUACUCAUUACUCUUUUGUUUUUUUUUUUUUACUCAUGUGGUUUCUCCUAUACGACUCAGACUCCAUUUCACUCAGGAGGUACCACUUCUUCCCUUUAUUUUCAAUUGCUCUUGAAACAUUGAGGGCAAUGUUGAUCUUGGUUGGAGGGAGAGUUGAGGAAGGAAGUGAUUACUACUCAAAAAGUGCUAUUUCAUAGCUUGUAAUUAACUCUUUUAAAACACUUUUGAGUAGUAGUUAUCACCUUUUAACCCAAUUAACAUAUUAAGGACCCUUGCAAUCAAUUCUAAUCAAAUUGUGUUAAGUUUUGGUAUUUUGAUAGCUUUUUUAUCACCAAAGCAAUCCGAGAUUGAGGAUAUUUAUUUGGAAUCCAUGGCAAAAGAUGUUUGGACAGGACGUCCGGACACACCAUCGGAGGGCGGCGGAACGUGGGCUGUGGCAGGCUGUCGGAAUGACGUAGCAAGGCUUGUGCACUUUAGCCAAUGAUCGGGAUAACAUAUCCGAAAUUCUGCUCCGCCGACAUUCCACCCGGAUGUCUCACAUCCGGAAUUCUGCUCCGCCGACAUUACACCCAGAUGUCUCACAUCCAAAAUUCUUCUCCGUCGACAUUCCAUCCGAAUAUUUCACAUCCGACGCUUGACGCCGGAUGGGAGAGGAGGGCGUUUCAACUUCCCCGGUCAGACAUAUCCGAAUCCUUUGAUAACGCUUACCCGGAGAGUUUCGCAGCCAUUUUGCACAGUGCCGCGGUGUUCUCUUGAAGCUUCCCGAUAUGUGCGACCGACAUUUUGAGAUAUUUUGCUUUAGAUAUUUGAUGUCUAAAUCCCCAAACUCUCCUUGUAACCCACCAAUUAUAGGAUUCCUUAGUUAUUAAGUUUGGAAAAAUGGUGAAUAACCCCUUAUAUAUAGUUUGCAAUUUUCAUAAAAAAGAUAUGUAGAAUCUCGGGAGCUUGUUCCCAGAGAGACGCAUCCUUUGUACAGUUUUGGAAGGAAGUAAAAUACAGAGCACUUGCUCUGCUUUUCAUAUAUAUUUUUGUUUUCUCGUUCUUUUUAUUUCUAGCCAAUCAAAGUCUGAGGAUUUUUCCUCAGAGGAUGAGAGGCUAGGCUCUUCGUCUCUUGGAGUGAAGAAAACUAGGUAAGUUUCCACAUGCAUAAAUUGAAAGUUUUGUUGUUUUAGUUUUUAAUGAAGAGAAAGUGUGACCCGUUAAUGGUUUUUAUCUUUUUAGUUAACUUAAAACGCCUUUAAAUCACCCGGGCCAACACUUGAUAAGGCAAGUGGUCUCCAUCCAUUGAGAUGCACUAGUUUAUCUCUUGCGAGCCUUUGGGAGGUGGUUUGAAGGUAGGAUUUUCUAGAAUAACCAACACUUGAUAAGCUUUUGGACUCUAAGGAGACAUCCAUUAGUUAUCUCUUGCGAGCUUUUGACGGGUAAUCCAAGGUUAAAGAUCACCUUGAAUGGCAAGUACUAGGUGAGAGGUAUGAGCCAUUGCAAGAUGCAUUAGUGAGAGGGAUUUAGUGUUUGAACCCAUUAAAGGGAAGCAUCUGUACCACACCGGUUCGGGAAAUAACUAUAUGUUAAAUCCCCAAUGAGAGGAAAAGAAACAAGUGACCGGAACUCCCUUUUUGUAUAAGGAACCUGAGCCUAGUGAUCUAAACUCCAAGAAACACUUUUCUUUGUAAGUAAAAUCAGUUACUAUUUUUGGUUAGUUUAAAACCAAACCUUUUUCAUUCAAACAUCUUUAUGUUUUCUUUUAAAGCUAACCUUGAAAUGAAAAGGCACCAAUUCAUAUUUGAAUUAAUAUCAAUUGUGAAGUGAAAACCCAUCCCAGUGAACGAUCCUAGAGCCACUAUGCUAUAGUAGCUUUGUCUUUGCUACCCUAGUUCAUGGUUUAAUAGGUUAUAAAUUUUGUUGAUUACUCCCACAAUCAAAGGAGCACCAGUUGGACAUGAAUCAACUGAGACACUAAUUGGGCACAAAUCAGGAAGUUUUGUUAAUAAUGCUAGGUUAAUUUGUUAAUUUAGUUACUUUCUGCUUAAUUUUAAAAGUUUUCACUUUACUUUCCAUAGUUAUUAAGGAAAAAUUCUCAAAAUGAAAUGGGAGAAAUUGAAUUCUUACAUUUUUACUUGAAUUUUAGAAUUUGUAUUAUGCUUAUUGAAGCUGAUGAAUUAUUGAAACUCCUAUUGAAUUCAACCUUAUUUCUUCCACUUUAAUCUUACCACACACGGUGCACAUUAGGUUCCGAUUAUAAGAGGUGCGUUCUUAGCCUAUUGGAGGUUGGUCAAUUUGUUAAAGUUUGAGAAAGAUCUAGGUUAGGGGAGAGAGAAUAGUCUGACAUACUAUAAUCGAAAACUAAUAAACUUAACACUUAGAUCUUUGUGGAAGAGUAAGGAUUGGACCUUUGGGAGUGGAAAUUCGUUUGAUGCUUAAAUUUGCAUAAUGCUUACACUUUAUAAAUUGUGAUUAGGCAAGAGAUUUGAUGACUCUUGUUCAAGGUUGGGUUUUGCCUCUUUGAUGUUCCAUGAGAGAGUAUAAUCCUCAUCAUGCCACUUGAAAUUUUUUUUGGAGUGAUUAACAUGAUUUUGUAAAUUACUUUACUGUCUAUUUUUUUUUUAUCUCUCCUUCAUUGCUAAUGGACUAGCAAUAUGUCAGUUGAGGGGAGUGAUUACUACUCAAAAAGUACUCUUUUAUAGCUUGAAACUAACUGUUUUGAACACUUUUGAGUAGUAGUUAAUACCUUUUAACUCAAUUGGCACAUUAAAGAACCUAGCAAGGGUUACUAAUUAGUUUUUGGCAAGUUUUGGUGUUUUUGGUAGCUAUUUGAUCAUUGAAACAAGCCAAGAAUGAGGGAGAAUUUUGUGAAGUCCAUGGCAAUGCAAGUUAAAGCUCAAAUACAUGAAGAAUCCAAGCUUUGGAGCACUUCAUAGCCCUUUCCAAAGCCAAUCAGAGAUGCAAGGAAGAAAACCAGAGGAAGAAAUCCAACAAUUAGCAUUUUCGCAUGGCUGUGCGAAAUUUCGCACACCAUGCGAAACCACAAGAGGCAGCCAAAGAAUUUUGCACACUAUGCGAAAUUUCGCAUGGUAUGCAAAAUCUUCUUGUGCACCAACUCCGUUAUAUUUUUAUCUCAAAUAUUUUGUGUAAUUUCCUAGUUUCUCCUUGUAACCAACCUAGAUAUUUUCUUUUAUAUAUUUUUUAGGUAACAUCAUCUAUAGGGGGAGAGACAUAAGGAGGAUAUGGAUGUUUUUCAUAGAACACUUGUAAAUUUCCGGUAGUAAGAAAUAUACAGAGCUUUUUGCUCUACCUUACCUUCUCAUUUUGUUUUCACUUGUCUUUCUAGCCAAACAACCUCUGAGGAUGAUUUCUUAGGGAAUGAGUGGCUAGGUUUUACGUUUCUUGGAGUGAGGGAAGCUAGGUGAAAGACCCGAAUGCUAAGGUGGGAGUUGUCCUUGCUUUAAAUGAAAGUAGUUGUUAAACAUUAAUGGUUUUUAUUUUAAGGUUUAGCUUUAAAUCCCUUAAAAACAUCUUGAAUGGUCAAUACUUGGUAGGCUUUUUGGAUUCUAUGGAUGCUUAUUGCUAGAUCCCUGGAUGUCUAUUAGUUAUCAUUUAUGAGCCAUUGGAAGGUGGUUCAAGAUGAGGGUCUUUAAUGUUUGAAGCCAUUAAUAGGAAACAAUUACCAUUCUUUCAUGAAUCCUUUGGAUCAAAUCUUAAUUGCUAAAUAUAAAACUAGUUCGGGAGAUAACCAUCCUUUAUGUUAUUAUGCCCAACGCGAGGAGAAGAUUCGGAAUCUUCCCCUUUGUCUAAGGAACCCGAUCCUAGUGACCUAAAGCUCUAAGAGACCUUUUCUUUAUAGUUAACUUCACUUAUUGUUUUUUCUUAACUUAAAAUCAAUCUUUGCAACCACAAUUCCAUUUUCUUUGAAAGCUAAUUUUCAUAAGGAAAAUCACCAUUUUAUUUUCUUCCCUAAGUCAACUGUACGAUGAAAACCCAUUCCCAUGGACGAUCCUAGAGCCACUAUACUAUGUUAGCUAUGCUACCCUAAUGUGAGGUGAUUUAGGUUUUAUAAAUUUUGUUGAUAACACCUGUUUGAGCCAGAAUCAAAUGGCGCAACUGAACCAGGGACGAAUCAACAACUUAUAUGGGAGGGACACAAGUUUAAUUGAUUUGCAUUUCAACGUUAUAUAUAGGUAUGUUUUGGAAGAUUUGUUCUGGAAAUACUGCACCAAGUACGAUUCUUUUUGUCUUGAGUGGGUCUACUUGCAUGCCAAUUAACGAGUGGAAAAGUAGGAGCACCUACCUCAUGCUCGCGGAACCGAAGGUCAGUGAAGUGGGGCUCCUUUUGGCCUCUUGUGUUUCUAUUCCAACCAAGGCGGCGUAAGGAAAAACAACAAUAUGUUUGUGCUAAAUAUCAACGCAUGAUAGAUGUUUUUGUUUUUUGGUAUGUCAAGGCUAAUGAAUGAAAUGCUUUAGCUUGUUUUGUGACUGGAACUGCAAAUGUCCAAAUUGGAGUAUCUCCAUUUCUCACUUCGGAUGGUUAACUUAUAAACAAGAUAUAGGAAACAUGUGAACAUCUUGAGGAACAAUUUGAAUUAUUCAUUAGAAGUCCUGGGUUGAGUUCCAAGAUUUAAAUUAGACCCCUCUAGCAGCUUCAGGGGUACCUAGCAACCUAUAGCAUAUUAAUGAAGAUUUAGGAUUUAGACUCUAGAAUACAAAUUAAUAUGUAUCUCAUGCUUUGACUAGCUUCCCUACAUAUGCACAAAAUGGAGAUGACCUAAAAAAAUAGCAGAAUCUAGCUUCCCUACAUAUGCACAAAAUGGAGAUGACCCAAAAAAUAGCAGAAUUUCCUUAGUUUCUGUGGUUAAGGUGAUUCUCCGCUUAAUAUCACAUUGACUCAUUAUGCAAAAUCAACUGAGCUAAUUUUGUUUAUUUAUUUAAUGUCAAAUAGGAACUCCUAAUUAACCUAACCCUUGGCCUGUGUAAAUUGAUUUCACAUGCCCAAUGUUGAAGUAGAAGUCCAUAUUUUGAAUUUUAUUUUUGUAAAGGUAAGGAAAAUGAAGCAUUGUGUAAUUAUAAAAAUAACUUCAUUGGAAUUCACAAGGUUCACCCAAAAUGGAGCUACAUCCGUAUUCUAUCCUGCAGUAGACUAUAUAGAUUGUACAAUAGUAAAUUGCAAAUACAAUUAAUAAGUCUUGUGCUUCCUUACUAAUAAUCCUUUGACAUGAACAUUGCAGCACUAAGGUCCUCUUGGGAAGACACCUUGCACCCAUGAGAGCACGAAGAGGAAGCAAGGCAGAGUCAUGGGUGCAAUGUCAUGACUUGUUGUUGCACCAAGAGAGGCUUGGUGAUGGCAUGGUGUUGCAGUAGCAAGAAUGUUGCCUUGGUAGGGACAUAAUCUAGGGAUAGAUGCCAAGAAAGGCUUAGCACUCACAUGAGUUGCACAAAGAUGAAUGUAAUAGAGCAUCAGAGAGACGUCUUGGCAAGUAAAUGAAUGGAUCCAAGAGGCAACAACAUGAGGAGUUUCAAAUGGAUAAGGAAUGAGUCAAAGACAUUUGAAAGCUACAAGUUGGAUUCUAAUUACGAUUGCAAUUUGAGUUUGAGUAGGAGUUUAGAUUCUGAUUGUAAUUGUAGUAUGAGUUGGACUAGGAUUGCUUAUCCCUAGUCAAAAUAGGAGUGGUUCGUGUCACACCCUAUGAAAAGAGUUUGAGUAGGGACUAGGAUUGCUUACUCCUAGUCAAAUAUGGAGUAGGUGGUGCCACACCUAUAAAAAAAAAGGGACAACAUGAGAGAGAGAGAGAGAGAGAGAGAGAGAGAGAGAGAGAGAGAGAGAGAGAGAAAGAGAUAAUGAAUUCACUAAAGAUAUUGUGGGAGUUUUUCUUUGUUACGUCUUGUAUUAUUACUUAGAAUAGGAAUAAAAUACAAGUUUGGGCUAGAGCCCCAUAAUUAAUCUCGUGUGCCUUUGUGGUUAUUCUUUAUUUGUCAUCUCGUGUGGAUUGGAUUACAUUGACUUAGAGGGCUUCUAAGCACCACCUUUGUGGGUUAUUAUUUAUUUUCCAUUUCUUGUGGAUUAGAUUAGGUUGACUUUGAGGGCUUUUAAGCACCACCUUUGUGGGUUAUUCUUUAUUUUCCAUAUCGUGGGGAUUGGAUUAGGUUGACGAUGAGAAAAAUUAUGUGGGAAAUUUGUGUUGGGACACUUAUCAUAACCAGGUAAAAUCUGCCAAGUCCUUUGUAAUAUCUUCAACAAAUAUUUCAGACUAGUUCUUCACCAUAAACAUCAUAUUGUGUUUUGUUUUUCUCCUGGAUUCUGAGUUGAAUUGUUUCAAGUCAAUUGAAUGCAUCUGAAUAUUAUUAGCUUGUUUGAAGGCCUGGUGAUUUUCCAUUUAACUUUACUUUCUUUAGGUUAUGCUCACUAUAAGAAAAAUGAGAAAUAAUGACGCUUUUUACGCGUUAAGAAAGGCAACAGAUGAUGCUUCUCUAAAGCGUCCUCUUCGGCUCUGUCAUUAUAUGUGUUAGCCAAUAAUGACGCUUCUAGGAAGUGCCAUCUUUGAAUAAUGUUAAUAACGACACUCGUAAAAAGUGUCAUCUUUAAACAUAUUCUGGUCAAAUAAUUUUUACAAAAUUAGUAAUCUUCAAGCCGUUUCUGAAUCAUAUCUGAGCCUAUUUCUGGGGACCAGAAAACCAUCUUUUUUCCAUUCGCCUGAGAGGUCUGAUUAGCAUUUCUGGAAUCAAUCUCUAAACCCAAGCUUCCCUCAUCUACCCAUUUAACCCUCAUGCCCUCCUGUUUGAACAACUUUCCCACUAUAUACACAAAUUUUUUACCUUCUGUUGUUGGUAUUCGACCUCUUCCCAUUCCCAGCACAGAAUCCACCAUUAGUGCCACUUUGUGAAUAAAAUCAUCGAACCAGAUCUUUCGGGCGGAAGAUGAGCUCCAGAGAAAUAAAAUUUUUGGGGUCUUCCCAGCAUGAAAGUCAUAGGUAGCAUUAAUGACAUCAAGAAAUGGGGCACUGUUGAGAAAAAACAUGUUCCCAUCAACCACCCAAGAAUUGUACCAGACUCCAAACACUUCUGGAUUACAUAUGCCUUUACUAAGAUAUAUUUCUUGAUCUCCAUAUCAGAAUCUUGGAGACUCUUCAUUUUAUGAGCUCUGACACUACUGUGAAAUUGGUCCACAUCAAUCACAGGAUGACCCCUUCUAGCAAGAUCAAGCAGGAAGUCUGAAUUCGGGCCCAUAAAAAUGUAGUUCUGAAUAUUGAAACUCUCAAAGUGGCACAACAAAUUCCUUAUGACUCUUUCAGAUGCUCCAAACAGGCUCACAAGUAUAAUGGUAUCCUGUUUUUGCACAGAGUAAAGAAAAUAUCCGAGUUCUUCAAAACUCCUUACAACUAUUCCAGGAUGUACUUCUUUGAAACAGAAAUCGUACCACUUUAGCUUAGUCAGAGGUUGAAUCUAAAAUAACAAAACCCAAACUGAAAUCAAAAUCGAAAUCAACCCUAAUAGAUUUCAGAAACAACAAAUUAAAAGAGUAAAGCACAAAAGGGGGAAAACACAUAUGAAGCAAUCUCCAUACAAGCCCUAACCUUAGAUAAACCCAAAAAAAAAAAUCAAAGCAGAGAGUUACCAUAGAGCAUCUCUGUUUCAAGCUUAGAAAAUGUUUAAUGCCAUUGAUAACUAGUUGGCUAGUGGUGGACUUCAAGCUUCUCUAUUUCGGUGUUAGUAGCUCUCAAUGGCUAUGGUGAGAACAAAGAAAUGAGAGGCUUAGGGUUUGGGAUGUGAGGUUAUUGAUGAUGAUGAGGAUAAAGUUAUGGGCUCUUGGAGGGGUUAGGGAAAUUGAAGAUGGCUGAGAGUAAAGGCUAGGGUUUUUGAGAUAGUUAAUAGCUUUUUAGGGUGUGACUGUCCAUAGAUAGAAGAUAAAUGAGGGUGUGAGAAUUUAUAGAUCUCUAGGUGAUAUGGCGGGUGUGAGAAUGAAAUUUUAGAGGGAAUUGUGUGUUUGGUAGAAAUUUCACACAUGCAUAUAUAAUGUUUCAGAACAUGGCACUUUAAAAAUACGACAAGGAAGAAAUUAUUUAUUGACGCUUAAAUAAAGCGCCAAGGUCUCCAACAUUUUUGCAAUCAAUGACGUUUGUAAAAGGUGCCAUUGAAUAGGAGUGCCAUUGCUUUCCCACAAAGCAUCAUUGUUAAUCAAGCCUUUAAAAAACGCCAAGAUAUGUUGCCACUUAGGUUAAAUAUUGACGCUUUUAAAAAACGCCAAGGAAAAAAACGUCAUUAUUCAUGUUUUUUGUAGUAGUGGCUUGAUUCCUAAAAAGUAAAGGAAAGCAAAAAGUAAAAAAAUAAAAAUGUGGAGAGUUAGGACAUGCGUUAUCUAAUUGUCCUAGUCCCAAAUAUAUUAAGAAAGUCAUGUAGGUUACUUGGAGUAACGAGUCAAGUAAAGCAAGCCUUCUAGUGUUUAAGACAUUAGAUAUUACCGAACUGAUUAUGUCAUUAAUGUAUUGCAUUUGUUGUUUCUAAUAUAUAGAAGAAGAUGAAAUUAUUGGAAUAAGUGGGAAAUAGGAAUAAAUCCAAGGUACCAAAAAGUCACUUUAUCUUAGAUGUUGUUGGAAACAUAAGUGAUUUCACAAUAACGACUAUGAGACAAUCAAGGAUUAAUAAGAUAGACUUUAUAUGAUAUACCUCCCAAUUAGAGCCUAAAAAUAUGGAUGAAGCACUUAGAGAUGAAUCUUCAAUUUUUGUACUAUAGGAAGAAUUAAAUCAAUUUGUUAGCUAUUCUUUGGAUAUUUGAUUCAUCACAAGCUACAAAUCACUUUUGAUGACCAAACACGAAACUAAGAGGAUUGGGCCCAAUUCGAUGCCUAUCAACAAUGAUUUGUAUUCCACCUCAUUAAUUAUUCAAAGUUGGGAAGCUAGGUCUAACCACUUUCUCUACCUGUUCACCCUUAGAGGAGCAGAAGAAAAUUCUAACUUUGGUGCCUAAUGCCUUUGACAAUCUUUCGACAAAGAGAGUUCACUAAUUACUUUGAUUAUUUCUCUGUUGGUCACUGGGGGACAAGACUUUUGUAAUGAAGUCAACUAGAACUUGCCCUUUGAGGGCCAUUCAUGGACGAUAUUACACCAUGAAUUCCCUUAGGUCAUGUUUGGUAUGUGAGAAUGAGGAGUGGAAUGGACAUCUUAUUCAUUUUUUCAUCUAUUCAAAUGUUGGGAUAACUCAAGUGACCAUGAGAAUGAAAUCAAGAAUGAUUCAAGGGAAAUGAAAUCUUACUUAUAAGUGUGAUUUCAAUUAAUCUCUAAUAGAAAUUAUUUUGAAUCAAUAGUGCAAGUUAUUUUUAAAAACAUUUUUCCAAAAUUAAAAAAAUCAAUUUUUUUUUUUUCGAUAAGUUGUUUUUAAAAGGAUUUUUUUUAUUUUGUAAAAAGAAAAUUGUAAUUCAAUUUAUAUAAUAUAAACUAAAUUUUAUUUUAUUCAAAAAGAAAUAAUUUUUUAAUUAUAAAUAAAUUAAAAAUAAAUACUUUUAAUAAAAUAUAAAUAGUAUUAUUAUAAUAAAAUCAUAAAUAAAUUUAAUUUUUUUUAUAAAUAUUAUAAAAAUAUGGAUAUUAACAUUGGAUAAUUGAUUUAUUUUGUUAAAAUAAAAAAUAAUAAUUUUUAAUAUUAUUUUAUGUUAAAUGAAUUUUAAAAUAAAGAAAGUUUAAUUAUUUUAAGGUAUAGAAGAGCCAAAUUUUGCAUUACAUACAUAACAAACAAUAUUUAUUAGAAACAUUUCUCAAGGAGAAUCUUAUUCCAUCUCACAAAGAUACUCGUUUAUUCGAUGUUUGACCAUCCGUAACAAUCAUGUCAAUUCUACUGAUUUAAUAAUUCCUUUACAUUUAUUACUCACUUAUGAACAUGGUAUUGUGAUUUAUUUAUUUAUUUGAUGUAUAAUUAAUUAAUCAAUUUUUUAAAUUUCAAAUUAUUUUUAAAAACUAUUCAUUAAGGAAUUUAAAGCAUUAAUUAUGUCUAUUAUUUUUUAUAGUCAUUAUAUAUAUAUUGAGUUUUAAUUUAUUUUUAAAAAUUAUUAAACUUAUUAAUAAAUUCAAUAUAAAGUCUCGUUUCAUUUGAAAUUCAUUUCUUUAGUGAAAAUUUUGAAAAAAAAAUUGUUAUUUAUUUUACUUUGUUUUAAAAAAAUUGUUUCUAGAGAACAAUAAUCAAAUAAUGGUAUGAAUUUUUAAAAACAAUUUUGUUUUUAAAUCAUAUGCCCAAAUAAUUUUUUUUUAUUUAGCAAAAAACUUUGUUGUAGUAUGUGGCUCAUAUUGAGGGAAAGACAUAUAUGGAGAAAAAUGUGCAAAUGUUGGAGUGGAGCGGAGUGGAAUGACGACAUUUGUCAUUCAAACUUGUAUUUUUAUUGUUAAGGGUGACCGAUAGGUUGGUACGGUUUAGGGGUAUUUUUGGAAUUUCAUUACCUGAGGGUUAGUAUAAAUACCAUUUUAUGUAACCCUAAUUUUACAUAUAAUGUAAGUUUUCUUCCUUGUUCUUGUGGACAUAGGCAAUCCGUCGAACCACGUUAAAUCUGUGUGUUUUUUUUUCUUUUUUCUUUUUCUCUAAUUUCUUCACCAGGAAUCGUUACACUAAGAUCAACAAACUCUCAAAGAUGAUUUUUAAAAUGAAAAAAAUAAUGUAUAGUGUGAGAAUUUUUUAUUUUUUAUUUUUUUAAAAUGAAAAUAAAAAAUUGCUUUAAGGUAAAAGUGUGGAUAUUAUUGUUAAUUUAUUUCAUUUUUCAUUUUCAUUUCCAUUGUUACCUACAAUUGAAAUGGAAACAACUAAUCAUUACAACCUUACAUUCUUAUAUGCAUCCAAAUACAAAAAUUGAAAUCACCAAAUUCAUAUUCAAGGCAAAAUAGGAAUGAAAACAAAUAUUCAUUCUCAUUCUUUAUUCCCACGUGUCAAACAUGACCUCAAAGUUAUAAACAUGAACAAGAAGUCCUUGAAACACCAAUGAUCUCUUCUGGUAUAUAUAUGAGCUUGAUUGACAACUGUUUUAAAUACAGUUUUUUUUUUUUUUGUUUUCAAAAUCAAAACAAAUUUAUUUUUAUUUUUUAUAAAUAGUAGUUUUUUAAUAUUUUUUUUAAACCUUAUUAUGAAAAUAGGAUGUUUUCUAAUAUCAUAUUUUAAUUAUUUUCAAUUAUUUUCCCUUCUUUUAAGGAGGGCUAUUUUAAAAAUAUGAAAAAUGAUACAAAAUAAAGCAUUACAAAUAAAAAUCAUUUUUAAGAAAUAUAUGAAAAUAAUUUGAGAACAUUUGAAGUUCCUUAAUUAAACUUUUGUUCUAGAAAAUGCAAGAAAACUGUUUUUGAAAAUUGUUUUCAUAAUGAUAUGCAUUGAUCGUUUAAAAUUUAAUUACAUGAUAAAAAGACCUAUGUAAAAACCAGAGUUAUAUAAUCAGUCAUAGAUCAAAUCUACUAAAUAUGAAAAGUAAGUACAUAGUUGUAUAUGACUUAGAUGGAGCCUUCUCCGAAUGACAUUCUUUAGUCGGUACUCAUAUUUUUUUGUUUCGUGUCUUCAACAUAACACCUCAUGAUCCUUAAUAAAUCACCUGAAAACUAUAUUAGCACCUUAUUGUUUAAUAUUUCUCUAAAUUUUUUUAUUAAGCAAAUAAAUUCCAAAUUUAAAAUGACAAAUAAAAUUUAUUAAUUUUUAAAAAUAAUUUAAAACUCAAAAACCAAUUUAAUUGAUAUUAAAAGUCAUGAAACUUAAUAAUAUUAGAAAGUCAUGUAUCCAAAUUUAUUUUAAAUGACUUGUUUAAUUUCUUGUUUAUAUAUAUUAUAUUUUUAUAAUUUUUUUUACUAUACAAAUAAAUUUUAAAUUAAACAAAACUUAAUGCGUUGAAUUCAUUAACGAGUCUAAUAAUUUUUAAAAGUUACUUAAAAUUUAAAUACUAAAUCAAUUAGUACCACAAAUUCAUGGAAAAAAAUUGAUUUAUUACUACUAUAUUGUUUCUCUAUUGCAUAGAACCAUUAUUUUUCAAUUUUUUCAUUUGGCAAAUGAACAUCAAAUUAAACAAGACUAAGUGUAUUAAAUUCAUUAAUGGGUCUAGUAAUUUUUUAAAAUAAUUUAAAAUUCAAAUAUUGAUACUCCAAAUUAAACAAGACUUAGGUGGUGUUUGUUUUUUGGUUGAAUAGAAAAAGGUAAAAUAUUUGACUUUUUCUAUUUAGUUAAAAGUAACUUGUUGACAUCGUCCAAUAUAAUUAAAGUAAACCUAUUGAGGGCAAGUUCACUUUAAUUAUGUUGGACGAUGUCAACAGGUUACUUUUAACUCAAUAGAAAAAAUCAAAUAUUUUGACUUUUUUUUUAACUCAAAUAAUAAAUCCAUUAAUACAAAAAAAUUAUGGAUAAUUUGAAACUUUCUUUCUUUUUUUUUUUUUUUUUGCUACACAUAGCUAUAUUUUUAUAAAUUUUAUCAUUAGAGAAAUGGAUUUCAAAUCAAGUGAAACUUUGUAUUGAAUUAAUGGAUUUAACAUUUUUUAAAAAUAAUUUGGAACUAAAAAAAAAAGAUUUAAUUACUAAGAAAAUCAUAGAUCAAAACUAAUAUAUUCUGAUCCAUGAUUUUAUUAUUUUUCCUAUACAUACAAUUAUAUUUUUAUAAUUUUCUCACUAGGUAAAGAUAUUAUAAAUUAAGUGACACAUAAUUAAUAAUUUAAAUUUUUGAAUGAAUCUUUUAAUUUUAGGAAUAAUUUGAAAUUUAAAAAGUUGAUCCAAUUAAUUGUAAAUUAACUUAAAAUAUUAUAAAAUAUUAUGUUCAUAAUUAAGUACUAAAUGUAUAUAUGUAAUGAAAACUUAACUAGUUACAUGUUACAAAAGCCAAAAUUUAUUCAUUCUUUAUUUUAAAUAAAAUAUUAUUAAUAAUUAUUUUUUUUAAAAUAAUAUUUAGUAAUUAUUGUUUUUAAAUUAUUAUUAUUAAUUUUUAAUAAAAAAAUUGCAAAGUUAUUAAUAUCAUUAUAUUUCUAACAUAAAUUUAAAUAGUAUAUUUUUUAAUAUAUAUAUAUAUAUAUAUAUAUAUAUAUAUAUAUAUAUAUAUAUAUAUAUAUAAUUUAUGAUUUCAUUAUAAUAUUUUUAUUCAUGAUUGACGAAAAAUUAUUUAUUGUUUAAUUUAUUUGAAUUGCAAAACUAUUUUUCAAAAUUCAAGCGAGAAAAUAGGCCUGGAUUUGAAUUUCCUGUAGAAGAGAAGGAUGUGGAGAAUAUGUUGGGAGUAUUUGUGGAUAAAGAAAAGGCCAGGGUACUGAGAAAGGAGAGAGAACUUGCUCUUGCCAAAAGAGCCCUGCACAGGUAUUCUACUGAUUCUAAUUAUCGGUUCUUACAUGAUCAGAUUUCAGAUUUAUUUGCUGAGCUUCUGAAAUCUGAUACAGUAUUUAAACUCCGGUGAGCUUUACAAGAUUAGUCUCGCAUCCAAUUCCAAAUGGUGUCCCACAAUUGAUUCUUCUUAUGAUAAAUCCACCUUGAUAUGUGAAAAUAUUGCUCGAAAGGUUUAUCCUCGCGAGGAAUAUCCAGAAUACUAAGGAAUUGAGGAGGCUCACUAUGUUUAUAGAGUCAGGGAUAGGUUGAGAAAACAAGUAGUUGUUCCAUUACAUAAGGCCCUGGAGUUGCCAGAGGUUUUCAUGUGUUCGAACAAGUGGGGAUCACUUCCCUACAACCCUGUGGCUUCAGUGGCCAUGAAAUCAUACAAGAGCCUCUUCUCAAACCAUGAUACAGAGCGGUUUGGUGAGUAUCUUGAGAAAGUGCAAACUGGGAAGGCUAAGAUUGCAGCUGGUGCAUUACUUCCCCAUGAGAUUAUAGCUUCAUUGAAUGAGGAGGAUGCCGAGAGAGUUGCCGAGCUUCAGUGGGCAAGAAUGCUGGAAGAUUGAUCAAAGAAAGGGAGGCUCACAAAUUGCAUUGCAGUAUGUGACGUAUCAGGAAGUAUGAGUGGAACUCCAAUUGAGGUGUGUGUGGCUCUGGGGCAGUUAGUUUCAGAGCUCAGUGAAGAUCCAUGGAAAUUAAGGUAAUGUAAUUACUUUCAGUGCAAAUCCUGAGCUUCACAAGAUCCAAGGAGACAGCCUUGUAUCCAAGACUGAAUUUGUGAGGAUGAUGGAAUGGGGUGCCAACACUGACUUUCAGAAAGUUUUGACAGAAUCUUACAAGUAGCAGUGGAGGGAAAUAUGAGUGAAGAUCAAAUGAUAAAGAGGGUUUUCGUUUUCAGUGAUAUGGAGUUCGAUGAAGCUUGUGGGAGGUAUAACUAUUGUGACUAUGACUAUGAUAUGGAGGAAAUUGACGAGAGUCAGAAGGCAUCUCAGAAGUGGGAGACAGAUUAUGAAGUGAUACAGAGGAAAUUCCAGGAGAAAGGAUACAGAAAAGUUCCAGAGAUAGUGUUUUGGAACCUUAGAAACUCAUCAGCGACUCCAGUGACGGCCACAGAGAACGGGGUGGCCUUAGUAAGCGGGUUUUCAAAGAAUCUGUUGACCUUGUUUUUGGAAGGAGGUGGAAUUCUGAUCCCUCAGGAUGUGAUGGAAUUCGCCAUCUCUGAUGAAGAUUACAAGAAACUUGUUCUAUUUGAUUAAGAUAUCAAGAGAUUUAUCAAUAAUAAUAUAUUUUUUUUCUAUGUGAAAUACAUAUAAUAUUAACUGUGGAGUUAUCAAAGUUCUGGAGGUUUAAUUAUUUCUUCUUUUCAAGUUUUGUUUAUUUAAGGUUUUCUUUGUCUUUGUUAGGAAUUCCCCUUGGGUGGACCCAGCUGGGGAGUUGGAUUGAGGAAGUAAGCAGGCGAACUUGUGUUCUUCUAUGGACAGAGAAAAAAAAUAAAAUAAAAAAAUAAAAAAGGAGGUUAUUUGCAUUUGGAUGUCGUGGUUUGAGGGUACAACUACAAGCUCGAAAUUGUACAUAAUGUGAAAACUCCUGUGUCCAUUGCUGAGAACAGCAUAAAUGAUGGUGAUUUUCAAGUUGUGCCUGGUAUUCUACAGGAUGAAACAAGAAAGGAUCCAGGUGGUAUAUUGAACAAUAUCCCAAUCAUGUUGGUGGCAUCUUUAUUUAGUUAAUGGUAUUCAUUUGGUGGAAGCUGGUUGUUUAUGAUGUUUUUAAUUUUUUUUAACAUGAAGUUCGAUCAAAUACGUAUCUUAGUAUGUUUUGUUUGAGCUAAUUGGCAAAUGCGCUUUAAACAUGGUCACAUGGAUGCAGUUUUAUUUGUGAAAUGAUAAUAGUCGAUUACUUGGUCAGUAAGGUUUAUAUCUCUAACUUCAACAUCUUAUUGUAGUCUUUUAAAAUGUCAAAAGUUUAAUGCUUGAGAAAUUUUGGAAUGGAGACAUUCUAAACAAAGUUAAUAAUCCACAAGACUUGGUAAAACCGAUCAGAUGAUGCUUACGUACAUCAAUGCCUUCUUUAAGCCAUAUCCUAUUUUCAUUGAACGGGAUGUGCCAUCUAGUUUGGUUCUUUAAGCCUCCAAAUCCUAAACCUAGUCUCAAUUUAGAGCAAAUUUAGGGUGCAGGGCCUGCAUGCCUCCCCCUCCCCCUUCCACAAAUAGUAGUGACCUUGCUAUGCCUAUGCAUUGUCAAUGCCUCAUUUUCUAUGGUCUCCAAUGUAAUAUCUUAGUUUCAAUGUCUCUUUCCUUACUAUCUCCAAUGCAAUAGAUUGAUUUCAAUACCUCUUUACAACUAAGACCUCCAAAUUUUCUUGGUUCAAACCUACCAGAAUUUUUCUUCUCCUUUGCUUUCUAUCAAUAUUAGUUCCCCUAAUUUAAUAUAUACUUCUUUAUUACCUUCAACUCUACCUCUCUUUCUUUCUCUAAAAGCUUCCUCAAAGAUUUAAUUGCUUUCUUGCAUGUUUUAAGAAAACAAACAUGCUCAUAUUACAUUACCUCUACUUGAGAUCUACCUUAUACUCUACCUUCUUUCUUUACCUCCUAUAUCAUCUACUACAUUAGCUUCAAAAAUAUUAUUUAGUUUGAUACUAAAUAAGGCUCCUAAUCCUACUCUUCCUUCAACAAACUUUCUUUUUACAAGUUCCUUAAACUUUAUUUUUUAUUUUUUAUUUUUUGGAAAUUCGGGUUAGAAAGAUUCCAUUACUCUUACCUAAUAUUUCAACCAUCAAGUUGAAUCCACUUAUUGCCUAAAUCCAAGGAGUCUGCCCUCCACAAAAACAAGGAAAUUGAUCCCACAAUAACAAGGAGAUUGCCUUCCACAGAAACAAAGAGAUCUCCCUUCACAGAAGCCGAAUACAUUGCAAUCUAUUUUCUUUCUUGUAAGAUCAAAUCUUCAAUCGAGCUCCAUCUUAUGGGGGCAUAUUAGAGAAAUUUAAUAUUAUCCUUAAUUUACAUAUUAAUAUUUAUCUAUUUAUUAUAUAUUGAAUUAAAAUAGAAUAUAGAAUUUGAAUCAUAGUAGAAGUUUACUAUAAGAUUGAAUUACAAUAGUUAAUAGAGUUUAAAUUAUAAUAACUCAAAUACAUUUAUAUAUAUUUGACCUUACGAGAUUUUCUAUUUAUGUAUUUGAACUACAAUCCUUAUGAUCCUUAGGUCUCUAUACCUUCGUGAUGGGCUCCUUGACAUUUCAUAGGUUGUGCUACACAUGCAUUUGAAAUUUAGAGUGCAUUUGACAGUGAUUCUGGGAAGUGUUUUUGGCAUUUCUAACACUUAAAAUUUUUUAUUUUUCAAGUAUUAGAAAUGCUACAAACACUUUUGAAAAUUACUGUCAAACACACUCUUAGGAGCGCAUAUAGUAGAAAACUAGAAAUUGUGGUUUUUUUAGGAUUUACUGUAAUGUCAUUAGGAGGGUAGUAAGUUGAAACUGAGUAUGAAUAAAUAUUUCUUUCUUUGGGAUGUUCUUCUGGUAGGUGCUGAUGAAACUGUUCUUUUUACUGCCAAUGUCACAUAUCAGCCAGAAAUUGAAAAUUUCAGUCAAGGUGUCCUCGGUUUUAGUGGUGAGGAAAGCUAGAAAUUUUAAGGUGAAGUUCUGUUAAAAACCUUAAGUAGCUGGGAUAUCAGGCCUGUUUUGCUUGAAAAAAAAAGUUGCAAGAUAACUCAUAUGCCAAACAGGUUCUGAUAUUGUGAAUCUAUCGGCAGACAUCAGUAAUCUCAUCUUCUGAGAUGGAUGUUGGGGGUGCAUGUGGUGGUGGAGGGGCAAGGUUUCAUUUGGUUUAUUUUGUUGAUGGAUAUUGUCUAGCCCCCUGCGCCAAGUUUGAGGGGUGGUGGGUUGUGAUGGCCCUACAAUUACUAUUAAUUUCUUCCUCUUUUACCGAUUAAAGUGUCCGAACAGUCGAAGUUACCCUUAUGCAUGUCAACUUGAUCACUUACCUCUUCAAUGGAGUUUAUGCUGGUUCAUUUAGGAACUGAUUUUUAUUGUUAUGCAUUCUAUGCUGAUGUUUAGGCCUCUCCAUCAUCACUAUAUACAAAAAUUCUAGGUUGAUACUAUAGGUUGAGAUUUAUUUUUUAAAUAAAAAAUAAUAAAAAUAAAAAUUAUGGUGAUGUUUAGUUGUUUUAUGGAAAAUUUUAACAAGUUAUUUUUGGGCAAGUUUUCAAACAAAAAGAAAAGUAAAAGUUGUUUUGACAAAAACAUAUAGAAAAAAAAAAUCAUAGAAAAGAAAUAAUUUCCCCAUAUUCUAACUUUUUUUAAUUUUUCUCAAUGGGCAAAGGAAUAUCAAAUCAAGUUUGAGUAGGAUUUCUUAAUUUUUAAAAUAACUUACAAUUAAAAAAUUUUGGUGUUUUCAUUUUUGGACAAUUUUUUAUUAAGCAAAUGGACUCUGAGUCAUGCAAGAGAUAUGGUUGAUUAAUGGGUCAAACAAUUUUUUUAAAAUAAUUUAAAACUCAAAUACAUAAUCAAUGUCACAAAAUUUAUAAACAAAAAUAGGUUUAGAGAAGAUCUACACAUAAUUUUACUUUUCUAAUUUUAUUUUAUUUUAUUUUUUUGUUGGAAAAUAGUCUUCAAAUCAUGUAAGAUUUAAUAGGUUAAAUUUGUUAACAAUAAAUUUUAAAUUAUAAAAUAUAAUCUGGAACUUAAAAAUCAAUUCAAGUAAUGCUAAAAAAAAUCAAAUUUGGUAUAGAAUGACUACGUAAAAUUUUUUACAAAACAAAUGAAUUUUAAAUCAAGUGAGAUUUAAUGCAUUAGAUUUUUAUCAAAUAUAGUAAUUUUAAAAUUUAAUUUGGAACUCAACAAUAGACACAAUAAAUACCAAAAAAUAAUGAACCAAAAUUGGUUUGGAAUAACUCCACAACCUCUUUUUUUUUUUUUUGGUGCACACGAAUUUUCUUACUAGGUAUAUUGCUUUCAAAUUGAGAAAGAUUUACUAUUUAGAUUUUUUUUUUUAAUGAGUUUAAUGGUAUUUUAAAAUAAUUCAAAAUUUCAAAAAUUGACUAAUUACUAUUAUAAAUUCAUAAACCAAGACUAAUUCAAAAUGCAUUGGGGGCUAAGGGGGUUGAAAAUAGGGACAAUGGGAUGGGUUUGGGACAUGACACUCAUAUCUCAUUUCCAUUCCAAUUACAUAGUUAUCUCCCAUCCUUAUCCCAAACUUGUGUUGGAGCAAGUUGAUUUGUUCCCAUCUUUGUUGAUGAAAUGACUAAUAACCUCAUCCCCUCCUUAUCUUAGAUGUACAUUUUGUCAAAUUUGAUCAGGUAUGAUUGAUCCAAGCCCUAACCCUAAUUGGUAAUGACUGGAUACUACACCUAAUUGCAUUCUUCUUUCGUCGCAAAAUAAUGAGAUUAUAAUAAUCUAGCAAAUAAGAAAAAAUAGUAUGGAAGUUCAAUUUAACACCAUAACUAUCAAUAAUUUUAAGCUUAUAGAUGACUUAAAUGAUUAAAAACUAAUGCAAAAUACCAAAAAAAAAAGUUCAUAUAAAGAAUUCACAAGAGAACAAAAUGAACAAAAACCAAAUAUGAACAUGGGUCAACAUUAGUUAUGGAUUUGGAUUCCUUUCAAGGCCAAUCUUUGAACCAAGACUUCAUCAAAUCUACUACUUCAAAGGCUUUUGUGUUCUUCUUGGGUUGUGCUCUCAAACAAAGACUUCAAGGUGAUGCUCUAGAUGAUUGCAUUACACAUAUUUAGGGUGGAGAGAUUGGAGAAGCUUGAAGAUGCCAACGAUGGGUACAAUUGAGUGGUCAAUAAGAACAAUGUAGCCUAUGACUAGUUUGAUGUCGUGGUACAAGAGUUUUAGGCAUUGAGGUUAAAGCAAGAGCAACAUGGAAUUGAUUUUGGAGUCUUUCAAUUAGUGUAAAGGAGGAAGAAGUGGUAUUGAUUCUAGAAAUAGGGUUUUAGGUGGUGCGUUAGAGGAUGAAGAAGAAGAAAAAGAAGGAUCUGUUGGAAUUAGUGUGAGUGUGAAGAGAGAAGUAUAUAAAUAAGGGGAAGUAAAAGCAAAGUUCUAAAAGCUAUAUUUUUUUUUAUUGUUGGUGUAUGGUUGCAUGAUUAUCCCUAUAAAUAAUAGGAGUUUUUUUGGUAUUCUACUAGUAGUUGAAGGAUAAUUUCAUAAAUUUAUAUUUAGAGUGGGGUGGGGUGAGUUGUGACAAAAUUCAUACCCGUCCUAAACCUUGGUUCAGAUUUUUAAAAUAUCCUCAAACUUAUCAUAUACCCAACUUUUAUAUUUCAUACUUGUCUUGAUAGAGGCAGGUUAGGCCGGGUUACUUGAGUAACCUACAUAAUUGUCAUCCCUAGUUGAAAUACACUUUUUUGGCAGUGGCCACCAACUGAGCUAGAAGCUUGAUCGAUUGACCUACAAGAUUAGUUCUCAUCAUUUUAAAAAAAGUUUUGGCCUUGGUUGUGAGUGCAAUUGAAUCUAAACUGGCAUUUCCUUAAUGCAUCUACUUCAAUCCUAAAUUUCUUACUUCCUAAGCCUCAAUUGUUGUUAGGAUUUUGGAAAGCCCAUUUCCUUAAAUUGUAAAUUUAAGAAAAAAUAAAAUAAAAGUGAGACAUUUCUUGAUUGAAUAUUGUUAAAGGUCCCUUGGCAUUAAGACUUGGUUGAAGCCUUGGAAGAUUAGUGGAACUCUCAACUUGUGUUUGAAUCUUGAGGAGAGUGGACGUAAGCCAAAAUUUUGUCAAACCAUUAAACAAAUUGAGUUUGAAUCCUCAUUUCUUGAUUUCUUAUUUAUUUGCUUUUUCUUAUUAUUACUUGAAUUGUCAUUUGCAUUCAUUAAUGUUAAAAUUGGUUAUAAUUAACCAACACUAAUUCUCUUUCCCCUUCCCUUUCUUGGGUGUAAACCUAGGUUGGAUUAACUAGAUUAAUUUAUAAAAUCUAUUAAGAUGGUAAAAGAAUAAUUAUUCUUAACACACAUAAGAUCAUCUUCAAUCAAAUGACUCAUUGGCUAAUAUGUUGAAUUUGCUUAUUACUUGCAACUCAAAAUUGUGUUCUAGUUGAUAUGUCAAGUCCCCAGUGUAUGGACAUUAAAUUUGUAGUACGUGAUGGUAAUUAGAUGGUCCAACUCCAAGAAAGUGAUUGAAAACUAGUUCAAGAAAGGUGCAAAAGGGAAUUGUUUUGGUAUUUUCGUUUUUAUUCUUGAAGGUGGCAGAGCUAAAAUUUGUGAAAUCAAGCAAAACAUACUGAAAUUACAUUGAAAGAAAGAAAAUGGGAGUUAAUGUCUUGCAGUAGAUGAUAAGGACUUCAUGCAUGUAGUAUGACCCAUGUCUUGGACUGAUGCCAACUCACGGUUACACUUAUACCCUUGGUUCUCUCUUUACUACCUUGGCUAACCUAGAUCAGGCUAUGAGAUAGGCUCCUCACCACACCAUUACUUGCCCAUUAAUUAGAGACAUUUUCAAGCACUGAGGUAACAUGGUGACACCAAGAGGGUUUAUUCCUCGCCCUCCUCGCCCUCAACAAGUCUAGACUUGGUCUCAAAAAAAUGGAGAAAAAUGAGGUGUCGUUAUGUAGAAAUACAACAACCAUGCCUUCCUCAUUACUUUGAUUCAGAAUGUGAAGGUGAAAUUGAGAAACAGAAACUCUUGAAACCAAAAUGAAAAUUGAUACUUUUACGAAGAAUUACAACAACAUUGGAGGAAGACUACAUUCUUCCUCUUUAUUCCUACAUUUCUACACUACUUCUACUCCACUCCAUAUUUCUACAUACAUCUUUAAUCAGUCUUCCCUCCUUUAUAUAGAGCCAUCUUCACACAAAUUCCGCAAGGUAGAAAAGAGGAAUGAAACUUGGAGCAAGGUUCGACUACUGGCUGUAGCUUGUCAAGGCUGGAAGUGAACCUUUUUUCUUGGCUUUUCUGGGCAUGGGUAGUAACUUGUGGGUUCCUUUUUGGGAUACAAAUGGCUAGAACAUGUGGCACUAUCUUGUUGGAUGAUGUGUCAAGCAUGUGGCAGCCAUCUAGUGGCGAUUAUGUCAAUUUUGGGAUGGAGAGUUGGCAUCCAAUUGCAAAGAAAUAUGACGUCUACCAACAGGCAAUGUAAACCUAUGUAGAUCAUAUGAAGAUAGAGAGGAAAAAUAUAGAAAUGGAUAUAUACCUAGAACUAGCUUUUUAUUAAAUGAAACGGAGAGCCAACAAUGAAGGAAAAUAAAUUUUUUUGGCUUAUAUCAAAGAGUUCACAUUGUGCUACCCUAGGUUUUCUUAAAACUUACUUUUAUGAUAACAAAAAAAAAAAAAAACAUUAUUGUUUAAUCCUUUGUUUUAAACGCAUGUUUAGCAAGUUAUAAAAUGUAAAAAUCUUUCUAAGUUCAAAUAUGAAGAUAUGACAUCAUUUCAAGCAAGAUAGUCUCUAGGAAUUAAUGUAAAGCUAAAUUAAGGUGAAAUUAAAUUAGUUCAAUGCAUUAAUUUAAGAAACUUGACCUAUCAAAAGUACAAAAUUAGAUGAAAUCCAUUUCAAUGGUUAAAAUGAUCAAAAUCAAACUUUUUCUAAGUAUUUUUUAAAAGUAUCAAUAUUGAAAGACAAUUUUAUAUUUAGUCAGAGUUUGGACAAAACCAAAAAGCACACAAAAUCCAAGCGACCAUCUCUAGCUUGGAUGGUCGCUUGAUCUCUAGCUUGUGUACUUGGAAAGCAACAUCGAGAUGAUAUAUAUAUAUAUAUAUAUUUUAUAUAAUAUUGUUUGUCCAAAUUCCCUAAAAAUUAGGCCACCACAUGUUCAUAAUUCUCCCUUCUUGAAUUUGAAAACUCGGACAAUUGGACAAUGCGACACCUAAGUCCGGUUUCUAAAUGCUAAAGUGAAAGGGUAGGUAUGGACCAUUGAAAUGUGAUCACAACUUUUCUCUGUAGCCAUGUUGUCUCUUUUUUCUUUUGCAUGAUUUUCUCACCUUAACAGAAUCAUAGACUUGUUUAAUCUCUAAAUGGGAUUAAUUUCAUCCAGCUUUAAGCUACUAUAUUAUAUCUAGGUGGAGGACUUUUAAGAGUGCAACCGACAUAGAGCACAUGCAAGUGGGUAUAUGGGACAUGAAAUUUCUUCUUAUAAAGAUUGCAUGAUUUUUAUAUUAGAGUUGUUGGGGCGCAAUGUAUGUAGCUUGUUUUGCAGUUAAAUUAAUUGGAUAAGUAGACAUUGGCGUUUCUAAAUCUACUGUGAAGUGCUUCAUGUACGUGUGAAGUAUUAGAAAUUUCUUUCUUGGCAACUUGUUUUUUCUUUGCGGUCUACUGAUAGGUUUGACUAAAAUUAUAUUCCCUGUCAUGCUAAUUAAUUUUCACGUGCAUGCUCAAAAGAAGAGUAUGACCUUAGUGCACCAAAAUCACUUUGAUUAAUUUGUGAUAGGUUUUUGUGCAUCAUGACAUUAGCCUUAUUCAUUUAGAUAAUGUUUAGUUUUUAGAAAGUAUUAAGAAAAGGAAAAUAAAUAUUAAGAAAAAUAUUCUUAUAUUUGAUUGUAUUAUGAAAAAUGUCAUAAAAAAAUCAAAUAUAAUUUAAAUUAAUUAAUAAUUUAUACAUUUUCAAAUUAUUUAAUCUUUAUAUUGAAGAUAUAAUAUAAAUGAAAUGAGUUUUAAGUAUUAUAUAAAAGUGAUUUAUUGAUCUUGCAUAUAUGUAUUUCUUUUUUUUUUCUUCUAUUUUUUUUCUUUAUUUUAUUUUCCUUAUGUUUUCCUCAACAUUUUCCGGAACCAAACAUAGCCUUAGGAAAUCCACAAUUACCUUCAACUGAGUAUAUUCGGUUGUUUUAGCAAUGUUAGGCUGCUAACUUGUGUUGGUACGAACCUGUUAAGCCUAAAGAUGUAAUUAGUUAGGAUAUUCUUUUCCCUCUAGUCUUGUAGCUCCACGUGUAUAGUUGGUUAGGACCUCAUUGUAUAUAAUGCCUGCCCUGUUAUUGUUGAAGACAACAGAGAUAAAUAAUAUUAACAUUUUUCCUCUCAUCUCUCUUUGUUUCCCUCUGUUUUCAUCUCCUCUCUCAUCUUGGUAUCAGAGCCUCCAUGGAUUCUUUCAAAGAAACCUCCGAAUCACCUUCUGCUAGCAUUGUUAAUGUGCAAAACCCAUUAUCUCAGUCAAACAACCUUCCUUCACCAGCAGCCACACCCUCUUUUUCUUUCUUGUCUAUGAAUCAACCUCUCACAGUGAAGCUGGAUAAUGGAAACUACCUCAUCUGGAAGAAUUAGCUUCUGAAUGUCAUCAUUGCGAACAGACUCGAUGAUUUCAUUUAUGGAACUCGACCCUGCCCUCCUUGAUUUCUCAAUCUGCAACAACAAACCCUCACUCCAGAGUACUCGGUCUAGCAGAGAUACAAUCGACUUCUAAUGAGUUGGCUGUACGCAUCCUUGUCCGAAGAUAUAAUGACUCAGAUUGUUGGGUAUUCAACAACUGUGGAGAUUUGGAACGUCCUUAAUCAGAUUUACUCUGCCUCUUCAAUGGCGUGGGUUACCGAGCUUCACACCAAGCUUCAAACGCUCAAGAAAGAUGGACUCUCAGUUGGUGAAUAUAUUCAAAGGCUCAAAUCCAUUUGCAAUAGUCUUGCAGCAAUAGGAGAACUAGUUUCUGAGAAAGACCAGCUUAUCUAUUUGUUCAAUGGAUUAUAUUGUGAGUAUAAUUCUUUUGUUACCUCCAUUCAAAAUCGAUCUGACCAACCAACUAUUGAGCAAAUCCAUAGCCUAUUGCUUAGCUAUGACUUUCGGCUUGAACAACAAAACUCUGUUUCUCUCCAUUAUGCCCAAGUCCGUAUGGCUCAUCUGAACAAGAAACCUUAUAAAUCAACUCCUCAACCUACAUUCAAUCAUAUUCACAUUCAACCUAGAUACUCUUCUCCACCUUUUAAGCCAACCACUAGUCAAUAUCAACCCAGGAUUUUGGGCAAACCACAACCACAACCAUGACAGCCUCAACCUCAAUGGAAACCACAUUUUUCAAUCCAGAAUCAAAAGCCUCAGUGCCAAAUUUGUGGUAAAUUUGGACACACUGCUCUUAUUUGCUUCCAUUGCACAAAUUUGAACUAUUCACCCCAACCUUCUCCUAAAUCUUUCAAUACUGUUCUCACCACAAAUUCCCAGCUCCCUAAUCCUCCAAAAUUUUCUUACCCUACAAUGGCUCAUCCUGCUGCUACGCAUAACACGAUUCCUGAUACAAAUUGGUACAUGGACUCAGGUGCUACACAUCACUUUACUCCGGACAUCAACAUGCUUGACACUGUGACACCAUUUAGUGGUUUAGAACAGGUGACAGUUGGGAAUGGUAAGCAACUCUGUAUCUCACAUCUUGGUACUGCAAAACUACCAUCCUCGUAUUCUCCUCUUGUUCUACAUCAGGUAUAUCACACUCCAAAAAUUUCAAAUAAUCUUAUUAGUGUUAGAAAAUUGUGUUCUGAUAAUAAAGUUUUUGUUGAAUUUUAUGCCACUCAUUUUCUUAUCAAAGAUCAAGUUUCGAAGAGAGUUCUCUUUCAAGGUCAACUUGAUAAUGGCUUAUACAAAGUUCAGUCGUCAUGCUCUCCUUCUACUAUUUCCUUUCAUCCUCAAGUUUUCAUAGCCAACAUCAAGGAUCAAAAUUUGUGGCACAAGAGACUAGGCCACCCAGCUUUAUCUGUUAUUAAUCAAAUCUUGGAUUCUUGUAACAUUGCUCGAACACAGAAAAUUGGUUUUAAUUUUUGUAGUUCUUGUCAAUUAGCAAAAAGCCACAGGCUUCCUUUUUCUCUGUCUCCAUCCAUUGCAGAAAAACCUUUUGAGUUAAUUCAUACAGACCUAUGGGGUCUUUCUCCUGUUCGCUCUAUUUCUGGUGCUCGUUAUUUUUUACUUUUCAUUGAUGAUCAUACUCGUUUUACUUGGUUUUAUUUGCUCAAAACAAAAGAUGAAGCAUAUCCUACUUUUCUCAAGUUUCAAGCUCUCAUUGAAAAUCAAUUUAAUACCAAGAUUAAGGUUGUCCAAUCUGAUUGGGGAGGUGAGUUUCGAUCUCUCUCCAUACUGUUUUCAAAUAUGGGCAUUGUCUAUCGUUUAUCAUGUCCAUACACCUCACAACAGAAUGAGUGGGUUGAGCGAAAAAAUCACCAUGCGGUUGAAAUGGGAUUGUCCUUUCUUGCUCGCUCGGGUAUGCCCUUAUCUUAUUGGCCUUAUGCCUUUCAAACUGCCACUUACCUUAUUAAUCGUCUCUCUACCCCUGUGCUGCACCAUCAAUCCCCUUACUUCGCACUCUAUCACAAAUUCCCAGCUUAUACUCAUCUUAAGGUCUUUGUUCCUCUUGUUUUCCAUAUUUACGCCCUUAUAAUACCCAUAAACUCCAAUACAGGUCACUGGAGUGUGCUUUUCUUGGUUGCAGUUCACACCACAAAGGUUAUCUAUGUCUUGACAUUCAUUCUAGCAGGGUGUAUAUUUCUCGCCAUGUGAUUUUUAAUGAAGAUUCUUUUACAUUCAAGAAUUUGAAAUCUUCUCUCUCUUAGUCUAUUUCUUCUUCCUCUUCUUUAUUAGUUCCUCUGUUCAUUUCCUUGCCUCCCCUCUCCCCAUAUCCUCCUAUUUCUCCAUCUAUAUCUCAUUCUUUUCUCUCUUCUUCUUCUACCUCUAGUACUUGUUCCCCUCUCGUUGCUCCUACCUCUCUUCCUCCCUCUUCACACUUUGUGUCCCAUCUAUUCCACCUCCUUCUCCACCUUCUUCGAGUGUGGACCUGCUUGUACCUUGUGUGAAUACAAAUUUACUUACUUUUUCUCGCACUCACAAUAUUCAUCCUAUGGUGACCAGAUCUAAGGGUUUGUAUCUAUAAACCUAAGUUGCUAUUGAGUGUCUCCAUAGGUUCUCUCACUAAGCCUACUUCCUUUCUUCAAGCUAUUAAAGAUCCUUCAUGGAAGCAAGCCAUGGAAUUGGAGUUUGCUGCCCUUCAACACAACAAGACCUGGCAUCUAGUUCAUUCACCUUCCUCAGGCAAAGUAAUUGGUUGUAAAUGGGUCUAUAAGAUAAAGCUUUAGCCUGAUGGCUAAUUGAGAGAUACAAGGCCCGCUUAGUAGCUUAGGGUUAUCAUCAAACUGAAGGUAUUGACUACUUCGAAACAUUCAGCCUGGUUGUCAAGCCUUCUACUACCGUAUUGUGCUCAGUCUUACUUUUUCCCAGAAUUGGUGUAUUAGACAGCUGGAUGUUCAUAAUGCCUUCUUACAUGGUGACUUAGCUGAAGACGUUUUCAUGGAACAACCACCUGGAUUUGUUGAUCCUCUCUAUCCUACUCAUGUCUGCAAGUUGGAUAAGUCUCUCUACGGUCUUAAUAGUCACCUCGGGCUUGGUAUACUAAGCUGAGUACUUCUCUACUACACUUGGGAUUUGUUACUUCUAAGAAUGACUCUUCCUUAUUUAUUUGUCAUUCGUCUCAUGGGUUACUUCUUGUUCUUGUCUAUGUGGAUGAUAUAAUCGUCACUGGGAGCCACUCUCCUCAAGUUACUCACCUUAUCCAAUAGUUGCAUCAUCAGUUUUCUUUAAAGGAUCUUGGUCAUUUACACUAUUUUCUGGGCUUGGAGGUUCAUCACACCCCUACUGGUAUUCACCUCAGCCAAGCAAAGUAUAUCACUGAUCUCCUUACCCGGGCGGCUAUGUUGGAUGCCAAGCCAUGUCCCACUCCUAUGUCCUCCAACACAUAUCUUUCUCUUCAUGAUGGAGUGGCUCUUGAAAAUGGUUCAGAUUAUUGAAGUUUUGUUGGUGCCCUUUAGUAUUGUACCAUGACACGCCCAGAUAUAGCUUUUGCAGUAAAUAAAGUGUGUCAAUUCAUGCACCAUCCCUCUGAUGUUCACUGGCAGGCUAUAAAACGUAUUCUCCAGUACUUAAAGGGCACAUCUCAUUUUGGUCUCUUCCUACAGCCUUCCUAUGACUUCAACAUCACUUGCUAUACAGAUGCCGACUGGGCUUCCUGCCUUGAUGACAAGUGUAGCACCAGUGGCUACUGCCUCUUUCUUGCCUCUAAUCUGGUUUCUUGGUCAUCUUCCAAACAAAAAGUGGUCUCCCGCUCCAGCGCCAAAUCAGAGUACCGAGGGGUAGCAAAUGGGGCUGCUGAAAUUGCUUGGACUGAAUCUCUUCUUUGUGAACUUUCCACCCACUCGACCUCCCCUCAUUGUCUGUGACAAUAUCAGUGCCACAUACUUAGCUGUCAAUCCUAUUUUGCAUGCCCGCACCAAAACAUGUGGAAAUCGACUAUCACUUUGUCUCGGAACGUGUUCUUCAACGCUCUCUCUCUCUCCAGUUUACACCUUCGGAUGAUCAACUUGCUGAUUGCAUGACCAAGCCUCUCUCCACCCAACGUUUCAUCACUCUACGCUCCAAGCUCACUGUUCUCACUAGACCAAUGAGCUUGAGGGGGGAUGUUAAGCCUAAAGAUGUAAUUAGUUAGGAUAUUCUUUUCCCUCUAGUCUUGUAGCUCCACGUGUACAGUUGGUUAGGACCUCAUUGUAUAUAAUGCCUGCCCUGUUAUUGUAGAAGACAACAGAGAUAAAUAAUAUUAACAUUUUUCCUCUCAUCUCUCUCUCUGUUUCCCUCUGUUUUCAUCUCCUCUCUCAUCUGAACCAAAUGAUCCAUGUUAACCUUGGCUUGGUUUGAUUUGGCUCUAUCUUAGAGAGCUCAAGGAUCACGUCAACUCUGGUUUCUACUAUUCAGGUCCAUUCCCAUAUGAACUGGUUCAAAUUUGAGAAAAUGGUAACAGACCUUUAGUGAUGUUGGUUUGGAGCCAGUUGCCAAACCCGCCCUGAGCUUUACCACUAAUGUCAAGGGAGAAAGCCUUUUGAACAAAAACAAUAGCUUCAAGAGACUGAAUCGUGGAUGAAAUCUGAUCCACAUUUCUUCUCAUUUUGGAAACAAAUGAGAACUUAACUAAGAAGAUUCUACGGCCUCAUAGUGCUUUUCCUGAUCUAAGGUUGGUUCGUUUCCCAAAUUGUGAGAUGCACGGGCCAGACUUCAGAACUCUCACGCUCAGGAGUGUAUCCACGUGGUGGACAUAAGAUGGUGGCUUAAGAUCUGGUGUCGGUGGCUUUACUUUACUAGGAGAGUAGUGUGUCUUCAUCUCAUUCACUGCCGGAGGGUGGCGUAAGCAGUGACGCUAAGGUGGGGCAUAGUCAAUAUCAUUUGCAUUUGACCAUUAUAGUUUUCUCCCGGCUUGAAAGUAACCUUAUCGUGAUAAAGGAUUACUAGCACUAGUUCAGAUGACAGUCAUGUUAAAUUCGGACCAUGUUUGUGUCACAUUAUCAGCAACCAUGUGUUUAUGGUUCAUGCUUUCUGCAACUGAAAUUGAAAUUGAUAUAUAACCAGGUGAACUUCAAUCUAAAUUCUGGAAGUACUCAUGUGAGCGAUGGUGCCCAUCUGCAGAGUCCAUCAAUUGAAAAAUGGAGUGAGUGUAUCUAUAAGAGGGAAGGCUUGGCAAAUGUCCAGUUUUCUGGGAAUUCAACAAGGAUCUAAAAUAGAUUGUUUUCUUUGCUGAUUUCAAUGGUUGAAAUUUGAGAAGAUUGUGUCCCACAUAACACAACUAUUACUGGUCCUUCUGUUGCAAUUUAUCCUCUAAGGCUCUAGCAUGUCUUCCAAUUCCCACUUCCCUGUUACUCCAGGAAAGCUAUUUCUGUCAUUGUGAAGAAGAAAAGAGAAUGUAGAUAUCGAUGCUUUUAAGUGACUGGAGCAUUCAUAUCAGGUGGUCUGCAGCCAUAUAUGCCACUUUGUGAAGAUUGGAACAGUCAAUCACUAGGCUAUAUAUUAGUGUGGCCCAGCCACUUUAAUCAAGGACAAUUCUUCAUACUUAAAAGUCAAAUUCUGCCUUUAGUCUCAUUAUAAAUUGCUGUUUAAAUAUUAAGCAAACAUUUGUUUAAUGCGAUUAAGACAGUACUAACUCAAUACUUGUUCUAUUUUUGGAUGGAAAUGCUUGAUGGUUUCAUCAUUGGAUGGGAUAAAGGUGCAUUCAUGAUUAUGAAUACUUGUAGUUAUAUUUUCAUUCUCUUUUUUCUCAAUGAGACUUGUUGGCACAAUUUUUCUGUUCAGAAACCUACCUCUCCAUGGAAAAUAAGUUGUGAUUGAUAGUACUGGAUAUAUUCAAGAAAGCUAAAUAUAGAUAGCACAAAAUAUUAUCGACAUAAAUAGCAUUAACAGCGUACGUAUGUCUCAGUGCUCAUCAGCCAUAAGCAUGGGGCAAACACUUACGAUGAGCAACUUACGUCAAAAUUCCAGAAUAGGACAUAGAAGUGACAGAUCUAUAUAUAUAGAACACUGCAUAAGAGUCACAAGAAAGGAAAUUACGGGUGCAUAGCAGCUCUUAUUUCACAUACUACUCAUACUGAUCAAAGUCACUCAGUUGGGAUGGGUGGGAGUAGGAGGUUUGUGGGGUGGCUUGUGCGGAGGAGUUGGCAGCUUCUUUCCAGGACCUGGUGGCUUCUCUCCCUUAGGUGGUUUGCCAACUGGGGUUGGUGGCUUGUAUGAGUCUUCAGCAUUCUCUGCAGGAGGGUGACCAGGGUUGUGACCAUAAUGUGGUGGCUUCUCUCCCUUAGGUGGUUUGCCAACUGGGGUUGGUGGCUUGUGUUCUGGGAGUGGCUUCUCCCCCUUGGGAGGUUUUUCCAAUGGGGUUGGUUUGUGUUCAGGAGGUGGCUUCUCCACUGGAGGCUUGUGUUCAGGAGGUGGCUUCUCCACCGGAGGCUUGUGUUCAGGAGGUGGCUUCUCCACCGGAGGCUUAUGCUCUGGUGGUGGCUUCUCCACCGGAGGCUUAUGCUCUGGUGGUGGCUUCUCGAAUGGGGGAUGCUUAGGGUAAUCAGCAAGUGAGGGGGCGGUGAGAACCACCAGGCCAAGCAAGACCACUAGCAAGUAUGUAGGAGACAUCUUUGGGUUUAGACUCAGAUGGUGCAAAACUAGGAGAAUUGUCUUUUAUAGCGGAUCGCACCCAAUAAUGAAAUGACACGUGUCUUUAUGACCCAUGUGUAAUGGGGUCGAUUUGGGUCCUACAGUGUUGAAAACUUCGACAUCCACUUUUGGCCUUUUGCUUUCUCUACAGCCGCCUUGCUUUUUCCCUCUUUCCUUUUGUUUUCCUCCUGCCCCAUUCUAUCAACUAAACACAAUUAUGUAGUUGUUUAAUUCUUAAAUGAGAUAUUAUCCGUCAAUCGUAUCAUAUUUUAUCAACAGAGAACGGAGUGCAAUGUGGCAAUCCAAAGAAAGAAGAUCCAUAAUGCAGCUGUAAUUUUAUCGUUUACUUUUAUCUCUUGGACCACUGCAUUUUUGUUAAGAGGUGCAAUAAUACACGUCUUUAUCUGCCAUUCAAUGUUUACAGUAAAGAGAGGGCACAAAACUCUUCACUGCUCUGCAUGUGUCCCAAAAAUGCAAUUGGACAAAUUAUGAUUUGCAUGCUAAAAAGAGGCAAAUGAGGUUAAUUCGCACCAUAAUUAUUUUGUUUUCUGGACCCCGGGGCCCUUUGGUUGGUUUGGGGGUCAGAAAAUGAACAUCAUAGGGGGUUUUUCCCUUAUGUGCAUUUGUAUCUGAUGGCUUUAACUCGCCUUGUUACUACAAAGAAAUUGUCACAUAUAGGAACUUAUUCCAGGCUGAGUAUCUCCGCAUAGACCCUAUAAAAGAAGACAAGUCAUAAUGAACAUCUAACCUUUGUUCAAUUUGAUUCAAUGCCCCAUUGUGUCCACCUCACAAAUCUGAAUUAUUAUAUCCAUUGAAUACAUAAAUUAAUGAAGAAAAUAUGAAACCCAAGAUACAUCUCUGCACAACCUCAACCCUGGUUGCUAUGUUUCCCUUCUAUUCACAUGAGGAUAUUGAUUACGGAAUAGGGAAACCUAGCAAGGGUUUACUCGGCUCUGGUUUGAUGCUAAUUGCCAAACUUGCAACAAGCCCUGAGUUUGAAGCUCACAGAAGAUGUUAUACAGGCAGGGAAAAACCUUCAGAGUUCGCUGCCAAAGAUAAUUAUUAAGGAGAUAUCACCAAGAGAAUUCCAAGGAGUCUGAAUCAAAGACAAAUUGGUCGUUCGUGGAGGUUCUUACUUUCUUUUGGGUAUAACUCACUGAGGGCACUGUCUUUUUUAUUUUCAUUUCACAUUUAGAGUUCUGUUCUGGAAACAUAUAAAAGGAGCAUCAGUUUGUUCUUGGGUAACCCAUAGUCGUGAGUGGGUCCAUUUGCAUGCUACUUAGUUGAAAAGUUGGACCAUUUGCUCCGACGCCUACCUCCUGGAUUCCAUGCUCGGAUAAAACAAGAAUAAAAAAAUAUUUAUAAUUUACAAAUGGGGGAAAGAAAAAAAUGUCAACAACAAACUAGGAAAAAAGAGUAGUAAAAUUCAUGUCACAUGCUAGUGAGAGAAGGGGUUGUUACACUCACUCGAAGUUCUUUUCAAAAUAUCGCAUGGUAUUUUAUUUUAUGUGUGAGCGCAGUUGUGAAUGGAACGUGCAAAAGUCCAAAUUGGUGACCUUUAAUAAAUAUUUAAAACAAAAAACGAAAAAAAGGAGGGAAAAGGGAUCAGAAAAGAUAAAACAAUGUGUACAAAAGCUCAAUUAGUUUGCAAAUUACUGUUUGGAUUUUGAUAGUAUUUUAUUUGAUGUAAAAGAGAAUUUAAGAUAUUUCCGAAACAAAAGCAUUAGUUUGCUCCAUGUCAAUUUCGGCAUUUCUCAUAUGUUUCACACAUACACAGAAGAGCAUCGUUUUUUAAAGCAUGCAUUUAUGUUGGAUUAAUUUGGAUUUUGUGGGAACUGGGGCAAGGAUCACAUGGAAGAGAGGUUGACUUUUUUCAGUACUUCAAUGGUUGAGACAGGUGAAGGCCUGAUUGAUACUGAAGCCUGAAAUUGCGACUCCGUCAUUUGUCAAAACAUAUGACAGCUUCCAUGCUCUCGUUUGGUUGCAUUGUUCUGUGGUCAUGCAUACAUGCCACUUAGUGAUCAGUCUGUAACUGUCAAUCAUUGGGCUUUGACUGAACAACAUCAGCCAUGUAUAAAUACUUGCAAAUCAAACGGUCUUCUUCCUCCCAUAAGGAAUUUCGGUUUAAUUAUGAAGCAUGCAUUUGGCUGACCAUCAUAAACCACUUCUUUAAAUUGAUGAAUGAUAGUUUUUCAUUCAUUCUUUCAUUCGUUCAUAUACAGAGUAUAUAUAGAGGGUAAUCAUCAUUCUAAGAAUGGGAAAGAAUGAUACAAGGAAAUAAUGAUAUAAAGAAAUAACAACUAAUAUUCUAAUAUCUCAACUUUCCUAAUAUCUAAACAUUCCUAAUAUCUCAACACUAAAUGAUAUAAAGAAAGAAUGAUAUAAGGAAAGCAUUCCUAAUAUCUCAACACUCCUCCUCAAGUUGGUGCAUAGAUGUCAAACAUGUCCAACUUGUCUAAAAAUUUUGAGAACAGUUGACUUGAGACAUCUUUGGUGAGGAUAUCGGUCAAUUGAUCUUCUGAUCGAAUCUUAGGCAAUUCCACAAUCUUAUCAUCCAACUUUUCCUUAAUGAAAAAUCUAUCCAUCUCGACAUGCUUUGUACGAUCAUGUUGUACUAGAUUAUGAGCAAUGUCACAUGCUGCUUUAUUGUCACAAAACAAUCGGAUUGGUUGCCUAGAUAGGUAACCUAAAUCCUAUAAGAGGAGUCUUAGCCAUAAUGCCUCACAAAGUCCUAAAGUCAUACCUCUAAAUUCCGCUUCUGCACUUGAACGAGCGACGACAUUUUGCUUCUUACUUUUCCAUGUCACAAGAUUACCACCUACAAAGGUAAAGUAACCAGAUGUAGAUCGCCUAUCAUCCACUGCACCGACCCAAACAGCAUUAUACUUCUAUACUCUGAUGAUCAACAUUUUUAGCGAACAAAAUUCCCUUCCUAGGAGCAUUCUUCAAAUACCUCAAAAUACGCAUGACUACAUUCAUAUGUUGCUCUCCAGGAUUAUGCAUGUAUUGACUCACUACACUCAAUGUAUAAGCAAGAUCUAGUCUUGUAUGAGCUAAGUACAUUAAUCUCCCCACAAGUCUCUGGUAUCUUCCCUUAUCGAUUGAUACUUGAUUAGGCUCAACACACAAUUUCAGACCUUCUUCUAUUGGUGUAUUAAUAGGUUGACAUCCCGACAUUCCAGUUUCCUGUAGAAGAUCUAAGGCAUACUUUCUUUGAGACAGAAAAAUUCCUUCACUUGAUCGAGAAACUUCAAUCCCAAGAAAGUAUUUCAGACGACCAAGAUCUUUCAUUUCAAAUUCUCUAGAUAGAUACUUUUGCAAAGCUUUUCUUUCUUCAGGAUCAUUUCCUGUAACUACAUGUCAUCCACAUAUAUCAUAAGUGUCGUAAUCUUACCAUGUUGCUUUUUCAAGAACAAAGUGUGAUUUGAAUUACUUUGAUGAUAGCCAAAAGCUCUCAUUGAUUUUGUGAACCUUCCAAACCAUGCUCUCGGGGAUUGCUUCAACCCAUACAAUGACUUCUUCAAUUCGCACACCUUCUGACAUUGCUUUUCUGACACCAUGCAUCCUGGUGGAAGAUCCAUAUAUACUUCUUCAGAUAAAUCGCCAUGCAGAAAGACAUUUUUUACAUCGAACUAUUGUAAUGGCCAAUCUAGGUUUGCAGCUAAAGACAAUAAUACUCGAACUGUGUUGAUCUUAGCUACAGGUGCAAAUGUCUCUGUGUAGUCAAUUCCAUAAGUUUGAAUGUACCCACUAGUCUUGCUUUAAAUCGUUCAAUACUACCAUCUGCCUUGUACUUCACAGUAUAGAUCCAACGACACCCAACUAGCUUCUUUCCUGGUGGACAUUCUACGAGUUCCCAUGUUUCAUUUUUCUGCAAUGAUUUCAUCUCUUCAUUCAUGGUUGCUUUCCACUUUGGAUCAGCUAAAGCUUCCUGCACACUAUUAGGAAUAGCUACAGUAGAUAAUUGAUUUACAAAUGACUUAUUUGAUUCAGACAAACCAUGGUGUGGACCCGCAUUUUUCACGUGCGCCUCUACUCGAUCGGCGAGACUCGCUUUCUAUUUGUGAAAAAUUAAUUUUAGAAAAGUUGGAGUCGCCACCUAUUUUAUUUUUAUUUUGAAGGGAAAAUAAAACAAGAAAGAAAAACCCUAAAAAGUGACUCCAUAGUUUUGGAAAAAGCAUGUCUUUGGGAAACCUGAGUCUAGGUCCGGGGAUCAUGUUACUUAUUGGGAAGGUACCUCUAGGAGGUAGCACCCCUCUAAGCCUUAUGAAGGUCUCUACUAACUAAAUUAAGGGAAGUGUGGCAAUAAAUCGAUUGAUCAUAGAUACCUAAGUAGACUAGGUGAUUUUAAAGUGUGGCAUGUCAAACACAAUCAAAUUGCAAUAAAGGAGAGUUAGGGCGCGUACCUGAACCGCUUCUCAAGCGCUAUCAUAAAACAUCAAUGGUUAAUUUAAAUAAUAUAUCAUCCAGCAUGUAUUUUAUUAGAAAUAAUCAAACAAUGAAACAUGUAUAUCAGAACACUCAAGCAUUAUUAGACAUAAGCAUUAUUUCACUAUUCACAGAAUUCAGAAAGUAGGUGAUAGAGGACAUACCUGGAUAGCAUAGAUAAUUUGUAAUGUGCUUCCUCAAGUUGUAAGGGGUUAGAUAACAAAUAAUAAAAUAUAGAAAUCCUAGCAUGCUCGUUAUCUAAUUAGCAUAGCAAAAGUGAUCACAGUAUACAGAAUCAUCAAUUAUCACAUACAUCUUGUAUAUAAUUCCUAAAAAAAAUAGAUAGACAUGAUUUCAACAAGUGUCAAAUGUGGCAACAAAAAUAAAUUUUGAAAAGAUUUUCUUAUGUAGGGGUUUCACCAAUUCCCCAAAUUAAUAUACACGAAUUUAGCUUAGAAUUAUCCCAUUUAUUUGGGACUACAAGCUUUGAUUCGUGUUUUUGUUCAAAACCAAAAAUUUUUGUUGAAAAUCAAGAAGGAUGCGAACCGAACAAGAUAUGGUUGCAUAUUAUUUUUAAAUAAAUAAAUAAAUAAAUAAAGGAGAUUUUGAUCCUGAGGACUUUAAUGAGUUUUUUUUUUUAAAAUAGAUUUUUAAAAUGAUUUUUUUGAGAAAAGUAUUUUAUUUUAAAAUAAAAGGGAUUAAUUUGGGAAAAAAAUAAAAUAUAAGAAAUAAAAUACCAAACAAAACAAAAAUGAAACCUCAAAGUAAAAUUUUUUUAGUAAUUAACAAAAAUGAUAAUGGUGAUGGUAGAGGGCAAUCUUCAUGAUUUUCCAAUGGCCUCAGAAAGAAAAUCAAAUUAAAUGAAGGAUCACUAACAGGCAAGACAUUCUAAAUUAGACAAACUAACAAAGUAUCAAUUCAUGAACUAACCGCUAGGAUUUUGAAAGCAUAUAAGCUAAGAUAAGGGUGAUCAGGAACUAAUAUUAAUGAUUUUGAAAUAAAAACUAAAAAAAAGGAUCAAUUCGGGUAAGGAACUAAAAUUAUAAAAGUACCUAAACUAAUUAUGACGAGUUUGACUAAAUUAAACUAAAAACAUGAACUUUCAAACAUAGAAUUAAUUUUACUAAUGAACCAAAGCAAACUAAAAAUAUGUACUUUCAAGCAUAGAAUUAAUUUUAUUGAUGAACUAAACUAUAACAAAUAUCUAAACUAAAUAUAAUGAAUCAAAUUAAAUUAAAGCAACUUAAAAACGCAAACUUUCAAACAUAGAAUCAAUUUUAUCAAUGAAUUAAAACUAUAAAUGUAUUUGAACUAAAUAGAUGAAUCAAACUAAAUCAGAGCAAAAUUAAAAAAAAAAAAGAACUUUCUAACAUGAAAUCAAUUUUAUCAACAAAUAAAUGAAUGAAUAACAAGUAAUUAAAAGAAUAGCUACUACAUGAAUAACUGAAUGAAUAAAAUUCAAAUGUUUUCAAUCUGAAGCAAUCAAUCAAAAUUAAAUAGGGAUCAAAUCAAAAUAAUCGAAAUCGGAAAAACAAUAUGCAAUCUUUCUAAAGGUUUAACCAGACAAUUGAAUUAAAAUUAUGAAUAGAAUAAAUUAAUAAACCAAAUCGAAACCUAAAUUGUACCUAAAAAGAUUAAUUAAUUAAACUAAGAAAUCAAAAUCAAUAACAAAACUAAACUAAGGAGUAAAUUAAGACAAGACUAAUUAAAUUAAACUCACAAACACGUUUUAACUAUCAUAUGGAUUAAAACAAAAUUAGCAUGGACUUAUGAAUUACGAACAAAAAUAAUCAAAACUAUUUUAAAAAACUCACCUCUAUUAUAAGAAAAAAUCUGCCUUUGAUGCGUUGAGGUGGCUCCCCUCUCUGUGUGGAUCUCUCUGCUCCCCAGAAAAAAAAUGUCUCUUCCUCCGUUCUCUUUUGUUUCAGCAAAAUAAUAUAUCCCCUGCUGUGGAUCUCUCUACUCCCAGAAAAUAAUAUAUUCUCUCCGUGUCCUAAAGUGGACCUAGGGUGCCUAAGUGGACCUAGGGUGCCUAAAUGGGCCUAGGGUGCCUAAAUGGGCCAAGUGUAUCUAAAUAGGCUUAGGGUGCCUAAGUGGGCCUAAGUCUAAGUGAGCCUAAGUCUAAAUCAAGACUACCAAGGAUCAUAAUAAGGGGUUAGGCAAUCCCUUAACCAAAGUCUCCAAGGUGGCUAAAAAAAAGUAAGUAGUAUGAGUAGCUAUGGGUCACCAAGGAACUACUGUGGAGCAUUGAAAACGAAUUUAAAGACAUGUGCCAAAGGGACAAAAUUGAGGGUCUACAGAUGGUUAGACACAUAGUUGCUCAUGGGAUAUUUGACUUUGGUAAACAAUUCAGAUUCAUAUGUGGGUUUAGGAAUACCUUUAUUAUGACGGUGUGGUAAUCGUUUCAUGAAUGGAUCAGGUUGCAAAUUAAGAACACCCUCAGCAAACAACGAUUGGUUUGGUAUUUCAGUGAAGACAUCUUCGAACCCAAAUUGUUGACCACUCAUAUCCAACUCACCCGCUUCCUGGUUCACUAGUUCAGAUUGUCCAAAUUCAUCAUUCUCAUAGAUAUGAUAAUCAUAAUCGAGAGUCUGAAUUUCCUUAUGGUACUCCCCCUGAAGUUCAGACUUAGAUGAAAAAUACAUCGAAUAUUCAUGAAACAGCNNNNNNNNNNNNNNNNNNNNNNNNNNNNNNNNNNNNNNNNNNNNNNNNNNNNNNNNNNNNNNNNNNNNNNNNNNNNNNNNNNNNNNNNNNNNNNNNNNNNNNNNNNNNNNNNNNNNNNNNNNNNNNNNNNNNNNNNNNNNNNNNNNNNNNNNNNNNNNNNNNNNNNNNNNNNNNNNNNNNNNNNNNNNNNNNNNNNNNNNNNNNNNNNNNNNNNNNNNNNNNNNNNNNNNNNNNNNNNNNNNNNNNNNNNNNNNNNNNNNNNNNNNNNNNNNNNNNNNNNNNNNNNNNNNNNNNNNNNNNNNNNNNNNNNNNNNNNNNNNNNNNNNNNNNNNNNNNNNNNNNNNNNNNNNNNNNNNNNNNNNNNNNNNNNNNNNNNNNNNNNNNNNNNNNNNNNNNNNNNNNNNNNNNNNNNNNNNNNNNNNNNNNNNNNNNNNNNNNNNNNNNNNNNNNNNNNNNNNNNNNNNNNNNNNNNNNNNNNNNNNNNNNNNNNNNNNNNNNNNNNNNNNNNNNNNNNNNNNNNNNNNNNNNNNNNNNNNNNNNNNNNNNNNNNNNNNNNNNNNNNNNNNNNNNNNNNNNNNNNNNNNNNNNNNNNNNNNNNNNNNNNNNNNNNNNNNNNNNNNNNNNNNNNNNNNNNNNNNNNNNNNNNNNNNNNNNNNNNNNNNNNNNNNNNNNNNNNNNNNNNNNNNNNNNNNNNNNNNNNNNNNNNNNNNNNNNNNNNNNNNNNNNNNNNNNNNNNNNNNNNNNNNNNNNNNNNNNNNNNNNNNNNNNNNNNNNNNNNNNNNNNNNNNNNNNNNNNNNNNNNNNNNNNNNNNNNNNNNNNNNNNNNNNNNNNNNNNNNNNNNNNNNNNNNNNNNNNNNNNNNNNNNNNNNNNNNNNNNNNNNNNNNNNNNNNNNNNNNNNNNNNNNNNNNNNNNNNNNNNNNNNNNNNNNNNNNNNNNNNNNNNNNNNNNNNNNNNNNNNNNNNNNNNNNNNNNNNNNNNNNNNNNNNNNNNNNNNNNNNNNNNNNNNNNNNNNNNNNNNNNNNNNNNNNNNNNNNNNNNNNNNNNNNNNNNNNNNNNNNNNNNNNNNNNNNNNNNNNNNNNNNNNNNNNNNNNNNNNNNNNNNNNNNNNNNNNNNNNNNNNNNNNNNNNNNNNNNNNNNNNNNNNNNNNNNNNNNNNNNNNNNNNNNNNNNNNNNNNNNNNNNNNNNNNNNNNNNNNNNNNNNNNNNNNNNNNNNNNNNNNNNNNNNNNNNNNNNNNNNNNNNNNNNNNNNNNNNNNNNNNNNNNNNNNNNNNNNNNNNNNNNNNNNNNNNNNNNNNNNNNNNNNNNNNNNNNNNNNNNNNNNNNNNNNNNNNNNNNNNNNNNNNNNNNNNNNNNNNNNNNNNNNNNNNNNNNNNNNNNNNNNNNNNNNNNNNNNNNNNNNNNNNNNNNNNNNNNNNNNNNNNNNNNNNNNNNNNNNNNNNNNNNNNNNNNNNNNNNNNNNNNNNNNNNNNNNNNNNNNNNNNNNNNNNNNNNNNNNNNNNNNNNNNNNNNNNNNNAACCAAAGGAAGCAUGUUCCAGACGUCGAUGCCACAACCAAAUUUCAGACUUUUUCUUCUCCUCCUUAGAUCCAUCUGCCAUCAAGGCUUGUUGCAACUUAUUUGAAUCCUUUGAUUGCAAGUCCAAGUAUAGAGUUUCCCCCGCUUAAUACGACAACCAAUCGUCUGUCUUGUUUGAAUGUCCUUAAUCACACAAAAUUCAGGCCAAAAAAUGACAAUACAAGAUAAGGCUGCAGUGAUUUGAGAAACUAACAAAAGAUUGUAAUCUAAAGAUGGAACAACUAAAACAGAAUCCAAAUUCAAAGUAUCAGUAAGAGUUAAGGAUCCUUCCCCAAUGACUGGGGUUGUGUUACCAUUGGCUGUGGAAACAAUUUUUUGUGAGGAAGGUCUAAGGGGUGAAACCUGUCUAGAAUCAAAAGUCAUAUGAUCUGUAGCACCAGAAUCAAUUAUCCAUGCACUAUUAAUAACAGGUGUAAAAGUAUUUAAAAACUUACCACAAUGAUCUGUAGCGGCUACUAAUGCAGAGACUUUCUCAACAACAUUAGUCUUUGUUUUUAUUUCGGUAACAGUUGCAAUCAAGGUUUUCUUGGAAUUCUUCUUCCGUUGAUCACGAUUAUUAUCAUUAAUAACAAAGUGUUGAUAGCCUAAACAUGAUCUAAAGGUCCAUGGUGCAAACCCUCGGUUCCUCAUUGUUUUCCUGGUCAUACCAAGAGUUGUUGCUUUGAAAUUGUGGGAUAUCCAGACUGGUGGGAUCAGUUUUAUUGCAGUGAGUGCAUUUGAAUGUUGACUUAUCAAUAUUAGGGCUUGUCUUCGGAUGGUUGAUUGCUGUUGGACUACCAUAGCGACAAAAUAUCCAGGAUUUCAAUUCCAGGGCUCUGAUACCAUCUUCAAAUUGAUGAAUGAUAGUUUUUCAUUCAUUCUUUCAUGUACAGAGUAUAUAUAGAGGGUAAUCACCAUUCUAAGAAUGGGAAAGAAUGAUACGAGGAAAUAAUGAUAUAAGGAAAUAAUAACUAAUAUCCUAAUAUCUCAACUUUCCUAAUAUCUCAAUAUUCCUAAUAUCUCAACUUUCCUAAUAUCUAAACAUUCAUAAUAUCUCAACACUAAAUGAUACAAGGAAAGAAUGAUAUAAGGAAAACAUUCCUAAUAUCUCAACACCACUUCAUGAUAUAUAUAGUUUCUUACCCUUAAUCAAUGGUUUCUAAGUGAAUUUAUAUAGAAAGAAAUCCAAACUGUAGACAGCAGUAUUGGUAACACUCAAUAUUCUGUAUAUAAUAGAAUAAAUAGCGUCACAGUGAUCGUCGCCUACAAGCAAGGUACAAAUACCACAAAGAGUGACCCACAUAGACAUUCCCCAACAAGAUGUAGUAGUGACUGACACAUAGCCACAAUUAACACGUAGAAAAGGAUAAGACCGGUGCACAGUAGCUCUUAUUUUACAUACUACUUAUGCCAACCAAAGUCACUCAGUUGGGAUGGGAGGGAGAUGGAGGUUUGUGCGGUGGCUUGUGGGGCGGAGUUGAUGGCUUCUUUCCAGGAGCUUCUGGCUUUUUCAUCGGAGCUGAAGGAGGCUCAAUCUUAUGAGGCGGCUUGUACGAGUCUUCUUUGCUCUCGAAAGGAGGGUGGCCAGGGUUGUGACCAUAAUGUGGUGGUUUCUCUCCCUUGGGAGGUUUACCAAUUGGGGUUGGUGGCUUGUGUUCUGGGAGUGGUUUCUCUCCCUUGGGAGGUUUAGUGGGUGACUUGUGUUCUGGAGGUGGCUUCUCCACCGAAGGCUUGUGCUCCGGUGGUGGCUUUUUGGUUGGAGGGGGCUUGGGGUAAUCAGCAAGAGAUGGGGUGGUGAGAACCACCAGUCCAAGGAACAACACUAGCAAGUAUGUGGGAGACAUUUUUGAGUUUGGGCUGAUCAGAUGAUGCAAAACUAAAGCAUUACGUGACCUUUUAUAGCAAGUAGCUCCCAAUACCUACUUGACACGUGUUACUGUGACCCAUAAAUAUUAUGGGGUCUAUUUGUGCCCUACCGGGUUGAAAACUUGGACAAUUGGGCAAGGACCCGCCUGACUAUGGAGGACUACUGAGGUGUGAUCACAGCUUUAGGAUUUUUCUUCCUCUGCAGCCGUCUUGCCGUUGGCAUGAUUUUCUUAAUCUCAAAUAAAGGCAUAGUUAUAGAGUUGUUUAAUCUCUAAAUGGGAUUUUAUAUAUCUUCAGAUAGCCAUUAAUACAUUUGAUGAAGAAAGAAAGACAAGUGCAUACAACAUGUAUACGACUAGCUUUCAUGGAGUUCAUUUAUGAUCAGUUUUCCUGUACAUGUAAACCAAGAUCAUAUAUGUUUUUGUUCCACAACAAUUUUGGAAUCUUGUUUAUCCGUUUUUAUCAUUAUAAUGUCACAUAGGCUGCCAACUUGGGCGCUAAAUUAAAGAUCCAGUUGGGCAAGUUCGUUUCAGAAUUUCAAUGGUGGAUUCAGGAAUUGUUUUAUAAGAUAUGCAAAAUAGUAGAGGGAUGAAUAGUGUUUCAUUAAGAAAAGAGCCCUGUAAAAAUAUUGUUUAAAGGUGCCAUAGAAACUAUAAUCAAUAAAUAACUUUUUUUCCCCAUGGGUGGUGUUUCUUGUGGGGAUCAGUGACUGGUUUGAGUCAACGCCGUGUCUCUUUAGUCCAGAAAUCAACUAUUUUAUGCAUUGAAUACAUCAACAAAGAAAAUAUGAAAGCCAAAUGACACCUCCCCCGCAAAAACUAAACCCUGGUUGCUAACUUUCUAUGUUUCAGUUCCAUUCACACAAGAAUAUUAGUUCAAGUUUGAGAAAAAUGGCGACUUACCUAGUGAUAACUCGGUCUUGGUUUGCGAUUUGACUUUAACGUCAUGGGUUGAAGCCUCCUACAAUCAUCGUGUAUGCUAGUUCAAAGCUCGUGGAAGAAGUUAUACAGGGAGGGAGAAACCUCCACAGCAAGCUCCAAAAGAGAAUUAUCACAUUGAAAGCUCCAGUUGAACACUGGGUGAAAGCCAUAACAAGAUUGGUUUUCUAUCGCUCUUUUAAGUAAUGGAAGAUUAUUAUCUCUGCUUGUCACUACAACCGUGCAUGCUGCUAGAUCUUUCUAGACACUUCAAACAGUGAAACCAAGUAUGAUUCUUUUUCUCUUGAGUGGGUCCACUUGCAUGCCAAUGAACGAGUUGAAAAGUUGGACAAUUGGCCACAGCGCGCACUUACCUUCUGGAACCGAAGGUCAGUGAAGUGGGGUUCCUUUUGGCCCCUUGUGUUUCUGUUCCAACCUACUCCAGGAACCGAAGUUCAGUGAAGUGGGGCUACUUUUGGCCUCUUGUGUUUCUGUUCCAACCAAACAAAAAUGGGAGGGAAAAAUAGCAUUAUGCUUGUGCUAAAGAUCAACGCAUGAUAGCUGAAUAAGGGAGAAAAAGGCAUUGCUAUCUCAAUUUCAUAAACUUGAUAAGUAGUGACAUUAAUAGUCUUCCUCAUAGAUGGAUACAUGGUUUUAUUUUAUUUAUUUAUUUUUAUUUUUUUGUUUUAUGUCAAUGCUAAUGAAUGAAGUGCAUUAGCUUGUUUUGUGACUAGAACUACAAAUGUCCAAAUUGGAGCUUCUCCAAUAUAUUUCUCAGUGAGUUAUUGAUUAGAACUCUUGGAUUGAGUUCCAAGAUUUGAAUCAGACCCCUCUAGCAGCUUCAGGGGUACGUAGCAACCUAUAGCAUAUUAAUGAAGACUUAGGAUUUAGACUUAGGAAUACAAAUUAAUAUGUACCUCAUGCUCUGACUAGCUUCCCUGCGUAUGCACAAAAUGGAGAUGACUCCCAAAAAAAUAGCAGAAUCGCCUUAGUAUGUUUUUGUGGUUAAGAUGAUUCUCCACUUUAUAUAUCCACAUUGGUUCAUUAUGCAAAUUAAUCAACUAAGCUAUUUUUAUUUUUUCUUAAAUGUGAAAUAGGAGCUCCAAAUUAACCUAACCAUUGGCCUGAUUGAAUUGAUUUCACUUGCAUAAUGUUAUAGUAGAAGUCCGUAAUUUGAAUUUUAUUUUUGCAAAAGGUAACGUAAAUGAAGCAUUGUAAUUAAAUUUAUUUGUAAUUACAAACUAAUUUUAUUUUAUUAAGAAUUAAUUUAAUUACUCAUUUAAAAUAAAAAUCAGUUAUACUUUUACCAAGAUGAUAAUAUUCAUAUUUUUCUAGUUAACAUAUAUAAAAUAGUACACUUUUUCAUAUAAAAAAAUAAUUUAUGAUUUAUUAUAAUGUUACUAUUCACAUUUUACUAAAUUGAUGGUACAUGAUAGUGAGAGAAGGGGGUGUCACACUCAGCUAAAGUUCUUUUCAAAAUAUUGCAUGGUGUUUAAUUUUAUGUGUCGGCGCGCGUGUGAAUGGAACCUGCAAAAGUCCAAAUUGGCGUUUCUCCAUUUUCCACAUAGGAUGGUGACGUUAAUAGACAAAGAUACAAUAUCUGUAGACAUUGCUUAAAAAUCGAUGUGAAGUAUUAGAAAUUACAGGGCACUGUACUGGGGGAGCGGCUGCCCCGCCAAAGGAGGAAGAAUGUAGCAAUUUCUUCUGUUAGCCAGGCCUUAGGAUUUAUGCAUGGGAUGCCUAAUAACAAACAGAGAAAAUAUACUUUUGGGGAAGGUAUCCAACAACAGACACCAUCAUUCAGAUGGUGGGAAGGUAUCCAACAGAUGCCAUCAUUCAGAUGGUAACAUAUAUAUACAUUUAUUAGUGAGUUUUUUUAAUACCUAUAAAAAAAAAUAUACACUUUGAUAUUGUGGCUGAAUCCAUUACAUACUCAACUAACCUUGCUCAUUAGGGAUUUGACUUAACAAGGGCAACGUUGCAGUACAAGCUCAAAACUUUAUGCAGGUGACAUUACAUUUGGUAAAGAAGAGGAAAAUAACGAAAGCCAUCCAUAAAAGCAAAAUUCCACAUGGGAUGAAAUUCACAAGCUUCAUUUACGAUAGAGUCGCAUCCAGGCAAUUAAUUCCACAUUAGACCGCCUGUUGACAUGUGUACCAAUCUUUUUUCAAAAAAUAUUUAUAAAUAAUUGAUACUCACAAAAAUAAUUUAAUAUUUAUAAAGGAUAAAAAAAUAUUUUCAAAUCUAUAACAAUUUAUAAAAUAUUAAUAAAAAAUUAUCUCUUAAACUUAGUAUAGUUUUAUCAGAUUAAACUUUUAUUUUGAACAAAUAAUUUUAAUCUAAGUUUUAAAUUCUAAAAUUAUUUCCUUAAAAUAAAAUUUUAAAAUUCAACACUUCAAUUGAAAUUGUCUUUUUAAAAAAUAUCUUCUUAUUUUAAUCCUUAUAAACUAUAGUUGAUUGAAAAUACUAUUGAAGUUCUCUCUUAAAAAAAAGUCUUAUUUUAAUCUUCAUAAAUUGCCCUUGAUUUGAAAAUAAAUUUUCAGUUAUCAUAUUUUAAAUAAUAUCUAUAUUUAAAAUACUCUAUUUAAAAAAAAAUGAACUAAUUUUAAUUAUAUUAUAUUUUAUUUUUUUAUAUAUUUUUAAUGAUAAACCAAACAUAGAAAAUCAUUUUUCUAAAUAUUUUAAAAUUUCUAAGCAACCAAACAUAAUCUUCAAAAUAAAAGGAAAAUAAGGAGGGACAUUUGAGAAAUGGCGAUUAAAAAAAAGUGUACAAAAGCUCAAUUAAUUUUCUUCUAGUCUUUUAUAUAAAAAAGUAAAGGAAUUGAAAAGUAUUGAUAUGUAAAUUAAUAUUUGGAUUUUAAUAGUAUUUUAUUUGUCUUUCUCUAUCUCAUGUAAAAGAGAAUUUAAGAUAUUUCCUAAAGCAAAGCAUUAGUUAUCUGCAAUCAGUGGUGAUCAUGCCCCAUGUCAAUUUCGGACCCAUAUCUUAAAACUGUAUAAUUUGCAUUCAAACAUUACUGAUUUCUCAGAUGUUUCAUACUCCACAGAAGAGCAUUGUUUGUGAAAGCAUGCAUUUAUGUUGGAUUUUGGAUGAUGUGGGAACUGGGGCAAGGAUCAUAUGGAAGAGUGGUCGAUUUUGUUCUGUACUUUAACAUUUGAAAUAGGAGAAGCUCGGGCAUUUGUGGGGCUUAAUUGAUUUUGAAGCCUGAAAUUGCGUUUCUGUCAUUUUGUAAAAAAUAUGGCAGAUUCCAUGCUCUCAUAUGUUUGGUCUGUGGCCAUGUAUAGAUGCCCCUUAGUGACCAGUUUGUAACUGUCAAUCAUAGUGUUUUGACUCUGGCUCAACAACAUCAGCCAUUGACGGAUUUUCAUACUUGCAAAUCAAAUAGUCUUCUUCCUCCCUUAGGAAUUUCGGUUUAAAUGUUAUUAAGCAUACAUUUGGCUGACAAUUAUUAACCACUUCAUGAUAUGGUUUCUUACCCUUAAUCAAUGGUUUCUAAGUGAAUAUAUGCAGAAGGAAAUCUGAACUGUAGACAGCAGUAUUGAUAACUCUCAAUAUUCUUUAUAUAAGAGAAUAAACAACGUCAUAGUGAUCGUCGCCUACAAGAAAGGUACAUUUCCCAACAAGAUGUAGUUGUGACUGGUACAUGGACGCAAUUAACUCGUACAAAAGAAUAAGACCAGUGCACGGCAGCUCUUAUUUUACAUGCUAAUUAUGCUAACCAAAGUCACUCAGUUGGGAUGGGAGGGAGAUGGAGGUUUGUGCGGUGGCUUGUGGGGCGGAGUUGGUGGCUUCUUUUCAGGAGCUUGUGGCUUUUUCGGAGCUGAAGGAGGCUCAAUCUUAUGAGGCGGCUUGUACGAGUCUUCUUUACUCUCGACAGGAGGGUGGCCAGGGUUGUGACCAUAAUGUGGUGGCUUCUCUCCCUUAGGUGGCUUGCCAACUGGGGUUGGUGGCUUGUGUUCAGGAAGUGGUUUCUCUCCCUUGGGAGGUUUACCAAUUGGGGUUGGUGGCUUGUGUUCUGGGAGUGGUUUCUCUCCCUUGGGAGGUUUAGUGGGUGACUUGUGUUCUGGAGGUGGCUUCUCCACCGGAGGCUUGUGCUCCGGUGGUGGCUUCUCCACCGGAGGCUUGUGCUCCGGUGGUGGCUUCUUGAUUGGAGGGGGCUUGGGGUAAUCAGCAAGAGAUGGGAUGGUGAGAACCACCACUCCAAGGAACAACACUAGCAAGUAUGUGGGAGACAUUUCUGAGUUUGAGCUGAUCAGAUGAUGCAAAACUAGAAGAAUUACGGGACCUUUUAUAGCAAGUAUCUCCCAAUACCCACAUGACACGUGUUACUAUGACCAUAAAUAUUAUAGGGUCCAUUUGUGCCCUACCGGGUUGAAAACUUGGACGCUUGGCCGAGGACACACCUGACUAUGGAGGACUAUUGACGUGUGAUCACAGCUUUUGGAUUUUUCUUCCUGUGCAGCUGUCUAGCGGUUGGCAUUAUUUUCUUAAUCUUAAAUAAAGGCAUAGUUAUAGAGUUGUUUAAUCUCUAAAUGGGAUUUUAUAUAUCUUCAGAUAGCCAUUAAUAUAUUUGAUGAAGAAAGACAAGUGCAUACAACAUGUAUACGGCUUGCUUCAAUCGAGUACAUUUAUGAUCAGUUUUCCUGUGCAAGUAAACCAGUUUUUUGUUCCACAACUAUUUUGGAAUCUUGUUUAUCAGUUUCUAUCAUUAUAAUGUCACAUAGGCUGCAAACUUGGGCACCCAAAGAUCUAGGUGGGCAAAUUUGUUUCAGACUUUCAAUGGUGGAUUCAGUAAUUGUUAAAAGGUGUUUCUUCAUUAAGGAAAGAGUCCGGUAAAAAUAUUGUUAAAAGGUGUCAUAGAAACUAUAAUAAAUAAAUAACUUCUUUUCCCCAUGGGUGGUGUUUCUUCUGGGGAUCAGUGACUGGUUAGGGUCACCCAAAAUGAGUCCAGAUUAAAAUUGGUUCGAGUCAAAGCAGUCUCUUUUGUCCAGAAAUCAACUAUUUUGCGCAUUGAAUGAAUCGAUAAAGAAAAAAUGAAAGCCAAAUCACACCUCCCCUGCAAAACCUAAACCCCGGUUGCUAACUUUCUAUGUUUCAGUCCUAUUCAUAUAGGAAUAUUGGUUCAAGUUUGAGAAAAAUGGCAACUUACCUAGGGUUUACUUGGUUUUGGUUUGCGACUAUUUACGCAACCAACCAUGAGUUUGACUUUAACGUCAUGGGUUGAAGCCUCCUACAAUCAUGUAUGAUAGUUCAAAGCUCGUGGAAGAAAUUAUACAGGAAGGAAGAAACCUCCAAAGCUAGCUCCAAAAGAGAAUUAUCACAUCGAUAGCUCCAGAGAUUCCCAAGGGAACUGAAUCAAAGACAAGUUCCUCACUUUUUCUUCUUUUGAGGCCAAAUAUGAACCAAGGAUCACACGACCUCAUUCAACUUCAUAAGUUUGAUUUCAUGCAGUUGAACACUGGGUGAAGGCCAUGACAAGAAUUGAUUAAAAAAUUCUACCACUCUUUUAAGUAAUGGAAGAUUAUUAUCUCUGAUUGGCACCACAACAGCACAUGCUGCUAGAUCUUUCUAGACACUCCAUGCAAUGAAAGCACAAUGGAUCUUGUAAUGAUAGAAACUAAGCCAUGCUACAGUACUAGAUGAGGGGGUAAAACUAGUAGACAUCUUUCUAGACACUCCAUGCAAUGAAAGCACAAUGGAUCUUGUAAUGAUAGAAACUAAGCCAUGCUACAGUACUAGAUGAGGUGGUAAAACUAGUAGACAUGGCUGGCAGUUGAUUACUACUCAAAAAGUACUCUUUUAUAGCUUGAAACUAACUGUUUUAAACACUUUUGAGUAGUAGUUAAUACCUUUUAACUUAAUUGGCACAUUAAGGAACCUAGCAAGGGUUACUAAUCAACAUUUGGCAAGUUUUGAUGUUUUUGGUAGCUAUUUGAUCAUUGAAACAAGCCAAGAAUGAGGGGGAAUUUUGUGAAGUCCAUGGCAAUGCAAGUUAAAGCUCAAAUACAUGAAGAAUCCAAGCUUUGGAGCACUUCAUAGCCCUUUGCCAAGCCAAUCAAAGAUGCAAGGAAGAAAACCAAAGGAAGAAAUCCAACAAUCAGCAUUUUGGCAUGGCUAUGUGAAAUUUCGCACACCAUGCGAAACCACAAGAGGCAGCCAAAGAAUUUCGCAUGGUAUGCGAAAUCUUCUUGUGCACUGACUCUGUUAGAUUUUUAUCUUCAGAUAUUUUGUGUAAUUUCCUAGUUUCUCCUUGUAACCAACUUAGAUAUUUUCUUUUAUAUCUUUUUUUAUAUUUUUUAGGUAACAUCAUAUAUAAGAGGAGAGACAUAAGGAGGAUAUGGAUGUUUUUCAUAGAACACUUGUAAAUUUUUGGUAGUAAGAAAUAUACAAAGCUUUUUGCUCUGCCUUACCUUCUCAAGGGAUGAGUGGCUAGGUUUUCUUGGAGUGAGGGAAGCUAGGUGAAGGACCUGAAUGCAAAGGUGGGAGUUUUCCUUACUUUAAAUGAAAGUAGUUGUUAAACAUUAAUGGUUUUUAUUUUAAGGUUUAGCUUUAAAUCCCUGAAAAACACCUUGAAUGGCCAAUACUUGGUAAGCUUUUUAGAUUCUAUGGAUGCUUAUUGCUAGAUCCAUGGAUGUCUAUUAGUUAUCAUUUACGAGCCAUUGGAAGGUGAUUCAAGGUGAGGGUCUUUAGUGUUUGAAGCCAUUAAUGGGAAGCAAUUACCAUUUUUUCAUGAAUCCUUUGGAUCAAAUCUUAAUUGCUAAAUAUAAAACCGGUUUCGAGAGAUAACCACCAUCCUUUAUGUUAUUAUCCCCAACGCGAGGAGAAGAUCCGAAAUCUUCCUUUUUAUCUAAGGAACCCGAUCCUAGUGACCUAAAGCUCCAAGAUACCUUUUCUUUGUAGUUAACUUCAUUUAUUGUUUUUGCUUAACUUAAAAUCAAUCUUUGCAACCACAAUUCCAUUUUCUUUAAAAGCUAAUUUUUAUAAGGAAAAACACCAUUUUAUUUCCUUCACUAAGUCAACUGUACGAUGAAAACCCAUCCCUGUGGACGAUCCUAGAGCCACUAUACUAUGUUAGCUAUGCUACCCUAGUGUGAGGUGAUUUAGGUUUUAUAAAUUUUUUUGAUAACACCCAUCUGAGCCAGAAUCAAAUGGCACGACUGAACCAGGGACGAAUCAAAUGACGCCGCUACCAAGGAUGGUGCCAAAGUACAUUGACAUGACUUUUGGUGAACACUUGUGAUCUUCACCACAAGUUUGGUGAUUUUUCUUUUACUAAUUUUUUUUAUUUUAGCUUAUCUUUUAUUUAGUUUUUAGUUAACCUUAAAUUUUUCCUAGAAUUGUAUUUCUUUUGUUUUCUUUGUUUUUGUUUCAGUGAUCUUUAGUUGUGCAUGCCCUAUUGGAUAAGAGAUAUUGAGGGAAUACUUGUGAAGAUUGAAACUCCUCGAGAAACUGAGUUAGAAGUGUGCUUGAACAUCAUGGAUGUUCCACCUGAAGACCAGAAUAGCCAACAUGGUUAAGAGGAUAAUUUCAACACAUACCGAUCCAUGAGGAACCGCAUACAUCCACCUUGUAUGAGUGCACCGUCAGGCAUAAUGCCUCCCACUGAGCAGCUAGUAAUCUGACCUCACAUUGUGCCACUCCUACCUACUUUCCAUGGGAUGGAGAGUGAGAAUCCCUACUCGCAUAUUAAGGAAUUCGAGGAGGUUUGUAAUACAUUCCAAGAAGGAGGAGCUUCAAUUGACUUGAUGAGGCUCAAGCUAUUUCCUUUCACUUUGAAGGAUAAGGCCAAGAUUUGGCUUAAUUCUUUAAGGCCAAGAAGUAUCCAAACUUGGAUUGAUUUGUAAGCCGAGUUUCUUAAGAAGUUCUUCCCUACCCAUAGGACCAAUGGUUUGAAAAGGCAAAAUUUGAACUUCUCAGUUAAAGAGAAUGAGAAAUUCUAUGAGUGUUGGGAGAGCUACAUGGAAGCUAUUAACGUUUGUCCUCACCAUGGCUUUGACACAUGGCUCUUAGUGAGCUAUUUUUACAAUGGUAUGUCUUCUUCAAUGAAGCAACUCCUAGAAACUAUGUGUGGAGGAGACUUCAUGAGUAAGAAUCCGGAGGAAGCCAUGGACUUUUUGAGUUAUGUGGCUGAAGUUUCAAGAGGAUGGGAUGAACCAAAUGCUAGAGAGGUGGGAAGAAUGAAGUCUCAACCUAAUGCUAAGGGUGAGAUGUAUGUUUUGAAUGAAGACAUUGACAUGAAAGCAAAGGUUGCAGCUAUGGCAAGGAGAUUGGAAGAGCUAGAAAUGAAGAACAUACAAAAAGUGCAAGCCAUUUCUGAGACAUCAAUGAAAGCUAUGCCUUGUUCCAUUUGUCAAUCUUAUAAGCACCUAGUGGAGGAGUGUCCUACAAUUCCAGCAGUGAGAGAGAUGUUUGGUGAUCAAGCAAAUGUUAUUGAUCAAUUCAAGCCUAAUAACAAUGCUUCAUAUGGCAACACCUACAAUUCAAAUUGGAGGAACCAUUCAAAUUUCUCUUGGAAACGAAAGCCACCUCAAUACACACAACCUACUCAAGCACCUUAGCAAUCCUCGAAUCUUGAACAAGCUAUUGUGAACCUUAGCAAGGUUGUGGGAGACUUUGUGGGAGAUCAGAAGUCCAUCAAUGCUCAACUGAAUCGGAGAAUUGACAGUGUGGAGAGUACAUUGAACAAAAGGAUGGAUGAGAUGUAAAAUGAUCUGUCUCAAAAGAUAGACAAUGUCCAAUACGUAAUCUCAAGGCUUACCAACCUCAACACAGUGUAAGAGAAAGGAAAGUUUCCUUCUCAACCUCAUCAAAAUCCUAAGGGUAUCCAUGAAGUAGAGGCUCAAGAGGGAGAAUCUUCAAAGGUGAGGGAAGUCAAAGUAGUUAUCACCUUGAAGAGUGGUAAAGAGGUUGAUCAACCCACAUCCAAGCCAAAGCAUAAUGAAGAGAGUGUAGCAGAAAAAGAAAAGAGAGGAAAAUAAAGGAAUUAGAAUAGAGAAAAAUACAAAGAAAGAUGACCAUGAGUCUAGUGUGGAUGAAGAGCCCGAGAGGAUGGUGAUCAAGGAAGAUAUGAUGAAGAAACACAUGCCUCCACCUUUCCCCUAAGCUUUGCAUGACAAAAAAAGAACCAAUAAUACAUCAGAAAAUUUUGAAGUAUUGAGGCAAGUGAAGGUCAAUAUCCCUUUGCUAGACAUGAUCAAACAAGUGUCGACAUAUGAAAAAUUCUUGAAGGACUUGUGCACUGUAAAGAGAGGGUUGAAUGUGAACAAGAAAGCUUUAUUGACCGAGCAAGUGAGUUCCAUCAUACAGUGCAAGUCCUAGUGAAGUACAAAGAUCCGGGUUGCCGUACCAUCUCAGUGAGUAUUGGAAGGACUUGUGUGGAGAAAGCUUUGUUGGACUUGGGAGCAAGUGUGAAUUUGCUAUCCUACUCUGUCUAUAAGCAGUUGGGAUUUGGAGAGUUGAAGCCAAUAUCCAUCACUCUAUCUCUAGCGGAUAGAUCAAUGAAGAUUCCAAGAGGGAUGAUCGAAGAUGUCCUGGUUCAAGUUAACAAAUUCUACUAUCCAGUAGAUUUUGUUGUUCUUGAUAUGGAUCCGGUUGUCAAAUGAACUAAUUAUGUUCCUAUCAUACUUGGAAGACCCUUCCUAGCUACAUCAAAUGCAAUCAUCAAUUGUAGGAAUGGAGUCAUGCAACUCACAUUUGUCAACAUGACAUUAGAGCUCAACAUCUUCCAUUUGUACAAGAAGCAUAUCCAUCAGGAGGAAAAAGAAGGUCUAGAGGAAGUGUGAAUGAUUGACACUUUAGUGGAAGAGCAUUGUGAUCGAGAAUGCAAAAAGAUUUAGUUGAGAAUUUUGGGGAUCUUGAUGAAAGGUUACUUGAACCCUCAGAUUUGCUUGCUACCCUACUCCAUUGGAAGAGAAGAGAAGAAAUUCUACCCUUAUUCAAUGAGGAGGAGACGCAAAGAGCUGCAAAGGAGAAACCCCCAAAACUUAUUCUUAAGCCACUACCCACAGAGUUGAAGUAUGUAUACUUGGAAGAAGACAAGAAGUGCCCUAUUGUUAUAUCUUCAACUCUUACCAUUCAUCAGGAGGAUUGUCUACUUGAAGUCCUUAGAAGAUGUAAGAAGACAAUAAGGUGGCUAAUUUCUUAUUUGAAAGGGAUCAGCCCUUUAGUCUGCACCCAUCAUAUUUACAUGGAGGAUGAAGCUAAGCUAAUUCAUCAACCUCAGAGAAGGUUGAACCCUCACAUGCAAGAGGUGGUUCGAGCUGAAGUUCUGAAGCUACUUCAGACCAGUAUUAUUUACCCCAUAUCAAAUAGCCCAUGGGUGAGUCCUACUCAAGUUGCGCCAAAGAAGUCUGGGAUCAUGGUGGUGCAAAAUGAUAAGGGAGAAGAUGUCUCUACACGCCUCACUACAGGUUGGAGGGUGUGUAUCAAUUACAGGAGGUUGAAUGCAGUGAUAAGAAAGGACCAUUUCUCAUUGCCCUUUAUUGAUCAGGUGCUUGAGAGGGUCUCUGGGCUUUUUUUUUUAUUGUUUCUUGGAUGGCUACUCCGGGUACUUUCAGAUAGAAAUUGAUGUUGAAAACCAAGAUAAGACCAUUUUCACAUGCCCAUUUGGAACCUAUGCAUAAAGGAGAAUGCCUUUCGGCUUAUGCAAUGCACCCGCAACUUUCCAAAGAUGCAUGUUAAGCAUUUUCAGUGAUAUGGUGGAGCGUAUUAUGGAAGUCUUUAUGGAUGAUAUCACCAUUUAUGGAAGUGCAUUUGAUGAAUGCUUGGUCAACUUAGAAGCUGUUCUGAACCGAUACAUUGAGAAAGACUUAGUGCUUAACUGGGAGAAGUGCCAUUUCAUGGUACACCAAGGGAUUGUCCUUGGGCACAUUAUCUCCAAGCAAGGCAUUGAAGUUGACAAAGCAAAGGUUGAACUCAUUGUUAAGUUGCCAUCCUCAACAAAUGUCAAAGGAGUAAGGCAAUUCUUUGGCCAUGUCGGGUUCUAUAGGAGGUUUAUCAAGGAUUUCUCUAAGCUUGCAAGGCCUCUUUGUGAAAUAUUGGUGAAUGAUGUUAAAUUCAUAUGGGAUGAUGGAUUUGAAAGGAGUUUUGAAGAAUUGAAGCUAUUUUUGACAACCGUACCAAUAGUGAGGGCUCCCAACUGGCAACUGCCCUUUGAAGUAAUGUGUGAUGUCAAUGAUUUUGCUAUAGGAUUUUUUCUUGGGCAAAGAGAAAAUGGAAAACCUUAUGUGAUCUACUAUGCGAGGAAGGCAUUGAAUGAGGCACAAAGAAACUACACAACCACCGAGAAAGAAUUGUUAGCUGUAGUUUUUGCCUUGGAUAAGUUUCGCGCUUACUUGGUGGGGUCCUUCAUCAUGGUUUUUACUGAUCACUUUGCUUUGAAGUAUCUGUUGACUAAGCAAGAUGCUAAAGCAAGGCUGAUUAGAUGGAUUCUCUUACUUCAAGAGUUCAAUCUCCAUAUCAAAGAUAAGAAAGGAGUGGAGAAUGUGGUAGCAGACCACAUUUCAAGGCUAGCUAUCGCACAUAAUUCCCAUGCUUUGCCCAUUAAUGACGAUUUUCUAGAGGGGUCUCUCAUGUUGGUGGAAGUUGUCCCUUGGUACGCUCACAUUGCUAACUACCUGGUCACGGGAAAAGUUCCAAGUGAGUGGAAAGCACAAGAUAAGAAGCACUUCUUUGCAAAAAUUCAUGCCUACUAUUGGGAAGAGCCAUUUCUAUUCAAGUAUUGUAUGGAUCAGAUAAUAAGGAAGUGCGUUCCUGAAGAAGAGCAACAGGGGAUCCUUAGUCAUUACCAUGAAAAUGCAUGUGGAGGCCACUUUGCUUAUCAAAAGACAGCCAUGAGGGUGUUGCAAUCGGGUUUCUGUUGGCCAUCACUUUUCAAAGAUGCCCACACCAUGUGCAAGAGUUGUGAUCGAUGCCAGAGGCUUGGGAAGUUGACACGCAGGAACAUGAUGCCUUUGAACCCCACUUUAAUAGUUGAUAUUUUUUAUGUUUGGGGCACUAACUUCAUGGGACCUUUCCCUAUGUCUUUUGGCUACUCUUACAUCUUGGUAGGAGUAGAUUAUGUUUCUAAGUGGGUUGAGGCAGUCCCAUGCAAACACAAUGACCAUAGAGUGGUUCUCAAGUUUCUUAAAGAGAAUAUCUUCUCAAGAUUUGGGGUGCCCAAAGCCAUAAUUAGUGAUGGGGGUACUCAUUUUUGCAACAAGCCUUUUGAAACUCUCCUAGCCAAGUAUGGGGUGAAGCAUAAGGUAGCUACACCUUACCACCCUCAAACUCAUGGACAAGUUGAGUUAGCAAACAGGGAGAUUAAAAACAUAUUGAUGAAGGUGGUGAACACAAACAGAAAAGAUUGGUCAGUCAAGCUUCUUAAUUCACUAUGGGCAUAUAGAACAACUUACAAGACCAUUCUCGGGAUGUCUCCUUAUCGCCUAGUUUAUGGCAAAGCAUGCCAUCUCCCUGUGGAAUUGGAAUACAAAGCUUGGUGGGCAAUCAAGAAGCUCAACAUGGAUUUGAGCAGAGCUGGGUUGAAGAGGUUCUUAGACCUUAAUGAGAUGGAGAAAUUGAGAAAUGAUGCCUACAUCAAUUCAAAAAUUGCAAAAGAAAAAUUGAAGAGGUGGCAUGAUCAGUUGAUUUCCCGCAAGGAUUUUCAAAAUGGACAAAGAGUCUUACUUUAUGACUCUAAACUCCACAUCUUUCCGGGCAAGCUGAAAUCAAGGUGGAUAGGUCAUUUUACCAUUCACCAAGUGCAUUCAAAUGGAGUAGUGGAACUACUCAACUCCAACAAUAUCGAGAACUUCAAAGUGAAUGGCCACCGUCUCAAGCCCUUUGUGGAGUCUUUUUCUCACAACAAGGAGAAAUUCAUCCUCCUUGAUCCACAUCAAGCUUAACAAGACCAAUUUUCUUGAUGGACUUAGUCUUUCUAAAGACUAUCGAGUCCAUAACUUUUUGUUUUAUUUUUUAUUUGAGAUUUUUUCGGUAUUGUUACUUGUUUUGUUUUUUAUUUUUCGUUUUAAUUUUAUUUGGUUUGAUUUAACUUAGGUUUUUGAUGAUCAAUUACAGGGGGGAUUUCAAAUAGAGGAAAAACCAAGAUAAUUCGCACACCCUACGAAAAUUUCGCAAGGCAUGCGAAAUUUAUGGCUUAUUUUGCAUGGGGUGAAAAUUUUCGUACAUCUUACGAACCAAUUUCGAACACUUUGCGAAAAUAAACCAACCCUGCGAAAUCAUUUCGAUUACUCUACGAAAUUUUCGUAGAGCAUGCGAAAAAUUUAGCACACCAAACACCAUUUCGCAUACUAUGCAAAAACCUAAGGGGUCUGCGAAACCAUUUCGCACCUCCAAAUCCAUUUCGCACAUUGUGCGAAAACCAAGAGGCGCUGUGCGAAAAUGAAAAGUCGCCCUGUCAUCCCUUUUUAAACCCCUCGAGCCCUAAAAUCUCCAUUUCGCAAGCACCCCUGUCCUUGCGAAUCCCUCAUUUUCCUCUACUACCUUGCAACCUCGUCCCUUUCCAUUUGAUAUUGUGCCCCGCGCACAUCUCAUUUCAGAGACUCGCACUCCGCGCCCCCUCAAAGCAUGGACUCGAGACCCACCUUCCAUUUCCGACGUGGCACGGACCCAAGGAGCCCUUUCUGCCCCUUCACUAAGACACACACCAAGGCAGAAAGCCUCCUUUGCUCAAGUGCCUAGUGAUUCUCCAUCUUAGGCCUCAGAGGCCUCGGAGGCCCCGUGGAUUCCACCUUCCGAGGGUAGAGCAGCCAUUGGUCCUUCCUCUUCUACUCCUUAGCGUAGAUACGAGACGAGGAGACCACCUACUACACAAGGGGCGACUACUUCGAGCCUUGAGAAUUCAGUACGAUGCCUUCCUGCCAAGAGGGUCAAGACUUCAGGUCCAAGUGAGUCAUCCAGAGCUUCAUAGCCUAAGCCUCCUGUAGAUUCCAAGGUUCCUACUGACAUAUCACCGGAGUCUAUUAUCAGAAGCCCGAUGCUCAUAGCACCGCCCAUUGAGGGCAACUCAGAUUAUAGAGCGAGAUCUUUCCACUUGGAGCUAUAUUUUGAUCAGGAGGCCAUACGACAGCAGCCUGAGCUCCGAGACUCUUAUGGCUUACUGCAGAGGUACCAUCUUGAGGAACUUAUGACUCCUCGUGAGUUUUUUUAUCCCAGAGUAGCACUAAACUUUUACCAGUCCAUGACUACUCGUGGCGUCCCGAGUCCUACCACGAUUCACUUCACCAUUGAUAGACGUCAUGGUAUCCUCAAGGCCAGACAUAUUACAGAGGCUCUACAAAUUCCUUUCGAGCUAGAGGAUCCAUCUGUUUUUCGCUAAUGGUCCCCAGUAUCUCAGAGGGACAUGGUCCGUAUUUUAUCUAGGGGAACAUCUACAGAUUCGAUCUUUCUACGGAAGGAGCUUCGACCUGGGAUGCUCCUCUUAGAUGUGGUGCUAUGCUCCAACCUCUUUCCCUUACAACAUUCGGUACAUAGGUGAUGAGCUAUUUUGGACGCUUUAUUCCGUAUAUCAGAGGGCUUCUACUUUGGCCCGCACCACUUGAUCAUGGUCUCCCUCAUCCACUUUGAGGAGAAGGUUCAUAGGAAGAAGCUUCAGAGGGUGGACACCAUUCCAUUACUAUUCCUGAGGUUACUUUGCCAGGUCUUGGAGUACAUGGGCUUUCCUACUGAGCCUCGGCUCGAGCUUUGCCGCCUUUGUCGAGAGUGAUCCACUCUCGACAAAUGGAAUUAGUUGGCGGGCUAUUCUGCACCUCCAGGAGCCCCUCCCAUGGUAGCACCUCCAAUGUCCCCACAGGCAAAGUAGGGCGAGCUCCCGGCAAAGACUGUACCACCAAUGCCCACACUUGAGGCUAUUUCUGCUGCUCUGCCUAUGACUCCUACUGUUCCACCAGUUGGUCCUUUUACAUCCGAGCCUUCCAUCACCAUCUCGGCUUCGGAGUUUCGCGCCCUUGUGCAUACCUUUCAGACACUCACCACCACACAUACUCCUCUCUUCUAGCAAAUGGUUGAGAUGUGUGCCCAUCAGGACCGGAAGACUACUAUACUCUGCCAAAUUCAGCAGCACCUAAGACUUUUGCCUCAACCUCAACCUAACCAUCCCAUAUCAUCAGAGCCUCUAGCUCCAACUGAGGAUACUAUUCCACCUGAGAACACUACCACAGUAGAGGUCCGGUUUCCACCACCUUAAGAGGCCACCACAGCUACAUCAGAGGAUGUGUCAUCUCCACUUGAGGCUCCCACUACUUGAUCAUAGGACAUAUCUUUAUCUUAUUGUAUUUACAUAUUAUAUUACUAGAGAUUUGUCCUUGUUUUGAUACUUUAUAUUCUGGGAUUGGAUGUAUUGCCUGAUGAUAUCUCAAUUGUACUUUCUCAUAUUAAUAUAUAGACAUCAAUUUUUUUUAGUAUACUUAGCAUUUUUCUAUUUCCUCUACUCAUUACUCUUUUGUUUUUUUUUACUCAUGUGGUUUCUCUUAUACAACUCAGACUCCAUUUCACUCAGGAGGUACCACUUCCUCCCUUUAUUUUCAAUUGCUCUUGAAAUAUUGAGUGCAAUGUUGAUCUUGGUUGGGGGGAGAGUUGAGGAAGGAAGUUUUGUUAAUAAUGCUAGGUUAAUUUGUUAAUUUAGUUACUUUCUGCUUAAUUUUAAAAGUUUUCACUCUACUUUCCAUGGUUAUUAAGGAAAAAUUCUCAAAAUGAAAUGGGAGAAAUCGAAUUCUUGCAUUUUUACUUGAAUCUUAGAAUUUGUAUCAUGCUUAUUAAAGUUGAUGAAUUAUUGAAACUCCUAUUGAAUUCAACCUUAUUUUUUCCACUUUAAUCUUACCACACACGGUGCACAUUAGGUUCCAGUUAUAAGAUAAAAAACUAUCUCACCCCCUAAACUUAGAAAAAUUUACACUUGGUACCUUUGACAUCGUUUUAAUAGUGUUGGGACACCUUAUAAAAGGCCAAUGAGCCUUUAAAAAAAAAAAAAAAAAAAAAAAGAGAAAGAACAAAGUAUUGCACUUGCCUUGAAACCUGAGCAAGAUCCGAGGGGUAUACAGUGAAAGUCUUUAAAACCUGGUGCCCUAAGCCUUGAUUGGUUGGGAGUCACCGACCUCAAUGCUCGUUAUAAGGGUGAAUAGGUGGAGUUUAACAUAUUGUAGGUGCUUGGGUAUUGAAUUUCAAUCUCAAAAGUCCGGGAAAAAAUCUAAGGAGUUAGUGGUCAAAAGAUCCUUAAAGCUUGAUGCCCUAAACCUUGAUUGGUUGAGAGUCAUUGAUGGAUCCCCGCUACAUGGACAUUUUAGAAAACAAUACCUUUAGCAUUGCACGCCUACAAUGAAAAAAAAAUGUGAAAUAAAAGAGGUGCGUUCUUAGCCUAUUGGAGGUUGGUCAGUUUGCUAAAGUUUGAGAAAUCUAGGUUGGGGGGAGAGAAUAGUCCGACAUACUAUAAUAAAAAACUAAUAACCUUAACACUUAGAUUUUUGUGGAAGAGUAAGGAUUGGACCUUUAGGGGUGGAAAUUCUUUUGAUGCUUAAAUUUGCAUAAUGCCUACUCUUUAUAAAUUAUGAUUAGGCAAGAGAUUUGAUGACUCUUGUUCAAAGUUGGGUUUUUCCUCUUUGAUGUUCCAUGAGAGAGUAUAAUCCUCAUCAUGCCACUUGAAAUCUUUUUGGAGUGAUUAACAUGAUUUUGUAAAUUAUUUUACUGUCUAUUUUUCUUUAUCUCUCUUUUAUUGCUAAUGGACUAGCAAUAUGUCAGUUGGGGGGAGUGAUUACUACUCAAAAAGUACUCUUUUAUAGCUUGAAACUAACUGUUUUAAACACUUUUGAGUAGGUGUUAAUACAUUUUAACUCAAUUGGCACAUUAAGGAACCUAACAAGGGUUACUAAUAAGUUUUUGGCAAGUUUUGGUGUUUUUGGUAGCUAUUUGAUCAUUGAAACAAGCCAAGAAUGAGGGAGAAUUUUGUGAAGUCCAUAGCAAUGCAAGUUAAAGCUCAAAUACAUGAAGAAUCCAAGCUUUGAAGCACUUCAUAGCCCUUUGCGAAGCCAAUCAGAGAUGCAAGGAAGAAAACCAGAGGAAAAAAUCCAACAACCAGCAUUUUCGCAUGGCUGUGCGAAAUUUUGCACACCAUGCGAAACCACAAGAAGUAGCCAAAGAAUUUUGCACACCAUGCGAAAUUUCGCAUGGUAUACGAAAUCUUCCUAUGCACCAACUCCGUUAUAUUUUUAUCUUCAGAUAUUUUGUGUAAUUUCCUAGUUUCUCCUUGUAACCAACCUAGAUAUUUUCUUUUAUAUCUUUUUUUUAUAUUUUUUAGGUAACAUCAUAUAUAGGGGGAGAGACAUAAGGAGGAUAUGGAUGUUUUUCAUAAAACACUUUUAAUUUUCUGGUAGUAAGAAAUAUACAAAGUUUUUUGCUCUGCCUUACCUUCUCAUUUUGUUUUCACCUAUCUUUCUAGCCAAACAACCUCUGAGAAUGAUUUCUCAGGGGAUGAGUAGUUAGGUUUUACGUUUCUUGGAGUGAGAGAAGCUAGGUGAAAGACCCAAAUGCUAAGGUGGGAGUUGUCCUUGCUUUAAAUGAAAGUAGUUGUUAAAUAUUAAUGGUUUUUAUUUUAAGGUUUAGCUUUAAAUCCCUUAAAAACACCUUGAAUGGCCAAUACUUGGUAAGCUUUUCGGAUUCUAUGGAUGCUUAUUGCUAGAUCCAUGGAUGUCAUUAGUUAUCAUUUAUGAGCCAUUGGAAGGUGGUUCAAGAUGAGAGUCUUUAGUGUUUGAAGCCAUUAAUGGGAAACAAUUACCAUUUUUUCAUGAAUCCUUUGGAUAAAAUCUUAAUUGCUAAAUAUAAAACUGGUUCGGGAGAUAACCAUCCUUUAUGUUAUUAUGCCCAAUGCAAGGAGAAGAUUUCGAAUCUUCUCAUUUGUCUAAGGAACCCGAUCCUAGUGACCUAAAGCUCCUAGAGACCUUUUCUUUGUAGUUAACUUCAUUUAUUGUUUUUGCUUAACUUAAAAUCAAUCUUUGCAACCACAAUUCCAUUUUCUUUAAAAGCUAAUUUUUAUAAGGAAAAGCACCAUUUUAUUUCCUUCACUAAGUCAACUGUAUGAUGAAAACCCAUCCCUGUGGACGAUCUUAGAGCCACUAUACUAUGUUAUCUAUGCUAUCCUAGUGUGAGGUGAUUUAGGUUUUAUAAAUUUUGUUGAUAACACCCGUCUGAGCCAGAAUCAAAUGGAACCACUGAACCAGGGACAAAUCAACAGCCUAUAUGGGAGGGACACAAGUUUAAUUGAUUUGCAUUUCAGCGUUAUAGAUAAGUAUGUUUUGGAAGAUUUGUUCUGGAAAUACUGCACCAAGUACGAUUCUUUUUCUCUUGAGUGAGUCCAUUUGCAUGCCAAUUAACGAGUUGAAAAGUAGGAGCACCUACCUCGUGCUCAUGGAACCGAAUGUCAGUGAAGUGGGGCUCCUUUUAGCCUCUUGUGUUUCUGUUCCAACCAAGGCGGCGUAGGGAAAAACAACAAUAUGUCUGUGCUAAAUAUCAACGCAUGAUAGAUGUUUUUUUUUUUUUUUUUGGUAUGUCAAGGCUAACGAAUGAAAUGCAUUAGCUUGUUUUGUGACUAUAACUGCAAAUGUCCAAAUUGGAGUAUCUCCAUUUCUCACUUCGGAUGGUUAACUUUAUAAACAAGAUAUAGGAAACAUGUGAACAUCUUGAGGAACAAUUCAAAUUAUUCAUUAGAAGUCCUGGGUUAAGUUCCAAGAUUUAAAUCAGACCCUUCUAGCAGCUUCAAGGGUACUUAGCAACCUAUAACAUAUUAAUGAAGAUUUAGGAUUUAGACUCCGGAAUACAAAUAAAUAUGUAUCUCAUGCUUUGACUAGCUUCCCUACAUAUGCAUAAAAUGGAGAUGACCCAAAAAAAAUAGCAGAAUCUAGCUUCCCUACAUAUGCACAAAAUGGAGAUGACCCAAAAAAUAGCAUAAUCGCCUUAGUUUCUGUGGUUAAGGUGAUUCUCCGCUUAAUAUCCACAUUGACUCAUUAUGCAAAAUCAACUGAGCUAAUUUUAUUUAUUUAUUUAAUGUCAAAUAGGAACUCCUAAUUAACUGAUUACUGUCGAAAAGUGCUAUUUUGUAGACCUAAUUAUAAGGGUUUUAAGCACCUUUGAGUAGUAAUCAUAUUCAUUUAACCUAAUUAAUUCAUUAAGCUCCUUAGUAAUUAGUUCUAACCAUUUUUAGUGGCAAGUUUACAUGUUUUUCAUCAGCUUAUGAACCAAUUCAAGCAUGCCAAUUGAUGGAGGAGCUACUUGGGCGAGUUAAGCAAGGAUUUUGGACGUUUACAGGCUUGAAUUUCAAGUGGAAACACGAGCACAAGCAAUGGGAACACCAUUUCGCAAGGGGAGGCAAUUCACCUUGCCAAAUGACCAAUUUCGCAAGGGGAUUUUCCUCAUGGUGCAAAAUUUGGUCAUUUCGCACCAUGAAGAAACCACCUUGCAAAAUUUCGCAAGGUGGAUUUAGGCACCUUGCGAAAUGCCAAAUUUCACAAGGUGGCUUUUCACCUUGCGAAAUUUGGACCUUUCAUCUUCCCCCCUUGCGAAAUGCCUUUGAAAUCCCCUGUUUUGAGACGCUGUUGAUGAUAUUCCACUGCCGGUUCUCCAAGAUAUUUUGCUUGACUUUUAGCUUUAUAAAUACCUAUUUUACCCUUGUAAUCAACCAAUGAAAAGGUUGCUUUUGUAAUAGCUCUUGUAAUUUAGCUUUUUAUUGUCUUUAAAUAGAGGUGAAGAGCCUCAGACACGAUCAUCUUGUAACCUGUAACUUUAUAAGUUAUAAGAGCACUUUUGUUCAUACGCUUCUUUUCUCUUUUCUUUCUCAUUUUCUUAGUAGCCAAACAUCCUUGGAGGAUGAAAUCCCCAAGGAUGAGAGGCUAAAACCUUUUAGUUUCUUGAAGUAAUGGAUGCCAUGUGAAGCUCCCGUGUCAGGAUGGAGAUUUCCAAGCCAUAAAUGUAAGUAGCUGAGCGUCAUAAAUGUUUUCAUUCAAAGUAAAGCUUUUAAUCCCUCUGACUUGCUUUGAAUGGCCAAUACUUGAUAACCUUUUGGUCUCAAUGGAUUCUUAUUGUUAGAUCCACUGACGUUCAUUAGUUAUCUCCUACGAGCCAUUGUAUUGCAAGUCGAGGAGAUGACCUAUACCAAUAAAAGAGCAUUUAUGAGGUUCAACUACCCUUUUUGUAAGUUUUCAAGGACUAAAACUCAGUUGUUAAACUCAUACCGGUUCGAGAAGUAAGCAUCACCUUAGUUGCUUCCCCAACUCGAGGUGAAAAGUCCCAAAAUCUCCAUUUUUACACAGUGAGUUAAGCAUGGCUAUCCAAAGCUUUAAGAAACUUCUUUUUCCAUCUUUUAACCUAUUUUCAUGUUAGUUUAGUUUACAACACCUUCAUCUUUUUAUGUUUUCAUCUUAACCUAAUUUUUAUUAAGAAAAGUUCACUCCAUCCUCCGAACUUCACCAGUUAAAGUAAAAACCCUUCCCAGUGUUCGAUCCUAGAGCCACUAUGCUAUAGUAGCUUUGCUACUUUAGUGUAAGGACCUUAGGUAUAAAUUUUGUUGAUACCCUUACAUGCCAAGCUACCAAGAGUCGGGUUAUCAUUAACCUAACCAUUGGCCUGUGUAAAUUGAUUUCACAUGCACAAUGUUGUAGUAGAAGUCCAUAUUUUGAAUUUUAUUUUUGUAAAGGUAAGGAAAAUGAAGCAUUGUGUAAUUAUAAAAAUAACUUCAUUGGAAUUCACAAGGUUCACCCAAAAUGGAGCUACAUCUGUAUUCUAUCCUACAGUAGACUAUAUAGAUUGUACAAUAGUAAAUUGCAAAUACAAUUAAUAAGUCUUGUGCUUCCUUACUAAUAAUCCUUUGACAUGAACAUUGCAGCACUAAGGUCCUCUUGGGAAGACACCUUGCACCCAUGAGAGCACUAAGAGGAAGCAAGGCAGAGUCAUGGGUGCAAUGUCAUGACUUGUUGUUGCACCAAGAGAGGCUUGGUGAUGCCAUGGUGUUGCAGUAGCAAGAAUGUUGCCUUGGCAGGGACACGAUCUAGGGAUAGAUGCCAAGAAAGGCUUAGCACUCACAUGAGUUGCACAAAGAUGAAUGUAAUAGAGCAUCAGAGAGACGUCUUGGCAAGUAAAUGAAUGGAUCCAAGAGACAACAACAUGAGGAGUUUCAAAUGGAUAAGGAAUGACUCAAAGACAUUUGAAAGCUACAAGUUGGAUUCUAAUUACGAUUGCAAUUUGAGUUUGAGUAGGAGUUUAGAUUUUGAUUGUAAUUGUAGUAUGAGUUGGACUAGGAUUGCUUAUCCUUAGUCAAUAUAGGAGCGGUUCGUGUCACCCUAUGAAAAGAGUUUGAGUAGGGACUAGGAUUGCUUACUCCUAGUCAAAUAUGGAGUAGGUGGUGCCACACCUAUAAAAAAAAGGGACAACAUGAGAGAGAGAGAGAGAGAGAAAGAGAGAGUGAAUUCACUAAAGAUAUUGUGGGAGUUUUGCUUUGUUACGUCUUGUAUUAUUACUUAGAAUAGGAAUAAAAUACAAGUUGGGGCUAGAGCCCCAUAAUUAAUCUCGUGUGCCUUUGUGGUUAUUCUUUAUUUGUCAUCUCGUGUGGAUUGGAUUAGGUUGACUUAGAGGGCUUCUAAGCACCACCUUUGUGGGUUAUUAUUUAUUUUCCAUCUCUUGUGGAUUAGAUUAGGUUGACUUAGAGGGCUUCUGAGCACCACCUUUGUGGGUUAUUAUUUAUUUUCCAUCUAUUGUGGAUUAGAUUAGGUUGACUUAGAGGGCUUUUAAGCACCACAUUUGUGGGUUAUUCUUUAUUUUCCAUAUCGUGUGGGUUGGAUUAGGUUGACAAGGAGAAAAAUUAUGUGGGAAAUUUGUGUUGGGACACUUACCAUAACCAAGUAAAAUCUACCAAGUCCUUUGUAAUAUCUUCAACAAAUAUUUUAGACUAGUUCUUUCAGUUAGUGUAAAGGAGGAAGAAGUGGUAUUGAUUCUAGAAAUAGGGUGUGUGUAUUUGAACUACAAUCCUUAUGAUCCUUAGGUCUCUAAACCUUCGUGAUGGGCUCCCUGACAUUUCAUAGGUUGUGCUACACAUGCGUUUGAAAUUUAGAGUGCGUUUGACAGUGAUUCCGGGAAGUGUUUUUGGCCUUUCUUACACUUGAAAAUUUUUAUUUUUCAAGUAUUAGAAAUGCUACAAACACUUUUGAAAAUUACUGUCAAACACACUCUUAGGAGCGCACAUAUAUAGUAGAAAACUAGAAAUUGUGGUUUUUUUAGGAUUUACUGUAAUGUCAUUAGGAGGGUAGUAAGUUGAAAUUGAGUAUGAACAAAUAUUUCUUUCUUUGGGAUGUUCUUCUAGUAGGUGCUGAUGAAACUGUUCUUUCUACUGCCAAUGUCACAUAUCAGCCAGAAAUUGAAAAUUUCAGUCAAGGUGUCCUCUGUUUUAGUGGUGAGGAAAGCUAGAAAUUUUAAGGUGAAGUUUUGUUAAAAACCUUAAGUAGCUGGGAUAUCAGGCCUGUUUUGCUUGAAAAAAAAAGUUGCAAGAUAACUCAUAUGCCAAACAGGUUCUGAUAUUGUGAAUCUAUCGGCAGACAUCAGUAAUCUCAUCUUCUGAGAUGGAUGUUGGGGGUGCAUGUGGUGGUGGAGGGGCAAGGUUUCAUUUGGUUUAUUUUGUUGAUGGAUAUUGUCUAGCCACCUGCGCCAAGUUUGAGGGGUGGUGGGUUGUGAUGACCCUACAAUUACUAUUAAUUUCUUCAUCUUUUACCGAUUAAAGUGUCCGAACAGUCGAAGUUACCCUUAUGCAUGUCAACUUGAUCACUUACCUCUUCAAUGGAGUUUAUGCUGGUUCAUUUAGGAACUGAUUUUUAUUGUUAUGUAUUAUAUGCUGAUGUUUAGGUCUCUCCAUCAUCACUAUAUACAAAAAUUCUAGGUUGAUACUAUAGGUUGAGAUUUAUUUUUUAAAUAAAAAAUAAUAAAAAUAAAAAUUAUGGUGAUGUUUAGUUGUUUUAUGGAAAAUUUUAACAAGUAAAAGUUAUUUUUGGGCAAGUUUUCAAACAAAAAGAAAAGUAAAAGUUGUUUUGACAAAAACAUAUAGAAAAAAAAAUCAUAGAAAAUAAAUAAUUUCCCCAUAUUCUAACUUUUUUGAAUUUUUCUCAAUGGGCAAAGGAAUAUCAAAUCAAGUUUGAGUAGGAUUUCUUAAUUUUUAAAAUAACUUACAAUUAAAAAAUUUUGGUGUUUUCAUUUUUGGACAAUUUUUUAUUAAGCAAAUGGACUCUGAGUCAUGCAAGAGAUAUGGUUCAUUAACCGGUCGAACAAUUUUUUUAAAUUAAUUUAAAAGUCAAAUACAUAAUCAAUUUCACAAAAUUUAUAAACAAAAAUAGGUUUAGAGAAGAUCUACACAUAAUUUUACUUUUCUAAUUUUAUUUUAUUUUAUUUUUUGUUGGAAAAUAGUCUUCAAAUCAUGUAAGAUUUAAUAGGUUAAAUUUGUUAACAAUAAAUUUUAAAUUAUAAAAUAUAAUCUGGAACUCAAAAAUCAAUUCAAGUAAUGCUAAAAAAAAAUCAAAUUUGGUAUAGAAUGACUUUGUAAAUUUUUUUACAAAACAAAUGAAUUUUAAAUCAAGUGAGAUUUAAUGCAUUAGAUUUUUAUCAAAUAUAGUAAUUUUAAAAAUAAAUUUGGAACUCAACAAUAGACACAAUAAAUACCAAAAAAUAAUGAACCAAAAUUGGUUUGGAAUAACUCCACAACCUUUUUUUUUUUUUUUUGGUGCACACGAAUUUUCUUACUAGGUAUAUUGCUUUCAAAUUGAGAAAGAUUUACCAUUUAGAUUUUUUUUUAAUGAGUUUAAUGGUAUUUUAAAAUAAUUCAAAAUUUAAAAAAUUGACUAAUUAAUAUUAUAAAUUGAUAAACCAAGACUAUUUCAAAAUGCAUUGGGGGCUAAGGGGGUUGAAAAUAGGGACAAUGGGAUGGGUUUGGGACAUGACACUCAUAUCUCAUUUCCAUUCCAAUUACACAGUUAUCUCCCAUCCUUAUCCCAAACUUGUGUUGGAGCAAGUUGAUUUGUUCCCAUCUUUGUUGACGAAAUGACUAAUAACCUCAUCCCCUCCUUAUCUUAGAUGUACAUUUUGUCAAAUUUGAUCAGGUAUGAUUGAUCCAAGCCCUAACCCUAAUUGGUAAUGAGUGAAUACUACACCUAAUUGCAUUCUUCUUUCAUUGCAAAAUAAUGAGAUUAUAAUAAUCUAGCAAAUAAGAAAAAAUAGUAUGGAAGUUCAAAUUAACACCAUAACUAUCAAUAAUUUUAAGCUUAUAGAUGACUUAAAUGAUUAAAAACUAAUGCAAAAUCCUAAAAAAAAUAAAAAUCAUAUAAAGAAUUCACAAGAGAACAGAAUGAACAAAAACCAAAUAUGAACAUGGGUCAACAUUAGUUAUGGAUUUGGAUUCCUUUCAAGGCCAAUCUUUGAACCAAGACUUCAUCAAAUCAACUACUUCAAAGGCUUUUGUGUUCUUCUUGGGUUGUGCUCUCAAACAAAGACUUCGAGGUGAUGUUCUAGAUGAUUGAAUUACACAUAUUUAGGGUGGAGAGAUUGGAGAAGCUUGAAGAUGCCAACGAUGGGUACAAUUGAGUGGUCAAUAAGAACAAUGUAGCCUAUGACUAGUUUGAUGUCAUGGUACAAGAGUUUUAGGCAUUGAGGUUAAAGCAAGAGCAACAUGGAAUUGAUUUCGGAGUCUUUCAGUUAGUGUAAAGGAGGAAGAAGUGGUGUUGAUUCUAGAAAUAGGGUUUUAAGUGGUGCGUGAUUACUACUCAAAAAGUGCUAUUUGAUAGCCUUUAAUUAAUCCUUUUUAACACUUUUGAGUAGUAGUUUAGGCCUUUUAACUCAAUUGGCAUGUUAAGGAUCCUUUAAAGCAAUUUUGAUCACUUUGUGCAAGUUUUGGUGUUUUUGUUAGUAUUUUGAUCACCAAAGCAAGUCAAGAAUGAGGAGAACUAUGAGGAAUCAUGGGCAAAGCUUAGAAUUCAAUUGCCAAGAGUGAAUCCGGAUUGCAAGGAGAAAAAGCAAAGAGAAUCUGUCAUGAAGCCUAUUCUUGAUGACAGUCGUAGCAGCCACUUUUGGAGCACUUUCUGAAGUCCAAAUGAUGCAAGCUAUAUACCAUUUCAAAGAUCAGGAAGUCAACAAUCCAAUGCUUCAAACGGUGCGCGAUUCGGAGUUGAAACGAAGAAGUUGCAGCCAUUACAAGCCAGUCACUCUAAAGUGUUGCGGAAUCAGCCUUUUGUUGCGAGAAUUUCGCAGCACUUUUGUACAGUAAGGUGUUUCUCCUUCUGACGAUGCACGAACCAUGCCGCGAGAGGGAAGCUAGGAACUUCAAGAUGGAAGCCAACUUUGCAGCCUGGUGAAGAUAGCUUGGUCUUGCGAAAUAAUUUCGCAGCCCUCUUGGGUGUCUGCGAAAUUUCGCAGGCACCACUUUUUUCCUGCGAAAUGGCUCCGGAAGCCUCCCGAAGCUUGCUACCGACAUUGGGAGAUAUUUUCCAUUAGAUUUUUGUUGUCUAAAUUCCAAAAUACUCCUUGUAAACCACCAAUUACAUGAUUCCUUAGUUUUUAAGUUAGUAAAAAGACCAAAUAUCUAUGUAAUAAUUAGUUUUAUAUUAGUUUGCUAUAAAUACCUCUCGGGAGCAUGUUCUCAGAGAGGAGUUCCUUCUGUAACCAUUUUGGUAAGCAAGUAAAGUCUUUUCUUUCUACUGCCUUACCUUCUCACUUUGUAUUUUCAUUUUAUUUCUAAGUUAUGAAUUCUCUGAGGAGCUUUCCCCAGAGAAUGAGUAACUAAACCUCCAAUUCCUUGGAGCUAAGGUUGCCGGGGAAGGUUCCAAGUGCAAGAAUGCAAAGCUCUGUGGUUUUAGCUAGUAAUGAAGAGGAAGUGAAAUCCUUUAGUGAUUUCAAUGUUUUUAGUUAACUUAAAACACCUUGGAGUCACCUGGGCCAACACUUGGUAAGGCAAGUGAUUUCCAACCGUGGAAAUGCACUAGUUUACCCCUUGCGAGCCUCUGGUAGGUGACUUCAAGGUAGGAUUUUCUGGAAUUACCAACACUUGGUAAGCUUUUGGACUCCUAGGAGACAUCCAUUAGUUAUCUCUUGCGAGUUUGUGAAGGGGAAUCCAAGGUUAAAGAUCACCUUGAAUGGUAAGUGCUCGUGAGAGGCAUGAACCAUUGCAAGUUGUAUCAGUGAGAGAAUUAAAGUGAAAUCUAAUUGAAGGAGUCUCUGUACAUCACCGGUUAGAGAAUUGACUAUAAGUUGAAUCUCUAAUGCGAGGAAAUGAACCAUCUGACCGGAGCUAUGUCUUUUGCAUGAGGAACCACCCCAGUGAACCUAAAUCUCCAAGGAAUGCUUUUCUUCCUAAAUUAUUCCAAACUUCUGUUAAGUUAGUUAGUUUAAGUCUAAACCUUUACCAAUCAAACUUUGUGUUUUAUUUCUUAAGCUAACCGUGAAAUGAAACAAAACCAAUUCACUUGGAAUUGGUAUCCUUGAUUGCUUGCAAAUCAUUCCCAGUGAACGAUCCUUAGAGCCACUAUACUAUAGUAGCUUUGUAUUUGCUACCCUAGUGUAUGGUGUUAUAGGUAUAAAUUUUGUUGAUCACUUCCUCAAUCAAGGAACACCAGCUGAACACAAAUCAGCUGAGACACCAAUUGGGCAUGAGUCAAAUGGCGCCGUUGCCGGGGAAUGAGUGUCAAGAUCAUUGUGAUACCAUUUUUGAGCACUUGUGAUUUUCAUCACAAGUUGGUAAAGUUUCUUUCACUUUACUAAUUUUCAUUCUCUCUUUGUUUAUUUACAAUCUAAGUUUAUCUUUUUAAAAUUUAGUCUAGUUUAAUUUUGCUAUUGUAGCCUUGUUUCUCUUGUUGUCCUCUGUUCUUGUUGUCCUCUGUUUUCAUUUUAGUUGCAGCUGAAUACUAGUUGUGUAUGCCAAAGUGGAUACGAGACAUUGGAGGUAGGCUUAUUAAGUGUGAUACACCUCAGAGAGGAGAAUUGGAAGUAAUCUUGAAUAUCAUGGAGGCUGCACCUGAAGAUCAGCAUAGUCACCAAGGUCGUCAAGACAAUCUCAAUGAAUUCAGAUCAAUGAGGGACCGUAUGCAUCCACCUCGUAUGAGUGCACCAUCAUGUAUAGUGCCCCCUACAGAGCAACUAGUGAUCAGACCAUAUCUUGUUCCACUUCUACCAACUUUCCAUGGGAUGGAAAGUGAGAAUCCGUAUGCACACAUCAAGGAAUUUGAAGAUGUUUGUAAUACAUUCCAAGAGGGAGGAGCUUCAAUUGAUUUGAUGAGGCUUAAGUUAUUUCCUUUUAAUUUAAAGGAUAAGGCCAAAAUUUGGCUUAAUUCUUUAAGGCCAAGGAGUAUCCGCUCUUGGACUGAUUUACAAGCUGAAUUCCUCAAGAAAUUUUUUCCUACUCAUAGAACAAAUGGCUUGAAAAGGCAAAUUUCAAACUUCUCAGCUAAAGAGAAUGAGAAAUUCUAUGAGUGUUGGGAAAGAUACAUGGAAGCUAUAAAUGCUUGUCCUCACCAUGGCUUUGAUACUUGGCUACUGGUGAGUUAUUUUUAUGAUGGUAUGUCCUCCUCAAUGAAGCAACUCCUCGAGAAAAUGUGUGGAGAAGAUUUCAUGAGCAAAAAUCCAGAGGAAGCUAUGGAUUUCUUGAGCUAUGUAGCUGAUGUUUCAAGGGGAUGGGAUGAACCAACUAAAGGAGAAGUGGGAAAGAUGAAGUCUCAGUUGAAUGCUUACAAUGCAAAGGCUGGGAUGUAUACUUUAAAAGAGGAUGAUGACAUGAAAGCAAAGUUGGCAGCUAUGACAAGAAGAUUGGAGGAGCUGGAGCUGAAAAGAAUGCAUGAAGUGCAAGCUGUUGCUGAAGCACCAGUGCAAGUGAAGUUGUGUCCCAAUUGUCAAUCGUUUGAACAUUUGGUAGAGGAAUGCCCUGCAAUUUCAGCUGAAAGGGAAAUGUAUAGAGAUCAAGCAAAUGUUGUUGGACAAUUCAGGCCCAAUAACAAUGCUCCUUAUGGAAAUACCUACAAUUCAAGUUGGAGGAAUCAUCCAAAUUUUUCAUGGAAGGCCAGAGCAACUCAAUACCAACAGCCGGAUCCACCAUCUCAACAAUCUUCAAGUAUUGAACAAAUAAUAGCUAAUCUCAGCAAGGUAGUGGGAGAUUUUGUGGGAAAGCAAGAAGCCACCAAUGCUCGAGUGGAUCAAAGAAUGGACAGAGUGGAUCAAAGAAUGGACAGAAUGGAGAGUAUGUUGAACAAAAGAAUGGAUGGAAUGCAAAAUGAUAUGAAUCAAAAAUUUGAUAACAUCCAAUAUUCAAUUUCAAGGCUUACAAAUUUGAAUACACUGCAAGAAAAGGGAAGAUUUCCUUCUCAACCUAACCAAAAUCCCAAAGGUGUCCAUGAAGUGGAAAGCCAUGAGGGAGAAUCAUCACAGGUGAAAGAUGUGAAAGCUUUGAUCACUCUAAGGAGUGGUAAGAAAAUUGAGCAGCCAACACCCAAGCCACAUGUUGAGAAAGAAGAAGAGAUGAAGAAAGGGAAGGAAAUGGAAGAUAAAGGCAGUGAGAUCAGUGAAGAAAAGAAGGACUCUGAUGCAACAAUGAAAGUAAUUCCAGAGAAGGAGCUUCUGAAGGAAGAAAUGCUGAAGAAAUCAACUUUUCCACCUUUUCCUCAAGCAUUACAGGGGAAAAAGGGGGUUAGAAAUGCAGCUGAAAUCCUAGAAGUAUUGAGGCAAGUGAAAGUUAAUAUUCCACUGCUGGAUAUGAUCAAACAAGUUCCAACGUAUGCAAAAUUCCUAAAGGACUUGUGUACUAUCAAAAGAGGGUUGACUGUAAACAAGAAAGCCUUCUUGACUGAGCAAGUAAGUGCAAUCUUACAGUGUAAGUCUCCUUUGAAGUACAAAGACCCUGGAAGUCCUACCAUUUCAGUCAUGAUUGGAGGAAAGGUAGUGGAGAAAGCCUUGCUAGACUUGGGAGCAAGUGUGAAUUUGCUUCCAUAUUCUGUCUACAAGCAACUGGGACUUGGAGAGUUGAAGCCAACAGCAAUCACUUUGUCUCUGGCAGAUAGAUCAGUGAAAAUUCCAAGAGGGGUAAUUGAGGAUGUAUUGGUUCAAGUAGAUAAUUUCUACUAUCCUGUAGAUUUUGUUGUUCUUGAUACAGAUCCUACUGUAAAGGAAGCUAAUUUAGUUCCUAUCAUCCUUGGAAGGCCAUUUCUUGCAACUUCAAAUGCAAUCAUCAACUGUAGAAAUGGGCUUAUGCAACUCACUUUUGGUAACAUGACACUGGAUCUAAAUAUUUUCUAUAUGUCUAAAAAGCAAAUCACUCCAGAAGAAGAAGAGGGUCCAGAAGAGCUAUGUAUUAUUGAUACUUUGGUGGAGGAGCACUGCAAUCAACAUAUGCAAGAUAAGUUGAAUGAAAGUUUUGUGGAUAUUGAGGAAGGUUUUUCUGAAUCUCCUAAUGGGCUUGCUACUCUACAAAGUUGGAGAAAGAUAGAAGGAAUUCUACCUUUGUUCAAUGAAGAAGAGGAGGCAGCUGUUGAAAAAGAAAUUCCAAAACUCAAUCUGAAGCCUUUACCUAUGGAGCUGAAAUAUACAUAUCUUGAAGAAAAUAAUCAAUGUCCUGUCGUAAUAUCUUCAUCUCAAACCAAGUCUCAAGUGAAGGAUGCAAGCUUCAAAUGGGAUCCGGGCAAACUGAAUCAGGAAGGGCAAAAAGUUUUGAUGUAUGACACAAGACUCCAUAUCUUUCCUGGGAAGCUCAAGUCAAGGUGGAUUGGUCCAUUUGUUAUUCACCGAGUAUAUUCCAAUGGAGUGGUGGACUUAUUGAAUUCCAAUGGCAAGGACAGCUUUAGAGUCAAUGGAUAUCGUCUUAAGCCGUUCAUGGAGUCAUUCAAAUCAGAAAAGGAGGCAAUCAACCUCCUUGAACCUCAAAAAGCCUAAGUGAAAUGGGUUUGCUGGACGUGGUUUUACCACAGUCCAAAAAUUUUUGUAAAUUUUGUAAAUUUUCAAGUUGUUUCCAUGCUUUUAAUCUUAGUUUUUGAUUUUAAAUCAUGUUUUUAGGUGUGUUUUAAUCGUUUUAUAUGAUCCCAGGCGGAAGAAAUUUCAAGGGGAUUGAAAAGAAAAAAAUCGGGUCGAAAUUGGAGCCGAAACAGAGCAAAAACAGGGGAAAAACAGAGCUCUGCGAAAUUUCGCAGGGUGAAGGAAACUUCUGCGAAAUUGGCAUUUUGCUGCCAAACCAUUCCGCAGCACUGUAGAAGCCUCUGCGAGUGUAUUUCGCAAUUGCGAAAGUGGAUUUGGCACACGAGUGCCACUUCGCAGCACAGUGACAUCAAUUUCGCAGCUGCGAAACUCACUGCGAAGUUGCUGCGAAAAUGGCAAGUUGCUGCGAAAUUGGCGUUUUGUUGCGAAACGUAAUCUGACCCCUGGGCUUCCGUUUUUCCUAUUUAUACCUGUCAAAAGUGCUGCGAAAAAGGUUUCAAAAAUUAGAGCACCAUUCUCGCAGCCCUUUCAUCUUCUUCGCCAAGCCACGCCGUCCGUUUCUCCGGUCGUCUUCUCCGUUUAGCAGCGCCGGCCAAAGAUCGAUAGCCCAAAAAUGGCACGAACGCGAGGGGCAAAGUCUUCAUCCCCUUCGAACCGCAAAAGGAGUCUGCGAAAGGAGCCAAGUUCAGGCUCUGUUCCAGAACCUGCUCCAAAGCCUUCGCCGUCGAGACCACAACCUUCUCCAGUGAAGCCGGCGCCACCAAAGCCGCCGGCAAGGCGAUAUUUAACCAGGUCAGGUGGUCAGCCAUUGAAGAAGAAAGCCAGAGUUGAGAGCUCUGAACCAAUCGAUUUGACUGAGCAAUCCCCUGAGAAAUCACCAAAUCCUUCACCGGUACAAAUUCCAGUGCCAUCACCGGUUCCCUCGCCAAUUCCCUCACCAGAAGCAACUCCAAUUCCAUCGCCGGUACCAUCUCCGGCACCCCAAGAAAAAGCUCAGGAGCCUCAAGCGCCAAUUCCAGAGCCCCAAAUUGCAGCUGAAGCACCUCUGGAAGAAGUGAUCCGAAGGCCAAUGCUGCCUCAGCCCCCAAUCGAAGGAAACCUGGAUUGCCGAACUCGGGCAUUCCAUUCUGAGCUUUGCUUCGAUUUAACAGCAUUCAGAGUGAGGCCAGAGCUUGCCCAAUCCUUCCAACUGCUGAGGAGAUAUCAUAUGGAGCAUCUGCUAGCUCCAAGGGAUUUUUUCUAUCCCCGGGUAGUCACGGAUUUCUACCAAACCAUGACAACCAAAGAAGUAAGAAAUCCAACUCUGAUUCAUUUCAUAAUUGAUGGAAGGCAUGGUAUUUUGGGAGCAAGACAUAUUGCUGAAGCCCUGCAAAUUCCUUUUGAGCCAACUCAAUUCGACAAUUUUAAAGCUUGGACAAAUCCUACUGAGUUAGAGAUGGUUAGCACACUAACCAGAGGAGCUGCAAAUCGAUCGCAUUUGUUGAGGGGGGAGCUACCUCCAGUUAUGUUUUUGAUUGAUGCCUUUUUGAGGCAUAAUAUCUAUCCCCUGCAGCAUUGGACCCAAAGAAGGGGAAUUCUCCUAGAAGCCUUGUACAAAAUGUCUGAAGGAUUCUUCUUUGGGCCUCAUCAUCUGAUCAUGGCAGCCCUUCUAUACUUUGAGGAGAAGGUUCACAAGAAGAAGCUUCAAAGAGCAGAUUGCAUUCCACUCCUCUUCCCAAGGCUGCUAUGCCAAGUUUUGGAGCAUCUCGGAUACCCCUCUGAGCCUCAGCAGGAAAGAAAGAGAAUAUGCCGUGAGCCUUUUACCCUUGAUAAAUGGAAUAAUAUGACGGCCUACAAAAUUGAUCAGCCUGGGCAGCCUCAGCCAGCAGCAAGGAGAGUCUCCCCAAGACAUAUACCUGAAGGUAUAACACUUGCUACUCCUGCCAUCCCUCGAGCUCCACCAGCUGCACCUGCUCCAUCACAGCCAUCCACAUCAGCUGAGCCGAGGAUGGCCAUCCCUAUAUCCGAAUAUCGAGAGCUGUGCCGUGCAUUGGAGACUCUUACAGCUUCUCAGAGCAAUCUUGCUCAGGAGUUGGCAGCCAUUAAAGCAUGCCAGGAGCAGAUGUUAGCCUCUCAGACUCAACAAGCUGCCAUCCUAAGGCAGCUUCAAGUCCAUUUCGAUCUGCCACAAGCUGUAGAGCCCUCUAUUCCUACUCCACCAGAGCCACACUCUCAGCCUUCAGAGUCUCAUCCUCCAGAACCCGAAGCACCAGCUGAUCCACCUACUGAGGAGGCAGAUCCUUCUGCCUAGCACCAUCACCCCCCUCAUCAGACAUUAUAUAUAUAUUUGCUGUUUAUGUUUUUAUGCAUGUUUGUUUUGUUUUAGUUGAAAAGAAAUCCCAGUAUUUUGGUACUAUAUAUGGGAUUCCUUGUGUUACUUGUCUUUAGUAUUGUAAUCACAUGAACUCAAAGUAAUACAAGUUGACUAUUUCUUGUUAAAAGUUAGCAUUAAAGUUUCCUUAUUUCCUUUUCUCACAUAUUCUAUUCUUUUUGAAACAUGUGGUUUUCCCCAAUCAAUAUUCGAAUUUGAUAUCAGCAUGGAGGUACCACUUCCUCCCUUUUAUUACAGUCACUCAAAUCACAUUGAGGACAAUGCUCAGUUCGGUUGGGGGGUAUGAGGAAGGAAGUAUUCUAAACCUUUUUGGUAUUGCAAUUAUAUUGGUUAAUUAGUUGUAGAUUUUACUUUUUACUAGUGUUACUCUAUUCUCCAUGAAUUUUGAGGAAAAAUUUUCAAAUUAAACCAAGAGAAAUUGAACUGUUGUUUUUCACUUGACUUAGAGUAUGGAUUAUGCUUACUAAAGUGGUUCAAUUGUUGAAACUUCUACUGAAAUUGAAUUGAGUUCUUCCACUUUAAGCUAUCCACACACUGUGCACAUUAGUUUCCGAUUAUAAGAUGAAAAGCUAUUUCCCUCUUGACUUAGUAUAUUUUUGGGACUUGGUAUAUUUGACCUCAUUUGAUAAAAAUUGAAACACCCUGCAAAAGGCCAAUGAGCCUUUGAAAUAAAGAAAGUUGUUUGCUUGCCUUGAAACCCGAGCAAGGUCUGAGGGGUAUAUGGUGAAAAUCUUUAAAGCCUGGUGCCCUAAGCCUUAAUUGGUUGGGAGUCACCGACCUCAAUGCUCGUUACAAGGGUGAAUAGGUAGAGUUAGCAUAUGGUAGAUGCUUGGGUAUUAGAAAUUCAUUCUUAAAAGUCCGGGGAAAAAUCCGAGGAGUUAGUGGUUGAAAGAUCCUUAAAACUUGGUGCCCUAAACCUUAAUUGGUUGGGAGUCAUCGAUGGACCCCCAUUACAUGGACAAGUCAGAAAGAGUACCCCAUAAAGCUACCUUAAAAAAAAAAAAAAAAAAAAAAAAAAAAAAAAAGAUGAAAGUGUGUUCUUUUCUUAUUGAUUUUGGUCAGUUUGCUAAAGUGUUGAAAAGAGAUAGGUUGGGGGGUGAGAUUAGUAGCAUAUUAUUCUCGGAACCUAAGGAACCAAUACACAUAGAUUUUUGUGGAAGAUUGAAGUUUAGUUCUUAGAAAAUGAAAUGAUUUUAAAACUUCAGUUUGCAUAAUGCACUCCCUUGAUUGACAGUGUUUAGCAUAGGUGUUAUGACUCUUGUUGAGAUUUGGGUUUGUAUUUCUUUAAUGAUUCAUGUGAGAAAUAGAUCAUCAUGCCACUUGAGAAUUAUUUUCCUUUUAGCAUGAUGUUGUAAAUUUUAGAUUAGUUUGCUAUUUAUUUUUUAUUUUCUCUCCUAUAUUGCUAAGGGACUAGCAAUAUGUCGGUUGGGGGGAGUGAUUACUACUCAAAAAGUGCUAUUUGAUAGCCUUUAAUUAAUCCUUUUUAACACUUUUGAGUAGUAGUUUAGGCCUUUUAACUCAAUUGGCAUGUUAAGGAUCCUUUAAAGCAAUUUUGAUCACUUUGUGCAAGUUUUGGUGUUUUUGUUAGUAUUUUGAUCACCAAAGCAAGUCAAGAAUGAGGAGAACUAUGAGGAAUCAUGGGCAAAGCUUAGAAUUCAAUUGCCAAGAGUGAAUCCGGAUUGCAAGGAGAAAAAGCAAAGAGAAUCUGUCAUGAAGCCUAUUCUUGAUGACAGUCGUAGCAGCCACUUUUGGAGCACUUUCUGAAGUCCAAAUGAUGCAAGCUAUAUACCAUUUCAAAGCUCAGGAAGUCAACAAUCCAAUGCUUCAAACGGUGCGCGAUUCGGAGUUGAAACGAAGAAGUUGCAGCCAUUACAAGCCAGUCACUCUAAAGUGUUGCGGAAUCAGCCUUUUGUUGCGAGAAUUUCGCAGCACUUUUGUACAGUAAGGUGUUUCUCCUUCUGACGAUGCACGAACCAUGCCGCGAGAGGGAAGCUAGGAACUUCAAGAUGGAAGCCAACUUUGCAGCCUGGUGAAGAUAGCUUGGUCUUGCGAAAUAAUUUCGCAGCCCUCUUGGGUGUCUGCGAAAUUUCGCAGGCACCACUUUUUUCCUGCGAAAUGGCUCCGGAAGCCUCCCGAAGCUUGCUACCGACAUUGGGAGAUAUUUUCCAUUAGAUUUUUGUUGUCUAAAUUCCAAAAUACUCCUUGUAAACCACCAAUUACAUGAUUCCUUAGUUUUUAAGUUAGUAAAAAGACCAAAUAUCUAUGUAAUAAUUAGUUUUAUAUUAGUUUGCUAUAAAUACCUCUCGGGAGCAUGUUCUCAGAGAGGAGUUCCUUCUGUAACCAUUUUGGUAAGCAAGUAAAGUCUUUUCUUUCUACUGCCUUACCUUCUCACUUUGUAUUUUCAUUUUAUUUCUAAGUUAUGAAUUCUCUGAGGAGCUUUCCCCAGAGAAUGAGUAACUAAACCUCCAAUUCCUUGGAGCUAAGGUUGCCGGGGAAGGUUCCAAGUGCAAGAAUGCAAAGCUCUGUGGUUUUAGCUAGUAAUGAAGAGGAAGUGAAAUCCUUUAGUGAUUUCAAUGUUUUUAGUUAACUUAAAACACCUUGGAGUCACCUGGGCCAACACUUGGUAAGGCAAGUGAUUUCCAACCGUGGAAAUGCACUAGUUUACCCCUUGCGAGCCUCUGGUAGGUGACUUCAAGGUAGGAUUUUCUGGAAUUACCAACACUUGGUAAGCUUUUGGACUCCUAGGAGACAUCCAUUAGUUAUCUCUUGCGAGUUUGUGAAGGGGAAUCCAAGGUUAAAGAUCACCUUGAAUGGUAAGUGCUCGUGAGAGGCAUGAACCAUUGCAAGUUGUAUCAGUGAGAGAAUUAAAGUGAAAUCUAAUUGAAGGAGUCUCUGUACAUCACCGGUUAGAGAAUUGACUAUAAGUUGAAUCUCUAAUGCGAGGAAAUGAACCAUCUGACCGGAGCUAUGUCUUUUGCAUGAGGAACCACCCCAGUGAACCUAAAUCUCCAAGGAAUGCUUUUCUUCCUAAAUUAUUCCAAACUUCUGUUAAGUUAGUUAGUUUAAGUCUAAACCUUUACCAAUCAAACUUUGUGUUUUAUUCCUUAAGCUAACCGUGAAAUGAAACAAAACCAAUUCACUUGGAAUUGGUAUCCUUGAUUGCUUGCAAAUCAUUCCCAGUGAACGAUCCUUAGAGCCACUAUACUAUAGUAGCUUUGUAUUUGCUACCCUAGUGUAUGGUGUUAUAGGUAUAAAUUUUGUUGAUCACUUCCUCAAUCAAGGAACACCAGCUGAACACAAAUCAGCUGAGACACCAAUUGGGCAUGAGUCAGUGCGUUAGAGGAUCAAGAAGAAGAAAAAGAAGGAACUGUUGGAAUUAGUAUGAGUGUGAAGAGAAAAGUAUAUAAAUAAGGGGAAGUAAAAGCAAAGUUCAAAAAGCUAUAUUUUUUUAUUGUUGGUGUAUGGUUGCAUGAUUAUCCCUAUAAAUAAUAGGAGUUUUUUGGUAUUCUACUAGUAGUUGAAGCAUAAUUUCAUAAAUUAAUAUUUAGAGCGGGGUGGGGUGAGUUGUGACAAAAUUCAUACCCGUCCCAAACCUUGGUUCAGAUUUUUAAAAUAUUCUCAAACUUAUCAUAUACCCAACUUUUAUAUUUCAUACUUGUCCUAAUAGAGGCACGUUAGGCCGGGUUACUUGAGUAACCUACAUAAUUGUCAUCCCUAGUUGAAAUACACUUUUUGGCAGUGGCCACCAACUGAGCUAGAAGCUUGAUUGAUUGACCUACAAGAUUAGUUCUCAUCAUUUUAAAAAAAGUUCUGGCUUUGGUUGUGAGUGCAAUUGAAUCUAAACUGGCAUUUGCUUAAUGCAUCUACUUCAAUCCUAAACUUCUUACUUCUUAAGCCUCAAUUGUUGUUAGGAUUUUGGAAAACCCAUUUCCUUAAAUUGUAAAUUUAAGAUAAAAUAAAAUAAAAGUGAGACAUUUCUUGAUUGAAUAUUGUUAAAGGUCCCUUGGCAUUAAGACUUGGUUGAAGCCUUGGAAGAUUAGUGGAACUCUCAACAUGUGUUUGAAUCUUGAGGAGAGUGGAUGUAAGCCAAAAUUUUGUCAAACCAUUAUACAAAUUGAGUUUGAAUCCUCAUUUCUUGAUUUCUUAUUUAUUUGCUUUUUCUUAUUAUUACUUGAAUUGUCAUUUGCAUUCAUUAAUGUUAAAAUUGGUUAUAAUUAACCAACACUAAUUCUCUUUCCCCUUCCCUUUCUUGGGUGUAAACCUAGGUUGGAUUAACUAGAUAAAUCUAUUAAGAUGGUAAAAGAAUAAUUAUUCUUAACAUACAUAAGAUCAUCUUCAAUCAAAUGACUCAUUGGCUAAUAUGUUGAAUUUGCUUAUUACUUGCAACUCAAAAUUGUGUUCUAGUUGUGUCAAGUCCCCAGUGUAUGGACAUUAAAUUUGUAGUACGUGAUGAGUAAUUAGAUGGUCCAACUCCAAGAAAGUGAUUGAAAAGUAGUUCAAGAAAGGUGCAAAAGGGAAUUGUUUUGGUAUUUUCGUUUUUAUUCUUGAAGGUGGCAGAGCUAAAAUUUGAGAAAUCAAGCAAAACAUACUGAAAUUACAUUGAAAGAAAGAAGAUGGGAGUUAAUGUCUUGCAGUACAUGAUAAGGACUUCAUGCAUGUAGUGUGACCCAUGUCUUGGACUGAUGCCAACUCACGGUUACACUUAUACCCUUGGUUCUCUCUUUACUACCUUGGCUAACCUAGAUCAGGCUAUGAGAUAGGCUCCUCACCACACCAUUACUUGCCCAUUAAUUAGAGACAUUUUCAAGCAAUGAGGUAACAUGGUGACACCAAGAGGGUCUAUUCCUCGCCCGGAACAAGUCUAGACUUGGUCUCAAAAAAAUGGAGAAAAAUGAGGUGUCGUUAUGUAGAAAUACAACAACCAUGCCUUCCUCAUUACUUAGAUUCAGAAUGUGAAGGUGAAAUUGAGAAACAGAAACUCUUGAAACCAAAAUGAAAAUUGAUACUUUUACGAAGAAUUACAACAACAUUAGAGGAAGACUACAUUCUUCCUCUUUAUUCCUACAUUUCUACACUACUUCUACUCCACUCCAUAUUUCUACAUACAUCUUUAAUCAGUCUUCCCUCCUUUAUAUAGAGCCAUCUUCACACAAAUUUCGCAAGGUAGAAAAGAGGAAUGAAACUUGGAGCAAGGUUCGACUACUGGUUGUAGCUUGUCAAGGCUGGAAGUGAACUUUUCUUGGCUUUCUGGGCAUGGGUAGUAACUUGUGGGUUCCUGUUUGGCAUAAAAAUGGCUAGAACAUGUGGCACUAUCUUGUUGGAUGAUGUGUCAAGCAUGUGGCAGCCAUCUAGUGGCGAUUAUGUCAAUUUUGGGAUGGAGAGUUGGCAUCCAAUUGCAAAGAAAUAUGACGUCUACCAACAUGCAAUGUAAACCUAUGUAGAUCAUAUGAAGAUAGAGAGGAAAAAUAUAGAAAUGGAUAUAUACCUAGAACUAGCUUUUUAUUAAAUGAAACGGAGAGACAACAAUGAAGGAAAAUAAAAUUUUUUGGCUUAUAUCAAAGAGUUCACAUUGUGUUACCCUAGGUUUUCUUAAAACUUACUUUUAUGAUAACAAAAAAGAAAAAACCAUUAUUGUUUAAUCCUUUGUUUUAAACGCAUGUAAGGUGUAAUUAAGUUAGUUCAAUGCAUUAAUUUAAGAAACUUGACCUAUCAAAAGUACAAAAUUAGAUGAAAUCCAUUUCAAUGGUUAAAAUGAUCAAAAUCAAACUUUUUCUAAGUAUUUUUUAAAAGCAUCAAUAGUGAAAGACAAUUUUAUAUUUAGUCGGAGUUUGGACAAAACUGAAAAACACACAAAAUCCAAGCGACCAUCUCUAGCUUGGAUGGUCGCUUGAUCCCACCUAGAGAUGUGCAUGAGUAAAAGGAUUUGAAAAUGGAAAUUGACUAUGUAGUCGAUCAAUUAACUUUGCAACAUCAUAUGCAAUCCUAAUUGCUAGUCAUCUAAUCAAUUAGGUAGUCAAUCAACAGGCCAAAAAUAUGUUUAUAAUGACUAUUUUGUACAAAAACCACCUGUAUAGUUAAAUAUAAUGCAUUUCAUUUAUAAAUCUUCUAAUUCUUGAAUAACGAUCCUAUCAUCCUUUGAAAGUUUUUAUUACACUUUUUUUACUUUUGUUCUAAAACUUACACAUCACCCUUAAUUGUACCAUGAGAACCUAGCUAUUUUUUAUUUUUUUUUUUGUAAUUCAUCAAAGUUAGCUUUUGUAUUCAUUGUUGUAUUAUUUUUAGUAUAACUUAGAAAGCUAGUGUUUUCAAGUGAGUAAAAUUAACUUGUAAAUAUUGUAAAGAUUCAUCGACAUGUAUCUUAAACUAAGUGUACAAGUUAAAACAUUUGCUAGUAGAUUUUCUCAAAAUUUAGAAUAGAGCUUGAGACUAUUGAAAUAGGUGGGGUUGCACCAAACCACAUCACAUCGUUGUUUGCACCUUUUUUCACUCUCUUUUACUUAGUUGCUCUAUAUUUGUUGUCUAGUAAUAUCCUAUAGGCUUGAUGGGUUAGGGAGCAUCCCUUUGUGAAAAAAUUUUAUUCAAUCCUUAGUUGUAUCACGCAUAUAUAAAAUGCCUCAUUGUUUUAAUGGUAUUCAGUCGUGGCAUCACAGAUAUGGGCAUCUAAAUUUUAAAAGUUUGAAACUUUUAUCUAAAGAAAAUAUGGUGCUUUGCCUUUUUGUAAAGCAUGUUGAUGAAAUCCAUGAGAAUUGUGUACUUGGGAAGCAACACCGAGAUGACUUUUUUUUUUUUUUUAUAAUAUUGUUUGUCCAAAUUCCCUACAAAUUAGGCCACCAGAUGUUCAUAAUUCUCCCUUCUUGAAUUUGAAAACUCGGACAAUUGGACAAUGCGACACCUAAGUCCGGUUUCUAAAUGCUAAAGUGAAAGGGUAGGUAUGGACCAUUGAAAUGUGAUCACAACUUUUCUCUGUAGCCAUGUUGUCUCUUUUUUCUUUUGCAUGAUUUUCUUACCUUAACAGAAUCAUAGACUUGUUUAGUCUCUAAAUGGGAUUAAUUUCAUCCAGCUUUAAGCUACUAUAUUAUAUCUAGGUGGAGGACUUUUAAGAGUGCAACCGACAUAGAGCACAUGGAAGUGGGUAUAUGGGACAUGAAAUUUCUUCUUAUAAAGAUUGCAUGAUUUUUAUAUUAGAGUUGUUGAGGCGCUAUGUAUUUAGCUUGUUUUGCAGUUAAAUUAAUUGGAUAAGUAGACAUUGGCGUUUCUAAAUCUACUGUGAAGUGCUUCAUGUACGUGUGAAGUAUUAGAAAUUUCUUUCUUGGCAACUUGUUUUUCUUUGCGGUCUACUGAUAGGUUUGACUAAAAUUAUAUUCCCUGUCAUGCUAAUUAAUUUUCACGUGCAUGCUCAAAAGAAAAGUAUGACCUUAGUGCACCAAAAUCACUUUGAUUAAUUUGUGAUAGGUUUUUGUGCAUCAUGACAUUAGCCUUAUUCAUUUAGAUAAUGUUUAGUUUUUAGAAAGUAUUAAGAAAAGGAAAAUAAAUAUUAAGAAAAAUAUUCUUAUAUUUGAUUGUAUUAUGAAAAAUAUCAUAAAAAAAUCAAAUAUAAUUUAAAUUAAUUAAUAAUUUAUACAUUUUCAAAUUAUUUAAUCUUUAUAUUGAAGAUAUAAUAUAAAUGAAAUGAGUUUUAAGUAUUAUAUAAAAGUGAUUUAUUGAUCUUACAUAUAUAUAUUUCUUUUUUUUUUCCUUCUAUUUUUUCUCUUUAUUUUAUUUUCCUUAUGUUUUCCUCAACAUUUUCCGGAACCAAACAUAGCCUUAGGAAAUCCACAAUUACCUUCAACUGAGUAGAUUCUGUUGUUUUAGCAAUGUUAGGCUGCUAACUUGUGUUGGUACGAACCUAUUAAGCCUAAAGAUGUAAUUAGUUAGGAUAUUCUUUUCCCUCUAGUCUUGUAGCUCCACGUGUACAGUUGGUUAGGACCUCAUUGUAUAUAAUGCUUGCCCUGUUAUUGUAGAAGACAACAAAGAUAAAUAAUAUUAACAUUUUUCCUCUCAUCUCUCUCUGUUUCCCUCUGUUUUCAUCUCCUCUCUCAUCUUGGUAUCAGAGCCUCCAUGGCUUCUUUCAAAGAAACCUCCGAAUCACCUUCUGCUAGCAUUGUUAAUGUGCAAAACCCAUUAUCUCAAUCAAACAACCUUCCUUCACCAGUAGCCACACCCUCUUUUUCUUUCUCGUCUAUGAAUCAACCUCUCACAGUGAAGCUGGAUAAUGGGAACUACCUCAUAUGGAAGAAUUAGCUUCUAAAUGUCAUCAUUGCUAACGGACUCGAUGAUUUCAUUGACGGAUCUCGACCCUGCCCUCCUCGAUUUCUCGAUCUGCAACAACAAACCCUCAAUCCAGAGUACUCAGCUUGGCAGAGAUACAAUCGACUUCUGAUGAGUUGGCUGUACGCAUCCUUGUCCAAAGAUAUAAUGGCUCAGAUUGUUGGGUAUUCAACAGCUAUGGAGAUUUGGAAUGCCCUUAAUCAGAUUUACUCUGCCUCUUCUAUGGCGCGGUUUACUGAGCUUCGCACCAAGCUUCAAACGCUCAAGAAAGAUGGACUCUCAGUUGGUGAAUAUAUUCAAAGGCUCAAAUCCAUUUGCAAUAGUCUUGCAGCAAUAGGAGAACCAGUUUCUGAGAAAGACCAUCUUAUCUAUUUGUUCAAUGGAUUAGAUUGUGAGUAUUAUUCUUUUGUUACCUCCAUUCAAAAUCGAUCUGACCAACCAACUAUUGACAAAAUCCAUAGCCUAUUGCUUAGCUAUGACUUCCGGCUUGAACAACAAAACUCUGUUUCUCUCCAUUCUGCCCAAGUCCAUAUGGCUCAUCUGAACAAGAAACCUUAUAAAUCAACUCCUCAACCUACAUUCAAUCAUAUUCACAUUCAACCUAGAUACUCUUCUCCACCUUUUAAGCCAACCACUAGUCAAUAUCAACCCAACAUUUUGGGCAAACCACAACCACAACCAUGACAGCCUCAACCUCAAUGGAAACCACAUUUUUCAAUCUAAAAUCAAAAGCCUCAGCGCCAAAUUUGUGGUAAAUUUGGACACACUGCUCUUAUUUGCUUCCAUCACACAAAUUUGAACUAUUCACCCCAACCUUCUCCUAAAUCUUUCAAUACUGUUCUCACCACAAAUUCCCAGCUCCCUAAUCCUCCAAAAUUUUCUUACCCUACAAUGGCUCAUCCUGCUGCUACGCAUAACACGGUUCCCGAUACAAAUUGGUACAUGGACUCAGGUGCUACACAUCACUUUACUCUGGACAUCAACGUGCUUGACACUGUGACACCAUUUAGUGGUUCAGAACAGGUGACAGUUGGGAAUGGUAAGCAACUCUGUAUCUCACAUCUUGGUACUGCAAAACUACCAUCUUCGUAUUCUCCUCCUGUUCUACAUCAGGUAUAUCACACUCCAAAAAUUUCAAAUAAUCUUAUUAGUGUUAAAAAAUUGUGUUCUGAUAAUAAAGUUUUUGUUGAAUUUUAUGCCACUCAUUUUCUUGUCAAGGAUCAGGUUUCGAAGAGAGUUCUCCUUUAGGGUCAACUUGAUAAUGGCUUAUACAAAGUUCAGUCGUCAUGCUCUCCUUCUGCUGUUUCCUUUCCUCCUCAAGUUUUCAUAGCCAACAUCAAGUAUCCAAAUCUGUGGCACAAGAGACUAGGCCACCCAGCUUUAUCUGUUGUUAAUCAAAUCUUGGAUUCUUGUAACAUUGCUCGAACACAGAAAAUUUGUUUUAAUUUUUUAAAUUCUUGUCAAUUAGCAAAGAGCCACAGGCUUCCUUUUUCUCUGUCUCCAUCCAUUGCAGAAAAACCUUUUGAGUUAAUUCAUACAGACCUAUGGGGUCUUUCGCUCGUUCGCUCUAUUUCUGGUGCUCUUUAUUUUUUACUUUUCAUUGAUGAUCAUACUCGUUUUACUUGGUUUUAUUUGCUCAAAACAAAAGAUGAAGCAUAUCCUACUUUUCUCAAGUUUCAAGCUCUCAUUGAAAAUCAAUUUAAUACCAAGAUUAAGGCUGUCCAAUCUGAUUGGGGAGGUGAGUUUCGAUCUCUCUCCAUACCGUUUUCAAAUAUGGGCAUUGUCUAUUGUUUAUCGUGUCCAUACACCUCACAACAGAAUGGGCGAGUUGAGCGAAAAAAUCGCCAUGCGAUUGUCCUUUCUUGCUUGCUCUAUGCCCUUAUCUUAUUGGCCUUAUGCCUUUCAAACUGCCACUUACCUUAUUAAUCGUCUCUCUACCCCUGUGCUGCAUCAUCAAUCCUCUUACUUCGCACUCUAUCACAAACUCCCAACUUAUACUCAUCUUAAGGUCUUUGGUUCCUCUUGUUUUCCGUAUUUGCACCCUUAUAAUACCCAUAAACUCCAAUACAGGUCACUAGAGUGUGCUUUUCUUGGUUACAGUUCACACCACAAAGGUUAUCUAUGUCUUGACAUUCAUUCUAGCAGGGUGUAUAUUUCUCGCCAUGUGAUUUUUAAUGAAGAUUCUUUUCCAUUCAAGAAUUUGAAAUCUUCUCUCUCUCAGUCUAUUUCUUCUUCCUCUUCUUUAUAAGUUCCUCUGUUCAUUCUCUUGCCUCCCCUUUCCCCAUCUCCUCUUAUUUCUUCAUCUAUACCUCAUUCUUUUCCCUCUUCUUCUUCUACCUCUAGUACUUGUUCCCCUCUCGUUGCUCCUACCUCUCUUCCUUCCUCUUCACACUCUGUGUCUCCAUCUAUUCCACCUCCUUCUCCACCUUCUCCGAGUGUGGACCUGCUUGCACCUUGUGUGAAUACAAAUUUACAUACUUCUUCUCGCACUCACAAUAUUCAUCCUAUGGUGACUAGAUCUAAGGUUUGUAUCUAUAAACCUAAGUUGUUGUUGAGUGUCUCCAUAGGUUCUCUCACUAAGCCUACUUCCUUUCUUCAAGCUAUUAAAGAUCCUUCAUGGAAGCAAUCCAUGGAAUUCGAGUUUGCUACCCUUCAACACAACAAGACCUGGCAUUUGGUUCCUUCACCUUCCUCAGGCGAAGUAAUCGGUUGUAAAUGGGUCUAUAAGCUAAAGCUUCAGCCUGAUGGCUAAAUUGAGAGAUACAGCCUGCUUAGUAGCUAAGGGUAUCAUCAAAUUGAAGUAUGGACUACUUCGAAACAUUCAGCCUGAUNNNNNNNNNNNNNNNNNNNNNNNNNNNNNNNNNNNNNNNNNNNNNNNNNNNNNNNNNNNNNNNNNNNNNNNNNNNNNNNNNNNNNNNNNNNNNNNNNNNNAGCUUCAGCCUGAUGGCUAAAUUGAGAGAUACAAGGCCUGCUUAGUAGCUAAGGGUUAUCAUCAAAUUGAAGGUAUUGACUACUUCGAAACAUUCAGCCUGAUUGUCAAGCUUUCUACUAUCUGUAUUGUGCUCAGUCUUACUUUUUCCCAGAAUUGGUGUAUUAGACAGCUGGAUGUUCAUAAUGCCUUCUUACAUGGUGACUUAGCUAAAGACGUUUUCAUGGAACAACUGCCUGGAUUUGUUGAUCCUCUCUAUCCUACUCAUGUCUGCAAGUUGGAUAAGUCUCUCUACUGUCUUAAAUAGUCACCUCGGGCUUGGUAUACUAAGCUGAGUACUUCUCGCUACACUUGGGAUUUGUUACUUCUAAGAAUGACUCUUCCUUAUUUAUUUGUCAUUCGUCUCAUGGGUUACUUCUUGUUCUUGUCUAUGUGGAUGAUAUAAUCGUCAUUGGGAGCCACUCUCCUCAGGUUACUCACCUUAUCCAACAGUUGCAUCAUUAGCUUUCUUUAAAGGAUCUUGGUCCUUUACAUUAUUUUCUGGGCUUGGAGGUUCAUCACACCCCUACUGGUAUUCACCUCAGCCAAGCAAAGUAUAUCACUGAUCUCCUUACCCGGGCGGCUAUGUUGGAUGCCAAGCCAUGUCCCACUCCUAUGUCCUCCAACACAUAUCUCUCUUUUCAUGAUGGAGUGGCUCUUGAAAAUGGUUCAGAUUAUCGAAGUUUUGUUGGUGCCCUUUAGUAUUGUACCAUGACACGCCCAGAUAUAGCUUUUGCAAUAAAUAAAGUGUGUCAAUUCAUGCACCAUCCCUCUAAUGUUCACUGGCAGGCUAUAAAACGUAUUCUCCGGUACUUAAAGGGCACAUCUCAUUUUGGUCUCUUCCUACAGCCUUCCUAUGACUUCAACAUCACUUGCUAUACAAAUGCCGACUGGGCUUCCUGUCCUGAUGACAAGUGUAGCACCAGUGGCUACUGCCUCUUUCUUGCCUCUAAUCUGGUUUCUUGGUCAUCUUCCAAACAAAAAGUGGUCUCCCGCUCCAGCGCCGAAUCAGAGUACCGAGGGGUAGCAAAUGGGGCUGCUGAAAUUGCUUGGACUGAAUCUCUUCUUUGUGAACUUUCCAUUACUCCCCCUCCCCUCAUUCUCUGUGACAAUAUCAGUGCCACGUACUUAGCUGCCAAUCCUAUUUUGCAUGCCCGCACCAAACAUGUGGAAAUCGACUAUCACUUUGUCACGGAACGUGUUCUUCAAUGCUCUCUUUUUGUCCAGUUUACACCUUCUGAUGAUCAACUUGCUGAUUGCAUGACCAAGCCUCUCUCCACCCAACGUUUCAUCACUCUACGCUCCAAGCUCACUGUUCUCACUAGACCAAUGAGCUUGAGGGGGGAUGUUAAGCCUAAAGAUGUAAUUAGUUAGGAUAUUCUUUUCCCUCUAGUCUUGUAGCUCCACGUGUACAGUUGGUUAGGACCUCAUUGUAUAUAAUGCCUGCCCUGUUAUUGUAGAAGACAACAGAGAUAAAUAAUAUUAACAUUUUUCCUCUCAUCUCUCUCUCUGUUUCCCUCUGUUUUCAUCUCCUCUCUCAUCUGAACCAAAUGAUCCAUGUUAACCUUGGCUUGGUUUGAUUUGGCUCUAUCUUAGAGAGCUCAAGGAUCACGUCAACUCUGGUUUCUACUAUUCAGGUCCAUUCCCAUAUGAACUGGUUCAAAUUUGAGAAAAUGGUAACAGACCUUUAGUGAUGUUGGUUUGGAGCCAGUUGCCAAACCCGCCCUGAGCUUUACCACUAAUGUCAAGGGAGAAAGCCAUUUGAACAAAAACAAUAGCUUCAAGGGACUGAAUCGUGGAUGAAAUCUGAUCCACAUUUCUUCUCAUUUUGGAAACAAAUGAGAACUUAACUAAGAAGAUUCUACGGCCUCAUAGUGCUUUUCCUGAUCUAAGGUUGGUUCGUUUCCCAAACUGUGAGAUGCACGUGCCAGACUUCAGAACUCUCACGCUCAGGAGUGUAUCCACGUGGUGGACAUAAGAUGGUGGCUUAAGAUCUGGUGUCGGUGGCUUUACUUUACUAGGAGAGUAGUGUGUCUUCAUCUCAUUCACUGCCGGAGGGUGGCGUAAGCAGUGACGCUAAGGUGGGGCACAGUCAAUAUCAUUUGCAUUUGACCAUUAUAGUUUUCUCCCGGCUUUAAAGUAACCUUAUCGUGAUAAAGGAUUACUAGCACUAGUUCAGAUGAUAGUCAUGUUAAAUUCGGACCAUGUUUGUGUCACAUUAUCAGCAACCAUGUGUUUAUGGUUCAUGCUUUCUGCAACUAAAAUUGAUAUAUAACCAGGUGAACUUCAAUCUAAAUUCUGAAAGUACUCAUGUGAUAGAUGGUGCCCGUCUGCAGAGUCCAUCAAUUGAAAAAUGGAGUGAGUGUAUCUAUAAGAGGGAAGGCUUGGAAAAUGUUCAGUUUUCUGGGAAUUCAACAAGGAUCUAAAAUAGAUUGUUUUCUUUGCUGAUUUCAAUGGUUGAAAUUUGAGAAGAUUGUGUCCACAUAACACAACUAUUACUGGUCCUUCUGUUGCAAUUUAUCCUCUAAAGCUCUAGCAUGUCUUCCAAUUCCCACUUCCCUGUUACUCCAGGAAAGCUAUUUCUGUCAUUGUGAAGAAGAAAAGAGAAUGUACAUAUCGAUGCUUUUAAGUGACUGGAGCAUUUAUAUCAGGUGGUCUGCAGCCAUAUAUGCCACUUUGUGAAGAUUGGAACAGUCAAUCACUAGGCUAUAUAUUAGUGUGGCCCAGCCACUUUAAUCAAGGACAAGUCUUCAUACUUAAAGUCAAAUUCUGCCUUUAGUCUCAUUAUAAAUUUCUGUUUAAAUAUUAAGCAAACAUUUGUUUAAUGCGAUUAAGACAGUACUAACUCAAUACCUGUUCUAUUUUUGGAUGCAAAUGCUUGAUGGUUUCAUCAUUGGAUGGGAUAAAGGUGCAUUCAUGAUUAGGAAUACUAGUAGUUAUAUUUUAAUUCUCUUUUUUCUCAAUGAGACUUGUUGGCACAAUUUUGCUGUUGAGAAACCUACCUCUCCAUGGAAAAUAAGUUGUGAUUGAUAGUACUGGAUAUAUUCAAGAAAUCUAAAUAUAGAUAGCACAAAAUAUUAUCGACAUAAAUAGCAUUAACAGCGUACGUAUGUCUCAGUGCUCAUCAGCUAUAAGCAUGGGGCAAACACUUACUAUGAGCAACUUACGUCAAAAUUCCAGAAUAGGACAUAGAAGUGACAGAUAUAGAACAUUGCAUAUGAGUCACAAGAAAGGAAAUUACGGGUGCAUAGCAGCUCUUAUUUUACAUACUACUACUCAUACUGAUCAAAGUCACUCAGUUGGGAUGGGUGGGAGUAGGAGGUUUGUGGGGUGGCUUGUGCGGAGGAGUUGGCAGCUUCUUUCCAGGACCUGGUUGCUUCUCUGCUGGAGUUGAAGGAGGCUUAAUCUUCCGAGGUGGCUUGUAUGAGUCUUCAGCAUUCUCAGCUGGAGGGUGACCAGGGUUGUGACCAUAAUGUGGUGGCUUCUCUCCCUUAGGUGGUUUGCCAACUGGGGUUGGUGGCUUGUAUGAGUCUUCAGCAUUCUCAGCAGGAGGGUGACCAGGGUUGUGACCAUAAUGUGGUGGCUUCUCUCCCUUAGGUGGUUUGCCAACUGGGGUUGGUGGCUUGUGUUCUGGGAGUGGCUUCUCCCCCUUGGGAGGUUUUUCCAAUGGGGUUGGUUUGUGUUCAGGAGGUGGCUUCUCCACUGGAGGCUUGUGUUCAGGAGGUGGCUUCUCCACCGGAGGCUUGUGUUCAGGUGGUGGCUUCUCCACCGGAGGCUUAUGCUCUGGUGGUGGCUUCUCGAAUGGGGGAUGCUUAGGAUAAUCAGCAAGUGAGGGGGCGGUGAGAACCACCAGGCCAAGCAACACCACUAGCAAAUAUGUAGGAGACAUCUUUGGGUUUGGGCUCAGAUGGUGCAAAACUAGGAGAAUUGGCUAGCCUUUUAUAGCGGAUCGUACCCAAUAAUGAAAUGACACGUGUCAUUAUGACCCAUGUGUAAUGGGGUCGAUUUGGGUCCUACAGUGUUGAAAACUUCGACAUCCACUUUUGGCCUUUUGCUUUCUCUACAGCCGCCUUGCUUUUUCCCUCUUUCCUUUUGUUUUCCUCCUGCCCCAUUCUAUCAACUAAACACAAUUAUGUAGUUGUUUAAUUCUUAAAUGAGAUAUUAUCCGUCAAUCGUAUUAUAUUUUAUCAAGAGAGAACGGAGUGCAAUGUGGCUGUAAUUUUAUCGUUUAGUUUUAUCUCUUGGACCACUGCAUUUUUGUUAAGAGGUGCAAUAAUACACGUCUUUAUCUGCCAUUCAAUAUUUACAGUAAAGAGAGGGCACAAAACUCUUCACUUCGCACCAUAAUUAUUUUGUUUUCUGGACACCCCGGGGCCCUUUGGUUGGUUUGGGGGUCAGAAAGUGAACAUCAUAGGGGGUUUUUCCCUUAUGUGCAUUUGUAUCUGAUGGCUUUAACUCGCCUUGUUACUACAAAGAAACUGUCACAGAUAGGAACUUAUUCCAGGCUGAGUAUCUCCUCAUAGACCCUAUAAAAGAAGACAAGUCAUAAUGAACAUCUAACCUUUGUUCAAUUUGAUUCAAUGCCCCCAUUGUGUCCAUCUCACAAAUCUGAAUUAUUAUAUCCAUUGAAUACAUAAAUUAAUGAAGAAAAUAUGAAACCCAAGAUACAUCUCUGCACAACCUCAACCCUGGUUGCUAUGUUUCCCUUCUAUUCACAUGAUUUGAUGCUAAUUGCCAAACUUGCAACAAGCCCUGAGUUUGACACCUAGUAUCGAUGGGCGAAUUUAAAGUCUCCUCCAAACAUAUAUUCCACAGCUUGAAGCUCACAGAAGAUGUUACAGGCAGGGAAAAACCUUCAGAGUUCGCUACCAAAGAUAAUUAUUAAGGAGAUAUCACAAAGAGAAUUCCAAGGGGUCUGAAUCAAAGACAAAUUGGUCGUUCGUGGGGGUUCUUACUUUCUUUUGGGUAUAACUCACUGAGGGCACUGUCUUUGUUAUUUGCAUUUCACAUUUAGAGUUCUGUUCUGGAAACAUAUAAAAGGAGCAUCAUUUUGUUCUUGGGUAACCCAUAGUCGUGAGUGGGUCCAUUUGCAUGCUACUUAGUUGAAAAGUUGGACCAUUUGCUCCGACGCCUACCUCCCGGAUUCCAUGCUCGGAUAAAACAAGAAUAAAAAAAAUAUUUAUAAUUUACAAAUGGGGGAAAGAAAAAAAUGUCAACAACAAACCAGGAAAAAAGAGUAGUAAAAUUCAUGUCACAUGCUAGUGAGAGAAGGGGUUGUUACACUCACUCGAAGUUCUUUCCAAAAUAUCGCAUGGUAUUUUAUUUUAUGUGUCAGCGCAGUUGUGAAUGGAACGUGCAAAAGUCCAAAUUGGCGUUUUUCCUUUUCCCGUGUAGGAUGGCGACCUUUAAUAAAUAUUUAAAACAAAAAACGAAAAAAAGGAGGGAAAAGGGAUCAGAAAAGAUAAAACAAUGUGUACAAGAGCUCAAUUAGUUUGCAAAUUACUGUUUGGAUUUUGAUAGUAUUUUAUUUGUCCAUCUAUAUUUGAUGGAAAAGAGAAUUUAAGAUAUUUCUGAAACAAAAGCAUUAGUGUAAAACUAAAUUAAGGUAUAAUUAAGUUAGUUCAAUGCAUUAAUUUAAGAAACUUGAUCUAUCCAAAGUACAAAAUUAGAUGAAAUCCAUUUCAAUGGUUAAAAUGAUCAAAAUCAAACUUUUUCUAAGUAUUUUUUAAAAGCAUCAAUAUUAAAAGACAAUUUUAUAUUUAGUCGGAGUUUGGACAAAACCAAAAAGCACACAAAAUCCAAGCGACCAUCUCUAGCUUGGAUAGUCACUUGAUCCCACCUAGAGAUGUGCAUGAGUAAAAGGAUUUGAAAAUGGAAAUUGACUAAAUAUUUAGUUGAUCAAUUAAAUUUGCAAUGUCAUAUGCAAUCCUAAUAGCUAGUCAUCUAAUCAAUUAGGUAGUCAAUCAAGUGUUUGUAAUGACUAUUUUGUACAAAAAACCACAUGUAUAGUUAAAUAUAAUGCAUUUCAUUUAUAAAUCUUCUAAUUCUUGAAUAACGAUCCUAUCAUCCUUUGAAAAUUUUUAUUACACCUUUUUUACUUUUGUUCUAAAACUUACAUAUCACCCUUAAUUGUACCAUGAGAACCUAGCUAUUUUUUUUUUUUUUGUAAUUCAUCAAAGUUAGCUUUUGUAUUCAUUGUUGUAUUAUUUUUAGUAUAACUUAGAAAGCUAGUGUUUUCAAGUGAGUAAAAUUAACUUGUAAAUAUUGUAAAGAUUCAUUGAUAUGUAUCUUAAACUAAGUGUACAAAUUAAAACAUUUGCUAGUAGAUUUUCUCAAAAUUUAGAAUAGAGCUUGAGGCUAUUGAAAUAGGUGGGGUUACACCAAACCACAUCACAUCGUUGUUUGCACCUUUUUUCACUCUCUUUUACUUAGUUUCUCUAUAUUUGUUGUCUAGUAAUAUCCUAUAGGCUUGAUGGGUUAGGGAGCAUCCCUUUGUGAAAAAAUUUCAUUCAAUUCUUAGUUGUAUUACGCAUAUAUAAAAUGCCUCAUUGUUUUAAUGGUAUUCAGUCGUGGCAUCACAGAUAUGGGCAUCUAAAUUUUAAAAGUUUGAAACUUUUGUAAAGCAUGUUGAUAAAAUCCAUGAGAGUUGUGUACUUGGGAAGCAACAUCGAGGUGACUUUAUUUUUUUUUCCUUUUAUAAUGCCACACCUAAGUCCGGUUUCUAAAUGCUAAAGUGAAAGGGUAGGUAUGGACCAUUGAAAUGUGAUCACAACUUUUGGCCUUUUCCUUUCUCUGCAGCCAUGUUGUCUCUUUUUUCUUUUGCAUGAUUUUCUUACCAAAACAGAAUCAUAGACUUGUUUAGUCUCUAAGCUACUAUAUUAUAUCUCGGUGGACUUUUAAGAGUGCAACCGACAUAGAGCACAUGCAAGUGGGCAUAUGGGACAUGAAAUUUCUUCUUACAAAGAUUGCAUGAUUUUUAUAUUAGAGUUGUUCACGUGCAAUGUAUUUAGCUUGUUUUGCAGUUAAAUUAAUUGGAUAAGUAAACAUUGGCAUUUCUAAAUCGACUGUGAAGUGCUUCAUGUACGUGUAAAGUAUUAGAAAUUUCUUUCUUGGCAACUUGUUUUUUCCUUGCCAUCUACUGGUAGGUUUGACUAAAAUUAUAUUCCCUGUCAUGCUAAUUAAUUUUCAUGUGCAUGCUCAAAAGAAGAGUAUGACCUUAGUGCACCAAAAUCACUUUGAUUAAUUUGUGAUAGGUUUUUUUGCAUCAUUUAGAUAAUGUUUAGUUCUAAGAAAAAUUUAUAUAAAAAUGGUUUAUUUAUCUUACAUAUAUAUAUAUAUAUAUAUAUUUUUUUUUUUUUCAUUUUUUUUUCUUCUAUUUUAUUUAUUUAUUUUAUUUUCCUUAUGUUUUCCUCACAUUUUCCGGAACUAAACAUAGUCUUACGAAAUCAACAAUUGCCUUCAACUGAGUAGAUUCUGUUGUUUUAGCAAUGUUAGGCUGCUAACUUGUGGUGGUACGAACCAAAUGACCCAUGUUAAUCUUGGCUUGGUUUGAUUUGGCUCUAUCUCAGAGAGCUAAAGGAUCACGUCAACUCUGGUUUCUACUAUUCAGGUCCAUUCCCAGAUGAACUGGUUCAAAUUUGAGAAAAUGGUAACAGACCUUUAGUGAUGUUGGUUUGGAGCCAGUUGCCAAACCCGCCCUGAGCUUUACCACUAAUGUCAAGGGAGAAAGCCAUUUGAACAAAAACAAUAGCUUCAAGAGACUGAAUCGUGGAUGAAAUCUGAUCCACAUUUCUUCUCAUUUUGGGAAAAAAUGAGAACUUAACUACAAAGAUUCUACUGCCUCAUUCAUAGUGCUUUUCCUGAUCCAAGGUUGGUUCGUUUCCCAAAUUGUGAGGUGCACGUGCCACUCUCACGCUCAGGAGUGUAUCCACGUGGUGGACAUCAGAUGGUGGCUUAAUAUCUGGUGUCGGUGGCUUUACUUUACUAGGAGAGUAGUGUGUCUUCAUCUCAUUCACUGCCGGAGGGUGGCGUAAGCAGUGACGCUAAGGUGGGGCACAGUCAAUAUCAUUUGCAUUUGACCAUUAUAGUUUUCUCCCGGCUUGAAAGUAACCUUAUCGUGAUAAAGGAUUACUAGCACUAGUUCAGAUGACCGUCAUGUUAAUUCGGACCAUGUUUGUGUCACAUUAUCAGCAACCAUGUGUUUAUGGUUCAUGCUAUCUGCAACUAAACUUGAUAUAUAACCAGGUGAACUUCAAUCAAAAUUCUGGAAGUACUCUUGUGAUAGAUGGUGCCUGUCUGCAGAGUCCAUCAAUUGAAAAAUGGAGUGAGUGUAUCUAUAAGAGGGAAGGCUUGGCAAAUGUUCAGUUUUCUGGGAAUUCAACAAGGAUCUAAAAUAGAUUGUUUUCUUUGCCGACUUCAAUGGUUGAAAUUUGAGAAGAUUGUGUCCACAUAUCACAACUAUUACUGGUCCUUCUGUUGCAAUUUAUCCUGUAAGGCUCUAACAUGUCUUCCAAUUCCCACUUCCCUGUUACUCCAGGAAAGCUAUUUCUGUCAUUGUGAAGAAGAAAAGAGAAUGUACAUAUCGAUGCUUUUAAGUGACUGGAGCAUUCAUAUCAGGUGGUCUGCAGCCAUAUAUGCCACUUUGUGAAGGUUGGAACAGUCAAUCACUAGGCUAUAUAUUGGUGUGGCCCAGCCACUUCAAUCAAGGACAAGUCUUCAUACUUAAAGUCAAAUUCUGCCUUUAGUCUCAUUAUAAAUUGCUGUUUAAAUAUUAAGCAAACUUUUGUUUAAUGCGAUUAAGACAGUACUAACUCAAUACUUGUUCUAUUUUUGGAUGCAAAUGCUUGAUGGUUUCAUCAUUGGAUGGGAUAAAGGUGCAUUCAUGAUUAUGAAUACUUGUAGUUAUAUUUUCAUUCUCUUUUUUCUCAAUGAGACUUGUUGGCACAAUGUUGCUGUUCAGAAACCUACCUCUCCAUGGAAAAUAAGUUGCGAUUGAUAGUACUGGAUAUGUUCAAGAAAGCUAAAUAUAGAUAGCACAAAAUAUUAUCGAUAUAAAUAGCAUUAACAGCGUACGUAUGUCUCAAUGCUCAUCAGCUAUAAGCAUGGGACAAACACUUACUAUGAGCAACUUACGUCAAAAUUCCAGAAUAGGACAUAGAAGUGACAGAUCUAUAUAUAUAGAACACUGCAUAUGAGUCACAAGAAAGGAAAUUACGGGUGCAUAGCAGCUCUUAUUUUACAUACUACUACUCAUACUGAUCAAAGUCACUCAGUUGGGAUGGGUGGGAGUAGGAGGUUUGUGGGGUGGCUUGUGCGGAGGAGUUGGCAGCUUCUUUCCAGGACCUGGUUGCUUCUCUGCUGGAGUUGAAGGAGGCUUAAUCUUCCGAGGUGGCUUGUAUGAGUCUUCAGCAUUCUCAGCUGGAGGGUGACCAGGGUUGUGACCAUAAUGUGGUGGCUUCUCUCCCUUAGGUGGUUUGCCAACUGGGGUUGGUGGCUUGUAUGAGUCUUCAGCAUUCUCAGCAGGAGGGUGACCAGGGUUGUGACCAUAAUGUGGUGGCUUCUCUCCCUUAGGUGGUUUGCCAACUGGGGUUGGUGGCUUGUGUUCUGGGAGUGGCUUCUCCCCCUUGGGAGGUUUUUCCAAUGGGGUUGGUUUGUGUUCAGGAGGUGGCUUCUCCACUGGAGGCUUGUGUUCAGGAGGUGGCUUCUCCACCGGUGGCUUGUGUUCAGGAGGUGGCUUCUCCACCGGAGGCUUAUGCUCUGGUGGUGGCUUCUCCACCGGAGGCUUAUGCUCUGGUGGUGGCUUCUUGAAUGGGGGAUGCUGAGGGUAAUCAGCAAGUGAGGGGGCGGUGAGAACCACCAGGCCAAGCAACACCACUAGCAAAUAUGUAGGAGACAUCUUUGGGUUUGGGCUCAGAUGGUGCAAAACUAGGAGAAUUGGCUAGCCUUUUAUAGCGGAUCGUACUCAAUAAUGAAAUGACACGUGUCAUUAUGACCCAUGUGUAAUGGGGUCGAUUUGGGUCCUACAGUGUUGAAAACUUCGACAUCCAGUUUUGGCCUUUUGCUUUCUCUACAGCCGCCUUGCUUUUUCCCUCUUUCCUUUUGUUUUCCUCCUGCCCCAUUCUAUCAACUAAACACAAUUAUGUAGUUGUUUAAUUCUUAAAUGAGAUAUUAUCGGUCAAUCGUAUUAUAUUUUAUCAAGAGAGAACGGAGUGCAAUGCAGCUGUAAUUUUAUCGUUUACUUUUAUCUCUUGGACCACUGCAUUUUUGUUAAGAGGUGCAAUAAUACACGUCUUUAUCUGCCAUUCAAUGUUUACAGUAAAGAGAGGGCACAAAACUCUUCACUGCUCUGCAUGUGUCCCAAAAAUGCGAUUGGACAAAUUAUGAUUUGCAUGCUAAAAAGAGGCAAAUGAGGUUAAUUCGCACCAUAAUUAUUUGGUUUUCUGGACACCAUAAAAAGAUGUUAUACAGGCAGGGAAAAACCUUCAGAGUUAGCUACCAAAGAUAAUUAUCAAGCAGAUAUCACCAAGAGAAUUCCAUAGAGUCUGAAUCAAAGACAGAUUGCUCGCUCGUGGGGGUUCUUACUUUCUUUUGGGUAUAACUCACUGAGGUCACUGUCUUUUUUAUUUGCAUUUCACAGUUAGAGUUCUGCUCUGGAAGGUUUGUUCUGGAAACAUAUAAAAGGAGCAUCAUUUUGUUCUUGGGUAACCCAUAGUCGUGAGUGGGUCCAUUUGCAUGCUACUUAGUUGAAAAGUUGGACAAUUUGCUCCGACGCCUACCUCCUGGAUUCCAUGCUCGGUAAAACAAGAAUAAAAAAAAAUAUAUAAUUUACAAAUGGGGGAAAGAAAAAAUGUCGGAAAAAAUAGUAAAAUUCAUGUCACAUGCUAGUGAGAGAAGGGGUUGUUACACUCACUCGAAGUUCUUUUCAAAAUAUCGAAUGGUAUUUUACUUUAUGUGUCAGCGCAGUUGUGAAUGGAACGUGCAAAAGUCCAAAUUGGCGUUUUUAUUUUUCCCAUGUAGGAUGGUGACCUUUAAUAAAUAUUUAAAACAAAAGACGAAAAAAAAAAGGAGGGAAAAGGGAUCACAAAAGAUAAAAUAAUGUUUACAAAAGCUCAAUUAGUUUGCAAAUUACUGUUUGGAUUUUGAUAGUAUUUUAUUUGUCGUUCUAUAUUUGAUGUAAAAGAGAAUUUAAGAUAUUUCCGAAGCAAAAGCAUUAGUUUGCUCUGUGAUGUCCCACAUCGAAUAGGGGAGAAAGUUUCUGGCGCUAUAUAUGUAGAGGCUCCUCUUAACCAAGUAGAUGCGUUUUAAAACCAUGAGGGCCCCCUUAGGUCCAAAGCGGACAAUAUCUACAUGAUUGGGUGUAAGUCAUUACAAAUGGUAUCAGAGCCGAUCCCCGACCCCGGUGUGGGGGUUUGUUUGGCCCUGUAAGGGGUGUUUGUCUGUUUGACCCCACAAUCCCAUGGGACACAACGAGGACGUUGUGUCUGCAUGGGGGGGCGUUUGUGAUGUCCCACAUCGGAUAGGGGAGAAAGUUCCUAGUGCUAUAUAUGUAGAUGUUUCUCUUAACCAAGUAGAUGCAUUUUAAAAUUGUGAGGGCCUCUUUGGGCCCAAAGCGGACAAUAUCUACAUGGUUGAGUGUAAGUCAUUACAUGCUCCAUGUCAAUUUCAGCAUUUCUCAUAUGUUUCACACAUACACAGAAGAGCAUCGUUUUUUAAAGCAUGCAUUUAUGUUGGAUUAAUUUGGAUUUUGUGGGAACUGGGGCAAGGAUCACAUGGAAGAGAGGUUGACUUUUUUCAGUACUUCAAUGGUUGAAAUAUGUGAAGGCUUGAUUGAUACUAAAGCUUGAAAUUGCGACUCUGUCAUUUGUAAAAAAAUAUGACAGCUUCCAUGCUCUCGUUUGGUUGCAUUGUCCGGUCGAGAGGUGCAAAAAGCAUUCUCUCUCUUCUAAUAGUCUUUUCGUUUAAAUCAAGGGAUUUGCCUUCCCGGUCGAGGUCCAAUAGAGGGUAACGGUCACCUACUAAACAUUAAAUGCUCCAACAACUAGUGAACUGAUCGACCCCAGCUCGACUAGUUGAGGUUACUUUUUGGUUUUCUUGUCUCCCGAGGUUAGAAACCUAUAAAUAGAGAGCUUCACUUCAUUUAUGAGUAAGAGAACACCUAAAUUUAUUUGUUUACCUACUUGUUUUUGCCAUAAAAGCUCUCAUUUCUUUUCUUGGUGUAUUAAAUCUCCAUUUGCAUAUCCUUUAGUGCACCUUUGUGAUUCAUUCUAGCCUUGAGUUGUAUUUAAGCCUUUGUUGAGCUAGGUUGAGAGUUUCAUACUUGUUUAUUGAGUGUUAAAGCCUUCAAGUGAGUUAAAACUUGAAGAGAUUGUGUAAGAGCCCAUUGGAGUCGGAAUCCAAGUGUAAAGGUGAUUAAAAGCUUGGUUGAAGCUUCAAGUUAGUGGAACUCUCACUCGGUUAUGAGCUUGAGAAGAGUGGACAUAGACAAGGCAGUGUCGAACCACUAUAAAAUCUGAGUUUGAUUUCUCUAACCUUAUCUCUUUAUAUUUGCUUCUCUUGUGCUUAAAUUUUUUGUGUUUAAAAAGAAUUUUUAAAAACUCAAUUCACCCCCUUCUUGGGAGUUUUUCUCUUUUAAGAUCAGCUUUUAUUUUCUCAAUUGGUAUCAGAACUAUGCCUCUUGUUUAAGACUUAAUCGUCUAAGAGGAAAUGGCUAAUCCAUCAAGUUCAUCUCACAUUGAAAGUUUUGCAACCAAUAGACUUCUUUUUUUUUUUUUGCGGGAACUGAUUAUCCCUAUUGGAAAACUAAAAUGACUUGGUUUUUACAAUCAAUUGAUUUAGAUGUAUGAGAUGCCAUUGAAGAUGACCUAACUUUUCCUUCAAAACUAGUUGAUGGAGUCAUGGUUCCAAAACCUAAGCAAGAAUGGGAUGAGCGUGAUUGAAGAAAUUUUCAAUUAAAUGCUAAAGUCGUUUAUACUUUGCAAUGCUCUAUGGACAGAAAUGAAUAUAAUAGAAUAUGUCAAUGCAAAUCGGUUAAAGAAAUUUGGAGAUUGCUUGAAAUAACUCAUAAAGGAACAAAUCAAGUUAAAGAGUCAAAAAUCAAUUUACUUGUUCAUAGAUAUGAAUUGUUUUUUAUGAAAGAUAAUGAAACUAUUGUUAAGAUGAUCACUAGGUUCACCAACAUUGUUAAUGGUCUUAAAGCCUUGGGAAAGACCUACAAGGAAUCCGAAAACGUGAUGAAGAUCUUGAGGUCACUUCCAUCAAAGUGGCAUACCAAGGUCACCGCAAUUUAAGAAGCAAAAGACUUGAUCAAGCUACCUUUGGAGGAGUUCAUAGGGUCAUUGAUGACAUAUGAAAUCAAUUUGGCAAAGAAGUAACAAAAAGGUGAAGACAAAAAGAAGAAGAACAUAACUCUCAAAGCUACAACUAAGGAAGAAGAAGUUGAAGAAGAAAAACAAAUUGAAGAAGAUGAAGAUUUAGCCCUCAUCACAAGAAAGUUCAACAAAUUCAUGAGGGGUGAAAGGUUUAGAAGAAGAAGGUUCACUUCUAGAAGAGACUUUUCUAAAAAGGAAUCUUCAUCUAAUGGUGACAAAAAGAGAUGGGAAGAGAAAAGAGACUUGGUGUGUUUCAAGUGCAAGAAACCGGGACACAUUAAAUAUGAUUGUCCUCUCUACAAAAGUGAAGUCAAGAGGAAAAAGAAUAAGGCAAUGAUGGCCACUUAGAGUGAAAGUGAAGAUGAAUCAUCCGAAGAAGAAAAUGAGAAAGAAGUGGCAAACAUGUGUUUCAUGGCAAUAGAUGAACUUGAUGAGGUAAAAUCUAACCUUAGUGAUUAAGAUAUACAUGAUGCAUUUGAAGAAUUGUAUGAGGAUUUUUAAAAACUUAGUUUGAAAAAUAUUUCUCUUAAAAAGAAAGUUCAACAACUUGACAAAGAACUUAGAGAAGUAAAAGAAAAAUUUUCAAAUGUUAAAGUUUCUAAAACUCAUCUUGAAAAAGAAAAUGAGAUUCUAAGAAAGAAAAAUGAAUAGUUGAACUCCUCUCUUUCAAUCUUUUCUUCUAGACAAAAAUCUUUUGAAAUGAUUCUAACUAGCUAAAAAUGUGUUUUUGACAAACAAGGGUUAAGAUUUAAAUCUUCAAAAAAUCAAAAGUAUUUUAAAAACUAUUUUGUAAAGGAAUCCACAAGUGCAAGUCCUUCCACUACUUGCAACUUUUGUGGAAGAGAAUGGCACAUUAGUAGUACGCCCUUUAAGAAAUGGUUCUCAAAAGAAUUUAAAUGCAAAAACUAAAAAAGAUUUGGAUUGAGAAAUCCAAGGUCACUAACCCUCAAGGACCCAAAAAGAUAUAGGUACCUAAAUCAACUUGAGUUUUAUGUUGUAAGGUUCAAAGAAUGAUAAGUGGUUCUUAGAUAAUGGUUGCUCAAGACACAUGACCGGAGAUGAAUCCAAGUUUGCUUUUCUUAAAAAGAAAAAUGGAGGAUAUGUUACCUUUGGAGACAAUGCAAAAGAAAGGAUGAUUGGUCAAGGCAACAUUGGUAAUGGCACAUCCUCUCUCAUUGAAAGUGUUUUAUUAGUAGAUGGUUUCAAACAUAACCUUUUAAGCAUUAGUCAAUUUUGCGACAAAGGUUUUUAAGUGAUUUUUUAAGCAUCUCAUUGCAUCAUCAAGGAUAUUCAAAAUGAUAAAACCAUUUUCAUGGGCCAUAGAUGUGAUAAUGUUUAUGCUAUAAAUAUUUCAAAAUAUGAUGGCCAUGAUAGAUGUUUUUCAAGCAUGCAUGAUCAAAGUUGGUUGUGCCAUAGGAGAUUGAGACAUGCUAACAUAGACCUCAUUUCCCAACUCAACAAAGAUGAACUUGUUAGAGGCCUUCCCAAAAUAAUUUUUUAAAAAGAUAAAGUUUGUGAAGCUUGUCAAGUGGGAAAGUAAAUCAAAAACUCUUUUAAAAACAAAAACUUCAUUUCCACAUCUAGGCCACUUGAGUUGUUGCAUAUGGAUUUAUUUGGUCCCUCUAGGACACCAAGUCUUAGAGGAAAUUCUUAUGCAUAUGCUAUUGUGGACGACUUCUCUAGAUACACAUGAGUCUUGUUUUUUAGUCAAAAGAAUAAAGUUUUUUAUGAGUUUUCAAAGUUUUGCAAUAAGAUUCAAAAUGAAAAAGGUUUUUCAAUUACUUAUAUAAGAAGUGAUCAUGGGAGAGAAUUCGAAAAUAUUGAUUUUGAAGAGUAUUGCAAUGAGCAUGGAAUUGACCACAAUUUUUUGGCUCUUAGAACUCCUCAACAAAAUGGGGUAGUUGAAAGGAAAAAUAGAACUCUUCAAAAAAUGACAAGAACCAUACUAAAUGAAAACAACUUACCAAAAUAUUUUUAGGCCAAAACGGUUAACACUUCUUGUUAUGUUUUAAAUAGAGUAUUAUUGAGGCUCAUACUUAAGAAAACUCCCUAUGAGCUUUGGAAAAACAAAAAACCCAACAUUAGUUAUUCCAAAGUCUUUGGAUGCAAUAUUUUAUAAUAAACACCAAAGACAAUCUUGGAAAAUUUGAUGCAAAAUUGGAUGUUGGAAUUUUCCUUGGUUACUCAACUUCAAGUAAAGCUUUUCGAGUUUUAACAAAAGAACCAUGGUUGUAGAGGAGUCCAUCCAUGUUAUUUUUUAUGAAUCUCCAAGAAAGAGAGAGGAUUGAUGAUGAUUUAGGUUUGAAGACCUCUAUAGGAAGAUUGCAAAUCGAAGAUAGAAGACAACAAGAAGAAAAUGGAGAGAAUCCAAAGAAAGAAGGAUCACCAUUGGCACUACCCCCUCAUCAACAAGCGCAAGGUGAAUCAAGUCAAGAGCUUCCUAAAGAAUGGAAGUUUGUCAUCAAUCACCCACAAGAUCAAAUUAUAGGCAAUCCAUCUAGUGGGGUAAGAACUAGAUCCUCUCUUAGAAAUAUUUGCAAUAAUCUAGCUUUUAUCUCUCAAAUUGAGCCUAAAAAUAUAAAUGAUGUUUUAGAUGAUGAAAAUUGGAUAAUUGCAAUGCAAGAAGAGUUAAAUCCAUUUGAAAGAAGUGGAGUAUGGGAAUUAGUACCAAGACCUUCAAAUCAAAGUGUUAUUGGAACUAGAUGGAUCUUUAGAAAUAAAAUGGAUGAAAAUAGCAUAAUUGUUAGAAAUAAAGCAAGAUUGGUAGCCCAAGGUUUUAAUCAAGAAGAAAUGAUAGAUUAUGAAGAAACCUUUGCCCCCGUAGCUAGGUUGGAAGCCAUUAGGAUGCUACUUGCCUUUGCAUGUUUUAAAGACUUUGUUUUAUAUCAAAUGGAUGUGAAAAGUGCUUUUUUAAAUGGUUUUAUAAAUGAAGAAGUAUAUGUUGAACAACCACCCGGUUUUCAAAGUUUCAACUUUCCUAACCAUGUUUUUAAACUUAAAAAGACACUUUAUGGUUUGAAACAAGCACCUAGAUCAUGGUAUGAAAAAUUGAGUAAAUUUCUUUUGAAAAAAAUGUUUUAAAAUGGGAAAAAUUGACACAACUCUUUUUAUAAAAACCAAAGAAAAUGAUAUGCUCUUAGUUCAAAUAUAUAUUGAUGAUAUCAUUUUUGGUGCUACUAAUGUCUCUCUUUAUGAAGAAUUUUCUAAGUGCAUGCAUAGUGAGUUUGAAAUGAGCAUGAUAGGAGAACUCAACUUCUUCCUUGGACUUCAAAUCAAGCAACUAAAGGAAUGAACCUUCAUCAAUCAAGCAAAGUAUAUAAGAGAUCUUCUCAAAAGGUUCAACAUGGAAGAAGCCAAAACAAUGAAGACUCUAAUGAGCUCAUCCAUUAAGCUUGAUAAGGAUGAGAAAGGUAAAUCCAUUGACUCUAUUAUGUAUAGAGGCAUGAUAGGUUCUUUGCUCUAUUUGACCACUAGUAGACCUUACAUUAUGUAUAGUGUGUGUUUGUGUACUAGAUUUCAAUCUUGUCUUAAAAAAUCUCACUUAAGUGUCGUGAAAAGAAUCCUCAAAUAUUUGAAAGGGACAAUGGACAUAGGCUUAUGGUAUCCUAAGAGUGAUAACUUUGAAUUAAUUGGUUUUUUGGAUGCUGAUUUUGUCAGUUGUAGGGUUGAAAAAUAAAACACUAGUGGCACUUUUCAUUUCUUAAGACACUUACUUGUCUCAUGGCAUAAUAAGAAGCAAAAUUUGGUAGCUUUGUCAACAGCAGAAGCUAAAUACAUAGCAACUGGUUUAUGUUGUGCACAAAUCCUUUGGAUGAAAUAAACACUUAGUGAUUUUGAUUUAUCUUUUGAGCAUAUUCCUAUUAAAUGUGAUAAUAGUAGUGCCAUAAGUAUAUCAAAAAAUCUCGUGCAACACUCUAGGACUAAGCAUAUAGAGAUUAGACAUAAUUUUCUUAGAUAUCAUACACAAAAGGAUGAUAUAACACUUGAAUUUGUAAGCAUAAAAGACCAACUUGCCGAUAUCUUUACAAAACCUCUAAGAACAUUUUGUUGAUAUUAGAGGACAAUUAGGAGUGAUUUCUUUAUGAUCUAAUGUGAUGAAUUCUUGAUGAAUAUACUUUUUGAUUGCAUGAAUUUCAUGUCAUAUAUGCAUCAUAUAGAAAUAUACUUAGAUAAUGGUCAAAUUUCGACCAAAAAUCAAAAUUCCCAUGGCAUUAGGCAUAAAAAUUUUGGAAUUUCAACUGAAAAUGGUAGGAGGAGGAUCACAAAAUGAGAAAGUAUGCAAAAAUUGAAAAAUCAAAACGUUGACCAAGCGGUCAAUCGGACUAGACCGAUCGACUAGUUUGUCGAGAUUUAGGAUUUUUAAGAGACUCCAACGCUUCAAUUUUUGCACCGUUCUCCUCUAUUUCUUCACGGUUUCUCUGAUUUUGUCUUUUAGAGACUAAUUUGAGUGCGUUUUGGAUCAAUUGAAGCAUUUUGGAUUGGAUUUUAGGAAGAUUGAAAGUUAAGGUUUCGGAUUUGGGUCGCCUUCUCUUCCUCUCGCGUGUCACAAUCAGCUUUAGCAUUGUUCUCUUUCCAUUUUCACACACCUAGGGUUUCAGUUGUGAGCAUCUCUCUCUCUUUACCAACCACUACUCCCUUGCUUCUUCCAUAUGGCUCCUAGGCGAGAGUCCGCUACUUCUAGGGCACAAGGCAAGCACCCAACUGAGUCGUCUCAGUCAAAGGCACGUCGAAAAGUGAGAUUUGACAUUGCCUUGUUCAGUUCCAUGGAGGACUACCAACUAUACAAGCAACACUUUGCUUAGAGACGAGUAGUUCCCAAGAGAAAUAUUAAUUUUCCUCAACUUCAGCAUUUCGAAUUUAAGGGUCUAUUUACUAGGAUGGUUGGUUGUCUAUUGUCACAAUUUCGGAGCCGGUUUUCCUGACCUUAGUGCGAGUUUUUUACUCGAGGGCGACUUAUGGCAUGGGUGGCAUGAUCAUUUCUACUGUUGGAGGAGUUGAGAUCUGUCUGGACCCAGAGAGCAUCUGCCAUAUUUUCGAUAUUGCUCUGGUUGGACUCAAAGUAUACAAGUCCAAAAUGUGGCCCAUUGUGCCAGGAUUUGAGCUUAGAGAGGUCAUUCAGAGGAUUUGUGAACUUCCAGACGCCCAGGAGAUGGGCAAACCAUUGCCACACAGUUUGACGGUCAUCAACAGGGUGCUACACCAUAUAUUGUGCUCUAUCUUUCUACCACGAAGUGGACAUUGAGAUGAGGUCUCUUAUUAUGAGGCAUUCCUUAUUGACUCCAUUCUAACGGAGAGACGAAUUCAUCUACUAUGUCAUCAUUCACUAAGCCUCCUCACAGUGACAUACCACCUCAUCAGGCACCUCUUGCUCCUGACCAUGCUCCAUUGAUGGAUUUAUUUACUCAUAUUAGCUCUCUAGGCACUCGCAUGAAGGAGUUUGUUGUAGUUAGUGAUACAUGGUUCUACUCCAUAGAGGAUCGCAUGGAUCAGUAUCAGACUGGCUUCACGUCACAGUUUGAGUAUCUCCAAUAGAGGAUUGAGCAUAUUGAGGAUCACUUGAGCAUGAGAAGAUGAUGGCUUUUCUAUGCUCUGUGUUUCCACCUCCACCUCGUCAACCUUGAUUUCUUAGAGACCCAUUGUUUUCAUUUUGUAAUGUUGCCAAAAGGGGGAGAUAUUUAGGAUCUAGGACUCUAUAGGAGACUUACAUGCAUAUCAUUUUCAUAUCAUUGUUUGGAUCGUACAUAUUGGAUAGUGAUACUUUUUACUUAUAUAUGAUAUGCCUAUAUGUUUCAUGUCUUACAUUGUUUCUUAUUGCAAAUUAUCUCUAACAUGUCUUGAUUAUCUUUUUUUUAACUUCAUAAAUUUUGAUUGUUAACCCAUGAUUGGUUUGAGGGGAAGAUUCUUCUUCUCCUAGAUAACCAAGGUUUGUCAUCAUAAAAAAAUUGGAGAUUGUUAGCCCAAGGGUUCUCCUAAUCAUGUUUUGAUGAUAACAAACCAUGCUUAAGUUACUAAUUGGUUUGAAUUAUAAAGAAUUUCAAGUGUUAAUUUGAAAAUUCAUCAAAGAACCUAAUGGAUGCAAGAUCAAGAUUUUUGGAAGACCUUUAAUCAUAAGAAACAUAUGUAAGAUGAAUGCAUGGGUGCACUUAAGAUUUGCAUAUCAUUUCAUGCAUAUUUGGAAAACACGGUUUAUGCUUUAAAGUUACAUUUCCAUCAAAAUUUGAGAUCCAUCAAAUGAACCUUAGGAAAAAUGUUUUAAAAUUGGCAUAUAAUUUUACCUAAAGACCUUGCCUAAGUGUUAGAAGCAAAAGGACAAAAAAAAUAUAGGUUUUCUGGUCAAAAAUGGUGAACCAGUCAAGGCAUUGUCUAAAUCAGCUCAAUCGGCCAAGGUACCGGUCGAUCGGUUUCCCUUUCCCUGUCGAGAUCUAGUCAAGAGGUACAAAAAUCACAAUCUCUGUCUCUUUCUCUCUUUGUCUAUCUUCCAGUAGUCUUUCCUUCCCGGUCGAGGGAUUUGCCUUCCCGAUUGAGGUCCGAUUGAGAGUAAUAGUCACUUGCCAAAUAUUAAAUGCUCCAACAGUUAGUGAACUGGUCGACCCCCACCUUGCCCAGUUGAGGUUACUUUUUGGUUUUCUUGGCUCCCGAUGUUAGAAACCUAUAAAUAGAGAGUUCCACUUCAUUUAUGAGCAAGAGAACACUUGCAUUUAUUUGUUUACCUACUUGUUCUUGCCUUAAAAGCUCUCAUUUCUUUUCUUGGUGCAUUAAAUCUCCAUUUUGAUAUCCUUUAGUGCACCUUUGUGAUUCAUCUUAGCCUUGAGUUGUAUUUGAGCCCUUUUUUUAGCUAGGUUGAGAGUUUCAUACUUGUUAAUUGAGUGUUAAAGCCUUCAAGUGAGUUGAAACUUGUAGAGAUUAUGUGAGAGUCGAUUGGAGCCGAAAUCCAAGUGUAAAGGUGAUUAGAAGCUUGGUUGAAGCUUCAAGUUAGUGGAAUCCUCACUCAAUUAGGAGCUUGAGGAGAGUGGACGUAGCCAAGGAAGUGUCGAACCACUAUAAAAUUUGAGUUUGAUUUCUCUAACAUUGUCUCUUUAUAUUUGUUUAUCUUGUGCUUAAAUUUAUUGUGUUUAAAAAGAAUUUUUAAAUACCCAAUUCACCCCCCUCUUGGGUGUUUUUCUCUUUUAAAAUUAGCCUUUAUUUUCUCACAAACUAUUGUAGUAUAGUGGUUUUUAGGUGUCAUCCAUUAGGAUGAAUUGUUCUCGGUAAUUAAGGCGUGAAUGAGAGGAGAAUUAAUGAUUGUGAUUAAGUAAAAUUGAUUUGAAAAUUCAUGGUGAAAAAUCAAUUUAACAAUGGUUUCUAAUUGAGAAAAACAAUGAAAUGUGAAAUAAAAUAAAAUUAAUAGGAAAUGAAAUUCUCGAAGUUAGAAUUUUCUAAAAAACAAAUUCCAUGGUGAAUGGAUGUUGAGAUCUAAUUUUCAUCAAGUUAGAUUGAAAACCGAAAUUUUCAUAUAAACUGAUUUUUUAUUUAGUUUUAGGUCUAGAUUUAAUUUCCCUUAAAAUUAGGUUAUUUAAUCCAAGAAAUCAAUUCAAAUCAUAUAUUCAAUUCAUCUUAAAUUAUCUUCCAAUUAUUCACACAAUGCAACUAUUCAAUCUCAUCAAAUCUAGCUUUUAAGAAUUUAAUGAAUCUACCUAGUUUGCAUUGUAAUAGUCAUCCAUGACAAUUUGAAGAGAAAAAUAAUUCAAUUAAUCAAUCACUUGGAUCAAAUUACCUUUGCAAUUAAAGUUCAUUUCUCUAAUUCACCACAGAUUUUGUCUCUAGAUCCUCCUUUCUCAAAGAAAAAUGAGAUUUAGCCACACAUGAUUGGAGAUUUGGUCUCAUAAGGCAUGUUUAGCUAGUGAUAAAAUGAGAGAAAAUAAAGAAAAAUAGAGAAUUCGAUUAAGAAAGAAAAUCUAAAAAAUUCUACAAUUAGAAAUGUCCAAAAAGCUUUUUCAUGAGAAAAUCAAGUUUCUAUUUAUAGGCCAAGGUCAAGUGGACACUUGACAUCAUCUAAGAGGUCUUCCGGAAGCUUCUUCAUCAAGAAAUCUGGAGUUUAAUAAUAAAAUGGUCAUUUCACAAGAGCUCAAACAAUUUCGCAUGAUUAUGUGAAAUAAAAAAUGCAACAACAGCAAUUUACAUCUUCUUGGAGCAUUUCGCAUGACUGUGUGAAAUUUUCACAUGAUCAUGUGGAAUCGACUUGACAACUCUCAUUUAGCCUACAACAUAAUUCCACCUUUUGGUCCAUUUUUCAUAGUCAUGCGAAAUGGAAAUAUUUGAUUUUUAAGUUUUCUUUUGUCAUUUCUUUCAUUUCCUUCUCUUGAUUCCACUUCAACUACCUCCGAAUCCUGGUCCAAACCAAUUGCAUUACUUCUUUCAUUAUGCAUUUGGAUCAUCAUCAACAUUAUUUGUUCUCUUCAAUUUGAUUCAUCUCUUUUGUCACCAAUUUAUCAAAAUCAUACCUUGAAAUGACUCCAAAACUUCAUAAAACUUGUUAGUAACUCUUGCAAGGGCAACAACAUAUUAAUUAAGUGUUUUAGGCAUAGUUACUACUCAAAAGAUGCGAAACUCAUGAUAAUUAUUAUAUAAAAUAUGCUCUUUUUGAGUAGUAAUCAACUUUCUUGCAUAAGCAGACCUUUUAGGGUGGAGUACUAAAGACCAAUAUGCUUGUCCUUGUUGUAAUAAAGAAACUUGCUCUUAUUGAUUGCACCAUGGGAGAAAAUUUUGCUACAUGAGUUAUCAUCAAUUUCUUCCCACCAAUCAUAGAUUUAGACGUGACAAGAGGCCUCUUAAUGGCAAGGAGGAACUGACACUCACACUUAUACAAUUAUCGGGCAUUGAUGUGUUGCAACAAUUAGAAUAACUUACACCAAUUAUGUUGGGGAAGUCACAAAAGGCAAACAUGAAAACUAAAAGGAAAAAAGAAAAAUGUUACAUAUCACCACAACUGGAAAGAAAAAAGUAUUUACUUUCAUUUGCCAUAUUGGAAAGCACUUAUUUUACAUCAUAAUAAUUUAGACAUAAUGCAUAUUGAGAAAAAUGUGUGACAAUAUAAUUGAGACAUUGUUCAGUAUUGACGAAGAAACAAGGACAACCUAAAUAGUCAUCUCGAUUUACAAGCUCUAACUAUUAGAAAUGAGAUUCACCCAAUAGAAAGCAGGACCAAAUUUAUUUUGCUUGCAACAUGCUACUCACUCACCCCAAAUGAGAUUAAGGAAUUUUGCAAGUUUUUGAAAUCAAUAAAGGUCCCCAAUGGCUAUUCUUUCAAUAUCUCUCGUUAUGUGCAACUCAAUGAAAGGAAGAUAUAUGAGCUCAAAUUGUAUGAUUGUCAUGUCCUAAUGCAACAACUUCUCUCACUUGUAGUUCGUGGAGUUCUACAUAAGAAUGUUUGUGGAGUUAUCAUAGAAUUGCGUAAUUUUUUCAAGCAAUUGUGCUCAAAGGUGUUAGAAACAAAUCACUUACACCAACUUGAGAACAAUAUUAUUGUCAUACUAUGUAAAAUGGAGCAAAUAUUUCUUCCAUCAUUCUUUGAUAUUAUGGUGCAUUUACUUGUGCAUCUAGUAAGGCAAAGGUUGCAAGACUUGUGCAAUAUUGUUGGAUGUACCUAAUUGAACGAUAUUGUUAUAAUUUCAUAUGAAUCAUUUAAUUUUAUUUUAUAUUAUGUUCAGUUCAUUAACAUGUACAUUGGUCUACAUAUGGAUGAUGAUAGGUACCUAAGCACUUUAAAGUCAUAUGUGCGUAAUAGAACUUUUCUAGAAGGUUCUAUUGUAGAAAGGUACCUUGCAAAAGAAUGUACAACAUUUUAUUCUAGGUACUUGAAUGAUGUGGAAAUAAAGUAUAAUCACAAUGAUAGAAACUUUGUUGGUUUCAACACUAGAGGAGAUGAAAGGGGUUAUCUUUAAACAUAUUGGACAUGCAUUGGGAAAGCCCAUAUUUCAUUAACUUAGUUCAAAAGAGUGGUCACAAGCACAUUUAUAUGUGUUGACAAAUUGCGAAGAUGUCAUACCAUUCAUUGAGUAAAAAAUUUAUUUGAAUUUUAAUUAAAGCUCUAGUUUAUAUCCUUAAUCAAUGUUUUUUAAAUUCACAAGGAGCACAAGCAAACCAUCAAGGCUAGACCACAUAUACGUGUUUGAGACGUAGAUUUAAUUCAUAACAAGGAAUUUAUCAAGUGGUUUGAAAGACAUGUAAGUAUAUUCCUUAUUAUAAGGGAUUUAUUUCACAUUAUGUUUAUAUUGAAUCCAAACCUAUUAUUGAAUUGUAGGUUGAACAAUUACAUAAUGAAGGUCAUAUAUCUGAACACCUUCUCACAUUAUCAUGUGUUCCAAAUUCAUUAGUUACAUGCUUCAAAUGAUAUAUUGUCAAUGGAUUUAGAUCCCACAUUAAAGAACGUGAUAAAAAAGUUUUUAAAAAAAGACUCAGAAUAAUGGAAUUGUUGUAGUUGCAAAAACGUCAAGCUUUACAAGUGCAUGUGAUAUGAGUCCAAUUAUUAGUGAUGCUCUCUACUAUGGUGUUCUAACUAAAGUUGUUGAGUUACAUUAUCUUGGUGAAAAUAAGGUUGUUUUAUUCGAGUUUGAUUGGUGGGAUGUUACAAAUAUUGGAAAAUUGAUAAAAGAUGAUGAGUACAAUUACACAUUUGUUAACUUUGCAUGAAUUCUAACCACGAACGAACGAUUUGUACUUGCAUCUCCAGCAAAGUAAGUGUUCUAUGUGAAGAAUGCGAAUGAAUCAGAUUGGCAUACUAUCAUGGAGAUGCAACCUCAAGACCUCUAUAAGAUGAACGGGAUAGGAUCCAAUGGUGAUUUUGAACCAUUUCAACAAAGUGAACUACAUGAUCACUAAUAUAUCUCAGAUUUAGUUGAUGAAGAUAUAAUCAAGUGGAACAAAAGUGAUGUUUUAGGACUAAUCAUCCUAAAAAAUAUUGUAGUUUCUUAAAAAAAAAAUGAAAAUGAAGAAGAUAAUUGAACCUUUGUCAUACUUUAAAAAGCAACUAUGCAUUGUUCAUUUUGUAUGUUUUGGUUUUCUUCAUUUAAUUUCCUGAUUUUUGUGAUUCAAUGUCAUAUUAUUGAUCUUGAAAUAUUUUUCUAAUUUUUCAUUCUACGAUGGUUUCAACAAGGAUGACAUCAAGUCAAAAAAGGAAAUGUGGUCCCACACACAAUAUUGCAUUACAGGGAUUAAGGUCAGGGAAGAAGGUAAAAGUUGCAUUUAAUGAGUACAAUCAAUUGGUUAAACAGAAAAAUGGAAAACACUUAUCGAGCUACAUAGGGACACUUGUAUCUAACCAACACAAUGUACCUCUCCAAGCUAGUGAUUGGAAAAAUGUUCCAAAUGAUGCAAAAGAGAAAGUAUGGCCUUUGUUUUGGUAUGUUGUAUUUCUCACUAUAUGAUGUCAUUUCACUGUUAUUCUAUUUUGUGACUAACGUUUGAAUCAUAUGUAAGAAAAAUUUGAAGUAGAUAAAGACUGAAAAGAUUACAUGUUGGGUAUAGCCUCAAAUAAAUAUAGAAGCUAUAAAAAUAUGAUGAAUGCAAAAUACUAUGACCCUUGGCAUAAGGAUGCAUGAGGAGAGGUUAAUACAUAAAUCACCAUUUGUCUCUGAUGUUGAUUGGAAGUGGCUUGUCUCUGAUGCAUAAACCAAAUCCCCCACUGAAUGUUUGAUAUUUGAUAGCAGGAAAAACACACCCGCAGCUAUACACCUCCAUCAUUCAGAUAAUUAUAGUGGGGGAGAUGAUUCAUGGUUGCCCUUAUACCCUUUAUUUGCACCAUCUAUUGAGAUUCUUUAUCAUGGCCAGGUUUUACUGCAGCAAUAAGAUAUGGUGGCAACAAUUUUAUCUAUAGGUGCGGUUCCAGACCGCCUCCAUAGGUGCGGUUCCUGACUGCCUCCAUAGGUGCCUCUUCUUGUAAUGUUUGUUCUGGGAAUUACACUUGAAAGCCUUAUCGUGAUAAGGGAUUACAAACACUAGUUCAGAGGACAGCCAUGUUAAACUUCCACUAUGUUUGUGUCACAUUAUCAGCAGCCUAGUGUUUAUUGGUCAUGCUAUCUGCAACUAAUAUAACCCGGUGAACUUCAAUCUAAAUUCUGAAAGUACUCAUGUGACAGAUGGUGCCUUUCAGCAGAUAUCAUCAAUUUAAAAGUAGUGUGUGUGCCUAUAGGUGGGAAGGCCUUGGCAAAUGUUCAGUAUUCCGGUAAUUCAAGAAGGAUAUAUCUAAAAUAGAUUUUCUUCUUGCCCAUUUCAAUAGUUAAAAUUUGAGAAGAUUGUGUCCACAUCACACAAAUAUUAUUGGUCCUUCUGUUGCAAUUUACCUCUGAACAUGUCUUCCAAUUCCCACGGUCCUGUUACUCCAGGAAAACUAUUUCGGUCAUAUUGAAAAAAAAAAUAUUAAAGAAGGUACACAUGCUUUUAAGUGGACUGGGGCAUUCAUAUCAGGUGGUCUGUAUCCACAUAUGCCACUUCGUGAAAGGUGGAACAGCCUAAUCACUAGGCUAUUUAGUGUGGCCCAGCCACGUUAAUCAAGCACAAGUCUUCAUACUUAAAGUCAAAUGGUGUCUUUAGUCUCAUUACACAUCGCUAUUUGAAGAUUAACUCAUCACUAGUGUAAUGCGAUUAAGACAGUCCUAACUCAAUAUUUGUUCUAGUUUUGGAUGCAAAUGCUUGCUGGUUUCAUCAUUGGAUGGGAUAAAGGUGCAAUCAGGACUAUGAAUACGUGCAGUAAUACUUCAUUCUCUUUUUUCUCAAUGAGACUUCUUGGCACAAUUUUGCUGCUCAGCAACCUACCUUUCCAUGGAAAAUCAGUUGUGACUGAUAGUAAUGGAUAUAUUCUAGAAAGCUAAACAUAGAUAGCAUUCAAUAUUAUCGAUAUAACAUUAACAGCGUAUGUCUCAAUGCUCAUCAGCUACAAGCAAUGGACAAACACUUUGAGUAACUCACAGCAGUCAAAAUUCCUAAACAGGACAGACGUGACAGAUCUAUAUAUAGAACACUGCAUAUGAGUCACAGGAAAAGAUAAUACGGGUACAUAGAAGCUCUUAUUUUACAUAUUACUCAUACUGAUCAAAGUCGCUCAGUUGGGAUGGAUGGGAGAAGGAGGUUUGAGGGGUGGCUUGUGCGGGGAAGUUGGCAGCUUCUUUCCGGGAGCUGGUUGCUUCUUUGCUGGAGUUGAAGGAGGCUUAAUCUUCCGAGGUGGCUUGUAUGAGUCUUCAGCAUUCUCAGCAGGAGGGUGACCAGGGUUGUGACCAUAAUGUGGUGGCUUCUCUCCCUUAGGUGGUUUGCCAACUGGGGUUGGUGGCUUGUUUUCUGGGAGUGGCUUCUCUCCCUUGGGUGGUUUGCCAACUGGGGUUGGUGGCUUGUGUUCUGGGAGUGGCUUCUCCCCCUUGGGAGGUUUUUCGAAUGGGGUGGGUUUGUGUCCUGGUGGUGGCUUCUCUCCCUUGGGAGGUUUACCAAUUGGGGUCGGUGGCUUGUGUUCUGGGAGGGGCUUCUCUCCCUGGGGAGGUUUAGUGGGUGGCUUGUGUUCUGGAGGUGGCUUCUCCACCGGAGGCUUAUGCUCUGGUGGUGGCUUCUCGAAGGGGGGAUGCUCAGGGUAAUCACCAAGUGAGGGGGUGGUGAGAACCACCAUGCCAAGCAACAACACUAGCAAGUAUGUAGUAGACAUCUUUGGGUUUGGACUCAGACAGUGCAAAACUACGAGAAAUCGCUAGCCCUUUAUAGCGGCUCGGACCUAAUACUGACAUAAUAUAAAAUAAAUAUUAUAUUUUAUCAAGAGAGAACAGAGUGUAAUUUUAUCAUUAAUACCGAUCGAGGCCAAAGAAAGAAGACCCAUAAUCCAUUUCCCACAAGCAUACACAAUGCAGCUGUAAUUUUAUCAUUUACUUUUAUCCCUUGGACCACUGCAUUUUUGUUGAGAGACACAAUAACACAUUUUUAUCUGUCAUUCAACAUUUACAGUAAAGAGAGGGCACAAAACGCAAUUAGAUAAAUUAUGUUUUGCCUGCUAAAAAGAGGCAAAUAACUUUAUUUGCAACAUAAUUAUUUUGGUUUCUAGUGACCCCGGGGCCUUUCGGUUGGUUUGGGAUCGGAAAAUGAACAUCAUAGGGGGGGUUGUGCCCUUAUGGGCAUAUAUAUCUGAUAGCUUCAACUGGCCUUGUUCCUAGAAAGAAAUUGCCAAAGAUAUAAACUUAUUCCAGGCUGAAAGUAGAUGAGAGUCAUAAUGAACAUCAACCUUUGUUCAGUUUGAUUCAAUGCCCCCAUAGUGUUCAUUUCACAGAUCUGAAUGAUUAUAUCCGUUGAAUACAUAAAUUAAUGAAGACAAAUAUGAAACCCAAGAUACAUCUCUGCAUAACAACCCCAACCCUGGUUGCUAUGUUUCCCUUCUUCUAUUCACAUGAGGAUACUGGUUAUAAUUGUCAAACUUGCAACAAGCCCUUUGACACCUAACGUCAAUGGACGAAUUAAAAGUCUCCUUCAAACGUCUAUUUCACAGCAUGAAGCUUAUAAAGGAUGCUGACAACCUUCAGAGUUAGCGACAAAAGAUAAUUAUCAAGGAGAGAUAGUUCCAUGAGAAUUCCAAGGAGUCUGAAUCAAAGACAAAUUGCUCACUCAAGGGUUCUUAUUUUCUUUUAGGUACAAAUCUCUUGAGUGUUGUUAAAGAAACACGUCACUGUCAUUUUGAUUUGCAUUUAACAUUUCACUUUUGUUCUGGAAGGUUUGUUCCGGAAACAUAUCAAAUGAGCAUCAUUUUCUUCUUCGGUGACACAUGGUCGCGAGUACGUGGGUCCAUUUUCAUGCCACUUAGUUGAAAAGUUGGAAAGAAAAAACAUGCCAACAAGAAGAUAGUGAGAGAAGGGGCACUUCAAGCCUUUAACAUGAACAAACAGUAAAUAAAAGAUGUUUCUCCACUCAUAAAAGUGUGUUAGAUAGCAAUAUAACGAAUCACAUCCAAAAUCUUUACUAGGCUCAAACAUAAAGAAGACUCAUUUUUAAGAAAAGAUAAAAAUGGCAUUGUCUGAUAGUAUCCAAUACACGAGAUGGCACUUAAUUUGUACAAGAUCUGUCAAUGCUGACGCACAUUUUCUGAUUAAAAAAAAACUGAUCAGUCAAAAGCAAUGAAGAGAAGUGAUGACAAUGAAUGAUGCUUCCAAUAUUUUCACCCCUUAUAGUGUUCUUCAUGAUUCAGAUAUAUAAUUGGAAAUAGAACAACCCUAUGCCAUACAUUCGUCUAAGUAUGGUGUCUAAUUUUUUGUGUCAGCGGUUGCGAAUGGAGCGUGCAAAAGUCCAAAUUGGCGUCUCUCCAUUUCCACAUAGGAAGGUGACCUUUAUUGACAAAUACCCAAUAUUUGUAGACAUUCCUUAAAUAUCAUAACUUCUUGUUGAUUUGAAAAUCAUUUUUCAACUACCAUGUUUUAAUAAAUAUUUUUUAAAAUGUAUUUUUAUCAAAGUCCACCAUGAUGGAUAAUAUUCACCAUGCAAUAAUUAAUAAAGUACAAACUAAGCGAAAUGAAAAGCAUUUUCUUUGCUUUGAGUUGAUUUUGGUUGCAUUGAGUUGAUUUUGGUUUCAUGGUUUUUUCAACUCUUAUUUUGAUUGGAAGAUGUCAAGAAAAGAAAACAUAAAGAAAAAUUAAAAGGGAAAAAAGAAGAAAAAUAAAAAAAAAUAGAUUUAAAAGUUAAUAAAUUAUUUUUUAUAUUUAUUUUAAUUCAUUUCACUUAUUUUUCUUUUACUAUAUAAAAUUUAAAUAAUUUAAAUUUUAUAAUUAAUUUAAUUACAUUUCAUUUUCUUCUAUAUUUAAAUAUUGGAAAAAUAUUUUACUUAAUAUUUUUUUCUUUAAUUUCUUUGGCAUUUUGGGAACCAAACUUAGCCUUUAAAAUAAAAAACAAAAAAAAAAUGAAAAUAAGGAGGGAAAAGUGAGAAAAGAUAAAAACAAUAUGUAAAGGAUUUGAAAAGUAUUAGUUUGUAAUUACUAUUUGGAUUUCAAUAGUAUUUUAUUUGUCUUUCUAUAUUUCAUGUAAGAGAGAAUUUAAGAUAUUCCCCAAGGCAAAGCAUUAGUUACCUGCAAUCAGUGGUGAUAAGGCUCCAAGCCAAUUUUGGGCCCCAUAUCUUAAGACAGUACAAUUUCCAUUUCAACAUUUCUGAUUUCUCAGAUGUUUCACAUACCACAGAAGAACAUUGUUUGUGAAAAUAUGCAUUUAUGUUGGAUUUUGUAUGCUGUGGGGACUGGGGCAAGGAUCAUAUGGAAGAGUGGUUGACUUUUUCUGUACUUUAACGGUUGAAAUAGGAUAAGCACGGGCAUUUGUGAGGCUUAAUUGAUUUUGAAGCCUGAAAUUGCGUUUCUGUCAUUUUGUCAAAAAAAUGGCAGAUUCCAUACUCAUAUGUUUGGCCUGUGGCCAUGUACAGAUGCCAUUUAGUGACCAGUUUGUAACUGUCAAUCGUUGCGUUUUGACUCUGCCUCAACAACAUCUGCCAUUGACGGGUUUUCAUACUUGCAAAUCAAAUAGUCUUUCGUCCCAUCAGGAAUUUCGGUUUAAAUAUUAUUAAGCAUACGUUUGGCUGACAAUCAUUAUCCAGUUCAUGAUUUGGUUUCUUACCCUUAAUCAAUGGUUUCUAAGUGAAUAUAUGUAGAAGGAAAUCCGAAGUGUAGACAGUAGUAUCGAUAACUCUCAAUAUUCUCUAUAUAAUAGAAUAAACAGCGUCAUAGUGAUCGUCGCCUACAAGCAAGGUACAAAUACCAAAACGAGUGACUCACAUAGACAUCUCCCAACAAGAUGUAGUAGUGACUGACACAUGGACACAAUUAACUCGUAGAAAAGGAUAAGACCAUUGCACAGCAGCUCUUAUUUUACAUACUACUUAUGCUAACCAAAGUCAAUUAGUUGGGAUGGGUGGGAGAUGGAGGUUUGUGCGGUGGCUUGUGGGGCGGAGUUGAUGGCUUCUUUCCAGGAGCUUCUGGCUUUUUCAUCGGAGCUGAAGGAGGCUCAAUCUUAUGAGGCGGCUUGUAUGAGUCUUCUUUACUCUCGACAGGAGGGUGGCCAGGGUUGUGAUCAUAAUGUGGUGGCUUCUCUCCCUUAGGUGGCUUGCCAACUGGGGUUGGUGGCUUGUGUUCAGGAAGUGGUUUCUCUCCCAUGGGAGGUUUAGCAAUUGGGGUUGGUGGCUUGUGUUCUGGGAGUGGCUUCUCUCCCUUGGGAGGUUUAGUAGGUGACUUGUGUUCUGGAGGUGGCUUCUCCACCGGAGGCUUGUGCUCCGGUGGUGGCUUCUUGGUUGGAGGGGGCUUGGGGUAAUCAGCAAGAGAUGGGGUGGUGAGAACCACCAGUCCAAGGAACAACACUAGCAAGUAUGUGGGAGACAUUUUUGAGUUUGGGCUGAUCAGAUGAUGCAAAACUAAAGCAUUACGUGACCUUUUAUAGCAUGUAGCUCCCAAUACCCACUAAGUAUUGUGGGGUCCAUUUGUGCCCUACGGGGUUGAAAACUUAGACAAUUGGGCAAGGACCCACCUGACUAUGGAGGACUAGUGAGGUGUGAUCAUAGCUUUAGGAUUUUUCUUCCUCUGCAGCCGUCGUGCCGUUGGCAUGAUUUUCUUAAUCUUAAAUAAAGGCAUAGUUAUAGAGUUGUUUAAUCUCUAAAUGGGAUUUUAUAUAUAUCUUCAGAUAGCCAUUAAUAUAUUUGAUGAAGAAAGAAAGACAAGUGCAUACAACAUGUAUACGACUAGCUUUCAUGGAGUUCAUUUAUGAUCAGUUUUCCUGUACAUGUAAACCAGGAUCAUAUAUAUGUUUCUGUUCCACAACUAUUUUGGAAUCUUGUUUAUCAGUUUUUAUCAUUAUAAUGUCACAUAGGCUGCCAACUUGGGCGCUAAAAGAACCAGUUGGGCUAGUUCGUUUCAGAAUUUCAAUGUGGAUUCAGGAAUUGUUUUGUAAGAUAUGCGAAAUAGUAGAGGGAUGAAUAGUGUUUCAUUAAUAAAAGUGUCCUGUAAAUUAGAAGGUGUCAUAGAAACUAUAAUCAAUAAAUAACUUUUUUUCCCCACGGGUGGUGUUUCUUGUGGGGAUCAGUGACUGGUUUAGGUUCACCCAAAAUGAGUUCAGACUAAAAUUGGUUUGAGUCAAUGCCGUGUCUCUUUUUUCCAGAAAUCAACUAUUUUAUGCAUUGAAUAAAUCAUACAAAGAAAAUAUGAACGCCCGCAAAACCUAAACCCUGGUUGCUAACUUUCUAUGUUUCAGUUCUAUUCACGCAAGAAUAUUAGUUUAAGUUUGGGAAAAAUGGCAACUUACCUAGUGAUUACUUGGUUUUGGUUUGCGACUAUUUACGCAACCAACCAUGAGUUUGACUUUAACGUCAUGGGUUGAAGCCUCCUACAGGAAGGGAGAAAGCUCCACAGCUAGCUCCAAAAGAGAAUUAUCACAUUGAUAGCUCCAGAGAUUCCCAAGGGGACUGAAUCAAAGACAAGUUCCUCACUUUUUCUUCUUUUGAGGCCAAAUAUGAACCAAGGAUCACACAACCUCAUUCAACUUCAUAAGUUUGAUUUCAUGCAGUUGAACACUGGGUGAAGGCCAUGACAAGAAUUGAUUCAAAAAUUCUAUCACUCUUUUAAGUAAUGGAAGAUUAUUAUCUCUGAUUGGCAUCACAACAGCACAUGCUCCUAGAUCUUUCUAGACACUCCAUGCAAUGAAAGCACAAUGGAUCUUGUAACGAUAGAAACUAAGCCAUGCUACAGUACUAGAUGAUGAGGUAAAACUAGUAGACACGGGUGGCAGCCUAUAUGGGAGGGACACAAGUCUAAUUGAUUUGCAUUUCAGCAUUAUAGAUAGGUAUGUUUUGGAAGAUUUGUUCUGGAAAUACCGCACCAAGUAGGAUUCUUUUUCUCUUUAGUGGGUCCACUUGCAUGCCAAUUAACGAGUUGAAAAGUAUGAGCACCUACCUCGUGCUCGUGGAACCGAAGGUCAGUGAAGUGGGGCUCCUUUUGGCCUCGUGUAAACUUGAUUCAGAAGUGAAGUUAAUAGUCUUCCAUUCAGAUGGAUACAUGGGAAUUUUUCUCUUUUAUUUAUUUAUUUAUUUUUUUUUUGUGUGUGUAUGUCAAAGGAUAAUGAAUGAAGCGCGUUAGCUUGUUUUCUGACUGGAACCGCAGAUGUCCAAAUUGGAGUUCCUUCAUUUCUUACUUAGGAUUGUUACAUGUAUAAACAAGGUAUAAGAAAUAUGCCAACGUGUCUUGAGGAGUUAUUGAUUAGAAAUAACAAGUCACCCGACUGUAGAGUUCCAAGAUUUGAAUCUUCAGACCCUAUAGCAGCCUCUGGGGUACGUGGCAUCCUAUAGCAUAUUAAUGAAGGCUUUUUCGAUUUAGACUUCACAAUACCAAUUAAUAUGUAUGCACAAAAUGGAGAUGACCCCAAAAAAAACAGAAUCGCCAUAGUUUAUGAGGUUAAGGUGAUUCUCCACUUAAUAUCUACAUUAGCUAAUUAUGUAAAUCAAAUGAACUUCUAUUUUUCCUUUUUUUUUUUGGUUUAUGUCAAAUAGUAGCCCAUAAUUAACCCAACCAUUAGCCUGUUUGAAUUGAUUUCACAUGCACAAUGUUGUAGUAGUUCAUAUUUUGAAUUUUAUUUUUACAAAGGUAGUUAAGGAAAAUGAAGUAUAAUAAUUAUAAAAGCAGACUAUAUACACUACAAUAAUUGUUAGAAUGGUAUCUCAAAUUCUAAUUUAAAAUAUUAUUUUUUGUAAAAGAAAUAUUAUAUAGAAUAUUUCCUAAUUUUAUAAAUGAUUAUAAUUAGAUCUUUAUAAAAUAAGGAAAGUUGGUAAGAAUAUCUUUAUAAAUAUUUUAGGUCAUGAGAGAAAGAAAUGGGAUAAAAAUGUGAUGAAGAGGUGAAAUAAGAGAGUUGAUUAGGAUAUAGAUGUGAAGAAGAAAGGGAUUCAAUAUAUAUAUAUCUUUCAAUUACCACAUUAAAACCCUGUGAACCUUUUAUAUGGUUUACUUUAUUUUUAUAUUCCUCCUUUAAUAUAUUUACAUUAAUGCUUCCAUUGGCACAACAAUAACGAAUUACAAAUACAAGCAACAAGUCCCAUGUUUUAUUACCAAAAGCAGGUAAAAUCCACCUAAUAUAUUACAAUAUAUUCAUCCAAUAUUUUAGACCAAUUCUUCACCAUAAAUAUCAUAAUGUGGCUUUUGUUCUUUCUUAAAUUUAAAUUGAAUUGUCUUAUAUCAAUUUGUUUGUGAUUUUUUCAUUAACUUCACUUUCAUUUGGUUAUCUUUGGUUUUUGAAAAGUAUUAAGGAAUUAAUUAACAAAAUAAUGUUAAGAAAAAUAAUUUUCUCUCUUUUGAUUUUGAUUUUGUAGUAGAAAAAUAUAAUUAAAAUUAUUUAAAAAGUAUGUAAUUUUAAAUUAUUUAAUAUUUAGAUAAAAAAAAUAAGUCUAAUGAGUUUAAAAUAACAUAUAAAAAUAAUUUAUUUAUUUUAAAUUUAUUUUUUAUUUUCCAUUAUGUUCUCUUUCUCUUUUACUUUUUCAUAUUUUUUCUUACGAAGAAUCAAACACAACCUCAUAUUAUAUGUCAAGUGUUUGUCUAUAUUUGAGCAAUGUUAGAUACGGCCAUGGAUUCAUCAAACUAAACUGAUUUUAAUAGAUACUUCACAAAUUGAUUUAUACACUAAAUCAUUGGAUAGCAAUGAUGCAUUGGAAUUAAACGUAGGAUGAAGCUCGAAGAACACUGUUUGUGUAACAACAUAUUUAUGAAAUUAUGCAAAGGAUGAGCUUCGGGGUAGUAGUACAAGGUCAUUAAUGGAGAGCCGUGUUAAACCUUGAUUGUGAUUGGAUUCCGUUAUCAGCAACAGCAACCUUGUUUGUAACCUUGAAAGUCAUUCUGUCCACAUCGAAACUCCAAUUUGACGUUUGUAAUUACCAUUCCUGGAGUGUUCCUUGAUUGAAAUUUAAAUAAUAAUUGCGGCCCACAAGGAAUAUUUUCGAUUCUGUGGGAAUUUGACAAGGUUUGUUAGAGAAGACUGGUGACAUGUUGACUUCAAUGGUUCAAAUAGGAGACGUAUGUGGAUUUGGGGGGUUUAAUUGAAACUGAGUCCCUAUGGCUUUUUAAUAUUUGCAUUGAGCAGUCUCCAUGUGACUUCCUAAUUCCCACCAACCCUCCUGUCCAUGCUGUGAAACUAAAUUGUAAUUUAUCAGCCUUUGUCAAUGGUUUCUAAAUUAAAGAUAUAGACCAUGCAUGUACUUUAAUAAAAGCAAAUCUAAAGUGUAGAUAGCAGCAAUGGUGACACCCAAUAUUCUCCAUAAAAUAGAAUUAGAAUAAGCAGUGUUACAUUGUUCAUGAUCACCUACAAGCAUACAAGAACUUCCAUGAAUAACUCAUAGCAAUUGCCAACAGGGCGUCGUAGAGACUCAUACAUAGAACACUAUCCACCCAGAGGAAAGGACAAGACCAGUGCGCUGCAGCUCUUAUUUUUCACAUGUAUACCACCACUCGUAAUAACCAAAUUCACUCAGUUGGGAUAGGUGGGAGAUGGUGGUUUGUGGGGUGGCUUGUGGGGAGGAGUUGGAGGAGGCUUUAUUUUCUGAGGCGGCUUGUAUGAGUGUGCAGGAGGAUGCCCGGGAGUGUGACCAUAAUGUGGUGGCUUCUCUCCCGUAGGUGGUUUGCCAAAUGGGCUUGGUGGCUUCUCUCCCUUAGGAGGUUUACCAAUUGGGGUUGGUGGCUUGUGUUCUGGGAGUGGUUUCUCUCCCUUGGUAGGUUUGCCAAUUGGGGUUGGCGGCUUAUGUUCUGGGAGUGGCUUCUCUCCCUUGGGAGGUUUGCUAAUUGGGGUUGGCGGCUUAUGUUCUGGGGGCGGCUUCUCUCCCUUGGGAGGUUUGCCAAUUGGAGUUGGCGGCUUAUGUUCUGGGAGUGGCUUUUCUCCCUUGGGAGGCUUGCCAAUUGGGGUUGGCGGCUUAUGUUCUGGGGGUGGCUUCUCUCCUUUAGGAGGUUUGCCAAUUGGAGUCGGCGGCUUAUGUUCUGGAAGUGGCUUUUUUCCCUUGGGAGGUUUGCCAAUUGGGGUUGGCGGCUUAUGUUCUGGGGGUGGCUUCUCUCCCUUGGGAGGUUUGCCAAUUGGAGUCGGCGGCUUAUGUUCUGGGAGUGGCUUCUCUCCCUUGGGAGGUUUUGUUGGUGGCUUGUGUUCUGGAGAUGGCUUCUCCCCUGGAGGCUUGUGCUCCGGAGGUGGCUUCUGAAAUGGCGGGGGCUUGGGGUAAUGAGCAAGAGAUGGAGUACUGGUGAGAACCACCAUUCCAAGCAACAAUACUAGCAAGCAUGUGGGAGACAUCUUUGAGUAGUUGUAGCUAAGAUGGCGCAACACUGUAGGCAUUGGGUGGCCUUUUAUAAAGGGCUGGACCCAACAGCCAUAUGACACGUGUCAUGAUGACAAAUGA